rnacentral:lncRNA from 1 species
AACUACCUUCUCUCCUCCCUCAAAAGUACCACCAUCUUUUCCGACAUGGCAGCUUCUUCAAUCUUCAUGGCAACUCCCAUCACACUCCUCAAAAAAACUCCCACCUUCUCCGUCAAAUGCAUGUCACAAACACCUCAAAGCGGUGAACCGGAGAUUUCAAAACCAGCAACCACCCCAACACCACCAAAGAUCAACAUUCCUCCUCCUCCGCCACCUGCUCCAAAGGUCAGCACGAAGUUCUCUGACGUGUUGGCGUUUAGUGGACCUGCACCGGAGAGGAUCAACGGAAGGUUAGCCAUGAUAGGGUUUGUGUCGGCGAUGGCUGUGGAACUGAGCAGCGGUCAAGACGUGUUCACCCAGAUCGGCAACGGCGGUGUUGCGGUAUUUGUCGGGACAAGUGUGGUGUUGACGUUAGCGUCGUUGGUGCCGUUGUUUAAAGGAGUGAGUGUGCAGUCGAAGUCGAGUGGACUGAUGACAUCAGAUGCAGAGCUUUGGAAUGGGCGGGUUGCGAUGUUGGGUCUGGUGGCUUUGGCUUUUACUGAAUAUGUUAAAGGCAGUGCCCUUGUCUAGAUAAUGUAUCAUAGACUUUUCUAUUACAGAAUUACAUCUAAGAUAGGCAAAUGUAUAUUCUUUUGAAUAUUUAUGUGUAUCGAUUUACCAUACAUAGUUCAAAUCAUGAAAAUCAAUUAAUCAUGUUUUUUUGAUAAUAUAGUAUAAAACAAAUAUGAUCAAUCAAAUUGAACGAUUGUGGUAUCUUUCAAUAUAAAAUUCUUUUUAUAAAAUUAAACAAACAACAUACUAAGAUAAAUUUUAGAGGCAUGAACCUAGAUUAGCAAUAUAAGAGUCAAAGUCUACAAAGAUAUUGAAAUCCUAGUUUCACAACUUCCUCUUUGAAUGUUGAACUGAGGUGAUCUUCAUUAAUUCAGACCAAAUAUGUGCAUAAGUCCAGCCUAGUCAAUUAGCCAAUUUAAGAUGACAAGUAUCCAAAAUUCAAAUACAUUACAUACCUCAAUUUCAAACAAAACUGAAAAAUAUAAUGACUAAUGCUCACAAAAUGAUCACUUUCGGGGAGUGGUCACAGUUAAACUACCGGAAAAGCGCUGCAAACUCAACGUUACAUCUGCUCCAUCACCAAUUCCCUAAACAUUGGAAAUAGUUACCACUCUAUAUCAUUUAUAUUUAUAUUUUAUUUAUUUUUUAAAAUUAGAUUAAAUAAAAAACAUAAUUAUAAACUUAAGUAAUCAUUUUACUAAUUAAAAAAUCAACUAAACAUAUUAUUAAUUUUUAAAAUUAUUAAACAUAUCUAGUUAUAUAUAGUUGAGGGUUUAACUUAAUUCAAAGAAAAAUAAAAGGGUAUAAUAAGAUUAAAAGACACAAUUUUAGAGACCAAAUUUGUAACUUCAAUUAAAGCAAAUUUGAAUCGUCUUCUUCACCUGUCUUCUUCAACCUUUUUCUGAAAAACGGGUCAUUGCUCAAUACCAUUUUUUUUUCUUUUACUUUGAUGGAUACAAAAGAAAAGGAAAAAAGGGUUAAAUACGUGACCUUUGUUGUUGCUACUUUCUUAUUCGUUGUCUUCAUCCGUCUUUGCACCCACGUUACACCCAAACCACUGGCCUUAGGGGCGGUGUGGACAUAUCCUUAGGCCGGACACAUCAGCAAGAUGCGUGGGUUAGUCCUCCCACUCCGGUUAGCCUUAAACACUUAUUAAAAGCUAGUGGACGUCUUUGCACCCACGUUACACUCAAACCACCGGCCUUAGGGGCGGUGUGGACGUAUCCUUAGGCCGAACACAUCAGCAAGAUGCGUGGGUUAGUCCUCCCACUCCAGUUAGCCUUAAACACUUAUUAAAAGCUAGUUUAUUUCUUGUUAGUUUGAAAUCUAAUGUUAUCAUCAAAUCUAUACAAGAUUGAGAUUGAUAUCAGAGUAACAAUCUCCAAAAGAAAAAUAUUUUACUCAAAAGAAUAUAUAUAUAUAUAUAUAAUGAAUUAUAUCCUAAGAAGUACUAUGCAUGAGUAUAAGAUUACUAUUAUCUUGGGAUCUAUUAAUUGGUAACUAAGCAUACUUCCAAGUUACUAUAUGAAAUUUAGUUAAGGAUUAAUGUCAAGUUGGGUGCAUGCACCUCACUCAAAGGCCUUGUAUUUUUAUCGGUCCCAAGUGACAUCUUACAAGGGCCGUUUUGGAGUUUUUUCUUUCCCCAAUGUAUUAACAUUUAUUUUUUUUUGAUAUUUUUGAACUUUUUAUUUUCUUAGAAAAGUAUACAAAAUAAAAUAUAUACAAGUUUACUUGAAGAUAUGAGUGUUUAUCAGGUUAUUCUCUUGAACUAUCUAUUCUUAGAUAUGAAUAAAUGUGUUUGUCUUUAUCAUUUUUCCCCUUUGUCAAUUCUUGACUAAUAAGGUAAUAGUCGUUCUUGGUGAGGGAUUCACCUCUCUAUUGAUUCUUCAUUCUAAUUAAAUGUUUGGAUUCAACAAUGUCCGAUUGAGUAGUUCUUUAAAACCGCAUUCUACCAUUUGCAUCUUUAUAUUAAUCCCAUGAAUUGGGGAUUCCAUAAACUGAAACUCUUGGAGCUCAAUAGUGUAGUUGAAAAACAUUUGUCGAGCCUACCACUUCCAUGAAAUAGGAGAAUUUUUUCAAUAAACUAAGUAGUUCCUUCUUUAUGGAUCAUCUUUUCGUUACUCGACCCCUGCUUACAUGCGAUUCCUACUAGAAAAUAGAAUUGCAGACUAACUGCAGCUGCAGACAACCCUUCGUUUGGCCAGAAGGGGUUUGAUAUUCCUUGGAGAAAAAUCUCAUCCUGAAAAUAACAAUAUCCAUGAACACAAUGGCUACGAAAUACUGAUUUUCUUAACCGACGAACCGAAAUGUUACAGCCAUAAUGCUGAAACCUCAUUACUUGCCCGCCCUUUAAACAGGUAGAACCAUCCCUGAGCAUAGAAACAUAAACUAAAUCCUGAACCCUCCAGCUGAGGUCUUUGAUAUCCAAUUUUCUUGAUCCACAUCUUUCUGAGUAUAGAUGUUGCACUAAUACACUCGCGAUUCCCAAUGCGAGCUUUCACCAAAAACCCACUCGAAUAUGGCCACUCAUAUUCUUCUCGAAGACCCUUCCCUACAUCUAAUGAGCGUCCAAUUAUGAAUCUGCCCGCAAUUCCUGACUGGAGACACUAACAGAAACAUGCAUAACUGAUCCUCGAAACAUACCGACCACGAUCUUCACCCAAAACCAAACCAUAUGAUGUACCAAAACCUUAUUAACCCUUGAUCCUCUUCUAUUCCAUUACUGACCACUGCUUCGCCGAGCAAGAGAUAAAUCCAAGAAUUUCUGCUUUACAUCCAACCCCUUAUAGAAUCAGGUGUACCCCCACCUGGACAACCACUUGAGACAAUCAUAAAGAACUUUAUGACUUGCGACUUUCCAACCAAUCCCAACUUGAAAACCACAACAAUAGCAACAACUUGCGAACAACCAAAAAUAUAAUGUAUACAUCCCAUAAGGACUUUCUGAUUCCUGACAGAUACUCCCAACAACCUUUACUACUUCCUUUAUCCAACCAAUAGAUUUACGACUCGCUCGUCUCCCAUCAGUGUAUCGAUACCGAAAGCACCACAAGCAGAAUAAAUGAACAACCAUGUUCACUAGGCCCUCAAAGUAUGACUGGAAUACCCCUUAUAAUGUCCUCUGAAUAUGUUUGGAUUGCCUCUGAGCCCACAACAUGAAUCUGGAAUGCCCUCCCUGGCCUUCAGCCCAUGUCUGGAAUGCUCUCGAUAUCACAACGACCUUGACGCCAUCGCAUCGCUCGCCCAUCACUCCAGGCCCACAGAUACUCACCUCAUUCCAUUCCCUUGAAGGGACUUAAUCAAUUCCCUCACCACGCCAAUUGUGCAUCACAAAGAUGCCACCAAAGCAAACCUUACAAAACAUGGACGUACGCGACCCGUGAAUAGGAAAAUAGAUGCACCAUUGGCCCGAUUCGAAGGCUAAAAUCCAAAAGAACCAUGCACAUGAUUCGAACCAAGUGCUCCAAUGCUAUCUUUACCAGAUUACAUGAACUACCCCCAUACACAUACUUAAGAAACCUAGAAUAUCAUCCAGAGAGAGAAGGAAUGUCAGAUAUAAUCUAAAAAUACCUCAAUUAAUAACAUAAAACAUCCCCAUGAUCAGUUGAAACAAGAUCCCAUACUUGAUUGAGACUGAACGGAUUCCAUCGCUACACAACUAGGUUGAGAAGACUUCCGCGGAUAUCGAAGGUUGCCUAAACCUGAGUCUGCUAUUAACCAAGUUCCCACUCCACCAUUGAGGGUAAACACACUCGAAGGACCAAAGAACAUAGAUCAUACCGAACUUGAUGACAGAUUGGCCCGACCACUGCAUCUCGGCUGACACAAUUAAACUUCCGAGUGAACUUUUAUUGAAUGAUGAACCCCAAAAUUAGUGGUCGAGGACACAUUGACACUUAAUCCAGAGAAUCAAGACCCACAUGGAACUGAACAUACCCGCUUCUGGAAAGAUCCACUGACUAACGUCUGCCUAACUAAUCUGAAAAUAGCAAUCCAACAACAAACUCGCAUAUCCCUCAAUGGCUAAAAAUACUCAACCUUAGAAUCCCUAUUCUCCCCCACUUUAGGCUCAAACUACCACUUACUGGCGCUAAAACCAAAUCAUAACUCAAACCAUCUUGAGCAUGUACUACCCUUCCUAACCCUGGAAGUUACGAGUCUGCUCACUGCUUCCCCGAACUCGGAAAAACUGAAAGGGCGUAACCCUAUAUCUUAUAUUCUUCAAACCUAGAGAUAUGAGUUGUUACUAUGAGUUGGUUAUACAUUUGAUUGCACGAAAACGCAUUGGUAACUCGAUGAUAUAAAACGUGCCUUUGUGUAUGAUUCAACAAGUAGUAGAACAAGCCAUAUGAGUCGAAGUUUAUCCAUUCCUUUUACCUUCAGGAUAAAAGCGAUAUCCAUGGGCCCCUCGAUGAUUUAUUAAUGAUGACACAUGUGAGUGCUUGGGCAAGCCAUGACUGAUUUGAUCUGUUCAAUCAGUCAGUCAUCAUGAAUCGGAAAUCAGGAAACAAUAAAUGGAUAGAGAUAAUGAUUUAUAAUCCAUGUCUUAGUCCAUAUGAUAUUUAGAAUGGAGGAAUAUAUGAUCCCUUAUCUAAUGGACUAGUCAUUGACAAAGGUCAAAGUUCAUCGACGAGGUCAGAGUUCAACAACGGCUUUUGAGAGUUACGAUUGCCAGUUGGUUUUUGAAGUCAUCCUCAAUAAUAGUUUUAGACUUAUCCAAGUAGGAGACUAUUGGAUUAGUGUCUAAGUCCAUACCUAUAAUUGGUAUGUACUUGACCGUACUCGUCAUUGUCCAUUUGGGUUGCAUGGCAUCGGAACAUUUGGAUAAACUGUUUGUGAGAAAAGGACAUUUGUGACAUAUUAAUAUAUUAUAAGUUCUAAUAUAUUAAUAUUAAAUCAUGUUAUUUAAUUAGUAUUGAUCAAGAAUUAAUUCAGACUUAAUUUAGUGAUCAAAAGAGACUAAUUAAAUAUAUGGGGAUUGAUUGUGUAAAUCAUUCAUUCUUAUAUAUGUGGGGUUAUGAUCCAUUAUUCCUUAUGUUGGGUUUAACCCAUGUGGUGAUCCAUGGAUACUCCAUGGAGGUUAAAACCCAUGAAGCAUAAGGAAUUCGUAAAGUCAUGGGUUACAUAGUGUAACCCUAAUGCGCACACUAUAUAAGGACCCCUUUAGCUCAAGAAACGGCACUAGUGAUACUUAUAUGAGGGCUAGCCGAUUUCAACAUAGGGUUCUUCUUCUCAUGGUUAUUCCAAGUGUUGAUGAUGUUGUGUGNNNNNNNNNNNNNNNNNNNNNNNNNNNNNNNNNNNNNNNNNNNNNNNNNNNNNNNNNNNNNNNNNNNNNNNNNNNNNNNNNNNNNNNNNNNNNNNNNNNNUUUCCAUUGCAGUCAGAGGGGCCACAAGAAGGCCCAGUGUCCGAGAUUGUAUCCAGUAGGGCAGGUGCCAGCUCCUGCCCUUGGGAUUUCGAGUACCGCCAGCAGUUGUCGAGGCCCGGCAAGGGUGCCUACGGCUCAGAGCCGAGUUUUCCGGUAGAUUUCAGCAGGGAUUCGAGCAGCACUGAGUAAUGAAGGUACGUAACUUUUGUUUUUCUGUCAGCUUAUGUCAUGAUUAUAUUGUUAUGGUUCUGCAUCAAAUUGUGGUAUAAGUGUUGUGUUAUAGUGUGGCUUGCUUGUGAUUAUGUUAUAUGCCAUUUGCAUACCUCGGAUAAUUGGUUGGUAGUUAGGGAAUGUGCUCUUAUGGAGAAGGUUUCGGAGGAUGCAGNAUGGUUGGGAGAGAUUUGGUUCGUUUCGCGAGUUCGGAGUGGUUAGUGUUGGGUUGGAUUGGUUAGAUCCCUAGCUAUGGCAGGCUUGGGCUCCUUAGCAGAAUGAUUAUGGAAUGGCAGCAAAGAUCGGGAUCUCUUUUGAGUGUGAAGCAGCAAGGGGUAAGCAGGAUCGAAGUGGGGGAGAACCCUCCGGGUAUACAUGGAUAAGAGUCUCGUAGACUCAGAAUGAGUGCGCGGCCUCUGAGAAGAAAUGGUAGUAGCACAGUGAUGGAUGGAUUGAGAAGUUCAGAAUUGGGAGUUCGAGAACUUUUCCCAGCAGUUAGUUCAUGUAAUCGAGAUGGUUAGAAGCUGGUUGGGAAUCCAGGAUUGGAGGACCACCUGUCGGACGCAUGAGAGUCGGAAUGAAGAUCCUGAGAACGGGUAACAAGAGAUGUUUUCGUAUUAGUAGCCAGUGUCUGAGGCAGCAUGCAGGUUGUGUAGAUUCAGGAGUUGGGAGGUUGGAAACUUCCCAACAAUAGCUUCUUGUAUCCGGAUUAGUAGACGGUUGGUUUGGGAACCAAGCCGAAGGAUUCCUCGACGAAGCGCUAAGUAUAUCAAGGAUAUAAGAUGUCGAGGAUGAUGCAGAAUUCAAAGUCUAAGGACUGUUUUUUUUGAGAAAUCGGGAUGAGGAAUCACUAGCAGGACUAGGGAUAGUCAGGAUGUUCUCGAGAUAGUAGUAGUGUUGUAAGUCUGCGGGGGUAGCCGUAGCAUUCACUAGCAGUCAGAUAGCAGUAGUAGUGUUGUAAGUCUGCGGGGGUAGCCGUAGCAUUCACUAGCAGUCAGAUAGCAGUAGUAGUGUUGUAAGUCUGCGGGGGUAGCCGUAGCAUUCACUAGCAGUCAGAUAGCAGUAGUAGUGUUGUAAGUCUGCGGGGGUAGCCGUAGCAUUCACUAGCAGUCAGAUGGUAGUAGUAGUGGUGUUGUAAGUCUGCGGGGGUAGCCGUAGCAUCCACUAGCAGCCAGAUAGUAUUAGAGAGUUGUAAGUCCGCGAGCGUAGUCGCAGCCUUUUAUCAGAUUGGUAAGUAGCAUGAGCGCGUGUUAGACGCGGGAAAGCAGUUGUACCCACCAGUUCGGGUGUAGCAGUGAGGAUAUGGGAAUCCACGGGUUAGAUUUCGGAUUUCCCAAAGGGAUCAGUUACGGCUAAGUUAGCAAUUUGGGCUUUGGAUCGUCACAUCAGUUAUGAGAUCAGAGUAGCAGUGGACCGUUAGGGUUCAGGUAUGUUGCGGACUACAGUCAGUCUGGGAACCAUCAUGUUGUUAGUCGUGGAAUUGAUGAUGUCAGGAUGUGACGUAUGGACCCGAUCGGUUGGAUCGGAAAGUUGCUAGAGCCUCAGUGACAGGAUAACUAGUGGAAACUAGUCCUAGAGGAAAAUUUCGUUCAGAAGUCGUGGAAGCGACUAAGUGAGGAGUCCCUUGACUCCACAGUUGGGUUGGAGUUCAGUGUUCCAGUCAGUUCAGUGUUUCAGGCAGCUCAGCGUUUCAGGCAGCUCAGUGUUUCAGGCCGUUCAGCGUUUCAGUCGGUUCAGCGUUUCAGGCAGGUUCAGUAUUGCAGCUAGUUCAGUGUUUGGAAGGUUUCAGGGUUUUGGGUUAGUAUUGCAUUUGCGUUGGAAUGCAAGUGCUGACGGUAUAGUUGGUUGAUUUGGAAUUGGCAAGUCCCUCUCAGCAGGAUCAGUUGAGCCUUUUGCCGAGUAUAAGUGAUUGGUAGGGAUGGCUAGGCAGGUAGCUUUUCAUUCAGGAAGAAAGGCUCGAGUAAGUAGGAGAUGAGUAAGCAGGUGGGAUAAAAGCAAGCUGGUUCCAGCAGCAUCGUUUCAGUAUGAACGGCAGGAUGGAUAGAACAGUUAUAGAUAAUCAAAGUAUCUUUAGGAGUCGCUGGAAGAGACUAGGAGUUUGCGAUGGAGUGUAGUGACCGGUGGGAGUCCGGUAACUCAGAUAUAGGGAGAUUGGUUAGACCAGAGUAGUCUCAGUACAUCCGGUAGGCGGAUGGGAGGCAGCAGGAUUUUCAGUCGGAGGAAGUAACGUUGAGGAGAUUAUGGGAAAGAGAAGGAUUUAGUAUGUUCUAUCGGUAGUGAUCGGCACUGUGAGUGGCCGGAGUGAUGGGCAAAAGAGUGAGGGAUUUUCCAGACAAAGAGUUGGAGGCAGUUCGCAGGCAGUUGAUCAUAGCAAACUUCGAGGACGAAGUUUAGUUUAAGUAGGGGAGAGUUGUAACACCCCAAAGAUUGGAAAGUCAAGAAAAGAAAGAAGACCUCAAUUUUAAGAAGAGACUCGGCGAGUCCAAGGAGGGACUCGGCGAGUCCNNNNNNNNNNNNNNNNNNNNNNNNNNNNNNNNNNNNNNNNNNNNNNNNNNNNNNNNNNNNNNNNNNNNNNNNNNNNNNNNNNNNNNNNNNNNNNNNNNNNNNNNNNNNNNNNNNNNNNNNNNNNNNNNNNNNNNNNNNNNNNNNNNNNNNNNNNNNNNNNNNNNNNNNNNNNNNNNNNNNNNNNNNNNNNNNNNNNNNNNNNNNNNNNNNNNNNNNNNNNNNNNNNNNNNNNNNNNNNNNNNNNNNNNNNNNNNNNNNNNNNNNNNNNNNNNNNNNNNNNNNNNNNNNNNNNNNNNNNNNNNNNNNNNNNNNNNNNNNNNNNNNNNNNNNNNNNNNNNNNNNNNNNNNNNNNNNNNNNNNNNNNNNNNNNNNNNNNNNNNNNNNNNNNNNNNNNNNNNNNNNNNNNNNNNNNNNNNNNNNNNNNNNNNNNNNNNNNNNNNNNNNNNNNNNNNNNNNNNNNNNNNNNNNNNNNNNNNNNNNNNNNNNNNNNNNNNNNNNNNNNNNNNNNNNNNNNNNNNNNNNNNNNNNNNNNNNNNNNNNNNNNNNNNNNNNNNNNNNNNNNNNNNNNNNNNNNNNNNNNNNNNNNNNNNNNNNNNNNNNNNNNNNNNNNNNNNNNNNNNNNNNNNNNNNNNNNNNNNNNNNNNNNNNNNNNNNNNNNNNNNNNNNNNNNNNNNNNNNNNNNNNNNNNNNNNNNNNNNNNNNNNNNNNNNNNNNNNNNNNNNNNNNNNNNNNNNNNNNNNNNNNNNNNNNNNNNNNNNNNNNNNNNNNNNNNNNNNNNNNNNNNNNNNNNNNNNNNNNNNNNNNNNNNNNNNNNNNNNNNNNNNNNNNNNNNNNNNNNNNNNNNNNNNNNNNNNNNNNNNNNNNNNNNNNNNNNNNNNNNNNNNNNNNNNNNNNNNNNNNNNNNNNNNNNNNNNNNNNNNNNNNNNNNNNNNNNNNNNNNNNNNNNNNNNNNNNNNNNNNNNNNNNNNNNNNNNNNNNNNNNNNNNNNNNNNNNNNNNNNNNNNNNNNNNNNNNNNNNNNNNNNNNNNNNNNNNNNNNNNNNNNNNNNNNNNNNNNNNNNNNNNNNNNNNNNNNNNNNNNNNNNNNNNNNNNNNNNNNNNNNNNNNNNNNNNNNNNNNNNNNNNNNNNNNNNNNNNNNNNNNNNNNNNNNNNNNNNNNNNNNNNNNNNNNNNNNNNNNNNNNNNNNNNNNNNNNNNNNNNNNNNNNNNNNNNNNNNNNNNNNNNNNNNNNNNNNNNNNNNNNNNNNNNNNNNNNNNNNNNNNNNNNNNNNNNNNNNNNNNNNNNNNNNNNNNNNNNNNNNNNNNNNNNNNNNNNNNNNNNNNNNNNNNNNNNNNNNNNNNNNNNNNNNNNNNNNNNNNNNNNNNNNNNNNNNNNNNNNNNNNNNNNNNNNNNNNNNNNNNNNNNNNNNNNNNNNNNNNNNNNNNNNNNNNNNNNNNNNNNNNNNNNNNNNNNNNNNNNNNNNNNNNNNNNNNNNNNNNNNNNNNNNNNNNNNNNNNNNNNNNNNNNNNNNNNNNNNNNNNNNNNNNNNNNNNNNNNNNNNNNNNNNNNNNNNNNNNNNNNNNNNNNNNNNNNNNNNNNNNNNNNNNNNNNNNNNNNNNNNNNNNNNNNNNNNNNNNNNNNNNNNNNNNNNNNNNNNNNNNNNNNNNNNNNNNNNNNNNNNNNNNNNNNNNNNNNGUCAGCUUCGGACUUCGGUCCGAUGGAGGGGGCAAGGCCCCAGUCAGUUAGCUUCGGACUUCGGUCUGAUGUCAGCUUCGGACUUCGGUCCGAUGGAGGGGACAAGGUCCCAGAUAGUCAGCUUCGGACUUCGGUCCGAUGGAGGGGGCAAGGCCCCAGUCAGUUAGCUUCGGACUUCGGUCCGAUGUCAGCUUCGGACUUCGGUUCGAUGUAGGGGGCAAGGCCCCGUUAGUCCGGACUUCGGUCCGAUGCAGUGGGCAAGGCCCAAUAUGUGCUUUAUAUGUUUUGUAUGAUAUGUGGUAGAUUGGGGGAGCUCACUAAGCUUCGUGCUUACGGUUUUCAGUUUUGUUUUCAGGUACUCGAUUUCCAAAAGAGGAGCUCGGGAAGAUUGCAGAGCACACACCAUAGUCAGUUAGCCUGGGAAUGUUUGACUCUGAUAAUGAUAUUAUGUUUUGAAUUGAAUACUCAAAAGUUAUGUUUGACUUAUGAUACGUUGUUAUAAAUCUAUUUUUAGUAAUGUUUAAAAGAAAUUUUUAGUCAUGAUUUUUGGGUCGUUACAAAUACCUUGGAAUAUUCAUAUUUGCAUGUAUAAUAGAGAAAACGUAGAUCCAAGGUAUUUAGGGUUGCAUGUACACCAUAGGAGUGAUAGAGUGCUCAAAACCCAACAAAUAGGUCCGAGUCCUUCAUUCUAAGAUUAUUUAACCUUCAUAGCAUGUAAUUUAUUGUAUUCACUUGAUGGUUAACUCCCAUCAACAUGGGUUCCACAAAGCUCAAAGCAAGGAACAUUCGGGCAGAGAAGUCGGUUGUCACUAAAACGCAACAAAAUUUGACAGAUCCUCAUACAAAAUCCUCAAUCUCAAACUCCCCGCACCACGGGUGCACCUUUGCCCUGCUCUCACUCUCCCCAGAGUGGCUAAUCAUUCCUCGUGCUGACCAGCUAUACACUGUACCCACUCAUGAAACUUCCACCAACCCUACAACACUCUUGUAUGCUAGCUGUACAUAACACUGGAUCCUAUAGACAGUCGAAUAUCUGAUCCGAACCUAAGUCCUUCAUCAAACAAGAACAGAAAAUAAGGCCGAAUGAAACAUUCUCAGGCUAAAGAAUCUUAGUUAUGUACAACUAUAAUGCAUACUCUAAGCAAUUGUAGUAAUGAUGUCAAUUUCAUCUAAGGAAGAACCCUAGGCUAUCAUGCAUCAUAUAAUCAGGAAACUCUAUCAUGCAAUUCCUAUAGAUCCCUAGCCUAUCACUAACAUGCUAUUUUAACAUAUCACAAGAUCAAUAACAGUGUAGCAAUUUGGGGUCUACUUACUGGCUCCGACUGAUCUUACACAUAGUAUCCUCUUUAGUUUGAAAGCGACUUUGAAAGUUAUUUUUAAAACCUUUACUUUGAAAAUUAUUUUUUAAAAAACCCUUUUUCCUUAGUUUGAUACUGGAUUCACACGAGUGUUCCUCCAAUUCACUCAAACCAAGGCUCUGAUACCAACUUGUAACGUCACAAAAAUUUCAACAAAUUGAAACCUUUCGAAACAACCCAUUUAUUAAGAAAAGUGUUUUGACCCGUAGGCGCUUUGUACGCCUUGAACUCCCGGAAUGAGGGAGUUCGAUUCCUAAUCUGACCCGUAGUGAUCUCAGCUCAGAAAGAACAAUUUGCUCCUCUAUAAUCUCCAUGAUCCCCUCCUUGACGGUAUUGAAAAUCACUGGGGUAGCGUUAAGGAUGUCGCGAGUAACAUCGACUACGAUAAUCUCAUGCAACCUCUCAUCAAUCGGCUUUGCCGCAGAUCCUGAGCCCGAUCCCGAACCUGAACCUCCUCGCGUAGCCAUCACCAUCCUCAACUGAAAAAUACAACGUAGAAAGCAAUUGAUAAGGAAUAUCAAAAGGAUUUCUCCCCACCAGACUGAUGGUUUUUGAGCACUACACCAUUCCUAUGGUGUACAUGCAACCCUAAUGCUUCAGAUCUAUGUUUUUCUCAAGUUAUACAUGCAAAUCAAAUCAUCCAAAGCAUAAACCCUAAAUAGCAUACAAUUUUUGGAAUUUGUAACUUAAAAAAAAAGUUAGAAGAAUACAUUUUCCUUGUAGCUUGUAGAUCUUGACCUUCAAGAGCUUAGUGCCUCAAUUGUUGCACUCUAGUGAGUCACAAACACCAAGUAGCAAUUUGGAAGAAUAUGAGAGAGGUUAGGAGGCUCAAAAUCGGCUAGGGUAUUAUCUUAGAAGCAAUUGACUAAUUUCAAGGUGUCAUGGGGUAUUUAUAUAGUUGUGCAAUUAGGGUAUUUAACUGAAACCCUAAUUCUCUGCUUAGGCCUUAAGCAAUCCAGUAGAUCCUUCCAGAAGGCCUCUUAUGGACGAAAUCUAUGUGGGCUAUACAUAAGAUUUCGUCCAUCCCUUCUUAGGGAUCCACAUGCUCAACUUGGCAACUACCAUAUAAUUGCAAUAUCAGUCCUUGUAAUCUAACCAGUCUCUUUUGAUCACCAAGUUAAUUCCAAAUCAAUUCCUGAUCAAUACUAAUUAGUUAAUCUGAUUUCUCAAUUAAUAUACCAUUCUUAUAAUAUAUUAAUAAAUCAAAAUUAACCUCUUUCUCCAUAAUUCAUCUAGUCAAGUUGCUAUGGUGCAGGCAACCAAAAGCACCAUGCUACUAUCGGGUCAAGUACAUACAAUUUAUAGUUAUGGGCUUAGACACCUAAUCCAACAGUCUCCCUCUUGGAUAAGUCUAAUAACUAUAACUACAAGUAUGACUUCAAAAUCCGAUUAGCAAUCGUAGCUCUCAAAAGCCGCUGUUGGAAUCUGACCUAGUCAAUAUGUAACAUCCAUAAAUUUUACACCAAAUUUAAACUUUUCAAUCAUAAAUAAAAACCAAAUAGCAUUAUGUUUUCAAAUCAUUAUCCAUCAGAGUGUCCCAAAAUCAUAACAUAAGGAUGAGGAGUGGUAGGUCACGCCUACGCGUUGCUAGAUCUCCUGAAGUACCUGGAACAAUAAACCGAAAACUGUAAGCCCGAGGGCUUAGUGGCUACCCCCAAAAUACCUAUACCACAUUGACAAUACCAUAUCAGUAAUAAUCAAUCAAUCAACAUGCAUAUCGGGCCAUCGGCCUGACUGGACCGCCCUAUAGGGCCUACAGUCUAUCUGGAUCUAUCCCGAGCCUUCGGCAUGACUGGUCCGCCACAUGGCCCUACAGUCUCCCCGGACCGAUCAUAGGGUGUGCAUACUUUCAGCACAAAGCAGGACCGCCUCAACCCAACUAACAAUCAAAUAACUAUGUGCGCAUAACUAUCAUAUACUGGCAUAUACAAACAUCAAGCAUAUCUAUCACUGGUCAUCAAUCAUAGAAUUCCCUCGUAACUAGAGUACCGACCUAGCAGGUCACUAACAUACCAAUCCCUACGGAUCAUAAGAGCAUAACAUACUGUCUACCCUGAUUCCGAUCAAACAGAUCAUAACCACAUAUAGCAUACCAUAACAAUAAAAACUAAAGGGUCGACCUUGGUGCUGUAGACCCUAUCGAUAUAGUGAGGAUAACUCACCUCAUAGAUGUCGACUCGGAAGGUAAACUCCAAAUCUCGGAUCAAUUGACACAGGCCCCACCACAUAUCGCAUAACAUACACGUAAGUCCUUAACCUUAUAAGGUACUCCAUAACCUACUAGUCAACCCCUGAUCAAAGUCAAAGUCCUCAGUCAAGGUCAACAGUCCAUGUUGACCUCAACUCGCCGAGUUCCUUGAAGCAUAUUCAAACUCGCCGAGUCAUCGGGGUGACUCGUCAAGUUCCUUUGAUUCUCGAUCAAACUUUAAGGCCACCCGUCGAGUUCCCUCCUUGCAACUCGACGAAUACACAUGCAUACAUAUCCAGGAGAAAACUCAUCCGCCUCGCCGAGUUGUUCUUCAACUCGUCGAGUCUAUGGAAAUCAUCAUCGGACUCGUCGAGUUGUUUAUCCAACUUGUCGAGUUCACGACCAUCUUCAUGUGACUUGCCGAGUCAACCUUGCGACUCGCCGAGUCCAUUCAGUCCGUUUUCCAUACAGAUCUAUUUUGAGUCAUGCAGCGGCUCCAACUCACAGAUCUAAGCUUCUAGGACAUGCUUAUCACGUAAGGAUGCAAACUUUACGUGCAUGCAUGGCUUUAAAGGCUCCAAAUGCCAAAUCUAAGAUCUUAAUGAGGCUUCAUGCUCAAUAGGGACCUCAAUCACGACCAAAAUUGUAACUUUAUGCUUCUAGAAUCCGAAGAGGGUCCAGAUCUGAAGUUACAACUUCAGAUCUAGCCCAUAGCUCAUCAUACCAACUUGAUAUUACAAGAAAACCCUAAAACUCAACCAAUAGAGGAGAUUCAUAAGGAAAAUGAUGGUUUGGGUACGUCUGGAAGAUGAUAUCUGAGAUGAGUGUUGAUUUCCACACUCUAAAUGCUCCAAUCUCCUUCUCCUCCAAGUCUUCUCCUUCCAAAGAUCCUCUUUUCAAGCUUCAAACACACACAAGGCACCCACACACGAAUAAGGGCUCUCAAGGACUCUUUAGAACUGUAAAUAGGUCCAAGGGAGGCUAAGGCCCCUUUAAAUAGGGAUACAAACCCCAAGAUUUAGGGUUUCAUCUGCCAACUCCUACUCACCAAGUCCCAAUAUGGAAUCGUCAAGUAGGUCACUUAACACGGGAUCUCACCCCGCUGCUACUCGACGAGUAGGGCAACCAACUCGUUGAGUAGAGCGUAACUCAAUACAUCUUAUUUAAAACAAUACCUAAGAACCGGGGCGUUACAAAUCUCCCCCACUUGAACUAGACCUCGCCCUCGAAGUCCGCUGGAACAAACAAUGUCGGGUAAUGCUCGCUCAUCUCCGCCUCCGGCUCCCAUGUCCACUCGGAUCCCCUCCGAUGUUCCCACUGUACCUUUACCAAAGGUAGUUCCUUGUUCUGCAGAAUCUUCUUCUUCCUUUCCAAAAUAGCCACAGGCCUCUCCACAUAGUUCAGGUGCUCAUCGACCUGAAUGUCAUCCAACGAUACCACUGCCUCCUGGUCCAUAAUGCAUUUUCGCAAUUGCAAAACAUGAAACGUGCUGUGGAUCCGGCUGUGCUCCUCCGGAAGCUCUAGCCUAUAAGCCAGCCUGCUAACCCUGGCAACAAUCCUGAAUGGCCCAAUGUAACGGGGACCUAAUUUUCCCCUCUUCCUGAAGCGGAUCACACCCUUCCAACGUGAAACCUUCAGGAGGACCAUGUCACCCACCUGAAAUUCCAGUAUAGAUCGGCGUCGGUCGGCAUAACUUUUCUGCCGACUCUGAGGGGUCUGCAAUCGCUGUCUAAUCUGUUGUAUCAUCUCGGUAGUUUGCUGAACUACCUCUGUCCGACCCAUUACCCUGUGGCCAACCUCGCCCCAACAGACUGGGGUCCUACACUUCCGCCCGUACAACAGCUCGAAAGGCGGGGCGGGAAUACUGGAAUGAUAGAUGUUGUUGUAGGCGAACUCUACAAUCGGUAGGUGGGAAUCCCAACUACCAUCGAAAUCAAUGACGCACGCCCUCAAAAUAUCCUCGAGGGUCUAAAUGGUCCGCUCACUCUUGUUGGAUAAGGUGUCUAAGUCCAUAACUAUUUCUGGUCAGUACUUGACCCGACCCGACAUGGUCCAUUUGGGUUGCAUGGCACCAUGCAAUUGGAUAGACUAAAUGAGAGAAAUAACACUUGGAGAUUAUUAAUAUAUUAUAAGUUCUAAUAUAUUAAUAAUAUUAUUUAAUUAGUUUGAUCAAGAAUUAAUUUAGAAUUAAUUAAAUGAUCAAAAGAUAACUAAUUAAAUAUAUGGGUUGAUUAUGUAAAUCAUCCAUAUCUUGUAUAGUGGGCUAAGAGGCUCCAUGGAUUAUCAAGUUGGGUUCUACCCAUAGGAUGCUCCAUGGAUGCUCCAUGGGAGUUACAAACCCAUGGGUCAUGGAAAUGAAGAGUCAUGACACAUUAGGGUUUACAUGGUGUAACCCUAGAUGUGUCAACACUAUAUAAGAAUCCCAUUCUCCACCAAAAUCUGACACACAUAUGAAACAAGAGGGCUAGUCCGAUUUCAAGAAGUGUGUGUUCUCUCAAAAGUCUUUCCAAGAGCAUUUGGUGUUGUGUGAAGCAUUUAAGGCAUCACACUUGGGGUGCUAGGCUCACAAGGUUUCAAGGAACAUAAGCAACAACAAGGUAAGUUAUUCUAUCUUUCAUUCAAGUUAAAAAUUGUUCCCCAUGUAUGCUAGAUAGGAAUAUAACCUUGGAAUUCAACUUUGCAUGAUAAUUAGACAAACAUAGAUCCAAGGUUAUUAGGGUUGCAUGUACACUUAGGAAGUGUUAGAAUGCUCAAAACCCAUCAGUGGUAUCAGAGCCUAGGCUUGUUUGUUUGUUAUUUGUGCUUAAAAGUUGAAGAAAGUCGAAAAUCUUGCUGUCUGACUGAUGGACUCGGCGAGUCCAUGGGGAGGACUCGACGAGUUCAUGUGUAUCUUCAACCUACUCGGCGAGUAGGUUUAUGCACUCGGCGAGUAGGGUCGACAGAGUGCAGAAUUUCGACUUGUGUUGCUGGAAAUGGAUUAGAAUCAUUACCCUAAAAUGUUUUGGUACUUGAAAACUUAUUUUAGAAGGUGUAAUGUCUUUUCUAACUCAUUUACAACAACUAGUUAUCAAAAUUACAAAGAUUAAAUGUGAUUUUGAUUCUUGAAAGUGUUCAUAUUCAUAUUCUUGUUCUUAUGAUGUUUAGAUGAUCAUAGGAAUUAUUUGUAACCUAUGUGGUAGAUUAAUUCAUGAUCAUAAUGUGUUUUAAUGGAGUCCAUAACUUGUCCUCAAGUUAUGGAAAACCAAAAGUCUCUUGGAUUAAAAAACAUUAAAAGAACACAAGAGUUAGGAAAAAUGAAAAGUCCUCAUUUUAUUACUCUAUUAAACUCAUAAGUUACAAGAAAUGAAAAGUUUUGAAAGUUUACAAAACUUGCCCUCAAGUUUUGGAACAAGUAAAGUUAAGUUAAAACUUUAGUUCCAACCCCUAGAAUUUUAAAAGUUAAAAUUCAACCCUUAUACUUAUAUUAUUAUGAUUUAAUAAUUAUAUAUAUAUGUAUAAGAACAAAGUCGUCUUACCGCUAGUACGCCUCAUUCACGAAGCCGGUCUAUAAGGUGGGUAUAAGGUUGUUGCCUAUAAAAUGGUGACUUAAUGGGUGUCCACUCUCACCCACCGCUUGCUUGAUCGGUGGAGGGUCGUUAGCCGAACGGGUAAGACAAGGACUUAUUAAUUCUCAUUCAAAGUAUGAUGAAUAUUAUAAAGUAACUAAAUGUUUUAUUAAAUUCCCAAUCUUAGUUACUUUAGGAAAAAUGUGAAUAAGGUGCUAUUCCAUGAAAUUACACUUUACACUUUGAUUAAGUCGUUGGUGGAGCGUGUGUGGUUAACCGGCACACUAACUUGGACUUAACAAGGUAGGUAAAGGGUGACUUAGGGUUUAUUAUAGUAUCGAUGGAGCGUGUGUGGUUAACCGGCACAUCGAUUGAGUGAUAAACUUUAAGGGUACCAAGUGAUUUGCAUGGUUACUUCACACCUCGUUUUGUGAUCCUCGGUAUCCCAGUCACAAAACUUGGAGGGCACACUCGAGAUUGAAACAUGCCUUUGAAAAGUUCAUUGAAUCUCAAAGAAUCUAGGAAUUUCUAAGAACCAUUCAAAAACCUAAUACUAAAAUAUUGCGGUUUUCGUGGUGGAAAUUGGUGAAUCGUCAUUCACCUACCUUUCAAAUAUGAUAUAGCUUAGAUUACGGCAUACCUCUUCUAAGUUAUAUUAUAUUGUGAUUGGAUCCUAGCCUUAAUAUUACAUUUGGGUGUUUUAUUAAGGACUCUCUUAUAUCUAAACUAAUCUUGUCCUCUUUCCUUCAGAUGUCUUUCAACAAUGCUUCUGGCUCUAAUCCUAAUGGCUCCUUUACCCUUAUGAACUUGUGUGGGAAAGUCACCUUUGAUGGAUCCAACUUCAAUGAGUGGAUCAGAAACAUCAGGAUGAUUACCCGCUACGAGGACAAAGAAUAUGUCCUUGACAAGGAGCUUAAGGAGAUUGAUGAGUCCACUGCAACUCCUCAGGAGAUCGCUGAAUUUCGGGCACAUGAAAGGGAUGCUACGAAAGUGGCUUGCAUCAUGAUGGCCACGAUGACAGCGGAACUCCAAAAGUCUUAUGAGGAUUUCUACCCUUAUGAAAUGCACCAAGAUUUGAUGGAAAGAUACCAUCAAAGUGCAAGACAAGAGAGGUAUGAAAUCAUCUGCUCCAUGAUAACAACCAUGAUGAAGGACGGGGAAUCCGUCACGAGCCACAUGCAGAAAAUGCAAAGGUAUGUGGAUCGUUUGCUGAAGCUUAAUGUGAACUUCCCGGAGGAUCUUGCAAUAGAUAUUAUUUUGCAUUCCUUACCAUCGUGCUAUGAUCAAUUCCGCAUGACAUAUCACAUGAACAAGGAAGAAGUCACCCUCAGCAAACUUCAGGGACUUCUCAAGACCGCAGAAUCAGGUCUUAAGGGGAAGUCGGUUGCUAUCACUCCUACUCAAAACUCUACUCCGGUUUUGGCAAUCGGGAAAAGUCGAGGGAGGAAGAGAAAGAGCUCUUCUAAGGGUACCAAGGUUCGGACCCUUGAUGGCUCUUCUUCAAGUGGAACCAAGAAAGGUUUCAUUACUCCUUCUUCUGACCCAAAAGAGGCUGAAUGCUUCUAUUGCCAUGAAAAAGCUCAUUGGAAGCGGAACUGCCCAAAAUACCAGCAAGAUGUGAAGGAUGGGAAAGUUAAACCCAACCAUGCAGGUAUUUACACUAUCAUUUCUAAUAACUCACCCCAUUCUAAUUCUUGGGUCCUUGAUACCGGGUGUGGUAUUCACAUUUGUUGUGACUUGCAGGGACUAAGAAGAAGUGAGGAUGUGGAGCAAGGAAGGAUAAACUUGAUCAUGGGGAAUAGGAAAGCUAUACCUGUUACCAAGAUUGGAGUUUAUACUUUAUCGCUAAGUAGUGGGUUUAGUUUAGAUUUGAAUAAGUGUUGUUAUUCGCCAGGAAUGGCAAGAAAUAUUAUUUCCUUUCAUGCUUUGUACAAACAAGGGUUUACCUUUUCAUUUAAUAAUGAAGUUGGUUCUAUAGAUGUUUUCUAUAAUAAUGUCUUUUAUUUUAAAGCAUUACCUUGUGAUGGUGUGUAUGAAGCUGUAUCUGUUGUAGAUAACUUGGGAAAUAAUGUUUUGUGUAUUGAUUCUACUAAUAAUAACUUGGAUAAAGCAUCUUUAUGGCAUUGUCGUCUUGGACAUAUAAGCAAGAAACGCAUAGGCCAACUCCAAAAGGAUGGAGUCUUGGAGUCGUUUGACCUAAAGUCAGAUGAUAGUUGCGAAUCAUGCUUACUUGGAAAAAUGACAAAGUCACCCUUCACAGGUUCGUGUGAGAGGGGUGAAGGUUUGUUGGACCUUAUACACACGGAUGUGUGUGGACCAUUCAAACAUGCCACAAGGGAUGCUAAUCGUUAUUAUUUGACUUUUACUGAUGAUUAUAGUAGAUAUGGAUAUGUCUACUUGAUCAAGCAUAAGUCAGAGACUUUCGAGAGGUUUAAGGAAUUUAAACAGGAAGUCGAGAAUCAAUUGGGCAGGAACAUUAAGAUGCUUCGAUCCGAUCGUGGUGGUGAGUAUCUUAGUUCAGAGUUCCUCGACUAUCUAAGGGAAUGUGGGAUAGUCUCACAAUUGACACCUCCCAGGACACCACAGUUGAAUGGUGUGGCUGAGAGGCGUAAUCGAACCUUGUUAGAUAUGGUUCGUUCCAUGAUGAGUCGAGCUACGCUACCAAUCUCAUUCUGGGGGUAUGCCUUAGAGACUGCCGCCCAUAUUCUUAAUCUAGUCCCUACAAAGAAAGUUGCCAAAACUCCUCACGAGAUGUGGACUGGUAAAGUACCUAAACUAGACCACAUCAAGAUUUGGGGUUGCGAGGCUUUCGUGAGACGCGAGACUCAUGAUAAGCUCGAACCUCGAAGCGAGAGGUGUAUUUUCAUCGGUUACCCACAGCGAUCCUUUGGUUACCUCUUCUACAGACCUAGUGACAAUGUGGUCUUUGUAGCAAGAAGAGGAGUCUUUCGAGAAAGAGAGUUUAUAAGCCAAGGAGACAGUGGGAGGCAAAUUGAUCUUGAAGAAAUUCAAGAAUCAAGCGGUGAAGGAACUUCAAACUCUAGCCCUCAACUUGAGGAGGAAACUCCUGUUGAGCCAAUUGACAAAUCUGUACCUCUGAGACGUUCCACGAGAGUUAGGAGUGCACCUGAGCAUUACUAUGGAUUCCAUAUUACUGCAGAAGGUGAGACACUUAUUAGUGAUGAGACACUAGUAAGUCAAGAUGACCCUAACAGCUACGAGGAAGCCAUGGCAGGCCCCGAGUCUGCUAAAUGGAAAGAGGCUAUGGAUAGCGAGAUACAAUCCAUGUAUGACAAUCAAGUUUGGAACUUGGUUGAAAAUGUACCAGGUCGUAAGACAGUAGGGUGCAAAUGGGUCUUCAAGAAGAAGACCGACAUGGAUGGUAAAGUACACACUUAUAAGGCUAGACUGGUUGCAAAGGGCUUCUCUCAAAUUCCUGGAGUGGAUUAUGAUGAGACCUUUUCUCCGGUAGCCAAGAUUAAGUCUAUUCGGGUUCUGUUAGCCAUAGCUGCAUUUCAUGACUAUGAAAUAUGGCAGAUGGAUGUCAAAACCGCUUUCCUUAAUGGAAAGUUGGCUGAAGAUGUUUACAUGAGUCAGCCAGAGGGUUUUGUCAGCAACGAGUACCCUAAUAGAGUGUGUAAGCUUGAGAAAUCCAUUUAUGGAUUGAAGCAAGCACCUCGCAGAUGGAAUCUUUGCUUUGAUGAAAAGGUCAAGGAAUUUGGCUUUUCUAGGAGUGAAGAUGAAUCUUGUGUGUAUGUCAAGGCUAGUGGGAGUAUAGUUAGCUUUUUGGUAUUGUAUGUGGAUGACAUACUACUCAUAGGAAACGACAUUCCAACCCUGCAGGAAGUAAAGUCCUGGCUUGGGAAGUGUUUCGCUAUGAAGGACCUUGGUGAAGCUGCCUAUAUUCUAGGGAUAAGAAUCUUGAGAGAUCGGAGUAAAAGACUAAUUGGACUUAGUCAGAGUACCUACUUGGAUAAGGUGCUGAAGAGAUUCAGCAUGCAGGAUUCCAAGAAAGGAGAGUUACCCAUCCAGAGUAACACCAGAUUGAGUAAGACACAAAGCCCUAGCACUGAGGCUGAGAUAGCAGAAAUGAGUCGAACACCUUACGCUUCGGCUGUAGGAUCGAUCAUGUAUGCUAUGACGUGUACUCGACCCGAUGUAGCUUUUGCCUUGAGCAUGGUUAGCAGGUAUCAGGCGAACCCUGGCAAGGCACACUGGACUGCGGUAAAGAAUAUCCUCAAGUACCUACGGAGGACUAAGGACUGGGUCCUUACCCUCGGUGGGAGUGAUGACUUGAGAGUUGUAGGGUAUAGUGAUGCUAGCUUCCAGACUGAUAGGGAUAAUUUCCGCUCUCAGUCGGGCUGGGUCUUUACCCUAAACGGAGGAGCAAUUUCUUGGAAGAGUUCCAAGCAAGAGACAGUGGCAGAUUCUACUUGUGAAUCAGAGUAUAUUGCAGCUAGCGAAGCAGCAAAGGAGGCGAUAUGGCUGAAGAACUUCAUUGGAGACCUUGGAGUUGUACCAGCUAUUAAAGAGCCAAUGGAAAUUUUCUGUGAUAGUGAAAGUGCUGUUGCCUUAGCCAAGGAACCAAGGGAUCAUGGGAGAUCCAGACACAUCGACAGAAAAUACCAUUUCAUUAGACAUCGGAUCGAAGAAGGACUCCUCGUGGCAAAGAGGGUAUCAUCGGAUGAGAACCCAGCAGAUCCCCUCACGAAGGGACUGAGUAGGGUUAAGCAUCUCCAGCAUGCUCGGAGCAUAGGGCUGAAGGAUGAUAUAAGUUUUAGUAGUUAGAUAACCCAGAAAUUUGUAAAGUGUAAUUGACAUUUGAUGAUGAAUAAAAGGUGUUUUAUUUAUGAGUAAAGUGUUGCUAUCUCUUGUCAAUCGUUUACUAUAUUUCUUUUGCAUGUUUUGACUUCCAGAAUAAUUUUGUUUGGUGUAACAUAUUAUUCAAACCUCCACAGUCGGUCAUAUGUCGGAAGUAGGUAUGAAUCAAGACUGUCAUGAUGGGUUGUAGAGGUCUAAGGUGUUGGACAAGGCUACAACAAUCAUGAGUGCUCAUAAGUUCUGAGCAUUGGACUCAACCCACGCUCACUGGAAUCACUUCAUGGAAUUCUAUCUCGAGUGAUCGUGAGACGGUAAUAUCAUAUAAGUCUUCAAACCUAGAGAUAUGAUUUGUUACUUACAAGUUGGUUAUGCAUUGACUGUACGAAACCGCAUUGGUAACUCGAUGUUAUAAAACGUACUUUUGUGUGUAAUUCAAUGAGUGGUAGAACAAACAUAUGAGUCGAAGUUUAUCUGUUCCUUCUUGGAUUAGAAGCUGAUAUCUGGGCCCCUCGAUGAUUUUGUUUUGACCCAUGUACCGGGCCCGGUCAGAACUAAGUUGAUGUGUUCAAUUAAGUUCUAUGUCAAACAAAUCGGAAAUCGGGAAACAAAUGCUGGACAAUAAGCAAGACAAUGUUCCAUGUAUUUGUCCGGCUGAUAUCUAGAACGGAGGAUUAUAUGAUCACUUAUCUUAAAUGGCGUACCAUCAUCUUCUCAGUUCCGAGAGACCUUGAAAGAGCUACGAUUGCCGGUCGGUUCCUGAAGUACUAGAGAUAUAGUUAUUAGACUUAUCCAAGUGGGAGACUGUUGGAUAAGGUGUCUAAGUCCAUAACUAUUUCGGGCUUGUACUUGACCCGACCCGGCAUGGUCCAUUUGGGUUGCAUGGCACCAUGCAAUUGGAUAGACUAAAUGAGAGAAAUAACACUUGGAGAUUAUUAAUAUAUUAUAAGUUCUAAUAUAUUAAUAAUAUUAUUUGAUUAGUUGAUCAAAGAAUUAAUUUGGAAUUAAUUAAGUGAUCAAAGGAUAACUAAUUAAAUAUAUGGGUUGAUUAUGUAAAUCAUCCAUAUCUUGUAUAGUGGGCUAAGAGGCUCCAUGGAUUAUCAAGUUGGGUUCUACCCAUAGGAUGCUCCAUGGAUGCUCCAUGGGAGUUACAAACCCAUGGGUCAUGGAAAUGAAGAGUCAUGACACAUUAGGGUUUACAUGGUGUAACCCUAGAUGUGUCAACACUAUAUAAGAAUCAUAUUCUCCACCAAAAUCGGCUACACUAAGAAACUAGAGGGCUUGGCCGAUUUUGAGAAGUGUGUGUUAUCUCAAGAGUCUUUCCAAGAGCAUUUGGUGUUGUGUGAAGCAUUUGAGGCAUCACACUUGGGGUGCUAGGCUCACAAGGUUUCAAGGAACACAAGCAACAACAAGGUAAGUUAUUCUAUCUAUGAUUCAAGUUAAAAUUGUUCCCCAUGUAUGCUAGAUAGGAAUAUAACCUUGGAAUUCAACUUUGCAUGAUAAUUAGACAAACAUAGAUCCAAGGUUAUUAGGGUUGCAUGUACACUUAGGAAGUGUUAGAAUGCUCAAAACCCAUCAACUCUGCCCAUCAGUCUGCGGAUGGAACGCCGUGCUAAAAUGUAGUCUCGUGCCCAGUUCCUUGUGGAACUUCUGCCAAAACGGGAAGUAAAUCUGACAUCCCGAUCGGAAACAAUGGAAAAUGGGACCCCAUGGCGAGAGACAAUCUCGCGGACGUACAGGUCGGCCAACUUCUCUGCCGAUGAACUCUCCCAUAUGGCUAGGAAAUGGGCACUCUUGGUCAAUCGAUCCACGAUGACCCAUAUAGCAUCAAACCCCUUUUCCGUCUUCGACAACUUCGUGAUGAAAUCCAUCGCGAUCAGUUCCCACUUCCACAUGGGAAUCUCUAGAGGCUGCAGCUUACCGUGCGGCCUCUGAUGUUCGGCCUUGACCAUCCUACAGGUCAAGCACCUCUCAACAAACCAAGCGAUAUCUCGCUUCAUACCAGGCCACCAAUAACUCGAACUCAAAUCACAGUGCAUCUUGGUGGCUCCCGGGUGAAUACAAAACUGAGACUUAUGAGCCUCCUCCAUCACUGUCUGCCGGACCCCUUCGGACAUCGGAACCCAAACCCGACCGUAACGGGUCAACAAUCCGCGGCUAUCCUGAACAAACCGGGCGCUUUCACCCUUAAUCCUUUCCAACUUCCAGUUCUCCGGCCUCAUACCCUCAAUCUGAGCAUCCCUGACCAAACCCACCAGCGGGGAAUCCACCGUUAUCCUCAUACACUUGGCUGGGGGUAAAGGACCCAACUGAAUUACGGCUCAGAGCAUCCACAACUACGUUCGCUUUACCAGGAUGGUAAAGGAUCUCAUAAUCAUAGUCCUUGACCACAUCCAGCCACCUGCGCUGCCUCAUGUUCAGGUUCGGCUGAUUCAUGAUGUGUCUCAAACUCUUGUGAUCCUUGUAUAUAGUACAACGGACCCCGUACAGAUGGUGCCUCCAAAUCUUGAGAGCGAAGACCACCGCUCCCAACUCAAGAUCUUGCGUGGGGUAUCUCAUCUUGUGCGGCUUCAAAUGACUCGAUGCAUAAGCUAUCACUCAUCCCCUCUGCAUGAGGACUGCCCCCAAAUCUGUGAUGGACGCAUCACAAAAUACCACAAAACCCUCAACUCCCUCGGGGAGUGUCAACACCGGCUGAAUAUACUGUUGAGCCCUAGCUGCCGAACAAAACCCUGAUCCCAACCUGGUGCCCUCACCAUAUGUAGUGACAAAGAACAUGGUUUGGCAUGCGGAAUUAAAGCUUGCACAAUUGAACAUGGUGAUUUGGGUGUUUAAGAGAUAUAUUGAAUGUAUAUGGUGUUACAAAAAGGACUAGAUCUAGACUACAUAAUUAACACACACUUACACACUCACUUCUACAUCUCUCAAGCACACCUCUAUAAGUGGACAAACCCACCUUAUAUAGAGGGGUUUACAUGCCUCUCUCUCACUCUAACAAUCAAAUGGGUCUAAAGGCUAAAGCACCACAUGCAAGUGGGUUUUACAAAAGUCAAACAUUUACAAAGUCAUGAAUGAAGAGCUUUGCACCCCAACAUUCUCCCCCUCAAAGUUAGGAAUGAAUCACCCAUUUCAAAUCUUCCAAAAUCAAGCACUACGCGGUUCGAGCCUCAAAGGUGACACAUGUCGAAACGAACUUCAAUCUUCAAUUCUUCCAUGACUCUUCAAUUUGGGCUCUAGGAUGUGAGACCUUACAAACCGAGCAGCAACGAAUGAUUAAGAGUAUUCCAAACUCCAAAUAAUCACCCAAAAGUUGCGCAUAAAAACACACCCCAAAAAUCUUCAAUAAAACCAAACCCAUUUCGAAUACAUCACUUCCGAACAUCCAAUUACAUCAUCUCGUAGGCUUCAAAACUUCAAGAUCACUUCGGUCUUCAAAUCCGCGUAAUAUGAAAAAUUCAAGUUCGAAUUUCCAUAUAAAACUUCUCCCCCUUUUUAUAAUCGAAAUUUGAUUAUAAAACUCCAAAGGAAAAAGAACGUGCUAUAUUCGGAAUUUUUCAUGUCAAAACUCCCCCUUAACAUGUGGCAUAAACUUUGAGCUUCAAUCCGGAAAACCCAAAAAAUAAUCAAUUUGUUUUUCCAUUGCUGUUCAUUGAUCUUGAAGCCCUUAACAUGUGGAAUUUUUCACGGAUCGCCUUUGACAAAAUUUCUCAAAAAUGGGUAGAAAUUGUCAAUUUCAAAAUUCUGCAGUGACCCGUUGCGCCCAAAACAGCAAAAUAUGCAAAACUCUCCCCCUUUUCCAAAUCUGGGUAGAAAGCGUCAAUUUGCACAAACUGCAGGGGCCUGAAAUGCACAAUCUUCAAAUUUUAGCAAAAAAUAGUCCUUUUUCGAUUUUGGGUGAAAACUGCCAAAAAUUCGAAGUCUGAGGGACCAUUUUCGAAAUUCUGCUCUUUGUUCACAAUUCAUACGAAGAUUCCGCAAAUAUUCGAAGCUCCAAAUUUUUUUUUGAAAUCGGGUGAAAAGUGUCAAAUAUUCAGAAAUUGUGUUAAUGUUCGAAGUGCCAAAAAUUCGAAGGAUCAGGGGCCGUUUUCGAAAACUUGCCAUUUCAUCAAAUCAUACGAAGCCUUUUUCCAUUUGUCAACUAUUCAAAACAAUAAGGGCCAUUUUCAAAAAUUCUAUCUUCCUUCUUUUUAAUUCAUAUGAAGACUUUUUGACAAAACAUAUCAAGCAUACGAAGAGUGACUGUGAACAGUAAUGCACAAUGAUACCCUUCGUAUGUUAACCCAGUUCUUCGUUUUUUUUUUCAUCUAUUACCCUUCGCCUUUUGCAAUCCAUUCAUAUACCCUUCGUUCCAAAAUCAUCAAAAUCAAUAGAUCCUUCGUUCAAACACCCUUCGUAUGAAUCUUUUAACAUCUCUUCGUACAAAUCCAAGUUUUUCCCAAACCAACACCAACUUAGUCUUCGAAAAUUAGUAACCCAAACCAAUUCUUCGCUUUUUGGUGUAAACCAUCUGUUCUUACAGUUCUUCUUCACUUCGUACAUCAAUCACCAAAAACCAAUCCUUCGUUCAUUAACCAUGUAAUGCCCUGUCGUCCAAAUUGAUUUCAUUAAAAUCCAAAUAGGCUUCGCUUUUCCAGUUGAUGCCAAUGAACAAACGUGAUCAACCAUUUGAUUUUACAGUUCACUCUUCGAAUCUUAACCCAAAUCGAUCAUUAACCCUUCGUUUUUUCAGUUUAUCCCAAAACUGAUUCCACUACUUUCAUUCUUCACUUUUCAGUUUAACCCAAAACGAACGAAAUCGUUUCUUUGUUCCUUACAGUUCUUCCCAAACUCAUCGACAUCAAGAACAAACACAUCUAUUCGUUCACUACUUCAAUCGAUAUCAACUUAAUCAACACAAAUCAAGCUUGCAAAAUCACAGAAUGAACGGAAUCAACAAACCAAACUUGAUUAUCAACCAUACGAAAUCAAAAUCAUCAGACUUCUCUAUUUAUGUAAACUCGAUUUUGACUUUUUGGUUGACCCUGACAAACAACAAAACUAUUGAUCUUUAAUCCAAUUUUGGAUCAAACACCCAUUUUUAACAUAAAUCGUAACAUUCUUCAACUGUUCUUCAUCGAGUUCUUGACCGAUUUUAUCAAAAUCAAAAACUAAAUUGUUGACUUCUCAACUACAACUCGAUCAUAAUCGACUGAUAAUUAUCCAAAUCAGAUUCAGUCAAUUCAUAAGUUCAGAAUCGCAAAUCGUUGAUCAACUUUCAUAAGCGAAAAAGAAAACUCAAGAACAUUAUGAUUACAAGUCAAAAUAUGUUUGAGCUGAUUACAAGAACAUUAUGGUACAACCGAUAAAAGCGUACGUACAUAUCAAACAAAGAACAACGAAUUUUAGAAUUAAAUCACAUUGGAUGAAUUUUGGGUUCCAUCAAAGAUAUCGGAUAAAAAAAUAUGUAUGGGCUCAAAUUUAAACAUGAACAGUGACAGAUUCGUACAUUGGAUCAUAAACGAACAAAAUAUUGGGCUGUUGAUAACCACACAUAUCGAAAUUAUCAAAUAAGAGUAUGAAUUGGGCUCCAAGUUCAUUUAUGAACAGUAAGAUGUCAAAAUUUUUGGCUAAAUCAAAAUAAAUGGAUCAUAAUGAAUUUUGAGCUCAAAUCUCGAUUCAAACGAACAACUGUAAAAUCGAGUCGAACAAACAAAUAUGAGAUUGGAUCGGACUUUGAUCAACGAAAAAAUUAUUGGAUCAUAACAAAUGGGUUUUCAAAGAACAUUUGAUCCAAUGAGUCAAACGAUCAAAAAUUAAGAACGCAACGCACGAUUCAAAGAGAUUAAGAGAGAUCAUAGAGAGAGACUCACCAAAAUUGAUCAAAUUACGACAAAAUUUGCCAAACCGGGAAUCAUUCUUCAAAUAUCACCUUGAUCUUGAAGACCCGCUCUGAUACCAAUUGUUGUGACAAAAAUACUACAAGUUCUCCCCCACUUGGGGUUCGAACCCCCACCCGCUAUCCCUCAUAGUCGAUCAUGGCGCCAAAACGGCUAAGCCAAUCCAUCCCUACAAUCCCAUAUACAUCCCCCAUGGGGAUAGGAAUCAAAUCUAUCGGGAAUGACACCCCGAAAAUCUCCAACUCGCAUCCCCGGUAGACCGAAGAAAUAGAAACCCCGUGCUCUUUGGCGAUCGAAACUCGCAACGGGCACUCAAGAUCAUCCAUCGGCACACUAAACCCUCUAGUGAAAGUCUGAGAUACGAAUGACCGACUGGCCCCCGAGUCAAACAAAACCAAAGCAGGCAAAGAAUUUACUAAAAACGUACAUAAUCAUAGGUACAACCAAUAAGUACAACACAAAUACGAUAACUGAGACAGAGAAUAGAAACGUACCAGCAACCAUAUCCGGUGCUGACUUGGCCUCCUUGGUCGUGAGCUGGAAGGCACGACCCUGAGCCUUCGGAGGCUCCAACUUAACUGGCCUCCCGUCUCAAAUCAUUACAGUAGCUGGCACAGAACCCUGCACCGACUUCGCGGCGAGCUGCGGACAACUGGUCUUCACAUGACCAACCUGAUGACAAUGGUAACAAAUCCUCAUAUCUGUGGGAGGGGCGGGCUGAUGGUAGCCCUGGCAUAGUGCCCCUCCUUUCCACAUUUGUGGCACCCACUUCCUGCUCUACAAGUUCCCGAAUGAACCCUGCCACACUUUCCACAAGUGCGGCUCUGCUGACCCACACCGUGUAUCAGCGGUCUUAGCCCGCUUAGGCGCCGGCUGAGACUGUGCCGGUGCCUGACGCUGCUCCUUCAGCUGCUGCUCUAUCUCAACUCACGCUGCCUCGCGGCUUCCUGAAGGUCCCGGAGGGUAUCACAACGCUGUGUAGCCACAAACUGCCAUAUAUCCAUCUUAAGCAUACUCAGAUAACGAGUCAUCUGAGACUGUUCUGACGCAAACUCUGGGCAAAACAUAGCCCUCUCAGUGAACAUCCGGGUGAUCUCCAUCACCGACUCCCCAUCUUGUCUCAAUGUCAAAAACUCCUGAGCAAGCCACUCCCAUUCCACGCGCGGAACGUAGCGGGUGCAAAACAUAUCCCGGAACUGCUCCCAAGUAAUAGCAUCCCACUAAUCAUCAGAAUAUGAACCUGUCUUCAAUCUCCACUAGUCCUUUGCCCCGAGCCUAAGCAGUUUCAGAGCACACCUGACCUUCUGGUCAGCAGGACAUGAGCACGUGAAGAAACAGCCCUCCACGUCAGACAACCACCACAUAGCCCUGAUCGCAUCCUGUGUACCAUCAAAUGUCGGGGGCUUCGUAUUAUCGAAGUCCCGAUACUGGAAAGCCCUGCCGGCUCCUCCUCCAACCCCUGCCGCAGUUACAGCCUAAGUGGCUGCAACGACAGCUAUCUCUGCUAGAGCUGCAUAUCGCUCAACAAAAUACUCAACCAUUGCGGUCUUAAUCGACCCAAACAUCUCUGGCAGCUGUGCUCGGAACAUAGCAACAAUCUUGUCUUGCAUGAUCUCCCGGAUCCUGGCAUCCAACUCCUUGGUCCCUAUUUGUACCACGGGCUUAGGUGCUACCGGCACCUCCAACCCUCAGUCUCCCGACCCCGAUCCUGAUCUUGAUCCAGAAGCAACACGUCUCGUCACCACCAUACUGAAAUAUAUAUACAAGUCAUCAAAUAAAUAACAUAAUGUCGGGAGACCAAAACCCACAAACCCUAGGGGGUGUGAUUUCCUUGCUAAGCAUAUGGGUCCUGUGCUUUAAGUAGUACGGGCCCAUACUACCUUCCACACCUACCCAUAUUUGUCUCAAGUAACACCACAACGCCCUAACAAUAUUAUCAACAUAGAAAUGCGCUCAACCCUCACUUCUAGGGGAAUACCAACUAUCUCGCACCUAGUCUCACCACUUAUCAUGACUCACACAUCCAUGAAACUUCCAUCAUCCCCUGCCGCGCCAGUGCAUGCUAGCUGUACGUAACACUGGAACCAAUAGACUUUCGAAUAUCCAAUCCAACCCAAAGGUCGAAUCAACAUUUUCAGGCUAUAAGGUCUUUAUUAUGAACAACCGUGAUGCAUACACUAAAAAUCUACAGUUAUGAUGUCAAUUCCACAUACAAGAAACCCUAGGCUAAUAGGCAUCAUGUAACUAGGCAAAUCUAUCAUGUGAUUCCUGAAGAUCCCUAGCCUAGCACUAGCAUGCUGUUCUAACAUAUCAUAAUAUCAAAUAACUAUAUGGUAUUUUGGGGUUUACUUACAGGCUCCGGCUGAUCGUACCCUCUACAUCCUCCAUCCUUUAUUUUGAAAACCAUUUCAAAAACUUACUUUCUGAAAAUCUCCUUGAUUUGAGACUGAAUUCACACGAGAGUUCCUCCAAUUCACUCAAACCAAGGCUUUGAUACCAACUUGUAACAUCCAUAAAUUUUACGCCAAAUUUAAACUUUUCAAUCAUAAAUAAAAACCAAAUAGCAUUGUUUACAAAAAUGUUUUCGAAUCAUUAUCCAUCAUAGUGUCACAAAAUCAUAACAUAAGGAUGAGGAGUGGUACGGUCACGCCUUCGCCACUACAAGAAAAAGACCCUUUUACGACGCGCAAGCAACGACACUCGGAGAUUUAUGUUACGCAAAAGAGAGUGACGUUAAAAAAAAUGUUAUCUCUUUAAAAAAUUUAAGAAUUUAGGUUGCACAUUAUUGCGUGCCCUUAAAUUAGUGUCUCAUGUAAAAAAAUUAAAAACACGAAGGGCACUUUAUCUAAAAGGUGCGCCGUCUAUGAAUGUCGUUUUAUAUUUUUUUAAGGAACGCGCUUCUCCUUAGAGGGAAAAUGAAAUCUCCAAAUUUUUUAAACCCCCACCUUCUUCUCCCUCGUCUCCACCCCCUAAUCGAAGCUACCAGUUGAACAACCCCUAAUCCACACCACCACCUUCUCGUCUCUCCUUCUCCACCAGGUUUUCUCUCAUCUCUAUCCUCCACCUUCUGGAUUGUAAAGGCGUCAUUUUAUAAUUCUUUUACCAAACGCACAUCCAUUAUCCUCAAUUACAAAAGGCGUCCAAAUCUAGGGGUUUUUUUUCAAGAAGAAACCAAACGGGAGUGCUCUCUUCAACAUUCGAUACCUCCGCUCGCCCCACCUGCUGGCGACCUUGGUUCUUAUAUCCUCCCAGUUUUUUGCGUUCUUCUUUCAGAAAUUUAAUCGAACAAGAUCUUGUGCCAGGCAGUUAAUCUAACGAUGGCGACAUUUUGAUUUUGAUCUCAAAAUACAUCAAAUACGAGCUUAUGUUGGAACUGAUUACCUAUAUAUCUUUUCCUUUAUGGGAUAAAUACAUCGAAUACGAGUAACAACAACAAUAGUGUUCCAAUCUUGCAUUGAUAUACACACACGGAUAUCGGAGCAUCCUAAUCAGCAAUUGGACCGCUAUUAUAACAGGUGAUAUACAAUUUUUUACGUAGAAGAGCCUCUAGCUUUUGUUAGGUCCAAAAUAAACUAAACAUGGUCAUACUCUUUCCUACAGUUUACAGCUUUAGGGAUUAAUAGCAAGUCGCCCUUUAUCUGAACUAAAAACCGCUGAGGAAGUUGCAGCUGCAACAAAUUCUAAAGACGAAGCCAAUAUUGAAGAAAAUGAAUGGGAAUUUCAUCCGGAUGCAGUGGAAAAACCUUCUAAACCUGUAAGUGAAGGCGUAAUAGAAGCUGAAGAGGUGGAGUCUUAUAUUGCCAUUAGAGAAGAGCUGUACAAGAAGGCUAAAGAAUUUGAUUCAAAGAUUAUUGAUUUUGGGACUGCUAUCAGAAGACCCUACUUGCAUAAGGUUUUUAACAUUUUUUUUGAUAAUGUAUACAGAGGCAACCGGAGAUUCACUUAUUCACUUGAUCUUACUUGUGAACUUUGAAUAUGUGUGGGUCCGAAGGGCUUCAUAUGGACGGAAAAGUGAUAUAGGAUAACGAAAGGAAUAUAACUGUUAACAGUUGAUCAAAAUCAAAAGAUACAAUUGGUAUUCUUUGUUUAGGUUUUGUUACUGCUUAAUAUAUAACUUCUGCAUGUUAAUUGCCACAGAGACGACAACCUUUAGGGUUUGCGUUAAGGUUGAUUGUUACAGAGAUAUGGAAACUUUAAUGAGAAAGCUUAACUGAAGAACUUAUAAAACGACUAGAGUAUAGAGUUUCCUUGGCUGAUGAAUGGAUUAUCUCUAAUUAUGUAGCAGGUACUCCACACUCAAACAAACACUGAUAUAGUUUCGUAGGCUUUCAAGUUUCAAUAUUGUAUUCCUAUUUAACAUACUGAGUCUACUCUUGCAAAAGUUGUGGCGAAUUUUUUUUUCUUCAUGCAACUGUAUCACAAAUAUAGCUAACUGGAAAUAUUAUUAUGAUUAGGUUAUCUAGUUCUUCAUUUAGACCUCUACUUGUAUUGCCUAGUUAAAAUAUAUAACUUUUAGCACUUUUUGUGUUUAUUUGGACUGAUUAGAUGUUACAUGGUUGAGAAUUUGGAACUGCUAUCACCUUUGUAUGGUUACCUUGGUUGUUCACGGUUGUUAUCUUCUAUACAGGUUUAAGAUACAAUCAAUCACCUAUUUACUAUGGGUGAUAGUGAAACAGUUGUUGCUCAAUCAUCAGCUAUCCAAGAGCAUCCAUCAACUACAGUUAAUAGAGAUUUGGCUGCUUCUACAGGUAUCGAUACCAUGGAUGUAGACAAUGUCAUUCCUCAUGAGGAUGAUCGAGCAUCCAUCCAGGUAGUAUCUUACUGCUGCUAUAGCAACCCCCUAUGUUCUUUAGAGUUCUUGGGCAUAAACUUCCUCUUUUUGGUUCAUAUGGUGGCUUUUUUAUAUAUAUUAGUAGAAAACCAUGUUACACAUCACCCAAAAAACAAAAUGAAAAGAAACUGAACAAAAAACUAUGAGUUUUGAUUUAUGUUAUAGAUAAUAACGGGCAUUUGAUUACUUAAUAGUUUUUAGAAUCAGUCGGGAGUCUUUCCAAGAAUUCAGAAAGUUUUCAAGAAUCAAAAGCUACAGAGUCUUCUUUGCACUUUUUGAAUAGCAACUAGCAAAUCCCUUCUAUCUUAAUGUUCUUUAUAUAACUUAUUUGCUGCAUGAAAUCUUUUCUUAAUGCAUAAGAAUUUCAUGCUUUCAGACUUUACUUACAUGGUUGCUUUUUAUAUCAGGCAUCACCCGAACAUUGUUCUAUUGCUUUUUAUCAAGAGGGGUAAGAACUAAGAAUUACUUUCUUAUUUUAUCUUUUUCUGUUAUUUUUUCAAUCUGAUAAUUUAUAUAUAUUUAAAAUGACUUGUGAUAUUAAUUUGUCCAAUAACUUUUGAUGAGCAUGUGCGUAGGGGUAAAACGGGAAGAGGAAAUGCUCGGGAGAUGGGCUUUGAGAGUUUCCUUGACUUUGUUCUAGCCCUGGAAAACAAAGACACUCCAGAGGGAAUUACAUAUCUUUAAUGAUGUUUAGAUCUUAAUGGAAGAGGCUUCUUUACAACAGCUGAUAUUCACACCCUUUUCAGGUAUAACUAAUUAUUAUUAGGAAAUAGGAAAUUGAAAAUUGGAAGUAAAGGAGGGGAGCAUUUAAAGUUUAAAUGUUGCCUGAUAUACCCUUCCUACAACAAAAAAUAAAAAUGAAAAAUCUCUGCUUUUCCUACUUGUUGCACGCGAGACACGUCUGCAAGCCUCUUGACUAUGAGAUACAUAUUUUCACCAUAUAUUAGUAAUAAAAAAAUAAAAAAAUGAUUUGAUAAUUGAUUGGUACACUACACUACAGGGAUGUGCACCAAAAUUAAAUUUAUUUACUAUUAGUGGAAUUCAAGAUAUGUACAGGAGUGUUUGUUGCCUUUAUAAUUGGUACAAUGCUAACAUGGAGGACCUUGGCAUUGACAGGUUUUAAAUUAGUCUAAAUUAUAUUUAUUUACUACUAGUGGCAUUCUUAUGGAUAAAGAAAAUAAAAGGUGAUGAAUUCUAGUGUUCUGUUUGCAGGAUUAAUCCCUUGUGCUGUUCUAUUAGUGGGACUUUUCUUUGUACCAGAAUCUCCUAGAUGGCUGGUAUGUGAAGUAUCAUGAUUCAUGAAGCUGUUUAAUUUAUCUUCAAGAAAUUAUGUUUGACAUCAUGCAUGCAGGCAAAGAUUGGAAGAAAGAAAGAGUUUGAUGCAGCCCUAAGAAAACUUAGAGGGAAGGAUGCUGAUAUAUCUGAGGAGGCGGAUGAAAUCCAGGUGUUCAUUUCAAAGCUCUCAACUUUUUUUCUUAUUUUUGUUAACGAAUAAAAAUUAUAGAAUUCUUUUUAUGUGUUAUCAAUGGGGUCUUGAAUAUGUUGAUAGGAUUAUAUAGAAACACUACAAAAGCUCCCGAAGGCCAAAAUAUUCGAUUUGUUUUAGAGAAGAUAUUUGCGAUCUGUCACUGUAAGUUUAUUUUCUUGAUAACUCUUGUUGGCUACUUUAAAAAAAAGAUUUUUAUAAUUGUAGUCCGAAUCUUGUUUUGACCAUACAUGGUACUUUUUUUUUUUUUCUGUAAUUGUAGUCUGAAUCUUGUUGGCUACUUUAAAAAAAGAUUUUUCUAACUUGCUCCUGGACGUGAUUGUGCUAUUGAGUUUGAUCUUGGAAGUGGAAGCUAUAAUGUAACUUGCUAUUGCUCAUACAACUUUUGUUGGAAUGUGAGUAUCAUAAUUCAUGCAUUUUUAUAAAAGUUUAAAAUAUUAGUUUAUGUUUUUUCUAUAUAAAAGAUAAAAUAUUUUUGUUGCUAUUGUUGUAGUGUACAAAAGAAACUCAUCGCCUUGUGGACUGUGAAACUGUGUCCAAAUGGAUUAUGAAGAAAAGUGCAGAGUCUGAAAAUAUGAAUUGGUAAAGGUCUAAAUUGCCCCUUGGCAGGUAUGCUGAUCGAAUUGCUAAUGCUAAAUGGGAAGUUAAAGAACAUGGAAUGGAACGCAAAGGUGAUUAUUUUUAAUUUUAGCACCAAAUAUUUUAAAAUAUCAUUUUUUUUAUGUUAAAUCAUAACUAUAACUCAAGGUGCUAUAUCUUUUAUCUGUUGUUUGUAAUGUUGAUAUGAUAACAUUAGUUAAUAACAUAUUUAUAUAACAACUCUAUCAGUUAGCUAAAACUGAUUAUGUCAUUAAUAUAUUAAAUUUCAUAAUUAUUAUUUAUUACAUUAAUGCUUUUAAUAUGUUCUUUAGUUGCUUACACCAUCAGUUCUCAAUGGUCGAUUAGUUAAUGCCCACCAACAUCUCCUAGCACUAAGGAUAUCAGAUUAUCUUGGAAUACACCAAGUUCUGUGAUAUUUUCAAUACCAAUCAUAAGGAGGAAUUACAAUAUGGUGUUAUGGAAGGAGUCAAUCUCUUAGGGAAGUAAUGGAGCCAAAAGAAGGUAGUCUACUCUAGGUGCAGUUUGUUAUUAUUCUAUUGGUGAUUUGAAGCAUGGAGUUGAUUCCUCCUGCAAGUGAAGUUACUUAGUUGGAAUUUGAUGUACAUAGUAGAUUAGAUGCAAAUUUAUUUAUUGUAAGAAAUAGAAUUGUAUGACAUUAAAUUUAAGCAAUGGAUUCUAUUUUUUGUAUAUAAUAUUUUAUUUUCAGUUAUGAAACAUUAAAUACAAAUUUAAUUAGAAAAUAAGUAAACCUAUAAAGAUUUUUUUUAAACAUUUAAAAUUAUGAUACGCAAAAAUGUGUGUCAUCUUCAUUUAUGACAUGGCCUUUCUUGACAGGGGCUUUCUUAAUACGCAUUACGUGUCAUUAACACGCGCGGCGUAAGGUUACGACACGCGAAUGCGUGUCAUCUUCCUUUAUGACAGGGUCUUCCUUGAUACGCAUUGCGUGUCGUAAACGCACGUCGUAAUUGCGCGUCGUAAAUGAGCGUCGUAAAUGCGCGUCGUCUAUAAACGACGCGCAAAAGCGCGUCGUCUCUCUUUAUGACAGGGCCUUCCUUGACACGCAUUUGCGCGUCGUCUGAGCCUUUUACGACGCGCAAUGAGCGUCGUAAAAGGCUGUUUUUCUAGUAGUGCGCCCUAGCGGCAUAUCACACACACUCUUGUUUCCGCAGUUAUGAGUUCAUUAUGGGAUUGAUACUUUGAUAUUUUGGUUGUUUACAUGUUGUGGAUUUCAAAUUUGGGUUUUCGAUGUGAAAUGGUUUAAUUGAACAAUGUUUUNGGCCAUCGGCCUGACUGGACCGCCCUGCGGGGCCUACAGUCUAUCUGGAUCUAUCCCGAGCCUUCGGCAUGACUGGUUCGCCACGUGGGCCUACAGUCUCCCCGGACCGCUCAUAGGGUGUGUGGGCCUUCAACACAAAACAGGAUCGCCUCAACCCAACCAAAAACAAAUAACUAUGUGCGCAUAACUAUCAUAUACUGGCAUAUACAAACAUCAAGCAUAUCUAUCACUGGUCAUCAAUCAUAGAAUUCUCUCAUAACUAGAGUACCGUCCUAGCAGGUCACUAACAUACCAAUCCCUACGGAUCAUAAGAGCAUAGCAUACUGUCUACCCUGAUUCCGAUCUAACAGAUCAUAACCACAUAUAGCAUACCAUAACAAUAACAACUAAAGGGUCGGCCUUGGUGCCGUAGACCCUAUCGAUAUAGUGAGGGUAACUCACCUCAGAGAUGUCGACUCGGAAAGUAAACUCCAACUCCCGGAUCACUUGACACAAGCCCCACUACCUAUAGCACAAUAUACUCGUAAGUCCUUAACCUUAUAAGGUACUCCAUAACCUACUAGUCAACCCCUGAUCAAAGUCAAAGUCCUUAGUCAAGGUCAACAAUCCAUGUUGACCUCGACUCGUCGAGUUCCUUGAAACACAUUCCAACUCGCCGAGUCAUCAGGGUGACUCGUCGAGUUCCUUUGAUUCUCGAUGAAACUUUAAGGCCACCCGUCGAGUUCCCUCCUUGCAACUUGACGAAUACACACGCAUACAUAUCCAGGAGAAAACUCAUCCGCCUCGCCGAGUUGUUCUUCAACUCGUCGAGUCUAUGGAAAUCAUCAUCGGACUCUCCGAGUUGUUCAUCCAACUCGUCGAGUUCACAACCAUCUUUAUGUGACUCGCCGAGUCCAUUCAGUCCUUUUCCCAUACAGACCUAUUUUGAGUCAUGCAACGGCUCCAACUCACAGAUCCAAGCUUCUAGGGCAUGCUCAAAAGGGACCUUAAUCACGAGGCGAUCCUGUUUUGUGUUGAAGGCCAAGUUUCUAGGGCAUGCUCAAUAGGGACCUAUUUUGAGUCAUGCAAACUUUACGUGCAUGCAUGGCUUUAUAGGCUCCAAAUGCCAAAUCUAAGCUCUUAAUGGGGCUUCAUGCUCAAUAGGGACCUUAAUCACGAUCAAAACUGUAACUUUAUGUUUCUAGAAUCCAAAGAGGGUCCGAUCUGAAGUUACAACUUCAAAUCUAGCCCAUAGCUCAUCAUACCAACUUGAUAUUCCAAGAAAACCCUAAAACUCAACCAAUAGAGGAAAUUUAUAAGGAAAAUGACGGUUUGGGUACGUCUGGAAGAUUAUAUCUGAGAUAAGUAUUGAUUUCCACACUCUAAAUGCUCCAAUCUCCUUCUCCUCCACGUCUUCUCCUUCCAAAGAUCCUCUUUUCAAGCUUCAAACACACACAAGGCACCACACACGAAUAAGGGAUCUCAAGGACUCUUUAGAACUGUAAAGAGGUCCAAGGGAGGCUAAGGCCCCUUUAAAUAGGGGUACAAACCCCGAGAUUUAGGUUUUCAUCUGCCUGCUCCUACUCGCCGAGUCCCAAUAUGGACUCGUCGAGUAGGUCACUUAACACGGGAUCCCACCCCCGCUGCUACUCGACGAGUAGGGCAACCUACUCGUCGGGUAGAGCUUAACCCAAUACAUCUUAUUUAAAACAAUACCUGAGAAUUGGGGCAUUACACAAUAACGCGUCCUUUAGAUAAGGGAUCAUGUAGUCCUCCAUUCUCAAGAUAUCGUGUGGACAAAGACAUGGAAUAAAGUCAUACUCAUUGUCUAAUAGUUUGUUUCCCGAUUUCUGAUUUGUUUGACAUAGAAAUUAAUUAAACACAUCAAUUUAUUCCUGACCGGGCCCAACACAUAAGUCAACACAAAAUCAUCGAGGGGCCCAAUAUAUCGCUUUUAAUCCUCUUAGGAUAAAAGGAAGAGAUAAUCUUUGACUUAUAUUCUUGUAGUAUUUACUUCUUAAAUCGUACAAAAUAAUACGUUUAAUAACAUCAAGUUAUUGAUGCGUUUACACACUAUCAAUGCACAACCAACUUGUAAACAAUAACUAAUAUAUCUCGGUUUAAAGACUAUGCUAUUAUCGUCUCACAAUCAUUCAUGAUAAAUUCCAUCAAGUGAUUCAUAUGAGCUUGGGUUUAAUCUAAUACUCAAAUAUUAUUUCAGGAGCACUCAUGAACAUUGCAACAAACCUUUGCUAUGUCCAAACACUUAUACAAUCUACAAACCAAUUCAUGAUAGUCUAACCUCAUAGCCUACUUCCAAAGUAUGAUCGACUGCGGAUAAUUCGAAUAAUCCUAUUAUUCUGGAAGUCAAAACAUGAAAAAGUGAAACAAUAGUAAACAAUUUACACAAGAUAGUAACUUUACUCAUAAAAAAAAACCUCUUUAUUUAAUCAUCAAAUGUCAAUUACAUUUUAUCUAUUACAAGUUUCUAAACAAUUAUCUAACCACUGAAACUAAUAUCAUCCUUUAGACCAAUGCUCCUCACAUGCUGUAAGUGCUUAACCCUGCUUAGACCCUUUGUGAGGGGAUCUACUGGAUUCUCCUCUGACGAUACCCUCUUGAACACGAGGAGUCCCUCCUCUACCUGAUGUUUGAAGAAGUGGUAUUUUCUGUCGAUGUGUAUGGAUCUACCAUGAUCCCUUGGUUCCUUGGUUAACGCAACUGCUCCUUCGUUAUCAUAGAAAAUUUCCAUAUGCUCCUUUAUGGCUGAUACAACUCCAAGGUCUCUGAUGAAGUUCUUCAACCAUAUUGCCUCCUUCGAUGCUUCGCUCGCUGCUAUGUACUCUGAUUUGCACAUUGAAUCAUCUACAGUCUCCUGCUUGGAACUUUUCCAAGUCACUGCUCCUCCAUUCAGGGUAAAUACCUAGCCCGACUGAGAGUGGAAGUUAUUUCUGUCGGUCUGAAAACUAGCAUCACUAUACCCUAUCACUCUCAAAUUUUCACUUCCACCAAUUACAAGGACCCAAUCCUUCGUCCUUCGUAGAUACUUAAGAAUGUUCUUUACUGUUAUCCAGUGAGCUCUACCAGGGUUCCUUUGAUAUUGACUAACCAUGCUCAAAGUAAAAGCCACAUCAAAACGAGUAGACGUCAUAGCGUACAUGAUCUAGCCAACGACAAAAGCAUAUGGUACUCGACUAAUUUCCACUAUCUCGGCAUCGGUACUCGAACUUUGAGUCUUACUCAAUUUUGUAUUGCCCUGGAUUGGUAACUCCCUUUCUUGGAAUUCUCCAUGCUAAAACACUUUAUCCAAGUAAGUACUUUGACUAAGUCCUAUUAGUCUCUUACUCGUAUUUCUCAAUAUCCUUAUCCCUAGAAUAUAAGCAACCUCUCUGAGGUCCUUCAUAGCGAAACACUUCCCAAGCCAGGGCUUAACCUCUUGCAAAGUUGGGAUGUCGUUUUCUAUGAGUAGUAUGUCAUCCACAUACAAUACCAAGAAGCUAACUAUACUCCUACUAGCUUUGACAUGCACGCAGGACUCAUCCUCGCUUCUUGAAAAACCAAACUCUUUGACUUUCUCAUCGAAACAAAGAUCCAUCUGCGAGAUGCUUGUUUCAAUCCAUAAAUGGAUUUCUCAAGCUUGCACACUUAGUUUCGGUACUUUGCAUCCACAAAACCCUCUGGCUAAUUCAUGUAAACAUCCUCAGCCAACUUUCCAUUAAGGAAAGCAAUUUUGACGUCCAUCUGCCAAAUUUCAUAAUCAUGAAACACAACUAUGACUAGCAUAACUCUUAUAGAAUUGAUGUUGGUCACUGGUGAGAAGGUGUCGUGAUAGUCAACUCCCGAAGUUUGAGUGAAACCCUUCGUAGCUAGUCGUGCCUUGAAUGUGUCCACUUUCCCAUCCGUGUCGGUCUUUUUCUUGAAGAUCCACUUACACCCGACCGUCUUACUACCUGUUAUAUUGUUAACCAAGUUCCUAACUUGAUUUUCAUACAUGGACUGAAUCUCGUUGUCCAUCGUCUCUUUCCAUUUUGCAUACUCUGGGCCUGCCAUGGCUCUCUUGUAGUUGUUAGGUUCAUCCAUAUUUAUUAGUGUACUAUCACUAAUAAACAUAUCACCUCAGCAGUUAUAUGGAAACCAUAUAACACGGGCGGAUCACUAACUCUAGUGGAACGUCUAAGAGGUAAGGACUCGUCGAGUCCCACUAUGGACUCGUCGAGUUCAUCUGUCAGGGGCCAGAAAUCGAUUAUUUUCAGCUUUGAACAAUUAACCAUGACAUCAAAUACAACAUAAAAACAGCCUAGGCUCUGAUACUACUGAUGGUUUUUGAGCACUACAACAUUCCUAUGGUGUACAUGCAACCCUAAUGCUUCGUAUCUAUGUUUUUUUCAAGUUAUAUAUGCAAAUCAAAUCAUCCAAAGCAUGAACCCUAACUAGCAUAAAAAUUUGGAAAUUUGUAACAUAAAACAUAGUUAGAAGAAUACUUUUUCCUUGUAGCUUGUUGAUCUUGACCUUCAUGAGCUUAGUGCCUUAAUUCUUGCACCUCGAUUGAGUCACAAACACCAAGUAGCAAGUUGGAAGAAUAUGAGAGAGGCUAGGAGGCUCAAAAUCGUCUAGGGUAUUCUCUUAGAAGCAAGUGGUUGAUUCCAAGGUGUCAUCGGGUCUUUAUAUAGAUGUGCAAUUAGGGUAUUUGAUUGAAACCCUCAUUCUCUGCUUAGGCCUUAAGUAAUCUAGUAGAUCCUUCCAGAAGGUCUCUUAUGGACAAAAUCUAUGUGGGCUAUAUAUAGGAUUUCAUCCAUCCCUUCUUAGGGAUCCACAAGCCCAAGUUUGCAACUAGCAUAUAAUUGCAAUAUCAGUCCCCAUAAUUUAAUCAGUCUCUUUUGAUCACAAAAAUAAUUCCAAAUCAAUUCCUGAUCAAUACUAAUUAAAUAAUAUGAUUUCUCAAUCAAUAUAUCAUUCUUAUAAUAUAUUAAUAAAUCAAAAUUAACCUCUUUCUCCAUAAUUCAUCCAGUCAAGUUGCUAUGGUGAAGGCAACCCAAAUGAACCAUGCUACUAUUAGGUCAAGUACAUACCAAUUAUAGUUAUGGGCUUAGACACCUAAUCCAACACGGGCUCCUUAGAGCUUUCAGGUCUCUCCUUGUCUCGGGUACAAGUCUUGUGCUUUUAGUAGUACGGGCCCAAUACUACCUUCCACACCUACCUGUACAUUCCCCCAAGGCCAUACCUGAUACCUCUAAUUCACCAAAACAUAGAUAAAACAUGACAUACGAAACACAACACAUAUCCUAGAAUCCUUGGGGAUUUCUCAAUCCUCAUAGAACCAGAAGUCUCAAUCAACACCGCAGGUUGCCUUAUGCAUGCAAGUUAUACAUACAUAUAAUCACAUAGACUGUCAAGUGAAGUUUCUACCCUAAGACCAAAAUGAAGCAAGGAACAAGAAGUAAGGAAGAAUCCAUCGUUCUAGGGCUAUGAAAUCCUACACGUAUACAACUUUGAAAGAAUACACUUAGCAAAUAACAAAGACAACAUCGAUUUCAAGCAUUAUAUUCAUAGCAUUGAAUUCUAGCUAGUAGGCUACAAGGCAUCACACAAAUCAGACAAUUCUCAUAACUCCUGAAGGUAUCCUUAGCCCUAUUCUAGCAUGCAUUUCACACAUUAACAUACUGGUUGUAAUUCAUAAGCUUGGUUAAAUUUUUGGAAACACUUACUUGAGCUUGGCCGAUUGCGUGCAUUGCACUCUCCCUUUUUACUUAAGAAAACCGGUUUAAGAAAAAAUUUACUUUUGUUUAUUUUUUAAAAAGGGUUACCAUUUCCUUAGUUUGAGUUCUGACACACCUUCGAGUGUGGCCGAAUUUCUCAAACCAAGGCUAUGAUAGCAACUUGUAACAAUCCAAAAAUCUAGAUAAAAAUUUUCAUUUUUUUAAAAAUAGAAAUUACAAUCAUAAUUUGUUUAUGAAAAUCCAUUACAUGAUUUCAUAUCAAAAUAUCAGAGUAUCGCUAUCGAUAAAUGAGGAAAUUCUUGGGAGUGAUGUUGCGCCAUCAAGCUGGUCCAUUCCCAUCAAUACCAGAAGUACCUAAAAACACCCAAAUAAACUAUAAGCAAAAUGUAACAUCCCAAAAAUACAGGCAAAAAAUUUCAUUUUUAAAUACAUUAUUAUAACACCAGCAGUAUAAUAAGACAUCCAUAAUAUCAUGUCAUGUCAAAACUAAAGUAGAAAUAAUCAAAACAUGUUAUAAUAAAACAAUAUCAAGGUGUAAUCUCAAAGAUCUCAUGUGCGGAAAACCAUAGCGUGAUGCACUGUGAUCAAGCCGACUCCUUUCCUUUAAAAACGAGUACCUGAAACCAAAACUGUAAACCGUAAGCAUGAAGCUUAGUGAGUUACCCCAUCAUACCACAUACCAUACAACAUACAUGCUACGAAGCAUAUCUGGGUGUUGACAUACCCCUUUGGUAACUUUAACCGAUAUCCGGGGACUGUUUCACCCCUAUCACUACCACAUAAUAACAUAGCAUAACAUAUAUAAAUAUACUGUCAUGCAUAUAUGGGUGCCCGACCUACCCCUUCGGUAUCUUUCAACCGGUAACCGGGAGCUAACCUCCCCAUCGGUAUCUUUCAACCGGUAACCGGGAGCUAACUACCCCUUCGGUAUCUUUCAACCGGUAACUGGGGACUAUUUCACCCCUACCACUACCACAUAAUAACACAACAUAAUGUACUGCAAGGCAUGCAUGGGUUCUGACGAUCCCUUCGGUAUCUUUCAACCGGUAUCCGGGGACUAAUAUUUCACCCCUAAUACUACUAACUCAUAUAACAUAGCAUCCUAGAACAUAGAGCAUAUCAGAUAGUUGUAAACUAGACAAUUAUCACAAAGACAAUCAUCUCAUACAUAGUCACCUACUAGUGGGUCAGCAUUGGUGCCUUAGACUGUCACACCCCAAAACCGAGAACGGCGGAAAUGUUCUGGGGCGGAGGACGUCAUGUAUAAUAUCAACAACAAUGUAAAGUAGUAAACAAGCAACAACAUCAUCCAUUGCAUUAAUAAAAUAAUUAUUAUACAAUUGUAUUCUGUCAAAUUUUGAUAAACACUAAAGCAUAAAUCAAAAUGAAAGAUAAGUCUUGAACAAGCUCCAUCUUCCUUUCUCCUUGCAUCGGUACCUGUCUAUGAUGACCUGAGGAUACAAGUAAUUUUGAAAGCGAGUAUCAGCUUUAAAGCUGGUGAGUUCAUAAGUAUAUAAGUGUCAUUGCCUUGUUUGUGAAAAGCUGUUAUGAAGGCCAUGAAAACCUUUAAAUGAAAAUGUUGAGGUAAGUAUGAAAUCCCUAGAAAAAACCCUUAUUUUCUAUAAGUAUGAAAUGUAGUCUUCUACUAAGACCCGAAUGUUCUGUACGUAUGAAGUGUAGUCUUCUACCAAGACCCGAAUGUUUUGUAAGUAUGAAGUGUAGUCUUCUACCAAGAACCGAAUGUUCUGUUUGUAAAAUGAUAGUUUUCCCUUUGUAUUGACUAGUACUAAAAGUGCUUAGUCUAACUCAUCGUCUAUGUGAAUGCAUCACAAAAUAAAGUAAACAGGAAAAUGUACUACUGUAAGUGUUGUCACUGGGUACUAGGACCAACACAGCCUAGGUAAAUAUUAUCCCGAGGUACUAGGGUUAACACUACCUAAAAAUAAAGUAAACAGGAAAAUGUACUACUGUAAGUGUUGUCACUGGGUACUAGGACCAACACAGCCUAGGUAAAUAUUAUCCCGAGGUACUAGGGUUAACACUACCUAAAAAUAAAGUAAACAGGAAAAUGUACUACUGUAAGUGUUGUCACUGGGUACUAGGACCAACACAGCCUAGGUAAAUAUUAUCCCGAGGUACUAGGGUUAACACUACCUAAAAAUAAAGUAAACAGGAAAAUGUACUACUGUAAGUGUUGUCACUGGGUACUAGGACCAACACAACAUCGCAUUAAGCGAAAUGUAUAACCUAAUGAACAUCCGAAGAUUGUCCAAUUGUCCUCUGUAGCAGCAGCAGGUGGGUGGAAGGGUUAGUCCCAAAUCGAUCUUCCUAAUAUAAGUAGUAACCUUAGACCUCCGUAGAUGGUCAUCGACCACUGGUGCUAAUCAGUGGGGUUCGGAAUGGUGAGUCCCGCCUAGAUAUCCCAUUGAACCGGGAUAGGAAAGAUAAUUUACACAGAAAGUACUAAUAAAUUAUCCUCUUAGUUCUAAGUACAAGUAUCCAGGUAAGUGAAUACAGGAUAAUGCACCUAUGUAAAAGUGUUCCUGUAUGGCAUUCAUGUAUGUGCGUCCAUGUAACAGGUAAGUAUAUGUGAACAUAUUCAUGUAUCAGGUAAGCAUCUGUAAGUACUCAUGUAUCAGGAAAUGUACUAGUAUAGACUCAUGAAUGAACUGACUCUUGUGUGAUUCUUUGUAAUAGAAAUAAUGUUUGAUAUCUUCAAAUUAUCCCUAUGAUAAUUUACUGUAAUAUAACUGGAUGAUCAUGUAGGUUUAUACACUCUUACUACUCAAGGGUGUGGGAAACUAAAUGAAAGAUGUAAACUAUAAACUCAAUACAUAUAUAAGAAUAUAAGUGUAUAUGCAUAGUUUAGUUCAAGAAUGUAAAAAUGGUUUUGUAAGACCUCUUAUGGGUUUUGAACAAUAAUUAACAAUGACUUGAUGUCAUUUUAAUAAACAUUUCAAAGGUAAAACAUUUGGUAACAAUGUGUUUUUAAUAUGUAAAACCAUUUCAUGCAUCACAUUUUGUAGCAUGUGAAAUCCGUUAAAUGACAAACAUAGUUAUAAAAUGCAUAUCAAUGAUUCAAUAACAUGUAUGUUUCUACUUGUAUUCCCCCCAUUAAAGCAUUUAAAAUCAUUUAAAAUAUUGAUUAGGGGUAUGAACUCACUUGAUUGAAGUGGUUGAUUUGAAAUAGUCCAGAGAAGAAUCAAGCAGAACUUCGACAGGAAGAGCUGAAAACGCGGGAAAAUCUCAGGAUUCUCGGGAAUCUCGGGAAUCUCGAGAACACAAAACCUUCCUUCGGGACUUGAAGGUGAAAACCGGGGCUUUGGGAGGGUCUCGGGGGCUUAAACGCAGAGUUUCGGCGCGAGAAAGAAAGGAACUGAGCAAUGGAACUCGGAGCCCUUGAAAUCUAUUUAUAGGGGCAUUUUUGGGGUGUGCCACGUCGUGGCAAGUGAUGGCCACGUCGUGGGGAGUCAAACCUAUCCUCUUCCAUUGAUUGGACGCCCUCAGUCACUUGCCGGGUCGCGGCAAGCUUGUGCCACGUCGUGGGGCCUGACAGCAUCGGAUUUUGGGCCCCGAACUUGUAAAAUCCAUAACUUUCGCAUACGAGCUCCGUUUUCGACGUUCUUUAUAUGCACACAUAGCUAAAAAUAUGAUCUACAAAUCUCGUUUAGACUUCAAUUGCAAAUUUUGACUUUAUUUUUAAUUAUUUAUUUUUAACGGGUCGGGACACGAAAAGUCUGUUAAAAAUCCAUAACUUCUUCAUCCGGUGUCCGUUUUCGUCAGACUUUUCGCCGUUGCGCUACUAAUGUUGAGACCUUAGAUUCUCAUUUAGGUUGUUUUGGCACNUUUGGUCAAAAGUAUCUCGAGCUCUAUUUCGAGUUUUUAGCUGUCUACUGCUAUACUCGAAUCUUGGAAAAAUCAUAACUUUCUCAUACGAAGUCAGAUUUGGACGUUCUUUUUAUGUACGCUCACGGUUUGAGGUUAUCUAUAACUUUCAUUUAGAUACUUAAGGCUAAAAACUAUUGUAUUGAAACUUCGCGUUUUUCGUUUAAUCGGUGUUGUCGGUUUUGCCGAGAAUCUUCGGUUGGUCAUAACUUCUUCGUUAUAACUCGAAUUUUAGGGUUCUUUAUAUGUACUAAAACCUUGAUACGAUUCCUACUACUUUAUUUAACCCAAAUAAGAUUUUAGGAAAGUUAUAUUUUGACCUAAAUUUGAUUGGUUUUACAUUUCAUUGUCUCGAAAUAUCGGGUUGUCACAUAGACCCACCUCUACUGGAAGGUAAUUCACCUCGAAUGCAGAAGCUUCCUAAAGAAAUUCUUAUUGCUGCCCUGCCCACUUCCCGAGCUAUCAAUACCAAUCAAUAUACCAAAUUAGCAAUUGGUUCCCAUACCAAAAUCCUUAAUCCAUGCAUGGGAUAAAAUGACCAUUCUACCUAUGGCCCAGUAUGAUCCGGAAUUAUGGCCAUAACCCAAACAAAAGCCCAACACUAUAAUGUCCAUAAUACAAUCAAUGGCCCAAUUUUCUAAAUUGGGCCCAAACCUCUACGUGAGUCUUGCCAUGAGGCCCAAUCAUUCUUUCCAGUCCAAUACACCUCAUAUUCUGAUGGCCCAAUAAUAAUCCAAACAUUUAAACCCAAAAUGCUAAAACUCACUCAUGGCAUGGUCCAUGGACUAGUUUUCCAAAUUGGGCCCAAGACUUUAGUGGGCCUCUACAAAUAAAAUAUCAACCCCAAAACUGAUGGCCCAAUAGCGCCCAAAACAACAAGCCCAAAAGAUGGCCCAAACUGAAGCCUAAAAACCAAAGUCCCAUUCUGCUGAGUACGCGGGGCGUACUCAGCUUGUACGCUAAGCGUACUGGCUUAAGGGCUUGUACGCUACAUGUAGACGCUUGUACGGCCAGCGUACUCCUCCUGUUGACCAACUCUCAAUCCUAGCUCUUAAUCCAUUAAGCCAAGACGUCCAAAACCUCAAAAUGGCUUAAUAUAAGUGACUUGACCCGUAAAGUCGAAUGCUUUAAGCCUUUGCAUGGCUUAUUUAAUCCCAAACACUAAAGAUGAAUUCCAAAAGGUCAAAAUCACUCCCAAAAUGUCUUAGAACUUCUUAAUACCUUAAGACCUCAGUCCAAACUUCCAGAUCUGAUUUCAAGGGACUUCUUAAGUCAUAAAUUUUCCAACUUUAUGACUUAGCAUAACUCAAUGGGGCCUAAAUCUAAAACCUAAGUUCCAAACUUCAUUAAAUGAAUACCAAAUCAUGCAUGGAAGGUUUAUACCUCUCAAGAUCUAGACUUUAUGACUCCAUAACCUCAGUAAGGACCAAAUAAGAGGCUCAAAGGUUCUGGAGUAACUUCUACUCACAAGAACCACCUCAAAGGGACCAAAAAAACAUAACAACGUACCAUUUUGCUAGAUCUACAUGAAAAAGUUGUCAAUGUUGAGACUCUAUACCUUCAGAAGAUAGAUCUAGGUGCACAAAGCUUGGAUUCAAAAGCUCCAAGUCAAACAAUGACUCUUCAAGAAGUUCCUUCUUCCUCCUCUAGCACCAAAACACACCAAAAAUCACUUUGAAGCUCUAAAAUUACUCAAAUGGGGGCUAAGGGUCGAUUUCUAGGGUUUGGAGGGAUGGAGGAUGAAGGUAUUAGGGUUAGGUUAUGAGAUAAGGAGCUUAAAUAUGCUCCAAGACCCUAAAAUAGGGUUUUGAUCUAACUGGCGUACGCUCAACGUAAUUAUGGUACACCCGACGUACUCCAAAGAACAUUCGCGACCAUCCUGGUCAGUAUGUCCAGCGUACUCUAAGGUACGUCCAACGUAUUGCCUUCUUCACUAGUACGCCCUGCGUACUCUUUGUGUACGCCAUGCGUACUCGGCUAACCCUGAAAACCAUGAAACUUCUGAAGGCCAUAACUUCUUCGUUAUAAGCCCGAUUCCAAUGAUCCUUAUAUCCACGGAAAGGUGACGAGAAACUCUAUGCAUCCAUCAACUUAUUCUCACCUCAAAACCUUCUGAAAAAAAAAUCCAAAAUUUAUAAAGAUCUUCAACUACCACUUUACCGAUAUACCCCUUGGCUCCAAAACACGAACCGAACACCCGAAUCACUUAUAAUACAUCACCUGCACCCAAAUGGGCCUAGAUACUACCUUUUCAAAAGCCCUAAUACUUUUGAUGACCAGCCUUCAGGCCACAUCGUUAGACUAGAAGUCAAUCCGGAACAGGGCGUUACAUAAAAGCUUAGUGAGUUCCCAAAAUACAACAUAACAUAUAACCACAGAAUACCACGCUAUAUACAUAAGAUUGCCAUAGGAAACCCCUAUGGUCUUUACCUGGAAUGCCAUGGGCUACCCCCAUGGCCUGAUAUCCAAGUUCCAUGUGCUACCCCCUUGGUCUUUACUUGGAAUGCCAUGGGCUACCCCUAUGGUCUUCACACAAGUGCCACGGGCUACCCCUGGGGUCUUCAAAUAAUGAAUUCAUAACAACUAUCAAUGCACAUGUCAAACAAUGGGCCGAAAUUAGUGCCUUCGACCCAUUGAUAUAGUGAGAAGACUCACCUCAGACUGCUGAUAAAAAUACUACUCGGCUAUCGGUCCAGAUAUCUCACACUGAAUAUACACAAGUUAACCUAAUUAGAAUUAAGUCACAAACUCAAGGCAUAGGCCAAAACCCUAAUUACAAACUCCUCCAAUAAGGCCCAAAAGCCUUUCUCCUUUAAUGGGCCUAACAUCCAAGCUCCAAAACAAUUAUAGGCCAUAAGGCCCAAAAGGCCCAAACAUGCCACCUAUGGUCCAACAACAAGUUUAAAGGCCCAAAUACUCUAAUAGAUCCAGGCCCAAGGCUAAGUAGGGCCCAAAUGGAUCAAAGGCCCAACAAUAGCCUAAAACUCACUGGAAGCAUACGCCCAAUGUACAACAUAUAUACGCUUAGCGUACUGGGUUAUUUGGUGGUACACACAGUGUAAAAGCUAGUACGUCCAACGUACAAGCUGCUUUGCACAAAUAGCCAUUAAGUGCUUACUUCAUGAAGCCGCUUCGUCCGAUUCCAAAUCUUGGUCAUCAUAAAGGUUGUAGGGCAAAAAUUUUGUAACUUUAUGCCUUUGAAUGCCAUAUGGGAACCUAACACCUCGUUUUAUCCUUUAAGACUCCCUUUAAGAUCUUAAACUCAUGCAUGGUGUCAAAACAACCAUCAAGUUAACAUUUUUAUGGUUUUAACAUGCCAAAGGAACUCAAAUCAAACAUUUCUAACCUCUGGAGUUGCUCAAACUCACAAAAGAGGAUCCAUGGACCAAAAAUGGACUUAUUACCAAACCCUAACUCAAACUAGCGAAAGGAUAAGCAAGGUCUGGACUUUUUACCUCCAAAAGUUCCGCAAGAUGAAAUAGAUGCAGGAUCUAGAAGCUCAACCACGUAUAAGACUUGAUCACAACCUUCUCCUUCUUGCAAACACACUAAAAUAGCCACCAAAAUCACUUUUAAUAUCACGAAUCACACUCACUUGCAAAUUAAGGUUUAGGUAUGAUAAGAGGCAAUAGAAGUUGUUUAGGGUUAGGUCUAAAUGGCAUAAGAGUGUUAAAAUGGGGCUAAAAUUAGGAUUUUUGUCUUAGGCCACGUACGCCCCGCAUACAUUGUGCAUGUCCGAGUCCAAACCACCCUAAUAUGCUAAGCAUACACAUAUGUACACCCAACGUACGUAGGGACCUCCUUUGCAAAUAAGUUUCAUUCCAAGGGUUAAAAGGGUAACUUGCAUUCCGAAUGUUACAUAUAGAUAAUCAAAUACUUGAUUCUACCCUAAGCCCUUCAUCAACCAAGAACAUGAAAUAAAGCUAAACCAAAAAUUAUCAGGCUAUAGAAUCUUAAUUAUGUACAACUAUGAUGCAUACACUAAGCAGGUACAAUAAUGAUGUCAAUUCUAUAUAAGAAGUAAUCCUAGGGUAUCAAGCAUCAUAUAUGAGGAAAUUUUAUCACGUAAUUCCUGACGAUCCCUAGCCCACCGCUAGUAUGUUGUUGUAUCAUGAAUAACAUAUCAAAUAACAGUGUGGGUAACUUGAGGUAUGCUUUCUUACCGCGGCUGACCGUACACAUCACAUCAUGCAUUCCUUGGUUACUUUUGAAAACCAUUAAAAAAAACUUUUACAACUCCCUAGUUUGAGUUUGGAUUCACACGAAUGUUCAUCCAAUUCUCUCAAACCAAGGCUCUGAUACCAACUUGUAACACUCCUAAUAUCAUAGAAAAUUAAAAAUUUUAAAUUUCAACCAUUAACCAACAUUGUUUAUAAAAAGUGCUCAUUGCUUCAAAAGUAUUAUUCAAAAUCAUAGUUUUUCCCAAGACAUAAAAACACAAAACAGGAAGAUGUGCACGAUCACGCCUUUGCCUUCCCGCGAUUAUCAGAAGUACAUGAAAUAAUAAACUGAAAUUGUAUUUCAAAGCUUAGUGAGUUCCCCCAAAGUACCAUCAUGAAACAUAUAAAAUACAUAGAUUAACAUGAUGGGCCCACAACCUCCCAGUUGGAUUACCUUGGCCCACAACCUCCCUGUUGGAUUGCCCUGCAUACCAUAUACUGGGUCCAUAACCUCCCAACCGGGUUGACUUGGCUAGUUUGUGGAGUUUGACCUAUUUUGAGCCAAGUAUAUUUUGGAUAAUUUGGUAUUAAUUUAAGUUGGGAAAUAUUUUGGGAUAAUAGGUGUUGAGUAGAGCCGGGUGUCGGGGAAGACAUUUAUUCAGCUUGUGUUUAGACUGAGAGGUGAGUUUUCCUCACUAUACUUACAAGUCGAAGGCAUCAAGGCCGACCUAAUGGAUUGAUAUCCUGUUAGAUACUAAUUGAAGAUAUGUUGAGUAUGCGAUACAUCUGUAUGAUUAUAUGAUAGGUAUUGAUAUACAUUAGACUGGUAGAUCUGUAGGACUACAUGUGAUUAUUGGUUGUGUAAUCACCUGUUUGUUGUAUGUAUAUUAUCUAUUAUAUGUCGACAUGUUACUUUAGGGUUGAGAAUAUUGCUUUGUGCUGUCAUUCGACAGACCGUGACAAUCCAACCAGAAUGUUUUGGGCCAGAGUAAUCCAACAGGGAGGUUGUGGACACAACAUGCUAAUCUAUGUAUUUUAUAUGCUGCAUGAUGGUACUUUGGGGGAACUCACUAAGAUUUGACUUACAGUUUCAGUUUAUUGUUUUAGGUACUUUUGAUGAUCAUGGUACGAUGAAGGUGUGAUAACGCACAUCUUCCUAUUUUGUGUUAUUGUGUCUUGGGAAAAACUCUGAUUUUGAAGAAUACUUUUGAAGCAAUGACUCUUUUUUUAAACAAUGUUGGUUAGUGGUUGAAAUUUAAAUUUUUUAAAUUUCUAUGAUUUUUGUAAUGUUACAUUGGUUUGGCUUGUAACCGAUCUAAACCCCCCACAUACCCUUGUUAAUCAUAAAAGAAGAAUCCAUUUAGAACUAACUAUGUUCAAAAAUAAGAACCAUAGUGUGUUAAAUAUUCAUUACCUCAAAUGUAGGGAUCUUUUGAUGUCGAAGAACAUUAGUUAAGAUAAAUUAAAAAGGAUAUUCAACUAAACCAAAGGUCUUUUGGCCUAGCACUAUCAUAUGUUGGAAAUGUGACCCUUCCUAAUAUCAGAAAAACGUGUUAUUUCGAUUGCUUGGAUUACACUGAAAGUCAUGAUACACUUACGUAUUAAAGUAUUUCGAUGGUACAAUCAAAAUUUAAAUUGGAUAAAAUUCUGUGAGAACAACAGAGAAUGAAAAUGUUAUGAUUCUUGUGUGUACCAGAUUCAAAUGACCAAAAAGGGAUAUGACUCCUUGUCCGAAAAUUGUCAUAUUUCCAGUUACAAACUGCCACAAAACCAUCACUAAACUGACUUAGUCGGCUUAACAAACAAGAACUACAUAUUUAACAUACAAAGAAAAGCUAACAAGUCUCCUGAUACUUGUAAAAAUCAAAUGAUGUAAAAAAAUUAGAUAUCAAAAAAUCUAGUAUUAACAUAGAUUUAAUUAAACUUAUAGAUUAUCUGUUUAUAUAUCAUGGAAAUUUAUUCCCAAGGUCAUCCUUAACUCGUUAACAAGUUUUGGGUGUAACGAUAUAACAAUAUCUAAUCAUUACUCCUCUGAUAAAAUUUUGGAUUCUGUGGUCUAUAGGUUGCAUUUUUUGUUGCUAAUAGGAGUAGAAAAGCUAAAAUCAUUUGGGUCGAUUGGAUUCAUAAUCCUACUUCAACUUGCACUCUUAUGUAAUGUUUUUUUUCCUAGCUUACUGCUAGUUUUUAUAAAAUUUUAUCUUGUUCCGAAAAAACUCCUCUUAUAUAUUGGUCAACUUUGAGAUACAAUUAAAAAGGUUCUCUUGCCACAUCACACGCCAUCCACCCCAACGACCACCACACAAUAAUAUCGAUUUGGUAUAGACCAACAACUAUCUCUUUCCUCAUCUCCCUCAAAUCGGUCUUCAUUUCCUUUCUUUUCAGUUUGCUUUUUAAUAUUCAUACAUAGAGACUCAUUUUUGAGAAGUUAAGACACAUAAAUGUGUUUAAUAUUGGAAUCCCACAUGACAAAGUAGCAUCUAGGGAUGUCAAUGGGGGCAAACGGGACGGGGGUUGCAUUCCCCACCCCCACCCCCAAAANNNNNNNNNNNNNNNNNNNNNNNNNNNNNNNNNNNNNNNNNNNNNNNNNNNNNNNGCCCCCGAUUGAUUUUGGGCUACCUUAUUUGCACUAAAAGAAGUUCUUGUUUGGACUAAUAGAAACUAUAUUUUGGGUUAUAAAUAGAUAUUUAUAACAUAAUUUUACAUGUACAAACAACUUAAAACAUGUUUUAUUUUGAAGUUUUGUAUGCAAAAAUCUUUUUAUUGUUUAUUAUAUUUAUAUAAUUAAUAUAUGUCAAUUUAUAUAAUUUAUUAACGGGGCUCCCAUGGGGGUUUCGGGACGGGACUACCAACCCCUGCCCCAGCCCUUGAAAUUAAAACGGGGGUUAACCUUGCCCCUGCCCCCGUCCCCGAUUAUUUUCAACAAAUGCCCCCAUACAAGAUGGGGUCCCCGCGGGAUCGGGGUCCUACGGGACUUUUUGACAUCCAUCGUUAAGUAAAGAAUGUUUGUGACGAUGUAACUUCCUCUUGAUAUACAUAUCUUUUAUUAGAGACCGACCGAUGUCAUCCUUUAACACUGUAAAUUUUCAAACAAAGUUUUCAUUUUAAAACACAAUAAAACACAUGUCACAUUCCUUUCAAAAAUCACAAGUAUCAAUUUAUCAAUACAUUUUAAAAGUUGUUUAUCGCAAAUCCAGAUCCUCAAACAUAACUCUUUUCUCUUGUGUGUACAAUCAAACCGGUGCCUUAUCGUGAUCCUGAUAAGAACCUGAAACACAUAACACAUAACAUGGUAAGCAAGAAGCUUAGUGAGUUCCCCAAAACACCACAUACAGCUCAUUAGCCACUCGAGGCUAUAACACAGUAAGACCCUCCGGUCAAUGUAUCUCAGUGGGAUCCUCCGGUCCCAAACUCUGAUGGACCCUUCGGCCGAAUAGAAUUUUCCACCCGCGUCCAAGAUUCACAUAUACUCGACGAGUUUGGGGACUCCAACUCGUCGAGUCCCAAUGCAAAAAUGCAAAAAUUCAUAUGUAUAAUACGUAUCGGGAACCGGGCGUUAGAUAUUGGUUGUAUAAUCAUUUGUCUGCUGUAUGUAUAUUAUCUGAUAUAUGUCAACAUGUUACAUUAGGGUUGAGACUACUGCUUUGUGCUAUCAGUCAACAGAGAGUGGCAAUCCAAGCAGGAUGUUAUGGGCCAGGGUAAUCCAACCGGGAGGUUGUGGACACAACAUGCUAAUCUAUGUAUUUUAUAUGUUGCAUGAUGGUACUUUGGGAUCACUCACUAAGCUUUAGCUUAUAGGUUCAGUUUAUUGUUUCAGGUACUUCUGAUGAUCGCGGUAUGACGAAGGUAUAAUCAUGCACAUCUUCCUGCGUUGUGUUAUUGGGUCUUAGGAAAAACUCUAAUUUGAAUAAUACUUUUGAAGCAAUGACUUUUUUAAACAAUGUUGGUUAAUGGUUGAAAUUUAAUUUUUUAAAUUUCUAUGAUUUUUGGAGUGUUACAUUGGUUUUGGUUUAUAACCGAUCUAAACCCCCACACACGCUUGUUAAUCAUCAAAGAAGAAUCUAAUUAGGACUAACUGUGUUCAACAAUAACAACCAUAGGGUGUUAUAAAUCCAUUACCUCAAAUGUAGGAAUCUUUUAAUAUCGAAGAACGUUAAUCAAGAUAAAUUAAUAAUGAUCGUAACAUCCUGUUUAUUAAAUAAAUAAAUAGAUAAAAAUUUGAUGAAAGAAUAGUCGCCCUAAAUUCAUAUUAUUUAGUGGGGCGCUGGUUUUGGGGAGCCGAAUGGUAUAAUUUGGAUUAUUCGGAGGUUAAAAGUGUAAGUUCUAGAUUUAAUUUGAAAAUGAUUUUAGAAGUCAUGGUGUGUUUAGUAAUUAAUGGACUUAAAUAGAAAGGAUUUGAUGGCUUAAGGGGGUGAUUGGUAAUUUCGGGACCUAUUAUGAAACGACUUUCAGAGAGAGGGGUUAAAGGGGUAAAUUUCUGAUUCAUUUUGAAAAGAUUAAUAGAGGGAAGGCUACUGUUGUUAUUAUGGGGAGAAGUUUUAUGGGGAUUGGGGUAUAAGACCUGUCAGCCCGGUAAACCCUAAACCUAGCCAUGUGUCCCAGCCGCCGCCACCUUAUACCCCCCCCCCNNNNNNNNNNNNNNNNNNNNNNNNNNNNNNNCUCCGGCGCCGCCGCCAUCAUCCCGUUUCCGAUCAGCGAGCUGCCGAGAAGCUACUCCAUUGGACUUCUGCCACUCUUCUCUUAUCCUUCUUCAGUCGUUGCCAUGUGAGGCCUCAUCCACCACCCGCUACUUCAUCGUUGGAGUGCUACCACCACUGUCGGUGCACCAUUGUUGUCGCUGCUGUUGAGGCCAAGGAUGAAGACGGAUGUUGGGACGUCGGGAAUGAAGAAGAACAAGCCACAAGUCGCUGUAACGUUGGUUGUAGCGCUGCUGCUCCGCCACUGCCCAUUUCCGUUAAAGACAAGGUCGUCACUUGUUUCUCGUGGAUGGCUUAGUCGGAGGUGUCGUUCGUUUCCGUGUGGUGCUGUUCCUCCGUGAGCUGCUGCACUGGUGGUGCUGCCACUGUUGCCGUUAGUGUUGCUGCCACUCUCUACCGUUGUCGCCGUACGCCACCAGGUGGGUGGCAGGGUUCUUUUGCGAAUGAAAACAGUUUGUUUGUGUGUGUGUGUUGUAUGUGGUGAUGUUUGGCCUGAAUUAACGAGAACAAUCACCACCACCUUCGUGAGGUGGUAGCUGCCACCAUGUACCACCACCGGCCACCACAAGGGUGGAUGUGUAUGUGUGUGUAUUGGCAUUUAUGUUGUAAAUUGUAAUUAGUGCUAGUGUAAUCAAAAGAAAAACUCAAAACCACCACCGUGAGGUGGUGGCUGCCGCCACCAGUCGCCGUGUUGGAUGGCGGUGUGCUCUGUUUAUAUUUAGACUUUGUUUGGGUUGGACAAAAUAGACUAGACCCAUAACCACCACCGUGAGGUGGUGGCCGCCGCCGUGAGCCGUCGUUGACCACCACUACACGAGGUGGUAGUGGGUGGUGCCUGACUUAGGAACACCCUAAUUGUCUUAAUGAAACCUUAAUGGGCCUAAGGACUUAGCUUUUGGGCUUAAUUGGAUUGUAAUGGGUUGGAAACCCUAAUUAGGGUUUAGAAAACCCUAAUUUUGGAAUUAUUGGUUUGGACUUAUCGGGACCCACAUUUGGGACCAUUGGAGUGAUGACUCAAGCCCGUUUUCAUUGUAUGCUUGGACUUAAUGGAUUAAUGUAAUGACCAAAAUUCUCUAUGUUAGUGAAGUUGGUUUUCCGUUACAUAGAAUUAAGUCGUACAUGCGUCUAGGAUGUGAGAUUAGACCGGUUUAUAUAAAAAAAAAUAAUAAAUAAACAAAAACAUAUUUUUUAACAUUUUAAGAAUUUAAUAGGGAUUAAAAUAAUUUAUAAGAUUUAGUUAAUAAUUAUAAUGAGCUAAAGAUAUUUAAGUAAUAUUACGAGUUAAAUAAAUACUCAAAUUAUUAAAAAGUGGCUUAUUUUAUGUGUAAAUUAAUCAAAUUAAACGACUAUAAAGAAAUAAAAUAAAAGAAAAGGUAAAGUAUAUAUAAUAUGGCCAGGGUUAAUAAUGAAUUGAGUAUAAAAGAUCAGGGACUAUAACUGUAAAUUGGAAUUCAAUCGGUGAAUUGAAUUCUAUAAGCUCGUUACCACUGAUAAUAAAUUUGUUUUAAUUAAUUCUAUUCGAUUGCCGCAACCUAUGUUCUUCUUAUUCGUUUCCGUUACCAGGCAACUUAUUCGCCUUGCCGAUUACACCUUCUCUUUAGGGUUGCCAUAUUUGUGUCGACCAGAAAAAAAGAGAGAGAAUUGAGUGUGAGAGAGUGUCUGCGUGAGAAGGAAUGAACGAGGCUCACAUCCUACUGCUAUUAGAUCGAAACAAGGUAAGCUCUUGAUCCCGAAAACCUGUCAUGUUUUUUUUGUUCAUCAAUGGCUUAUUGUGAAUAUCUUGCUGCCAAAAUACUUGUUUUUAGAAGCCACACAAACCCGUGAACUACUUCAAUUCAUCUCUGUCAAGCCUUAGGGAUGAAGCACCCAUGUUUGAGUCGUGUCGGGCUUAGUCGAGACAACCCCAUAAGCCAUCAGAACACCAGAAUCACAUUUUGGAAUGGUGUCUUCUCUAAAGCGUAGCCUCAAGUCCCUUAGACGCUUUGUUAAGGCUUUGAAACAGAAGCAGGGGAAGCUAUAUGUGUUCUUUCGCAAUUUUAAUGCAUGCCUCUGAAUUGCUACCGGACAAUCAAAAUAGACUAAUGCUUGAUGGAAUAUGAUAGUUACAGACAUAAUGGUUGUAUAGUUUCACUAAUGACUAAUUCAUAUCUAGACUUAGCUAUUUAAAUCAAUAGAAAGAGUCUGGAUAACAUAUUUCAUGAUAAACACUUAAAGAUUAAUUCAUCGUCUUGUGUUAAUGUAUGUAAUUCCAUAAAAGUUAAGAUGUUAAAAAAAUGGAUUGCCUACGUAAUAUUGUCUAAUUAGAAGUCUACUUCACACUAGGGUGUCUUAUAAAUAUAUGAGUGUAAUUUAUAAAAGAGUUUCAGUAUUAUAAAAAGUGAUUUAAUCACUAAUUAUAUGUCAAGGAGCAUGAUAUGAAAUAGUUGAUUAAAAGCAAUUGAUUACAAAUCAGUGUCAUCGGCUAUAAGGCUUCCUUAUGGUUAGUUAACAUUACAUUAUUCAUGAUACAACUUAAUUAUACUAUAGAUUAAAAUUGUCUAUCCUUAGCUACAGUAAAUAUGCUAAGGAUUUGGCAAAAAUGAUCCUCCAUCUAUAUGGGUAUUUAUAAUUCUGGAUCAUUUCUUUUAAGAGGUUAUAAUUUGCUAUUUUCUAUAUUUUGUGUAUACGUGUCGUUCUUUUUACUGAUCAAAGGUUUGAUCGUGUGCGUGUCAUGGACACGCGUUUUUUUCCUGUGUUUAUUAUCGAUCACCCUAUUCUUUUCAUCUGCCCACCGCCCUUACUUCCAACAUAUAUUCCACCGGCUUCCUCAUUCAUUUUUUCAUUAUCCCACCCCUUCAUUGACUAACUUCACCAACUGUGUUAUUCUUUCUUUAAAGAAGCUCAUCGGUUCCUUAUAUGUUUUUUUCAGGGCCUAUGUUUGUUGGAAUCCUUACGCUUGCUGACGUCUUUUGUGAUUAAGGGAUAAUUUUGUUCCUGGUUGCAUAUUUGAGUCUCAGGCACUCACUUCCUUUCUCUUUCUCUGUUUUCUUUCUACUCAUGGCAUCUCUAAUGGCAUUCUAUUACCGUGUUUGUAGGUUUACGCUUCGAAUUGUGUGAUUUUGUAUUUUUCAUUUCCGCUUUCGCUCUUGAAGAUGAGUAGUAGAAAUCGAUUGGAUGGUGAUUACAAAUACCUCUUGUCAUAUCGAUUUGAUUGUAAGUAUCUCACCUCUAAUUUGUUUUCUUUUUUUGGACUUUGUUGUUUUUUCAAAUAACACUUCUUACCUUCUAAAGCUCGGUUUCAUACACUUCUAUCACUUUUCUGUUAUCAAAGCUUCUUGACUAUGGUAAAUAUGGAAAAUCCUGUGACAUGUAUGUUUAUGCCCACAAAGUGUUUGAGGAAAUGCCUUUUGUGUUUAGGUGCCUGAUUGUUAUUCUGUUGAGUGUAUAAUUUCACAAUAUUGCGUAAAUUUUUAUUAUUGAGGCUCAACUGUGUAACUUGAACUGUUUUAUUGUAGUCUUACGGUUCUCUCCGUUCGAGGCAACAUACGACACUCACAUUCCACUACGCUGAAGCAUGAGACUUUCCGAUUUGUUGGUCUUGCCAAGUAGAUUCAGAUAACAUUUUCUUUCCAUAUAUUCUUCUAAAAAGCAGUAAUUUAUGAAAUUCUCAUUCUACAAUCCAGAAAACUGUUAAAAAGGAGCUUGAAAAUCUCCAAAAAGAUUAAUACUUUUAUUGAUUUGGCUAUUACCAGUGCUUUUUCAAGGGAAAUUAAAACAAUCAAAGGGAAUUUUCUACAAAAUACGUAAAUAUGUUAAUAGCUGUGUGUUUUUUAUUUUUUUUUUUGAUAGCUAAUUAGCAUUGAAGUGGUAGAAUGAAUUGGUUAUUAUUUACCCAUAUACCAGAUUAUGUCAUCUCUCUAUAUGUUUGGAAUGUUUGUGGGUUUGAUAUGUUUGCUGCUACUGUCACACCACAGUUGAAAAAACAUAUUUCCCUGCUAAAGGGGUUGUGUAAUUGUGACCAUUUUACAGUUUUGAUUUCAAAAUUAUAUUAAAAAAUUUAAAUUGCAAUCAAACUCAUAACAUGUGCAUGUUUGACUGAUUGAGUUGUCCUACAUCUCAAAAAAUCAGGGAACAAUCGACGGUGUUGACAUUAAGCCAACUUCAAAUUCGUGGGUCACAGUAACUGGAGGUAAUUUUCUUUCUUGAAUGCUUUUGGUUCACCUGUCAAUUUUAGUAUUUAUUUGAAGUAUAAUUUGUGUUUUGUAAUGUAAUAAUAUACUCUCACACAGAAGUUUUUAAAGCAGUGCUAUAUAGGAAAAAAUUAUUAAACUUCUACAAAGGGCAUUAGCAAAGUUAUGGGAUAAAACUUUAAACGGCCUAAAACAUUAACAAACUGUGAAACAGGGAAGACAAAAUUCAAUGGUUUUUAAAGAUUUUUGUUUUUUGGUUGUCUACGUUAACGAUCCUGCUGUUAAAAUGUUAUGAUUAUGACUAUUUUGUCCUUCCUUUCAUUACUUUCUGAAGGUGGUAAAGAAAAGGGAUAUAAUCCAAGGGUAAAAUGGUCAAUUUACAAAUUUCACAGCUGUGAUGUUAAGUUAGAUGGCCUAGGGAUGAAACACAUUACCAAACAGUGACAUAUGAAAUUUUUGUACGACGUUAAAGUUUCAUAUCUAUAUUUCAAAAAAAAAAUUCAUUUGCAAUUUUCAUCUGUAGUUCCCUGUUUUUGACUAUUUAUUGCCUCUUUUAUAUUGUGAAAAUUAUGUUUGGGUUGUUGUUUAUGAGGUAAUUGGUAUUGAUGUCAAUACAUAACUUUCAAAAGUGUUAUCUGCCAUACAGGAGAAUUUGGGAAAACAAGCACAUAAGCAAGAAAAAAGAAGGGAAGGUCAUAAUGUAAAAAGAGAAGGUUAUGACGAUGAGAAUUUAAUUUUGCACCUUCAACUUUAGUCACUUUCAUCAUUUUUAAUGACUCAUAGUUUCUUGCCAUUCUCAGUCUAUUUUGAUUUUUAGAUAAACUUAUUUUAUUGAAAACUUUUUUGUAUUAUCAAGGAACAUCAUUCGAUAUCUCAACUGAAAAUUAUGAUAACAACAUUACUAGAUGAGGUUGUUUAUGAAUUUUUAGCUAUAUAUUUUGCUGCUAAAAAAAAGAUAAGAAUACCUUGACAUUCUGACCCUCGCGAAGCGAGGCUCACCCUCUAGUUAAUAUUAAACCAAGGUGAUUUGUAAUUUAUAAACUACGAUAGACUUAUCUAAUCAAUUAAUAUGACAUAAACUAAAUAUAGUUUAAUAUUAAUCAUGUUUAUCUUAGCCUAAACUAAAUAAAUAUAUACUUUUUGUUUAGGUAUUUGUUGAGUAAAAGAGCUACGAAUUCACGUUUUGAAGUGAUUUCACUACCGAACUAAAGGUGAGUCAAUAGACUUUUCAUAAACCCUAUAUAUAGUCGAAAACUACUUUCCGAAAAUGGCUCGAUUAGUCAAAUUAGAAUAUUAUUAAUUGUUGAUAUUAUGCCUAUAUGUGCAGUAUGAGAUAUGCCAUUGUUUUGCUUUCUGUGACAUUUACAUGCUUAGUAAAUUUGGUUUAUAUGUCUAUCUUGGUACUUGAUACGAUUAAUUGCAACUAUGAUAUGCUAUAUGAAAUGUUUGAUAUUUGACUAUGACCUUGUUGAGUAUCUUUUAGUAUAAACUAGGUUACAACCCGUGGAAACCAUGGGUAAAAAAUUUAAAAACAAAUUUAUAUUAUUAAUAAGAGUUAAGAUUGUCAAUCCUUUUGUAUUGAUUAUUUAAAAUUAAAAUUAAUACAAAUUUGUAAAAAAGUAUAUAAAUUUGAAUAUAUGUUAAAUAGAAACGCAAUCAAUCCAUCGAAAGUUAAAUAUGAAUAUAACUAAAAUGCAUCUUUGAAUAUGUGAAUGAUUUAUGAAGUGUGAGGGCAAAUCAUUAUUUUUUGUAAUGAGGGAGCAAUCAAGAAACACCAUGUGGCGUCUAUUAAAGUCUGAAAAUCAAAUAUCGAAACGAACUGAAUAUUAUGGAUUACAAUUACAAUGCUAUAUAAAGAAUAAAUUAUUUAAAAAAAAAAUGUUACAAAAAAUAGAAAAAAACACAAUUGUUAGAAGUUAAUGGGUACGAAGCAUUUAUAAAUUCCUAAAAACUUCCUUAUACACAACAUUUGAAGUUUUGUUUGUAAGUCUACCAUCCUUAUCUAAAAUUAACAAUUUCAAUCCUUCUCUACUUUGAACUCUAGAUAAGGCAACAUACUGUUGUCCAUCUGAAAAAAGGAUCCUUGAGAUACAGACCAACCUUUAAUAACGACUGGCCCUGACUUUUAUUAAUUGUCAUUGCAAAACAUACAGCCAAUGGAAAUUGUCUUCUUUGAAAUUUGAAUGGAAUUUUCUUUCCAGAUGGACUUAAAGACAUUCUUGGAAUAAAUGUUUGCUUUCCAAUAUUAGUUCCAGAUAUGAUAAUUGCCUCAAUAACACGUUUGCCCAGAGAUUUCACUUGUAGUCUAGUGUCGUUUCAUAAUCCAUUUUUCUGAUCAAUGUUUCUUAGUAACAUAACUGGAACACCGACUUUUAGAAUUAACUUGUGAUUUGGCAAACCUGAUACUUUAAGACCAUUUAAAAUAUCCUGGGAGUAUAAAUUGGGAUCAAACUGAUCAUGAACAAACUCUGAUUGGCAAAGAGUAUCUGAACUUAAAUAUUCUACUUCAUCUUCGGGAAACAAUGCUAGCAAACGAUCAUUGAUUUGUUGGACAACUUCAUUUUUUGGAGCUAGUAUAGCUCUUUCUUGAAAAUAACUCGUACCGUUGAAUUUUUCAAAGAUUGAAGGAUAUACAAACUCAAUUAAUGAACCUAUAGGAUCAUGUGGAUCAUUAAUGAGAAUAUCAUUCGGAACAUCAAUAAUCGAUUCACCAUCCUUCAAACCACCAACUUUUCCUUCUCCUAUGUCCAAAAGCCAGUUUGCAAAAUUAUGUAUUUUUUGAAUAUCAUAUGGAUCCUUUCCAACGGUUAGUCUCAUCUUUUUUGUUAAUCUAUGGACUUUGCAUUGUUGCCAUAUAUAUGAAGAGCUUAAAGAAGCAUUAACGAUAUUUUGUCUGCUACCUCCUUGAACAACAGGUAGAAUCUGUCUAAAGUUUCCUCCAAAAACAAUCGCUUUCCCUCCAAAUGGAAUAUUUGAGUUGGUAGACUUAUCAAACUUACAUACAUCUCUCAGAGCUCGAUCUAAAGCUUCAAAUGCAUGUUUGCGGACCAUAGGUGCUUCAUCCCAGAUAAUCGAUGAGCUUUUUCUUACUAAUCUGCUGAGUUCACUAUCAGGCGGUAUCUUACAAACAGAAUACUCCGUAAGAUUCAACGGAAUUAUAAACCGAGAGUGUGCUGUCCUACCUCCAGGCAAUAAUAAAUAUGCAGUACCACUUGAAGCAACAUUUAAAACUAUAUCACCAUUACAUCUAAUUGCUGCAGAUAACGUCUUCCAAAGAAAGGUUUUGCCUGUUCCACCAUAUCCAUAAACAAAAAACACACCUCCUUUAUUAUCAUUGACUAUAGUCAUGAUAUCAAGAAAAAUAUUGCUUUGCUCGUUUGUUAAUGCAUGAAACAUACUAUCAAACUCUUUCUUUAAAAGCGGUAUGUCAUACUCUAGCUCCUCCAUGAUAAAUCGAUUUGUUGAAGAAGAAACUGUAUCGAAAUCAGGGUAAGGCCUUUGUUUAUAAUUUUUAAGACUGGUGUUGUUAUGAAGUAAAAUCUGUUCGAUCUCGAACAAAGUCAGGUUUUUGAGUUGAUCCUUAUUGAGUGAUAAACCUGUAUAAAAUGAACAAUAUGUCAAAAAGAAUAUAAUAUUAAACAGUUUAAUGGUAAUAAAAAAAUUAUACCGUGCAUAUUGAUAAUAUAUAGUAUCCGUUUUUACAAAUACUGAUAGGAAAUUAUAAUACCUGGAGACUUUAAUCUACGCUGUUGGUUGUAAAGAAUACCAUCCGACAAGUGUUGCCAUGUAUUUUCCCAAACAAACUCUGGUCUACCCAAACUGUUAGACAUUAACAUCGUAGCAAAUAAGAAACGAAGAUAAAAACCAGUUCCUGAAUGACUUGCUUCCUUAAUUGCAUCAACGUAUUCUUUGUCAUCAUCUAAGAGGCCCAAAGCAUAGCAUGCAUCUCGAAAAGUAGGAAAUUCUUCACCGUUUACCGUGCGAAUUUCUUCAAAUGAUUUUGGACCUUUCACUUUAUUUAAAAGAAUCCGUAAGAAGUAGACUUCGCCAAGUUUAGGUGAAACAGAGUGAAUCCUUCCUAUUGAACGUCCAAUUUUCCUUGGCUUCCACAACUUAUCAUCAGGUUUCCAAACAAACUUUGUAGGAAAUUCAACAUAUGUAAGUUUUCGUGCAUCUUUAUUAAUUUUAUUACAUUCCAUCCAAGAUGUGAACAUAGAAGCAGCAACUGAAGGUUGUUCAAGAACAUCGUCAAUAUCAUCGUCUGCAGCAUAUAUGACUUGUUGUUGAUCAGGAAGAUAAAAAGGUAGUCGCAUCACAGAAGGAUAUCGGUAAUGGACAUCGUAUUUAAAUAUUCGCCAUGAUGCUUCACAUGCAGAUAUAUAUCUACAAUCAUAAUAAUCUUUUAUUUCAUCGACAACCUUUUCGUGAUUAGAAUCAGCGUUGAUGUCAUCAACAAUUAUAGCUCUAUCUGGACCUUUGUUUAUAUAUUUAAACAUAUACUUUAUGGAAGAUCCCUGAUUGCACCAUUCAACAUUAAUGUGUGCCUGAUAUCUUUUCAACAUAUAUUUGUUAUAUGGAACAACAUUUCUGUUGUCUAACUUGACACCUGAUUUUUCGACAAAAUAUCCAUUGUUUCUUCUCAUAUAUAAGGGAUAACCGUUGACAUCAACCGAAGAAUGAUCACAUAAUUGCUUUGGAAAAUUUUUCGAACAUUGCUUGUCAACCAUGCAUGGACAAUUCAUAUUUUCCAGCUCCAUAAGGACCAUGUAUCAUGAAUUCACUUACAAGUGAAUACAAUUCUGGAUCUUCAUUGAUAUUUGGAAUCUCAGCAGAAAUAAUCGGAUCAAUAUAUUCAACAGUAGGCCGCUUGGAGUCGGCAUGCAUAAACAAACAAAUAUGACUAUGUGGCAAACCUCUUUUUUGAAAUUCAAUUGUAUAGACCACUGCAAAUUAAUUUUAUAAAUAAGAUAAUCUUUGUACUGGAUGAAAUAUAUUUGCAAAUAACAAAAAAUAUUAAGAAACUAAAUAAUCAUUAUAAAAAAAUAUUAGAAAUAAAUACAACUUUUAAUACCUCCUUGUACAAUGUCGAAAAUUUUAUUUUCCCGUAUGUCUUUAAUCAAAGCAUCGAGAUUUAUUUUGAAUAACCUACAUAAGAUAUCAGGUCAAUCUUCUGGAUGUAGUGAAGUGUUAUGAAGAAACCUUUUAACUUUAGGCCAUUUUGGAUUACAUGUAAAGGUUAUGAAGAAAUCAUGAUAUCCAAUCCAUUUACAUAAGGACAUGGCAUCAAGGUAGUUUUACAUCAUAUAACGUGCACCACCAGUGAAUGAAGAAGGUAAGAUUACACGUUGUCCAACAUUGGAUAUAUCUUUAUUCCCUAGGUCUUGUUGAUUACGUAAAUUUUCAUAAGACUCACAUCUAAGAAUUUGUUGUUUGCUCCUUAUGAAAUGUAAUCUCUCACUUUCAAUCAUAGUAUAAGCAUCAACCAAAAACUGUUGGAACAACCUUUUUGAAUUAAUAAUUAGUGAAAAAUAUUGAUCCCUGUCUUGUAUUCUAUAAGAAAAAAAUUCUCUCAUUGUACAGUUGGGCCUCUUGCUGUUGCUUAUUGGUGUAAUACCUCGAUGUGGUAUGUCAACCCUAUAACCAUCAUCACCAUAUGGAAACAGUAGUGGAUUCUGAAAGAGGAAGGUAUGAUGGAUGUAAUUUACUAAUACGCCGUAGAGAACCUGAUGAAGUUUGAACAACAAUAUAUCUUUUAUCAAUUGAAUCACCAAUAUCUCAAAUAAUUAAAGCGGCAACCUCAGAAGCAGAUGGUAGGUUGUAUAUCCUUCCAUCUUGGUCCCUGAUUCCAAUAAGUCUCAACUUGAUAUCAACAUGAGGUUUUUGAUGAAAACAAUCCCUAACCAUUCUAUAAGACUGAACCAAGACAUUAUUUGAAUCCAACAUCAACUUCAAAUCUUGUAUAAUAUCAUUAUCAAGGACAGAAGAAUUUGAUGUAGAUCGUUGAUUCUCUCCACUACAAGUAACAUGAACAUAUAAACAUAAGAUAAAUAAAUAAUAUAAUGUUGAUGAAUAAGAUAUCUAUUAAUGUGAUAAUUGUGAAAAGUGUACCCAAAACAUGUUCGUCUAUUCGCGAUCUCAUUAUCAGUAUCGUAUAUGUACAACUGAGAGAAUUUUGGUUUUAACCCCUGUUCCGGUAAAAGGCUUCCGAUACUAUGAUAAUUUUGACCGCUAAGUCUAAAAAUGUAUGGAGCAUUUCCUCUAUUGAUUGAGGAAUCAAUCUUUCCACCCAUUGACGUAAAAGAAAACAUAGAAUUGUAAGAACGAAUGUUCUUCAUGAAGUGUUUGCUUUUAGAAUCUCCCGAUGUAAAAAGAUGAACAUAACUUGAAGGUGAAUUCUUUAAAGCUGGUAGUUCUACUUUGCCAUAACCACAACAUAAACAAUAAUUUUGAUUCGACUUUUUUUUUUUUACAUCUGAUAGAUUCAUCUUUCCAUAAUUUUGCAAAACAUGUUUGGUAUACAACAAUCUGAUCACCAUGAUCCAAAUAAUCUGUCAAUUAAGGUUGACAUAAAAAUGUUAAUCAUGUAAGUUUAUAUAAGUGAAAAAUAUUGAAUGAACAAAUGUAAAUAUUAUAUUUUUAUCAAAAUUACCUUUUGAUAUACCGUUGUAUAUGUUUUGAUCAUUUUGGCCAUCGAUUUUGUCUUGAUCGGAUCUCAGACCAAAUAUUGGAAUAGGAGUUAAAUUUGGCAUUUUUUUCUUUGCUUUAUUAUUUGGAUUAGUUAACAUGACUGAAGACGAUUUUGAUGUUAUUGUAGAUGAUUUGUCGGAUGUGUCGCCAUUUGAAAAUACAGAGAAUUGUCUAAUAUUUGUUAACGGCGAUUGACAACUAUUAUUGAAAAUAUCCAUGGCUGGGGGAAAAAUUGAAAGUAUGCAUUGUUAAAUAUGAUACAAUAAUAAUAUAUAUUAUAAAAUAAAAUGGUAAAAUAAAUGAGUUACCGUUGGAAAUGUUAGAUAACGGAGUUCUAACAUUUAAAUGUGAAGGAGGAGUUUGUAACAUUGCUUGUUUUGUUAUAUAUGCACUUGUUUUAGAUCAGAAUGUGCUUUUAUUUCGAUGUACAACUCCUUUGAAUUCAUAUACAAAAAAAUGGUUAUGAGAAAUGUAAAAUUGUUUAAUAAUUAUUUUAAUAUUAUAUAAAUAUGAAUAUUGAUAAAGAGAUUAUAUAAAAAGACGAUGAUGUAAUAAAUUUUAUUACAUAUAUUUAAAAAAAACUUAAAAAGUUUAAAAGCAAUCAAGUAUGUUACCGUUUGAAUCCAAUCUGAUGUUUGGUAACGGUGUCUGAAAACUGUUAUUUGGAAUAUCGAUGACUGAGAAAAGAAGAUUGAAAUGUACAUUAUCAAAUAUGAUACAAUAACAACAUAUAUUAUAAAGUAAUAUGGAAAAAUAUAUGAAUUACCAUUGGAAAUGUUAGAUAACGGAGUUCUAACAUUUAAAUGUGAAGGAGGAGUACGUAACAUUGGUUGUUUUGACAUAUUUGUUGUUGAUGUAGAUGUGGAUACGCUUUUAUUUCGAUGGACAACUCCUUUGAAUUUGAUUGGAAAAAAAAUCUUAUAAGAAAUGGAUAAAUUUUAAAUAAUCUUGUAAAUUUUUAAAUAGUAUAUGAAUAUUAAUAAUGAUAAAUAGAUUAUAUAAAAAAAUGUGGAUGACAGAAUUUUUAUUUUACAAAUUUAAAAUAGAAAAAAAAAGUGUAUAAGCAAUCAAGUAUGUUACCGUUUGAAUCCAAUCUGAUGUUUGGUAACGGUGAUUGAAAACUGUUAUUGGAAAUAUCCAUGACCGGGAAAAGAAGAUUGAAGGUAUACAUUAUUAAAUAUGAUAAAAUAAUAAUAUAUAUUAUAAAAUAAAAUGGUAAGAUAAAUGAGUUACCAUUUGAAAUGUUAGAUAACGAAGUUCUAACAUUUAGACGUGAAGGAGAAGUUUGGAAAUUUGAUUUUUUUGACACAUUGGCACUUGAUGUAGAUGCGGAUAGGUUUUUAUUUCAAUGCACAAUUCCUUUGAAUUUGUCUGCAAAUAAAAAAAUUGUUAUAACAAAUGGAUAAAUUUUAAAUAAUAAUGUAAUUUUUCAAAUAUUCUAUGAAUAUUAAUAUACAAAAUACAUGACACAAAAAAUGAGCAUGUAAGAAUUUUCAUUUUACAUAUUUAAAUAAAGAAUAAAGAAUAAAAGUGUAUAACCAAUUAAGUAAAUUACCAUUUCCCUUCAUUUUAAAAAGAUGUGAUGUUGAUGAAGUUGUAUGAAUUCAUUCGGUCAUAACUUUUUUUUUAUUGUCCAAGUAUAAUUUUCUUAUUUUUCUUUUUUCUGUAGCCUGAACAUGAUAGAUGUUCCUAUUUGAAUCUGUAUAAGCAUAUAUACACACAUAAAAUAGUUAUAUUCAGAUUAAAAACAUUGAUAAAGAAAGUUGUAAAAUAUAUAAUGAACGUACUGUUAUCACCUGGGUUAGUAACAUUUGUAGAAGAUGGAAUUCGACCGACUGAUGUAGUGUACAAAGGUAAUUGUUUUGUAUUAUCCAGAUAGAAAUUAUUUAAUUUUAUCUUCUUAUUAGUCUUAAAAGAGUCCAUGUUAGUAGCUGCUAUCUGAAAUGGAAAAAGAAAUAUAACUUUAUACAAAAACAUUAUAUAUUGAAAAUUAUUUUCAAAUUUAAGAAUAAAUAAAUAAAUAUUUCAAAUUUAAAAUAGUAUGCAAUAAACCCAAAGAAAAGAAAGUAUUAUGUAUUAUUGAUGUGCACAAAAGUACCCACUAAUUUUAAUAUUUAUAACCUAACAAACUUAGAAUAACUAUGCACUUAUAGGCAGUGUACCUAGUCAGAUUACAAUAUAGCUUAGGUAAGUCGGGUGUCGAUCACAGGGAACGGUGGUGAAUUAAUUUAAUAUAUUUGAUUAUAGGUUACAGGUCACAUGAAAAGAAUAAAGAAAUAGUUUAAUAAAUCUCAAACUAACAAUUAAUUAACAACUUUGGAUAAACUAACUGGAAAGCAAAUCUCUUCAGGUACUUUGGUUUAGAUAAAUUACACCUUAAAAAACAUAGACAAUUGUAUACACAAGUUCAUUUAUUCAUGUUCACCGAUUCCUAAAAUGAUUAGAUUCGCGUUCACUAUAACUAAUCCUUUAGCAAACAAGUCAAUUCAAACAGUGAUCAGUUGAUUAAACUAACAUGCUUCCUAGUGUUCAGUUCGUAUCAAGCAAGACUUGUAAAUAUAGUUAAUCAAAUUACUAAUUCAAUUUAACCUCUUGUUGAUGGUCAUCAAACAAGGCUCACACAUUAACUUACUUAUUCCCAAGUUAAUCCUAGUUUCACAUUCGUUAUUCCUAGACUUAUAAUCUCGAUGGUCAUCAAAAUCAUAAGAGACAAGCAAUCAAACAGAUGUUCAUAUAACUCAAUUUACUUAACAAUUAACAUCAAAUAAUUAUCAUUAAUACGUAAGGAUCUUUUAACAAGCUUGGCAAGAUAAAUUAAACAUAAACAAACAAUUCAAUAUAGCAAUUAGUCUAAUAAUCAAGGUUUCAUUCAAUCAUAAACACAAAGUAAAAGGUUUUUACACCCAAAUCAGAAACUAAAUACAGAAUAGUAACACAAUGGAAUGCUAAACAUGGUCACGUUAACAACCCAUAUGAUUACCGACAUGUAUCCACUCUCCAACCCUUCCGAUCUUCACUCCUGUUAGCUUAACGGCCUUCCGGCCGCCUUCUAGACCCUCAAAACGGCUUAACAGAAGUUUAAUAUCGACUAAAUUAGGUUGGAAGUCGAAUCCCCCCUUCUGGUUAGCUGAUAAUCGACUUUUAUAACCUUUGUAACCGACUUACGUACGCUGGGCGUACUAAGGGUUUAUACGCGAUUGGAGUUAUCCGAUGCCAGCCGUUACGUGGGGCAUACACAAGAAUUACGCUGGGCGUAACUCGUCUUAGCCAUUACGCUUGGCGUACAAGUAAAUUACGCGGGGUGUAAUCGUUCCUCCAGCAUUUUCCUUUCUUUUAGCCUCUAAGCCUGAUUUCCGCUUCAGUCUUUUCUUUUGUGCUUUAUCGACAACGAAUAGCUGCAAAUCAUAAUUUAAAGCAUUAUGAGUACUUUUUAGUUCUAAAAGAGAAUAAUAAAGGCCAAAAUAUUAAGAUAUAAUGCAUAAAAAUAUAUAUAAAAAUACACAUAUCCAAAUACCCCACACUUAGUCUUUGCUUGCCCCCAAGCAAAUUUUAAUUUUAUUUUACCAUUAUCGCAUUAAACAAUCCAUUUAAAACUCAACCAUUAUGCCAAGACCUCAACGCAUGCAUUUGUGUCUAAAAUUUUCCUAAAAUACCCCCCUACUUUAAAUACUCACAAUCUUCAUAAACACUUGCCCACUUUUUACGAACAAUGCUCAUUUUAUGCAACCCUCCGAAUCCAUCCGCAGAAAACCUCCUUAUCCUCAAGGUAUUUUCCUUGAUAAUUUGAUCUUUGAUUUCUUUGAAUUCACCAUCUUAUUUGAAUUGAUUUCUGGUAUCUUCAACUUUUUUGAAUUUCUUGGAAUUUUGAUCUAAUUCUUCACUUUAUUCGCUCCAAAAUUCUUCAAACUUUUCUUGCAAUUCUUUUUUUUUUUCUUUUAACAUGUACCUCACUUUUUUCACUCAAAACCUACAAGCUUAAGCAGAGGCGCUCAACCUCAACCUUUAUCGGUUAACGAUAAUAAUUUUCCUGGAUACAUUUCAGGUUUAGGCUGCUAAACAUAUUGCAUCCCUCAAACCAAGCGGGGUUAUGUUUUUGUUCCAUGAUUUCACUAAAAUAAGGGAGGCCACAAAUGCACUAUAACGUAUAUUGGCUCAACUAAACAUUUGAGUUCUCAUCGGAUCAUCUCAUACAAUAUUAGCAAAAUUUAAAUUAUCACUAGAUUUUUCUAAAUUAAACUAUUAUUUCAAGUUUUAAAAUUUUUAAAUUUCCUAAAUCUAGCAAUUUCCUAACUAUUAUUUUAUUUUUAUAAUUUACUAUUACCGACCCCCUACCCCACACUUAUUUCAUACAAUGCCCUCAUUGUAUGCUAAAACGAAUUAAGAACAUAAAAAGGGAGAAAAAGGAACAGACUCCCCUGGGUAGUUGUGGCGAGAUCGAAUGGGGCUGCUACAAGUUGCUCCAAAUAUCGCUGAAAGACUGAAAACUGAACUGCUGCUUCUGAAUUUGUCGAAAAAUAAAAUCAAGACUGCCGACUUCAAAAAAUGUGGUGCACAAUAUUGCAAGUAAAUGCAAUGUGUAGUAACCAUGACGUGGGAAAGUGUUGACCACAUCAUGUCUUCAAAAAUGACAUCCUCUUCUCGCGAUGAAAAAUCCUCCACAGCAUAGGAAAGUGUCAGCCAUGUCGUGGCAGCCGGGAUGAUACGUCUUCCUCGCGUCAAAAUAGAACUCUAUGGUGUGGGAACAGCUCAUCAUACCAUAAAAGGUAAAAUAUCGUAAAAAUGCCAAUCGUCUAAAUGAACGCUCACGAAAUCAAUAUGCACCCCACACUUAUGACAAAUUGUGGGUCUUGACUAUACUUUUCGAACUCUCACACGACUCUCUCUAGCAACAGUCGGACCUAGCUGCUAAACUUACUGCCAGCUUUCUAAGGGCGAAAAUUCUGCAGAGAUCUAAACAACCAAAGAGCAUCAACAUGGAAAACAAAAAUAGAACAUCCUAAAUUAAAGUUUAAUUACAUACCAAAUAAAAAACUAAAACUAGAAACACAAAAAUAAACUAAAAAUAACAUAAAAAUAAAAAGGAUAACUAAAUCACUCAUCAUCUCCAUCAUCAUGCUGCUGUGUCCCAGAAGUACCGGCCCCAUCAUGUCGUGGCCGGAAUGGUGGAGGGUAAGGAACCGAGUACUGAAACCCCUAGUGGGAAAAGAAUACGGUCAACGCAUCCCCAUACCACUAUUGUUGCCUGUCCACAUGUGCAACAUACUCACUAAGGUUCUGAACCCUCAUGUCAAGACAGUCAAUGCCCUGAGCUAGGUAGCGCAUAUCAAUCUUCGGCUCAGGUCCCUGUUGCGCUCCCCGAGGAGCAGGUCUACGCUGCUGGACCCGUCUCGGCUGUGGCUCGGCAGCACCCUCCUCGUCCGCCACAUCAUCUGCUCGUACNNNNNNNNNNNNNNNNNNNNNNNNNNNNNNNNNNNNNNNNNNNNNNNNNNNNNNNNNNNNNNNNNNNNNNNNNNNNNNNUGAUCUCUCGUUAACAACUGAUAUGAUCGGGCUAGUCGCGUGAUAAAAUGCCCUCUGCACAUCGGGCUAUCCUCCCGAAGUCCCCUGGCCCUCUGUCCCAAAUAUGCAGCUAAAGCAACUGGAAGGUUCAGGUGCCUCCCUGGAGUAACAAGUGCCCAUAGGAAAUACAAGUCUAUCGAAGGCACUCUCUCACUAUUCUUAUGAUGCGUGAGAGUCAUGGAAAUCAACCGGUGCAACAGUCUAUAUGUAGUAGACCGAAUCAUCCUACCCCGUGCAGUAGAUGGCGUAUAAACUCCCCCUGUAAUCUCAGCCCAAAAAGUGUGCUCAUUAUAUUCAUCUGGCCGCUCCGUGAGACAAUCAGCAAGGAAUGUCGGGAAGUGGACACUCCUCGUCUCAUCUGCUGUGUAUAUACCCACUCAAGUCGCAAGCUCUAUGACACUGCACUCCCGACUCACACCCCCCAGUCUAAAGGCAAAAGUUGUCCUAUCAUCGGGUGCCUUCCUAGGAUCAUAGGAAACUGUAGCGUAAAACUCCAACAAAAAUUCCCGAUAAACAGGCUCCUGGAUCCUGAACAAUCGUGCCCACCCCUGCCAUACGAACAAUUCCACUCCAAUCGCGUCCGAGUGCGUGUAUUGCAAAAAAAUCCUGGAUCAGUGUAGCAAGUCCAGUCCAGGUCGCCAAUUCCCAGUCGAAUGAUGGUGCUAUGUCGAUCUCCUUGGUGAGCAGCAAACUCAAACUGUUGACAUAUCGUGCCCGGGUUGCAUCGUUCAGAGUUUGCGGAAAUUGUAAGAAACGNUCAGAGUUUGGGAAAUUGUAAGAAACGGUGAUCGGUCACAUCCUCGGGUGGGUUGGUCCUUUGAGUUCUUCGGGCCAUAAUCUGCACACAUAAACACAAAACCAAACAAAAUAUAACAGCAUUAAAAAAAUUUUAAACCAAAAAAAAAUGGUGCUGGAUAUGGACUGUACGCUGGGCGUACGUCCAGGUUCCACGAAUAUGUGUUCUGCUUCCUUUUCUUGUGCUAAAGUUAUAACCCAUAUCAAAAAAUUUCAAAUUAACCAACUGCAAGCAAUAAACACAGCAGGGCAAACACAUGGGGCAUAUCGAGCUUCGUGGUCCAAGACAGUAGAAAAACGGGACCACUCUAAAAAAUAUGAACCAUUCUCCUGUUCGUUCCUUAUCUUAUCAAGAUUAGAAAGCACUACAAAAGAAAAACUUCAUUGGGGCAGUCAAGAAUCGAAGUCAACAGGGUUACGCUUAGCGUCCGUCCCCGAGCUCAAAAUGAUGGGUCUAUCACGGGAUUAAGACCAAAUUAGGUACUAGGGUUUAGUCCAUUGAUGGAAAUCGGUCUUUUUAAGUCCUAAUCAAAACAUACAAUUAUGAAAUCGGCCCUAAUUCAAGAACCCUAUAAACCCUAGAUUUCGAACAAAGGCAUUUUGCAGCUUAUUCCAUCGAUUUAAACACAAAUCCAAAACAUUGAGUAACCGAAAAACUUACCUGUGUGCUGAAUUUUACAAGAAAAGAAGCAAAAUUGAAAAUCCUUGGGAGAGCUUGCCGUCACAGUUCGUGUGUGCGAAGGAAAGGAUUUUGAAAAAGUAACAAAAAAGUCAAGGGUCAAAAGAUAUAACCUGGUCACCGAUUUACGCUGGGCGUAAAACAAGGUUACGCUGGGCGUAACUCCAACUCCAUGAAAAGUCCAUCCGCGAUCCGGGGUUUAUUACGCUUGGCGUAAUUAAAAUUACGCUGGGCGUAAUGAAGUAUUCCUUUUCUUUAACUGAAAUUUCUUUUCUUUUAACUAUUUAAUUAAGGGACUAAAAACUUAAUUAUUUUUCUUUUUAAUUUCUUCAGCAACUGAUGACUUUCCGAUGAGUAAAAAAAAUGAGACGUCAUAAUCACUUAUCUUUGUCAAGAUCAAACAACAAUGGUUGAUUAAAAACCUUUGCACGCAAGAAUUGGUUUGCGAAAACACCCACUUUCGGGACCCGUUAGAAUAUUUCCUUUGUUUUCUUUGCACCUUUAACUAAAAGCGGAACAAGAAGUGACCUAACUAGUCAAGAACAGCAAGAGUUCGGUCUUCCACUUAACCACCACAAUACGCCUUACUAUACUACGCCUCAUGGAUUGAGUUGGACAAAUCAACAAAGUAGUAAGCCAACCAGGUCAAGAAUUUCCUAAUCGCUUGGAUUCUCGAAACCCAUGCAAAAAGUAAAGUCAAGCAAUGUGUACAAUCCCAAAUUCCUGCAAUUAACAACAAGAACCUUCCCGACAAGUGAAAUGAUAUCAACGAAAACCAAACUAAAAAUAAAAACUAACUAAAAACAAAUAACGAAUAAUCAAAAAAACUAAAUUAAUGACAAGCUGUUCCCGGCAACAGCGCCAAAAACUUGAUGUGCACAAAAGUACCCACUAAUUUUAAUAUUUAUAACCUAACAAACUUAGACUAUCUAUGCACUUAUAGGCAGUGUACCUAGUCAGAUUACAGUAUAGCUUAGGUAAGUCGGGUGUCGAUCACAGGGAACGGUGGUGAAUUAAUUUAAAAUAUUUGAUUAUAGGUUACAGGUCACAUGAAAAGAAUAAAGAAAUAGUUUAAUAAAUCUCAAACUAACAAUUAAUUAACAACUUUCGAUAAACUAACAGGAAAGAAAAUCUCUUCAGGUACUUUGGUUUAGAUAAAUUACGCCUUAAAAAACAUAGACAAUUGUAUACACAACUUCAUUUAUUCAUGUUCACCGAUUCCUAAAAUGAUUAGAUUCGUGUUCACUAUAACUAAUCCUUUAGCAAACAAGUCAAUUCAAACAGUGAUCAGUUGAUUAAACUAACAUGCUUCCUAGUGUUCAGUUCGUAUCAAGCAAGACUUGUAAAUAUAGUUAAUCAAAUUACUAAUUCAAUUUAACCUCUUGUUGAUGGUCAUCAAACAAGGCUCACACAUUAACUUACUUAUUCCCAAGUUAAUCCUAGUUUUACAUUCGUUAAUCCUAGACUUCUAAUCUCGAUGGUCAUCAAAAUCAUAAGCGACAAGCAAUCAAGCAGAUGUUCAUACAACUCAAUUUACUUAAUAAUUAACAGCAAAUAAUUAUCAUUAAUACGUAAGGAUCUUUUAACAAGCUUGGCAAGAUAAAUUAAACAUAAACAAACAAUUCAAUAUAGCAAUUAGUCUAAUAAUCAAGGUUUCAUUCAAUCAUAAACGCAAAGUAAAAGGUUUUUACACCCAAAUCAGAAACUAAAUACAGAAUAGUAACACAAUGGAAUGCUAAACAUGGUCACGUUAACAACCCAUAUGAUUACCGACAUGUAUCCGCUCUCCAACCCUUCCGAUCUUCGCUCCCGUUAGCUUAACGGCCUUCCGACCACCUUCUAGACCCUCAAAACGGCUUAAAAGAAGUUUAAUAUCGACUAAAUUAGGUUGGAAGUCGAAUCCCCCCUUCUGGUUAGCUGAUAAUCGACUUUUAUAACCUUUGUAACUGACUUACGUAUGCUGGGCGUAAGUCGGAUUACGCUGGGCGUACUAAGGAUUUAUACGCGAUUGGAGUUAUCCGAUGCCAGCCAUUACGCGGGGCGUACACAAGAAUUACGCUGGGCGUAACUCGUCUUAGCCAUUACGCUUGGCGUACAAGUAAAUUACGUGGGGCAUAAUCGUUCCUCCAACAUUUUCCUUUCUUUUAGCCUCUAAGCCCGAUUUCUGCUUCAGUCUUUUCUUUUGUGCUUUAUCGACAACGAAUAGCUGCAAAUCAUAAUUUAAAGCAUUGUGAGUACUUUUUCGUUCUAAAAGAGAAUAAUAAAGGCCAAAAUAUUAAGAUAUAAUGCAUAAAAAUAUAUAUAAAAAUACACAUAUCAAUUAUGUAUUAUCAAUAUUAAUUUUUCUUCAAAAUAAGUUGAAUAUAUCAAGAUAAAAAGUAUAUUCAAACUAAGAAAAUAAACCAGAAACACACAUACAAUAUUUUUGAACAACAAAAGCAUAAAAGUACAUACAAAAAAUAUAAAGACAAAGAAUUUACCAUUAUGUCCCUAGAGUACUAAUAAUGAGAAGAACAAAGAGAAACUGAAAUAUAAAUUUAUAUAGUUGCACUCAUGAAUGACUAAAAUAACACGAAAUGUAUUAAUUGUCAAUGUGGUUGAGCGCAAAUUACCAUUAUGUCCCUGGAGUACUAAUAAUAAAAACAAAAAUUAUAAAAUCCUUAAAAUAGUUCUAUAGAUGGUAUACUGGUAAUUAAAACAAUCAGUUUUUCCACAUGCCUCUUAAAAAAUCAUUUACAACCAUAAAUAAGUUUACCAAUAUACCCGUAACACAUUAAUUUUGUAUAUGUAAUAUGUAAGAUAUGAGAUAUAUGUGGCGAGGGCAUUUUCGUCCUUUAAACAUACUUAUAACAAUUAACAAACCUCAUGAUACAUUAUAACAGUGGAUAAUGGAUCGACAUACAUAUAUACUUUUCCUUUUAAUGAAGAGGCGUGAAAUAUGCAAUUGACAGAAAUGCCCCUUCUACAAGACACACCUAUUUAAAUUGCAUAAAACCACACCGCUUAACCUAUUUAUUCAUAUUUGAUGUUAGAGUUCUAUAAUUACCAAGGUGUUUUUAUCUUUUACUUAAUAGAAAUAUGUCUCGAUCAAGUAAGUUCAGGUAUAUGUUUUUUUUAUCUAAUGCAAAUAUAAUGACAUAAUAAGUAAAAUAAGAGAAAAACUACAAAAUAUUGGGUAAAAUUAAAAAACGAGCCACACCCUUUAAACAAACCAUCAUUGGGUUAUCAAAAUCAGUAACAUGAAUGUAGUCACUAUAAAUUAUAUGCAAAUAGGUAUACAUGAGAAAUAGCUAAAAUGAAAAAUGAUAACUACCUCCACCUUAUAGUUUAUAAAAAAUAAGGCAAACACCUUAACUACAUGCAUAGAUACUCUACUCCCAAUACUAAAGAAAUUAGUCUACAAAUGGCUUUAGUUAAUAUGUUUUUGGUUUAAACCGGUUCAGAUCAAUGACAAAAAAAUAUAAUUAUAGUAAAACAUGACAGAAAUGCCCCUUAAUUCAAAAUGGGACCAAUCAAUCAAGUAAUACAAAAUACAAUCACGUAAUACCUAAGCAGAGAAAAUAUAACACAAAAAACAGAAAAAAAAUUUAUUUCUAUAAAACAUGACAGAAAUACCCCCGAACUAAAAAAAUAAAAAUAAUCAAAAUUACAUUUCUAUUCGUAUGAGUUUGACGGUACUUUUAGGUUUCUUUGUGUAAUCCGUCAAUGAAUCUGGCCUAUGAGUUUGACGGUACUUUUAGGUUUCUUUGUGUAAUCCGUCAAUGAAUCUGGCCUAUAAACAUGACCUGAACCAAUUUUUUUACUUGGUGAACCAAUUUAAUAGAAAAAAAAAUUUGUUCUAAUUACCAUUCUACCAUUUGUAACUUGGGAAUGAUUAAUUAACAUACAAAGGUGAAUUUUCUCUACCUGCUGCCUUACGUUCAAAAUGACAAAAUUGUAUUGGUAAACAUGAACCAAAAUGGACAAAGGUUUCAAUUUUGGACAAACACAGUAAAAAUAUGAACCAAAACAAUAAACAUUGAUAUAAUUUUGCGAUGGUAUUAUCUCCAAAAGAAUAAAAAAUUUCAAUUUUGCGAUGAUAUAGUUUCAAUUUUGCGAAGAAGCAACGUAAGCAGUAAACCAGAUUGCGGUGAGAGAGAGAGAGAGAGGGCCUGCCGCCUGCGAUUGGUAAUUUGUGAUGGUAUCUCUCGACCGAGAAAGGGGAGCGAUUGAUGAACAGAACCAUAUUAAGAGGAAUUAUGAUUGUCAAAUAAGUUUUUGAUCGUUCUUUUGAUCGUUGUUAUUUAGGACAAUAUCUCAUAGUGAAAUACGAAUAAGGUAUCAGUUAAAGUGUCACACACACGCAUACACAUUAAGAAGCAUAAAUAACUUUCAAUUUUGCGAUUAACACAGACAUUGAGAAGCAGGGGCUUACAUAUACACAAUGAGAAGCAGAAUUGAGAAGCAGAAACUUACCGAAGGAUUGAAGUCGUUGACACAGACUCCAAUAACUGAAGUGUCGAUGAUGCUUGAUUGUUGGAAGACAAUGCUGUAAAGAACCUUGGAAACACGAUGCUAUAAAUAAAUUAAGAAGCAGAAUUGAGAAGAAGAAACUGAAAUCGAGAUUGAAGUCUAAGAUUGAAUAUCCGAUAAAUAAUUAGUCCAUGAUUCAGAAACUUGAAAACAUAAUGCUGUAAAGAAAUAUUGAUUAUCAUAUUUUUGAAAUAUAUAUUGACAAUAAUAUGAUCAAAUCGACAUAAUAAUCAAAAUUAAAUGUAAUCGAUGUGAUUGAUAUGGAUACCAUAAUAACAUGCUCUUAAUCGGGUAAGAAAUGAUUUUGAGUUAAUGUGUACAACUGGUAGCAAAGAUAAAAAUCGGUAAUUAAAAUAGGGAGUUAUAUGGAUUCCAUAUUGGAUUCAAUAUUCAAUUUCAAAUUUCCAUAUUCCACAUCGAUUACUACGUGAAACAAUAAAAUAACAAAAACGGUAUUUUACAUUUGUAGAAUACUAAUUAAUUGCAGAAUACUGAUUUUUUGAAGUUUAUAAUUUCACUAUAAAAAACUGUAAUAACAUAACCAUUUUUAUUUUUCUGAUUUAUUUGAAGUAAUUUAGACUUAUAAUACCUGAAAUAGUGGUAUGUGUUUUAGAGUUUUGUACAAGAGCAUUGUGUUUUUUAAAAGUAUUUACAUAUCUACGGUACUUUUAAAUUUAUUUACUAAAAGAUUGUAAAAUUUUAAAAUUCAUGUGGACCUAUCCCUUUUAUACCAAAAAUAUAAGAAAUUAAUUAUGCGCCUCCCCACCGCUCAUUUUUCUCGCAUUUGUCGCUGGAAAAUGAUGGCCAACAAGAUAAUUUCAAAACAUUAUAAAAAGAUUUCUCUUUCGCUUGUUUGCUCGCUAGAAAAUGAAAACAAACAUAAACGGUCAUAAAUAAAAACAACCAAACACGAAUUAAAUAUAUUGACAGAUUUAGAUUCUUCCGGCUGCGAACUUGGUUUGCUCAUUGGAAUAUGAAUACAACCAAACAAUUUGGAAAUCGAAAAGGAAAUUGUUGGAAAUGCACCACGUUCAUAGAUCUUGUGCCAAAACAUUUCUCGUAUAUAUUUGUUUCAAACAUUGGUCGUUCAAUCAAUGUCAUAUAACUUGGAAAUUUGGAGGGGGGAGGGGUUGUUUAACAGAUGAUACCGAGGGUUAUGAAUGGGUUAGUCGGUGGCAAGGCGGAUGUAGAGGUUCAUCCGCAGUGUGGUUUGGGGAGAAUUUCAGCAGUGUUUUGGAGUUGACGAUGUCGGACGGUGAUCGUGUCAUAGGUGUAAACACUGCACAACACAACAUGUAGACUAGGUAUUACUGGCAAUGCUUGUUAUGAAAAAAAUAAAAAACCAGUAGACUUCAAUCGUUGAAGCAGGGAAAAUGUGGUUGUGGUAGGUUCAAUGGAUGUAUGCGCACUCAUGCACAGUAGGGGUUUGCAGCGGUGCUAAGGGUUGCCAAAUGGUUUUGCAAGUAAUGUGAGCAUCAAAAGACAAUUAACAUGAUUUCAUUUAUUUUAUUUAAGUACAAUUAAAUGGGAAAUAAUUUUAAAAGUACUAUAUUAUAGUAAAUAUUUUUCUUAACCGCUACCUUUUAGUAAAAAACUAUGUGUUUUAAACAGGUAUAACUGUAUAAAAAACCUAAGAGUUUGCAGAGGUUCAUGGGAUUACAUCUUAGUGGUAUGUGCUUUAAGGGUAAACACAUUUUUCUUCUUUUAGGCUAGAUUUAUUACAUCACAAGGAAUCCCGUGGCGAGGGCAUUUUCGUCCUUAGGAUAUAUAAAUUUUGUUUCCGGUACUGUUUUGUACUUUGUAGUGCUUAAGAAACGGGAAGAUAUGAUUAAGUUGUGAAUGAUCUGGAUCCAUAUCAAUGAUCCGGUACUAUUCUACCCUUUGUAAGAGAAAAACACAUAAAGUCACAAACUAUAUACCCCUGUUGUGAAAAUUACCAAUAUGUCACUAUAAAAAAAUGAGCAUUAUUUUGAACAGGUUGUUCUAAUUACCAUUCUACCCUUUGUAACUAGAGAAUGAUUAGUUAAUAUGUCAUGCAUUGUUUCCUCCUGUUGCGUGUUCAAUAUUAUAACAAUCAAUAAACAAUUUUAAUGGAAUUUAAAUGAUUGAAAUUGUAGAGAUGAACAAAAGAAUUGACAAAGGGCAAAAUUGACAUCUAAUGCAUUGUUUCUUCCUGUUGCGUGUUCAAUAUCAUGACAAAUCUCAUUUGACAGCUUCAUUACAAUUUUUGUUUCAUACAUUACCUCAAAUAAUAUACAAGCACAUUCCCAAGAAUGCAUUCACCGAUAUACCAUUUUAUUGUGAAAAUUACCAAUAUGUCCAUGUACAAAAAAUGAGUAUUAUUUUCAACAGGAUUUUAUUGAAUUUAUUCAUAUUUGAGACAUCUUUUUUAUAGAGCAAAUAUACUUAUAACACGAAAAUGAAAAGUAGAAUGGUAUAUUUUUUAAUUUUUUUGAAUUUUAUUGCAAAUAUAUUGGUAAAAAAAAUCUUUAAAAACAUAAUGGUUUCCUUCUUUUACACUAUCAAUAGACACACAUAUAUUAAAAGAAGAUUAAUCUAAUUACAGGCAUAACCCAAAAAGCAGUUUUUUACUUAAGAUAGAGAUUAGCAGCGUAAAGAAACCAAGAACUAUCAAUGUUUGAAUACUGAACACCACGAAGAGCAAAACUGUCAAACAAAAUCCCCAAAAAAAAUAAUUCAAGAAUAUUGUUGGUGCAUAAAAAGGACAAUCUAAAAUUACUUUUCAAGCUUUGGUAUUAAUAGACCUGUGUUUCCAUCCACCCUGGAAUUCAAGCGAGGUAUUUUUGUCGACGAAUUCACAUUAUCAUACUCAUCAAUAUCAAUGCUAUCUCCAACGUUUCGCUUUUUUACCAUUGUGGGCGAAUUAAACUUGAACGGACUUGUAGCUUCUAUUUGUCAUGCAUGGAAGGGGUCAAAUUAUCACUGGUUUGUUAUAUCGCGUCCUUAAAGCAAAAACCCGAAACAGCGUUAGUACGAUAAUAUUAACAAAUUAACAAAAAAAUAAUUUAUAAAAGGAAUUUAUAUAAAAUUAAAAAAUGUGGAUUUAUAUUAUAACCUUUAAUGACUUUGUUUCAUGAGAUGCUUCGUGAGAUGCGAUUUUGUAUCGUCAGCAUUUGUAGAAUUACCUCCCUGCUUCAAAAGUUUAAAUAUGUAUUAUCAUUUGUGGGAUUAAAUUUUUGUUCCAUCAAGAUUUACAAUUAAUUAGUGACGAUCAUUAAAUAAAAGUAUGCAUCAUAAUAAUUAAUUAAUUUUCAAAAAACAUAAAAAUAUAUGUAUAUAAAUACCUCAACAGCUAACUUUUUUUCCAAAACAUUGAUAAUGUUACUAUCAAGCGUAUAGCCAAGUAUCCCAAAACGAUUGUAGUUAUUGGAUACGUUAAAACUAUUAACAUCUAACACGAAUGCCAUCUUUUUAUGCACCAGACAGUUGAGGUCAUAAGGAUACAAUCUCGGAUCAUCACCAGCCUGGAAAGAAUGAGUUAUGUAAUAUUAUUAUGGUUAAAAGCACAUUAAUAUAGAUAAAAUCAAAUAGAUAAUAGAAUUUAAUAAAACAAAUAAUAUAUUUAUAGUAUGUCUGUUUGAUUUUCUCUAUGGGUUCACUUGCACGUUUUUUGACGAGUUUAUAAGCAUCUCUAUCAAACAUAGUGAGUGUGAUUGUUCCAGAUUCAUCUUGGACACGAAUAGGUAUUUUAUACCUACAAAAAAGUACGACAUAAAUAUCAUAUUAAAUAUUAAAUAUGUUUAAUGUGUAAUGUUUGUUAAUGUAUUUAAUUUGUGGGUGAACUAUUGUUAAAUUUUAAAAACCUUGGAACUGAAGAUAUCUCCUUUUUUUACACUUAGAAUUAUAACAUUCAACAACCACACUUGCAUCACCACUAUCUGGACCGCUGAAAACGUUUCUUGGUUCAACCUUCCUUCCACAUUUUGAACACGCAUCAUAAUACCAAUCAAUAUCUUGUCGGAUACCAUAAAUGGUACCAACAAUGAUAUAUUUCCCGACCUUAAAAAAUAUAAAAUACAAAAAGAAUCAUAAAAAAAAAUACAAUUAUAAUAUUAUAAUAAACGAAUAAUAGAUAACAAAAUCACAUUAAAAAAAACUAAAUUAUUCACAUACCUCUUGUGGUUCUAGCAAAUCGACAACAUUUUUAACGUUGUGAUUUGUCAAAAAGUCAUCAUAUUCAUUGCAUGAUUGAGAGCUAUCAACGGUCAAAGAAGAAGAAGGAUUUUGAAUUCCUCGUAAUCCAACCAUGUUGUUUUUUUUAUUUGAUAGAUUAAUUAUGAAAUUAGUAAAAUUAUUAAAAAGAAACAAAAAAAACAAUGAAUUAUUAAAAUAGAUUGUUACCUAUCUGUGAAUGUAACAAUUUCGGGAAGAUCAACAUUUAUGAACAUCGGUGUGUGUUUAUAAUAACUGUUAAAAUAGUUAAAAUAAUGAGCAAUAUAAAAGCCUAAAAUAACAAAGGGGUCCUUUUAUAAGAAAUGUACCGUUAUAGACAUUAAGUCUUGCAAACUGCAAAAUAACAACCACACGACCAACUUCUUUAUGUGCUUCAAGAUAAGAAAUCAAUUGGUAUGCAAUAUCUCCAAACAAUGUGACGUUAACCUGCAAACCUCUGCAAAAACAGUACGGGUUAAAUGAUAAUAUAAUAAUAAAAUUACAUAUGGCAGUUGUAACCUAAUCAAUUUAAUAUAUAAUAAUAAUAAUAAUAAUAAUAAUAAUAAUAAUAAUAAUAAUAAUAUAAGAUAUAAUAUAAGAAAAGUUAUGAUUUGUAAAGUUAGCCGAUGUUUGGAUUUGCUGACAUCACGGGAAUCAAGCUUUCCUAACGAAACAACUUCACCAAUAACAUCUACAAAAUGAUAAUACAAUAUGUCAAAAUGAUGUAAAAUUAAAGAAUUAAAUAUAAGAUGCAAUUAAAUAGGGGAAACAUUUACCAAUUGAGUUAUUAGAUGUAGCUGUUGCAGAAAUAAUGCUUUCAAACGAUACACAACAAAAGUCAUAUGUUGUUUUGGACUAAAAAGUUAGACAAUCAUUAACAGUUUUUCGUCCAUGCAAGUUUAACUUGGAGAGUACAUCACUUAUUUUAAAAAUGUAUCUGUUUGGAGCUAUAGUGGGGGAUCGGAUGUAAAUUGCUUUAUCUUCUUUCAGUUUUAAAAGUGUAUCUCUUGGGUAGACACUUGCUCGGAUUUUUGUACCCUAUUCACAUAUCGUAAGAAUAUUAUAUAUAUUGCGAAACAAUUGUAUAUUAAUUUAUAUAAAUUGGUCAACAUUGAAUCAAUUAUUUGACCAUGAAUGAUUUUAAAUAAUAUUAUUGGAAUGAGCAAAUAAACAAAAAAAAAUAAUUUUGAAUAAUGUAAUUAGAAUAGGAUAUUUUACCAUCUCAUCCAUUAAUAUCAUUUCAAGUGCUUUGACAAUACUAGGGUUAACUUUGGAUAAUGAUCUCCACAGCCGGAUAAUACACACUUUUAGUGUUUAAUCAUCCCUCAUGUUGUCUAAGUCUUUGAUCAAAGUGACAUUUCUAUCUGCCAUUGUCACUAUAAUAGAAAGACAUAACAUAUUAAGAAAAAAUAAUGGAACAAAAUUACACAAAAAAUAUAAAGACAAACAUAAUUACAAUUAUGUCCCUGGAGUAGUAGGCGGAUAAAAAGAUUCUGAAUAAUACAAUAAAUUAUUAUAAAACAUUCAAACAUAUUCAAACAAACUAUAUACCGCUGCUGUGAAAAUUACCAAUAUGUCCCUGGAGUUGUAGGCGGAUAAAAAGAUGAAAAACAAACAGGGCAUUUUCGUCCAUUGAACUUACUUAUAACAUGAAAAAUAAAAGUACAAUGCCAUUAUAUGUAAUAUUUUCGAAUUUUGUUGCACAUAUAAUUUUUUUUUUUGUACUGUACUGUUGGAAUACAUUUUUCUUUCCUUCUGUUAUUUUACUUUGUAACUAUUGGAACUAAUGUUUAUUAUGUUAUAUAAAGAUAAGCAUUGAUGGAAAGGAUACUAUUAGGGAGGAUGAUGUUGAUGAAUUGACUUCCAAUUCCAUAGUUACAGAUUAUGAAAUAUCAAGCAUAUCAGGUUCAGAACUAAAAUAGAACAAAAUUACACAGAAAGACAUAACAUAUUAAGAAAAAAUAAUGGAACAAAAUUACACAGAACAUAUAAAGACAAACAUAAUUACAAUUAUGUCCCUGUAGUAGUAGGUGGAUAAAAAGAUUCUGAAUAAUGCAAUAAAGUAUUAUAAAACAUUCAAACAUAUUCAAAUAAACUAUAUACCCCUGAUGUAAAAAUUACCAAUAUGUCCCUGGAGUAGUAGGCAGAUAAAAAGAUGAAAAACAAACAGGGACAACCUCAGUGAUUCAAGCAUAUCAGGUUCAGAAAAAACAAAAAACAGAGAAUUAGAUAAAAAGAUGAAAAUACAUUCUCCAUAUUUUACAGAUUUACAGAUUAUGAUAUAUCAAGCAUAUCAGGUUCAGAAAAACAAAAAACAUAGAAUUUGACAGCCUCAGUGAUAAAAUCGGUAAUUAUAAGUAAAACAAUAACAUACAACGUUAAUGUGGCCUAAGUCCUAAUUCAUAUAAAUCUGAUUAUUUACCAAUCGCAGGCGUACCUUCAAUAGUUCAAUGGGAUAGACUCGAAGAAGCAACGUAAGCAGUAAAGCAGAUUGCGAUGGGGGUAGAGAGAGAGAGAGAGGGCAUGCCGCCUGCGAUUGGUAAUUUGCGAUGGUAUCUCUCGACUAAGAAAGGGGAGCGAUAGAUGAACAGAACCAUAUUCAGACGAAUUAUGAUUGUCAAAUAAGUUUUUGAUCGUUCUUUUGCAAUUAACACAGACAUUGAGAAGCAGGGGAUUACAUAUACACAAUGAGAAGCAGAAUUGAGAAGAAGAAACUUACCGAAUGAUUGAAGCCGCUGAUUGAAUAUCUAAUAACUGAAGUAUGGAUGAUGCUUGAUUGUUGGAAGAUGAUGCUGUAAAGAAUGAUUCAUAUUUGUAUGCUUCAAGUAUAUAUUGAACAUAAUAAGAUCAAAUCGACCUAAUAAUCAAAUUUAAAUGUAAUUGAUAUGAUUGAUAUUGAUACAAUAAAAAGAUGCUCUUAAUCGGGCAUAUAACGAAAUUGAUUCAAUAUUCCAUUCGAUUUCCAUCCAUAUUCCAAAUUCCACAUUCAAAUUGCCAUAUUUCCAUAUCUAAUUUCCGUAUGUAAUGCUACGUGAAACCAAGCAGGGGUAAAAAUGGGAUUUAACAUUGGCAAGAAAGUGAAUUUUUGUUAGGACACGUUUCAAACAGGUUUUGUUUAUUAGAUAGGGAGAUGUUAUGAAUCUUGGUUAUGAUAAUACGAAUAUUGUAUGCUUGUACUUGAUUUACGAUCGAUUAUGUGGGGUUAUGCAUAGAGGGCAAGGGUAGGACCUAACACUUAGCAUGAAACCCUAUCCAGAUACAUUCGAGCCUCGUUAGUUGAGAAAUACCUUCUAGGAAAAGAGAUUAAUCCAUUUACGAGUUGAUCGGUCUUUCUAGAUGCCCGUGCGACACAUUGUACGCGUACACUUCGGUGUUUGCGGAUUGGAGUGAUGUUGGCCAUUCGAACGAGGCUUGUACAGACAUCACGUAGGUGUUGGGAGGUGGCGGACGAAUGCCACUGCUUGUACCAACACCAGAACGGCACCGCGAUGUACUUGUACAUUACAUAGUCGGAGUAGUGAAAGUGGAGUCUUGGGGUCGGUGUGGCAGGGGGGGGUCACGAACCACCUAAAGCACUUGGUUGUCCAGACACACAAGUAGCGAACGGGUUUUCCUUUUGGGUUAGGUAUUACUACGAGACUACCUAUGCCUAUACGAUUAUGAUACAUUUUUUUUUAUAUGAUGAUAUACGAUUACGAUAUGAUUAUGCAUGAAAUACAAUUGAUGUUACAUAAAUGAAUGAUAUGUGAAUGGAUGAUACAAAGUUGAAUGAUUGAAUUUUAUGUGAAAUAUGAUUGAUUAUUGAUUGGUAUGUGAAUUUUGUUUAUAUGAUUAAAAUAUGAAUGAUUGACCCGUUAAGGGAUGGUAUGUUUUCCCUUUGAUUGUGUACAAACUCUUAUUGGCUCACGAAGCAUUUGUUGACACUUGUUUCUUUGCUUUGUGCCUUUAUGAUUGGUACAGGUAGCUUAAGAGCUUCGCUUGGUGAGAUGGGGUCAUUUUUUGGUAGUUUAUCCUUAGAAUAAAGAUGCCACUUGGAAACGUUAUUUAUUUUUUGAUACUUAUGCUUCCACUACAAUUAAAUACUUUUGAUAUUUUGGUUUUAAAUUGAACGUAACUUGGUGGUUUGAAAUGUUUUUAAAAUAAAUAAUGUGUACACUCUUCCGUUGCAUUUUCCGUUAAAAGAUUUUAAAAAUAAAUGAAAUUUUUUCGCGAAAAAUCAUGACUUUACAAUUAAAUCCUUAAUAGAUUAAGUCCUUAACAGGUUAAGUAGGAACACUUAACCCUAAUCGUCAUUUUAUGUGAAAAACCCUAAUUGGGUUUGGGUUCUUAUUAGGUCACUUAUUGGACUGAGUUGUUGUGGGCCUUUGUGGGCCAAUUGGGAACAUAUUUAUGGACUAAGGAAAUUAUUGGUCUUUAGGAUAAGGCCCGUUGGAAAGGCUUGGGCCCAAUUUGGAAAAUUGGGCCAUAAUUAGGCCUUGAUGAUUAUGAGACUGGAUUAAAUGGUUGGGCCUUAAGAUAAGCCCAUGUAGAGGUUUGGGUCCAAUUUGGAAAAUUAGGCCAUAUGUUGGGCUUUGGUCCAUAGUUUGACUUUUGGGCUUUUGGAUUGGGCCUUGGAGUUGAAUAAAGCUAAGUCAGGGGUAAAAUAGUCUUUUACCCUAACCAUGGAAUUAUGGUUAUGUAUUGGAACCCAAUUAUUAAUUGGGUGUCGUUUUGAUGUUGAUAGUUUAGGAACCUAUCAACCAGCAGCUAAGAUUUUACCCGUGGAACUUGAGCAAUGCGAAGUGAGUCUCCUCACCAUACCAACGGGUCGAAGGCACCAAUGUCAGCCCAUUUUAUGUUAUGUGAUACACUAGCUAAAGUUGUAUUAUGUGGCAUGUUAGCUGGUUAUGUCAUAGGAAGUAUGCUAGUGGUAUAUGUGGUAUGCUUGUAUGGAAGACCAUGGGAGAGCCCAUGGCACCUGGAUGUAAGACCAUGUGGAGAGCCUAUGGCUUUCUUACUAUGUUUUAGUGUUAAUGUAGAUUCACUAUUGAUAUGUUUGGUAUGCACGUAUAUGUGGUAUGCUAGUGAUUAAGUGAUAUACUAGCUGACUAUGUGGUAUGUGGUAUGCUAGUUGUCUUUGUGAUACUUGCAUGAAAGCCCAUGGGAGAGCCCAUGGCACCUGGAUGUAAGACCAUGCGGAGAGCCCAUAACUUUCUUACUAAAGACCAUGGGAGAGCCCAUGGUAACCAGAUGUAAGACCAUGUGGAGAGCCCAUGGCUUUCCUAUUAAAGACCAUGGGAGAGCCCGUGGCAUUUAGGUGUAAGACCAUGUGGGGAGCCCAUGACAUCCUGGAGUAAGACCCUGGGGACGAGCCCACGACAUCCUUAUAUGUUUAUAUUCAUGGCUUAUAUGAUUGAUAUGACUUAUGUGGAUAUGUAGCUAAUAUAACUAAUAAAUAUUAUGAGAUUAUGUGGAUUGUAUGAGGUAUGCUCUGGGGAAUUCACUAAGCUUCGUGCUUACAGUUUUGUUUAUGGUUUCAGAUAUUUAACUUUAGGAAAGGAAGGGCUCAGCUUGACCGCAGCGUACACACCCAUGCUUUCCACAAUGAAUGAAAUGUUUUAAUUAACAAUGUUUUGGAAUGAUUGGAAUAAAUGAUAUCUAUGUUUGGGUUAUAUUAAAAAUGAAAUUGUUACCCCUGAUUUUUGGGUUGUUACAAUGAUAUUCAAUUAAAACACAGGUCUUUUGGCCUAGCACUAUCAUAUGUUGGAAAAGUGACCCUUCCUAAUGUUAGAAAAACGGGUUAUUUUGAUUGCUUGGAUACCAUUGAAAGUCAUGAUACACUUUCAAAUUGAAUUAUUUUGAUGGUACAAUCAAAAUAUCAAUUGGAUAAAAUUCAGUGACAAACAGAGAAUGAAAAUGUUAUGAUUCUUGUGUGUACCAGAUUUAAAUAACCAAAAAGGGAUAUAACUCCUUAUCUGAAAACUAUCAUAUUGACAUUUACAAACUGCCACAAAACCGUCACUAAAUUGACUUAGUCAGCUUGACAAACAAGAACCACAUAUUUAACAUACAAAGCAAAGAGAAAAAGUUUCCUAAUACUUGUAAAAAUCAAAUGAUGUAAAAAAAUUAGAUGUCACAAAAUCUAGUAUUAACAUAGAUUUAAUAAAACUGAUAGAUUACUUGUUUAUAUAUCGUAAAAAUUUAUUCCCAAGGUCAUCCUUAACUCACUAAUAAAUUUUGGGAGUAACGAUAUAACAAUAUCUAUUCGGUACUCCUUUGAUAAAAUUUUGAAUUUUGUGUGGUCAAUAAGUCGUAUUUUUGGAUUGCUAAUAGGAGUAGAAAAGCUAAAAUCAUUUGGGUCUAUGAGCUUCGUAAUCCUAUUUUAGCUUGCACUCUUAUGUAAUGCUAUUUUUCCUUGCUUCCUGCUAGUUUUUAUAAAAUUUUUUGCUGUUCCAAAAAAAAAAAAAAAAAAAAACUCCUCUAAUAUAUUGGUCGGUCGACUUUGAGAUACAAUUAAGAAGGUUCUCUAGCCACAUCACACAUCAUCCUCCCCCAAUGACCACCACACAAUAAUAUCGAUUUGGUAUAGACCAACAACUCUCUAUUUCCCCAUCUCCCUUAAAUCAAUCUUCACUUCCUUACUUUUCAGUUUGUUUUUUAAUAUUCAUACAUAGAAACUCAUGUUGGAGCAGUUAACACACAUAAAUGUCCUUAAUAUUGGAAUCCCUCACCAACAAAGUAGCAUCGUUAAGUAACUAAUAAGUUAGAGACCAUACGUACAAAUUAGCCCAAACCAUAGGGACCAUUCGUGUAAUUUACUCUUCCUCUUAAUAUACAUAUUUUUUAUUAGAGACAGACCGCUGUCAUCCUCAAUAUAAUACAUGUGUCCCCAAGUCCAUUUUGCAAUUCUUUUUGGAUUUGGCAAACUUGUAUAUACAAUUUCCUCUCUUUACUUUUCAUAUGUCAUAACCUUUGCUUUAGUUAUUGCUUUCUUCUUCCAAUUUCUUGUCACCUUGUAAAUAUUUCUUUGACCUCUCUUCUUUCCCAAUUGUCACUACUUAAUAGAAAUUCUUUAAAAGGAGUUUCUUUAUUUUGACCUUGAACCUUCUUGCUCCACCAUUCCGAUUAUUAGCUUAGCCUUUCAUCCUUGACGGAUAUGGCCUCCUGCUACAAUUACCAUGUAACAGAGCCGGCCCAAAGCAAGUUCAUCCAGUGCCUUUGAACAUGGCCCAAAAAAUCAGAGGGCCCAUUUUUUUUCAUUCUUUAAUAGGGUAUGUUCAUUUGGCCCAAAAAAUUUAGGUUAUAUCCAUCUAUAUACUCAGUUAACGAAUGCAGGAAGCAGGCAAGAGGGAGCAGGAACUCAAUUUUCGGGAAAAAGAGAACUCUUCGGUUUCUUCAUUGGUAACGCACGCAUGGAUAAUAGGAAUCAUCAUUGCUGGAACGGUAACAUCAAUUUACAUUCAUUUAUCAUUCAUUCUAUUCCAUCAAUUUACCUUCACUUCUUAUUUCUUCCUUCUUUAUCUUCUUCUUCACUGAUCAGUUUUUACAAAGAUUACCAACAAUUUUAGAAGAUUCAAAAGAAGAAAUUCAAAGCCAUCAAAUUUCGAAAUCAGAAGGUUCAAUAUCAGAAUUCAGAACAAUCAAAAUUCGAAAUAAGAAGCUUCAAAAUCUUACAGUCUUACAGUCUUACAGUUUGAGUUUCGAAAUCAAAGGUAUAAUACUAAAAUUAAACUUUAGUUUAUUGUUUCAUGGGUUUGUUUUUUCUAAUUGAGUAAUUUGAUAAUUUCAGAUUUCUUAUCGGUUCUUCUUUUUUCAUUUUCUUUAAUUCCAAAUUACUAAAUCAGGAUGAACAAUCAACAGUGAUAUCAGUUUUCAAAAAUUUGAACUUAGAAGGAACAAGGAAUUGAGGUAAAUUCUAAUUCAGAUUUCUACUUUUUAUGUUUUUUUGUUUAUGAUAAUUUCGAAUUUGUAAGAACUAAGAAGUAAUUAUGAAUUUAUGAUCUCAUCAUUUCAGAUUGCAAAUUUUCUGAUUUCCUUAGAAUCAUAUUCUUGUUUUUUUGAUUUGAAGUGUCGAUGAUAAUAAGGUAAUUUUUGGAUUUCUUAUAUGAUAUCAUUGCAGAUUUUGUGAUUUCUUUAGAAGCAUAUUCUGAUUUUUUUUCUUUGCAGUUUUGUUACAUUCUUUUGGUGAUUUGAAGUGUGGAAAAUCUGAACCAAGAAGGAAUCUAUAAAUUGGAAGUCAUAAAUAAGGUCGUUUCUUUCUUUUCUAUAACUUAUUAUGCCUCCUAAAAUAAAAAAAUAUGCAUCUGGAUAUGAAAAACGUAAGAAAAAACAAAAAAUUGAAGAAGAUAAUAAAACUCAAGCAGGAUCUAUGGAUAAGUUUAUAACAAAAAAAACACAAAACUUUACGAAAAAUGAAACACAAAAUGUUAAUGAAGCUAAUCUUGAUAAAAUGAUAAUGUUGAUGUUGAUGUUGAUGUUGAUGUUAAUGAUAAUGUUGAUGUUGAUGUUAAUGCUAAUGUUAAUGUUAAUGUUAGUGAUAAAGUUGAUUUUAAUGAUAAUCCUAAUGUUGUUGUUGAUGAUAAUGUUGAUUUUCACACUUUUGAUAUAUUUGAUCCAAGAAAUCGGGAUGCUCUUGAUUCUAGUAUGAUAAAUAUUUUAGUGUUGAAAGGUCCUAAAAGAGAUUUGUCUCUUACAAAAGGUCCUAAAGAUAAAUAUUUAAGAAGAUUUUCUGCAACAUAUUAUACUAAAACUUUACCAAAUGGGGAAAAAUGUGAUAGAGAUUGGCUUGUUUAUUCUAAAGAAAUUGAUAAAAUUUUUUGUUUUUGUUGUAAAAUAUUUCGAAAAGGGUGUCGGAAGGGUCAAUUAGCAAAUGAGGGUUUUAGGGAUUGGAUACAUCUUAACACUAGAAUUAAAGAGUAUGAAACUAGUAUGAAACAUGUUAAAACUAUAAAUACUUGGUAUGAUUUGCGUUUAAGAUUACAAAAAAAUGAAACUAUUGAUAAUGCGGCUCAAAAACAAUUAGAAAAAGAAAAAGUUCAUUAGAGACAAGUUUUGUUGAGAAUUAUUUCUAUUGUGAAAUUUCUUGCUAAACAUAAUCUAGCUUUUCGUGGUACUAAUGAGAAAUUGUAUGAAGAUAACAAUGGAAAUUUUUUAGGCUUAUUUGAAAUGUUGGCUGAAUUUGACAUGGUUUCUUAUGACCAUAUACAACGUAUUACAAAUGAAAUUGGUAUCCAUAAACAUUAUCUUGGGCAUAGGAUACAAAAUGAAUUAAUACUUUUGCUUUCUUCAGAAAUAAAGUCUAUGAUUAUUAAAAAGAUAAAAAAUGCAAAAUAUUUUUCUAUAAUACUUGAUUGUACUCCUGAUAUAAGUUACCAAGAGCAAAUGACUAUUAUUUUAAGAUGUGUAGAUGUCUUGUCAAAUGUUGUUUGCAUUGAAGAGUCUUUUUUAGGGUUUUUAGAUGUAAAUGAUACAACCGGCCAAGGACUCUUUGAUGUUUUACAAAAUGAAUUGAAUUUGCUUGAUCUUGACAUUAAUAAUAUACGUGGCCAAGGUUAUGAUAAUGGAUCAAAUAUGAAAGGAAAACAUCAAGGAGUGCAAAAAAAGCUUUUAGAUAUAAAUUCAAGGGCUUUUUAUACUCCUUGUGGUUGUCAUAGUUUGAACUUAACUUUAUGUGAUAUGGCUAAUACUUGUGGUAAAGCUAAAGGUUUUUUUUGGAACAAUACAACGUAUCUAUACAAUUUUUGCAAAUCCCACUAAGAGAUGACAAAUUUUAAAAGAUAAUGUGAAAGGGGUAACUCCUAAAUCGUUGUCAUCCACUCGUUGGGAGAGUCGUGUUGAUAGUGUUAAAGCUAUAAGAUUUCAUAUACAAAAAGCUUUACUUCAAGUAGCCAAAAAUGAUAAUGAUCCAAAAAUAACAAGUGAAGCUAAAUCCUUAGCAAAAAAUGAACUUGACAACUUUGAGUUUAUAUUGGCAUUAGUAAUUUGGUAUGAAAUGUUAAACACUAUUAAUUUAAUUAGCAAACAAUUGCAAUCAAAAGAUAUGUUUAUUGAUGUUGCUAUGGAAAAAAUAAUGGGGUUAAUUUCGUAUUUUAAGGAAUAUAAAGAAAAUGGGUUUUUAAAUGCUUUACAAACCGCAAAAGAUAUUGCCUUAGAAAUGGGGAUCGAUCCAAUAUUUCCUAAAAAACGUGAACCUAAAAUAAAAAAACAUUUUGAUGAGAUUUCAAACGACACUUCUUAUAGUUUUUCACAAUCCGCCCAAGAGAAAUUUAGAGUUAAAUAUUUUAUUUAUAUUGUUGAUCAAGCAAUUAGUUCUUUAACUACAAGGUUUGAACUAUAUCAAUAAUAUGAUAAAAUAUUUGGCUUUUUAUUUAAUUCAGAAAAAUUGCUUUCAUUAGAUGAUAUAACAUUAAAGUCUUGUUGUAUGUCUCUUGAAACUUCACUCAAGAAAGAUGAGCAAUCGGAUAUUGAUGGAAAUGACUUAUAUGUUGAAUUAAAAUUACUUUUACAUCUCUUGCCUAAGGAAAAAUUGACAGCAAUUGAUAUUCUAAAUUUUUUAAAACGUGUUGAUUGUUUUCCUAUUACAUCUAUUACAUAUAAAAUUAUGUUGACUAUUCUUGUUACUGUUGCAUCUGCAGAACAGAGUUUUCCAAAAUUGAAGAUUCUGAAGUCCUACUUAAGAUUUACAAUGACUCAAGAACGACUUAAUGGAUUGGUUUUGAUGACGAUUGAGCGUAAUAUGUUGGAUAAAGUUACUUAUGAAGAUGCUAUUGAAAAAGUUUAUUUCAACGAAUAUUAGGAGGAUGACUGUUUUCAAGUAGAAGCUAAUUUUUUUUUGUAUUAUUUUGAAUGAAAUUUUAAUUUUAUGUAUUUGCAAUAGAAAAUUAAACUAUAAUUUUUUUUUUGCUUAAAUUUUGAGAUCUUUCAAAUUUUAGAGCCUAUUUUUUGUUAAAUCGCACAUGGUCUUCAAUAUCUCAGGGCCGGCCCUGCCAUGUAGACCGAGACCCCUACUUGUAACUAACCUUUUCGGUCCUAAUAGAUACACAUGUAAAAAACUAAUAACUACUAACUAACUAUUAAUUAUUUAAUAUAAAAUACAAAUAGAACAUCAAUGAUAAAUAUUAAAAGGGUGUUGCUAAAUUGACACCCCUUAGACACCCUAUAAACACUUUUAUUAAAAGUCAAUUUAUAAUAAACUAUUCACAAUUUACUUUUUCAAAAAACAAUGCAAAUUAACUAAUAAAAAAAUCUUAAAAAUCAAAUAAGGUUUCAACAUGAGAGAAAUUAUAUUGCAAUAAGUUUGUUGUCAGGUGAGGAAUACAAUGCAUAAAUGAUUUACAAAAUCGAAAGUUCCAGACACAAGUUAAAACUUAAAACCCUAAAAGACCACACAAAUUUCAAUCGUCGACAUACCCCACCACAAAGGCACAAACAAUCAAUGAAACAAGUGUAGAUGUAGAGGCCUUUUUCACCACAAUCACCCUUCAUCGGCCAUUUCGAAGGCCACGUGAAAUGUCACUAACGUGGCCCUCUAAAUAUCCACUACUUUGUCUUUAACCCCUCCCCCCUCCCUUAUAAAACACUCCAUCCUCCUCCUUAAUCACCAUCACCAACAACCUUCUCUCCUCCCUCAAAAGUACCACCAUCUUUUCCGACAUGGCUACUUCUUCAAUCUUCAUGGCAACUCCCAUCACACUCCUCAAGAAAACUCCCACCUUCUCCGUCAAAUGUAUGUCACAAACACCUCAAAGCGGUGAACCGGAGGUUUCAAAACCAGCAACCACCCCAACACUACCACAGAUCAACAUUCCUCCUCCUCCGCCACCUGCUCCAAAGGUCAGCACGAAGUUCUCUGACGUGUUGGCGUUUAGUGGACCUGCACCGGAGAGGAUCAACGGAAGGUUAGCCAUGAUAGGGUUUGUGUCGGCGAUGGCUGUGGAACUGAGCAGCGGUCAAGACGUGUUCACCCAGAUCGGCAACGGCGGUGUUGCGGUGUUUGUCGGGACAAGUGUGGUGUUGACGUUGGCGUCGUUGGUGCCGUUGUUUAAAGGAGUGAGCGUGCAGUCGAAGUCGAGUGGACUGAUGACAUCAGAUGCAGAGCUUUGGAAUGGGCGGGUUGCGAUGUUGGGUCUGGUGGCUUUGGCUUUUACUGAAUAUGUUAAAGGCAGUGCCCUUGUCUAGAUAAUGUAGCAUAAACUUUUCUAUUACAGAAUUACAUCUAAGAUAGGCAAAUGUAUAUUCUUUUGAAUAUUUAUGUGUAUCGAUUUACCAUACAUAGUUCAAAUCAUGAAAAUCAUGUUUUUUUGAUAAUAUAGUAUAAAACAAAUAUGAUCAAUCAAAUCGAACGAUUGUGGUAUCUUUCAAUAUAAAAUUCUUUUUACAAAAAUAAACAAACAACAUACUAAGAUAAUUUUUUGAGGAAUGAACCUAGAUUAGCAAUAUAAGAGUCAAAGUCUACAAAGAUAUUGACAUCCUAGUUUCACAACUUCCUCUUUGAAUGUUGAAGGUGAUCAUUAAUUCAGACUGAAUAUGUGGCUAAGUCCAGCCUAGUCAAUUAGCCAAUUUAAGUUGACAAGUAUCCAAAAUUCAAAUAAACUACAUGGCUCAAUUUCAAAGAAAACUGAAAAAUGACUAAUGCUCACAAAAUGAUCACCGAAUCAAUUUAGGCUAUGAGGAGUGGUCACAUUCAAACCACCGGAAAAACGCUGCAAAGUCAGUGAUAUGUCAACUCCAUCACCUUCUAAACAUUGGAAACAAUUACCACUCCGUGUCAUUUAUAUUUUCAUUUUUUUUACAUUAGAUUAAAUAAAAAACAUAAUUACUAACUUAAGUAAUCAUUUUACUAAUUAAAAAAUCAACUAAACAUAUAUUAAUUUUCAAAAUUAAAUAAACAUAUAUAGUAUAUAUAGUUGAGGGUUUAACUUAAUUCAAAGAAAAGUAAGAGGGUAUAAUAAGAUUAAAAGACAUAAUUUUAGAGACCAAAUUUGUAACUUUAGUUAAAGCAAAUAUGAAUGGUCUUCUUCACAGGUCAUUGCUCAAUACCAUUUUUUUUCUUUUACUUCGAUGGAUACAAAGGAAAAGGGAAAAAAAGGGUCAAAUAAAUGACCGUUAUUGUUCUUGCUUUCUUAUCCGUCGUCUUCAUCCGUCUUUGCACCCACAUUACACCCAAACCACCGGCCUUAGGGGUGGUGGUGUUCACGUGUCCUUAGGCCGGACACAUCAGCAAGAUGUGUGAGUUAGUCCUCCCACUCCGAUUAGCCUUAAGCACUUAUUAAAAGCUAGUCUAUUUCUUGUUAGGUUGAAAUCUAAUGUUAUCAUCAAAUCUAUACAAGAUUGAGAUUGAUAUUAUAGUAACAAUCUCCCAAAGAAAAAUAAUAUAUUUAAAAGAAUAUAUAUAUANNNNNNNNUAUAUAUAUAUAUGAAUUAUGCCCCAAGAAGUACUAUGCAUGAGUAUAAGAUUACUAUUAUCUUUGGAUCCAUUAAUUGAUAACUAAGCAUACUUCAAAGUUACUAUAUGGUCGUAUGAGACCCGCGAAUAGGAAAUUGGCUGCACCCUUGGCCCGAUUCGAAGGCUAAAACCCAAAAGAACCAUGCACAUGAUUCGAACCAAGUGCUCUAAUGCUAUUUUGCCCAACUUACAUGAACUACCUCCAUACACAUACUUAAGAAACCCAUAAUCUCAUCCAGAUAGAGCAGGAAUGCCAGAGAUAAUCGGAAUAAUACCUCAAUCAAUUACAAAAAACAUCCGCAUUAUCGGUUGAAACAAGAUCCCAUACUUGAUUGAGACUGAACGGAUUCCAUCGCUACACAACUAGCUCGAGAAGACUUCCACGGAUCUCGAAAGUUGCCUAAACCUGAGUCUGCUAUGAAAUAGGUUCCCACUCCACCAUUGAGGGUAAACACACUUGAAGCCCCAAUGGACAUAGAUCAUACUAAGCUUGAUAACAGAUCAGCCUGACCACUACAUCUCGACUGACACAAUUAAACUUCCAAGUGAACUUUUAUUGAUUGAUGAACCCCACAACCAGUGGUCGAGGACACUUUAACACUUAGUCCAGAGAAUCAAGACCACAUAGAACUGAACAUACCCACUCAUGGAAAGAUCCAUCGACCAACGUCUGCCCAACUAAUAUGAAAAUAGUAAUCCAACAACAAACUGGGAAAUCCCUCAACAGCUAAAAAUACUCAACCUGAGAAUCCCGAUUCUCCUCCACUUAGGGCUUAAACUACCAUUCACUAGCGCUAAAACCAAAUCAUAAAUCAAACCAUAUUGAGGAUAUACUCCCUUCCUAACCCUGGAAGUUACGAGCCUCUUCACUCCUUCCCCGAACUCGGAAAAAAUGAAAGGGCAUAACCCUAGCCAUUGAUAAUGACGUUCCAAACCAACAAUCAACCACUUCCAACUGUAAAACCCAAGUCAAUCUUAAUCAUCGUCCCCUUCACGAGUCCCGCGACUCGAAUACCCGACCUCAAGCAAAACCCCCGAGGCCUCAAACAAAAAAGCUCCCUAGGUCUGCACCAAACAAACAAAAUCACUAACGCCACUGGGGCUCAAAACACUUACCAUAUCCAUCCGCAUGUCGGAGCAUCCACAAGCAAAAUAUUAACAGGAACAUAAACACUGCCGCGAAUCAUGGUAUCCAACCAUGCUAUCUUCACCGACCAACCCUUAGAAUCCCCAAAACCUUCCUUGAUUAGAUUAUGGAUCCUGUGCUUCAAGUAGUACUGGCCCAAUACUACCUUCCAUACCUAUCCAUACUUUCCUCAAGAAUCAUCCCAAGUCUUUUAAGUCCUAGUCAUAAAAUACUCCUGAAACUUGCUUAACAAUGAAGCAACCACGCUAAAAUACUCACCUACACUCCCUCUGCCAUCAACUGCUGAUAAACCCCUACCAAUGCCAGCUAACCACUUCAUGAAUACAAUUACACACAACCAAGCUUAAAUAAUCCUUCGAAUAAAGGGCUUAGCCCUACAACGAUUGGACUCAAACGAGAGCUGCACAAUAGGUUUGAGUCCUUCAUUCUAAGAUUAUUUAACCUUCAUAGCAUGUAAUUUUAUUAUAUUCACUUGAUGGUUAACUCCCAUCAACAUGGGUCCCACAAAGCACAAAGCAAGCAACAUUCGGGUAGAGAAGCCGACUGCGACUAAAACGCAACAAAAUCAGACAUAUCCUCAUAGAAAAUCCUCGAUCUCAAACUCCUCGCACCACGAGUGCGCCUUCACCCUGCUCUCACUCUCCCCAGAGUGGUUAAUCAUUCCUCGUGCUUACCCGCUAUACACUGCACCCACUCAUGAAACUUCCACCAACCCUACAACACUCGUGUAUGCUAGCCGUACAUAACACUGGAUCCUAUAGACAGUCGAAUAUCUGAUCCUACUCUAAGCCCUUCAUCAAACAAGAACAUGAAAUAAGGCCAAACCAAACAUUCUCAGGCUAUAGAAUCUUAGUUAUGUACAACUAUGAUGUAUACACUAAGUAACUGUAGUAGAUGAUGUCAAUUUCAUUUAAGGAAGAACCCUAGGCUAUCAGACAUCAUAUAAUCAUGCAACUUUGUCAUGCAAUUCCUGAAGAUCCCUAGCCUAUCACUACCAUGCUAUUCUAAUAUUUCACAAGAUCAAAUAAAGUGUGGUAAUUUGGGGUCUACUUACUAGCUCCGACUGAUCAUACACAUCGUAUCCUCUUUAGUUUGAAAGUUAUUUUUAAAACCUUUACUUUGAAAAUUACUUUUUUUAAAACACCUUUUCCUUAGUUUGAGACCGGAUUCACACGAGUUUUCCUCCCAUUCACUCAAACCAAGGCUCUGAUACCAACUAGUAACGUCACAAAAAUUUCAACAAAUCUAAACCUUUCAAAACAACCCAUAUGUUAACAAAAGUGAUUUGAUCCGCAGGCACUCUGCACGCCUUGAACUCCCGUAAUGAGGGAGUUCGAGCCCCAAUCUGACCCACAGUGAUCUCAGAUCGGAAAGAACAAUCCGCUCCUCCAUAUCCUCCAUGAUCCCCUCCUUGACGGUACUGAACCCGAUCUCGAACCUGAACCUCCUCGCGUAGCCAUCAUAAUCUUCAACUGAAAAUACAACAUAGAAAGAAAUUGAUAAGGAAGUUCAAAGGGAUUUCUCCCCACUGGACUCCUUAAAGCCUUCAGGUAUGUCCUUGUCUCGGGUACAAGUCUUGUGCUUUUAGUAGUACGGACCAAAUACUACCUUCCACACCUACCUGUACAUUCCCCCAAGGCCAUACCUGAUACCUCCAAUUCACCAAACCAUAGAUAAAACAUGACCUACGAAACACAGCACAUACACAUAUCUUAGAAUCUUCGGGGAUUUCUCAAUCCUCAUAGAACCAGAAACCUCAAUCAACACCGCAUGUUGCCUUAUGCAUGCAAGUUAUACAUUAAUAGAAUCAUAGAGACUGUCAAAUAAAGUUUCUACCCUAAGACCACAACCAAACAAGGAACAAGAAGUAAGGCAGAAUCCAUCGUUCUAGGGCUAUAAAAUCCUAAACAUAUACAACUUUGAAAGCAUACACUUAGCAAAUAACAACGUCAACAUCGAUUCCAAGCAUUAUAUUCAUAGCAUUGAACUCUCCUAGGCUACAAGGCAUCUCACAAAUCAGACAAUUCUCAUAACACCUAAAGGUAUCCUUAGCCCUAUUCUAGCAUGCAUUUCACACAUUAACAUACUAGUUGCAAUUCAUAAGCAUGGUUAAAUUUUUGGAAACACUUACUUGAGCUUGGCUGAUUUCGCGCAUUGCGCUCUCCCUUUUUACUUAAGAAAACCGGUUUAAGAAAAACUUGACUUUUGUUUCUUUUUUUAAAAAGGUUUACCAUUUCCUCAGUUUGAGUUGUGACACAUAGUGUGCCCGAAUUCCUCAAACCAAGGCUAUGAUACCAACUUGUAAAAGCCCAAAAAUCCAGAUAAAAAUUUUCAUUUAAAAAAAAAUAGAAAUUACAAUCAUAAUUUGUUUCUUAAAAUCCAUUACAUCAUUUCAUAUCAAAAUAUCAGAGUAUCAAUAUCAAUAAAUGAGGAAAUUCUUGGGAGUGAAUGUUGCGCCAUCUAGCUAGGCCCUUCCCCUUAGUACCGAAAGUACCUGAAAACACCUAAAUAAACUGUAAGCAAAAACUUAGCGAGUUCCCAAAAUACAACAUAACAUAUAACCACAGAAUACCACGCCACAUACAUAAGAUUGCCAUGGACAACCCCAUGGUCUUUACUUGGAAUGCCAUGGGCUACCCCAUGGUAUUUACCUAGAAUGCCAUGGGAUACCCCCAAGGUCGGAUAUCCAAGUGCCAUGUGCUACCCCAUUGGUCUUUACCUGGAAUGCCAUGGGCUACCCCCAUGCUCUAAUAUCCAAGUGUCGUGCGCUACCCCCAUGGUCUUCAUAUAAGUGCCACAGGCUACCCCCGUGGUCUUCACAUAAUGAAUUGCAUAAAAACUAUCAAUCCACAUGUCAGGCAAUGGGCCGCCAUUGGUGCCUUCGACCCAUUGAUAUAGUGAGAAGACUCACCUCAGACUGCUGAUAAAAAUACUGCUCGGCUAACGCUCUAGAUAUCUGACACUGAAUAUACACAAGUUAACCUAAUUAGAAUUAAGUCACAAACUCAAGGCCUAGGCCAAAACCCUAAGUACAAACUCCUCCAAUAAGGCCCAAAGUCUUUUUCCUUUAAUGGGCCUAACAUCCAAGAUCCAAAAAGGGGCAUAAGGCCCAAAAGGCCUAGCCAUGCCACUUAUGGUCCAACAACAAGUUCAAAGGCCCAAAUACUAUAAUAGAUCCAGGCCCAAGUCUAAGUAGAGCCCAAAUAGCUUAAAGGCCCAACAAAAGCCCAAAACUCAUUGGAAGCGUACGCCCAACGUACAUCAUCAGUACGCUUAGCAUACUGGGUUCUUUGGCGGUUAGCGUAGUGUACAAGCUAGUAUGCCCAACGUACAAGCUACUUUGCACAAAAAGCCAUUAAGUGCUUAAUUCAUGAAGCCAUUUCGUCCGAUUCCAGAUCUUGGUCAUCUUAAAGGUCCUAGGGCAUAAAGAUGGUAACUUUAUGUGUUUACAUGCCAUAUGGGAACCCAACACCUGAUUUUAUCCAUUAAGACUCCCUUUAAGAUCUUAAACUCAUGCAUGGUGCCAUAACAACCAUCAAGUUAGCAUUUUUAUGCUUUUAACAUGCCAAAGGAACUAGGAUCUAACAUUUAUAAUCUCUGGAGUUGUUCAAACUUACAAAAGAGGAUCCAUGGACCAAAAAUGGACUUAUUACCAAACCCUAACUCAAACUAGCGAAAGGAUAAGCAAGUUCUGGACUUUUUACCUCCAAAAGUUUUCCAAGAUGAAGUAGAUGCAGGAUCUAGAAGCUCAAACACGUCUAAGAGUUGAUCACAACCUUCUCCUUCUUACACACACAUUAAAAUAGCCACCAAAAUCACUUUUAAGCUCAAGAAUCACACUCACUUGCAAACUAGGGUUUAGGGACGAUAAGAGGCAAUAAAAGCUAUGUAGGGUUAGGUCCAAAUGUCAUAAGAGUGUUAAAAUAGGGUUCAUGCGCAAAAAUUAGGGUUUUUGUCAUAUGCCACGUACUCCUCGCAUACAUGGUGCAUGUACGCAUCUAAACCACCCUAGUACGCUAAGCGUACACGUAUGUACGCCCUGUUGGAUUAGUGUUUAAGUCCAUAACUAUAUUUGGUAUGUAUUUGACCAGGUUGUGCAUGGUCCUUUUAGGUUGCCUUCACCGAAGCAACUUGACUAGAGGAAUUAUAUAGAAAGAGGUGAUUAUGGUUUAUUAAUAUAUUAUAAGAUUUAUAUAUUAAAAGAGAAAUCAUGUUUGAUUAAUUAACAUUGGUCAAGAGUUAAUUAAACAUUAGUUUUGUGAUCAAAAGAAGUUAAUUGAACUUAAGGGGCUGAACUGUAAUUAUGUGAUAGUUACAAAGUUAGGCAAGGAAACCCUAAUGGAUAGGGUGGAUGAAUUCUAGGGAUAUAGCCUUAAGAAUUCGCCCAUGAUAGGGAUUCUAGAAUUAUCUUAUGGGCUGCUUGGUGGCUAAGUAACCAUAUAAGAAUAAUGAAUGAAACCCUAAUUCCUAAACCUAUAUAAAGGACCCUUGGUCAUGGGAAUUUCGGCAACUUGAACCCUAGAAGUCCUAGAGCCGAAAUUCUCCUCUUCCCUCUCUUGCUUCCUCUAAUUGCUAUUGGUGUUUGUUAUUAAUUAGAGGCACAACACUUGAGGUGCUAAAGUUGUCAAGGCUUCAAGAUCUUCAAUCAACAACGAGGUAAGCAUCUUGAUAUACUUUGCUAAGUUAAUUUCAAUUAUAUACACUAGAUCUAGGGUUUGAAAGUCUUGGAUGAAUGCACGUACAAUUAGAGAAACCUAGAUCCAAGCAUUAGGGUUUGCAUGAGCACAUAGGAUGUUCUUUUGGCUCAAACCUAUCAGUGGUAUCAGAGCUUUUGUUUGGUUUCUAUUGUAUUGAUGCCUUGCUUGUUCAUCCUCUCUUGAAAAUCGUGAUUUUGUGUUCUCUGCCUGACGAACUCGAUGAGUCCCAAUGUGGGCUCGACGAGUAGGAUGAACUCGACGAGUCCAUAAGGGCACUCAACGAGUCGGAGCGUCAGACAUAGAUUUUCGGGAUUUCUUGUUGUUUUGCUUAAUGAUAAUUACCUAAAUCGUUUUUGACUAAUAAAAUCUGAAUUUUAUUACUGCUUUAUGUUUAUCCUUUCCAAAACAAAAGAUAAUUUCCAUUUAUUUGAAUAAUAAAUUCCUUAUAUGAUAAUAAUUGAUUAUUUAAAUUAUUUGUUGAAUUAUCUUAUGAAUAAAAUUGAUUAGGUCAAAUUUAGAUAAUCAUUAAAUUAAUUGUUUAAUUUAAAUUAUUUGCUAUUUGAUCCUUUAUGUUUUGAAAAGUUCAAAACUUGUCCUCAAGUUUUGAAAUUUAAAUUUGUGAUUAAAAGUUUAAUUUAAACUAUUUAAAUUUCAAACCCUAGAAUUUUACAAGUUUAAAAUUCAACCUUAUACUUUACAAUANUUAAACGCUAGUCUUACUGUUAGUAGGCCUCAUUCACGAAGCCGAUCUAGAAGGAGGUAUAAGGUUAUGACCUAUAAAAUGGCCAUUUAAUGGGUGUCCACUCUCACCCACCACAUCCUUGAUUGGUGGAGGGUCGUUAGCCGAACGGGUAAGAUAGGGCAACCCUUUCUCAUGAAUAAGUAUAAUGAAUUAUAAAAGUAACUAAAUGUUUUACAAAAUUCCCAAUCUUAAUUACUUUAGGCAAAAGUGAAAUUGAUGCAAUUCCAUUAAAUUACAUUUUGUACCCGUGCUAAGACGUUAGUGGAGCGUGUGUGGUUAACUGGCACACUAAUUCGGUUCUAAGAAAAGGUGGUAAAGGGUGACUCAUUGUUUCUCAUUGUUCGAUGGAGCAUGUGUGGUUAACCAGCACAUCGAAUAGGUGACUGUAACAAUGAGGGCACCAUGUAUAUUUGCAUGGUUAUUCAUACCCACUUUGUGAUCCUCAGCAUCCCAGUCACAAACUAGAGGGGCAUAUCAAGAUUUAUACAUGCCAUUGAAAAGUUCAAUGAAUCUCAAAAUAUCUAGGAGUUUUCAAUACAUUUAAAACUUAAUCUCUUUUUCGUUUUUCAUGGUGGAGAAUUAGUGAAUCGUCAUUCACUUACCUUCAAAUUAUUUGCAUGUUAGAUUACGACACCCCUCUUCUAAUAUGUAAAUAAUGUUGUUGGAUCCUAGCCCUAAUUUCUCAUUUAGGUGUUUCAUUAGGGAUUCAUUUCUAAUCAAACUUUGUUCUUUUUCCUUUUCAGAUGUCGAACAACAACAAUGCUUCCGGAUCGUUCUCACUCAUGAACUUGUGUGGGAGAGUGAUCUUUGACGAGUCCAAUUUCAAUGAUUGGAUUCGCAACAUCCGAAUGGUCACUCGUUACGAGGACAAAGAGUAUGUCCUUGAUAAGAAGCUGAAGGAAAUCAACCUCAACACUGCUACUACUGAAGAGAUCGCCACCUUUAAGGCUCAUGAGCGUGAUGCCACGAAAGUCCAUUGCAUCAUGCUAGCGACCAUAACUGCAGAACUCCAAAAGUCCUAUGAGGACAUGUAUCCCUAUGAAAUUCAUCAAAACUUGUUGGACCGGUACCACCAAAGUGCAAGGCAAGAAAGGUAUGAGAUCAUCACUUCGAUGAUCACUACCAGAAUGGGUAAUGGAGAGUCCCUUACCGCCCAUCUGCAAAAGAUGCAGAGAUAUGUUGAUCACCUGCUAAAGUUGAAAGUUAACUUUGAUGAAGAGAUGGCAAUCGACAUUAUCCUUCACUCCUUACCUCCCUGCUACAACCAGUUCCGCAUGACUACCACAUGAAUAAGGAAGAGGUCACCUUGAGCAAGCUUCACGGCUUGCUAAGAACUGUUGAGAGCAAUUUCAAGGAUAAGUAUGUUGCAUCAACUCCAACUCCCACUGCUGCCCUUGUCUUGGAAAAAGGGCAAGGGAAGGGUAAGAAAAGGAAGGCUCCCUCAAAUAUCCACCACAAGGGAAAGUCCCAAGAUGUUACCUCUUCUAGUGGAACCAAGGCUGGUUCUGCUAAACCCAACUCUAACCCUAAUGAGCCAGAGUGCCACCACUGCCACAAAAUAGGGCAUUGGAAGAGAAGCCGCCCAGAAUAUCUGCAAGCUAUCUAGGAUGGGACGAUCAAGCCAUCCUUCGCAGGUAUUUACACUAUUAAAUCUAAUGAUUCAUCGCAUGCUAUUUCUUGGGUUAUUGAUACAGGAUGUGGUUUUCACAUAUGUUCUGAUUUGCAGGGACUAAGAAGAAAUAGGGAUGUGGAGCAUGGAAGAAUAAACCUAAUAAUGCGAAACAAAAGAUUGUCGCCUGCCACCAAUAUUGGAGUAUAUAUAUUCCUUAAUGCUUAGUAAUGGAUUAGGUUUUGAUUUAAACAAUUGCUGCUAUUCGCCAGAUAUGGCAAGAAACAUCAUUUCAUUUCAUGGUUUAUAUAGGCAAGGAUUUAGAUAUUCAUUUGAUAAUGAAAAGGGUUCUAUUUAUGCUUAUCUUAAUAGUGUUUUAUAUUUUGAAGCAUUGCCUUGUAAUGUAAUAUAUGAAACUGUGAUGGUUGUAGAUAACUUAGGAAAUGAUGUAUUGUGUGUUGAUUCUUCCAACAAUAUAGAUAAAGCAUGCUUGUGGCAUUGUCGUCUUGGACAUGUCAACAAGAAACGCAUAGCCCAACUCUAAAAGGAUGGAGUGUUGGAGUCAUUCGACCUUAGGGAUGAUGACGUGUGUGAGUCUUGUUUACUUGGAAAGAUGACCGAUGUGUGUGGGCACUUGUGAAAGGGGUGAGGGUUUAUUGGAUCUCAUACACACCGAUGUGUGUGGGCCCUUUAGAUUACCACAAAAGAUGCAAGCCACUUCUAUGUGACUUUUACCGAUGAUUAUAACAGAUAUGGGUAUAUCUACUUAAUCAAGCACAAGUCGGUAACCUUUGAAAGGUUCAAAGUGUUUAAAGAAGAAGUGGAGAAUCAUUUGGGCAGGAAUAUCAAGAUGCUUCGAUCCGAUCGAGGAGGAGAGUACCUAAGUCUUGAAUUCCAUGACUAUCUCAAGGAAUGCGGAAUCGUUUCACAAUUGACGUCACCUAGGACACCGCAGUUAAAUGGUGUGGCUGAGAGGCGUAAUCGAACCUUGUUGGACAUGGUUCAUUCCAUGAUGAUUCGUGCUUCACUACCUAUCUCAUUCUGGGGGUAUGCCUUAGAGACUGCCGCCCAUAUCCUUAACUUAUUCCCUACGAAGAAGGUUGCCAAAACACCUCACGAGAUGUAGACAGGGAAAGCUUCCUCGUUAGCACAUAUCAAGGUUUGGGGGUUGCGAGGCUUUCGUAAGACGAGAGACUCACGACAAGCUCGAACCUCGUAGUGAGUGGUGUAUUUUCACCAGCUACCCACAAAAGACCUUUGGAUAUCUCUUCUAUAGUCCGAGUGAGAACGUUGCCUUCAUUGCGAGGAGAGGGGUUUUCCGUGAGCGAGAACUCAUAAGCCUAGGGGACAGUAGGAGGCAAAUCGAUCUUGAAGAGAUUCAAGAGUUGAGCGAUGAAGGAACCUCCAACACCGGGGCUUACCCGAGGAGGAAACUCCGGUUGAACCGAUUGACGAGUCCUUACCUCUUAGACGUUCCGAAAGAGUUAGGUUUCAACCCCAGUUAUAUGGCUUUCAUAUUACUACAGAAGGGGAUACGUAUAUUAGUGAUAUUAUACUAAUAAAUUUGGAUGAACUUAACAGCUAUAAGGAAGCCAUUGCAGGCCCAGAGUCUGCAAAGUGGAAAGAGGCGACGGACAGUGAGAUUCUGUCCAAGUAUGACAACCAAGUUUGGAAUUUGGUUGACAAUGUACUAGGUCGUAAGAUGGUCUGGUGCAAAAUGAUCUUUAGGAAGAAGGUACUAAAACGUUUUGUGACAACCCGAAAUUUCCAUUUUGUACGAACAUUAGCUAUUCAAUAGAAGCUAGUCCAAUUUCAAUGAAUUUCAGACUUUUCUAAAUAAAUUUGUGUACAUUAGGGUUUACGUUUAAGGAGAUAUCAGGAGAGUGGAUGCUCAUGGGUUUGUGAAACUUGAGCAUUUCAAAACUUCAUAAUGUUAGAGUCCAAUUCCGGAAUAAAAAUAUUUUCUGCCAAAAUAUUUCAGGACUAUAAAUAGAUUUCUGAACUAAAUUCAUUCAUUAUUCACACUUCCAACUAGAGAAAAGCCAUUUUCUCUCUCACAGAUCUUCGGGUUUUCAUCCCAAAUCGUGAGUACACUUCUUUAGUUGUUUUAUAAUGCUUGUUAUAUGCUUAAUAACAUAGAUUACAUGUCAAAUAUGUGAGAUCCGGGAGUUUACCGCCCAAGAACGUUCUUGGGGAGUAAACUCGAAAAUAAAGCUUUAAGGCUAUCUAGUCCCAUUUCCUUGUUAGGUAACUAGCUUAGGAUAAUAUGUAGGAUCAUUUGAGACAAGAAAACAAUCCAGAACACAUAGCUUUAGGAGUUUUCGGCCCAAGAGUUUCUUGGACCGUAAACACCAAAUACAAGGGCUUAAAUGUGCCCUAAUCACUCCCAAAGGCUUUAGACUUUAACCCUAAAUUACUUCUAGCUAAUAUGGGGACAUUAACACAUCAAAAAAACCCCUAAAAGGGAGUUUACGGCCAAGAAAUGCUCUUGGGCCGUAAACACCAAUUAAGGGCACCAAAGUGUGCCUAGGGCCCCCCUUAGCAUAAAUCAAAUGCCUCGAAAGUAUUCUACUUGUGUUUGAGACUUGAAAGAAUUAAAACAUCCAUCCCAUGAGAGUUUACGGCCGUAAACUCUAAGGGAUAUGGCCUUUUGGCCGUAAACUCCUCAAAGGAGUGUUAUCUAUGCCCUAAACUACCCAAAGGAUUAAACCACCAAACUAGGCUUAUUCUAGAAAUCAUUUAGCACUUUAAAACACCCAUUACCACCAAGAUUGGAGUUCACGGCCGUAAACUCAAGGUUUUACGACCGUAAACUCCUUGUGUGGGGUUUAUUGGGUAGUAAACUCUUAUACAAAGUCCUUGGAAGCUUUAAACCCCUUUAGCUUGUCCCAUAACAACUUAGAUGCAACCAUUAGGACCUAUAACACUUAUACAAGGUGUUUACAUGUUCCUAAGUGUCCCAACUUAUUUCAUUAAGUUAUUAUUUGGCUAAUUAGUUAUAUAUAUGCUCAUUAUAUGAUAACUAGGCUCGUGCGUGUGAACAAGUCUCCGUUUGCCACCUAGCACGGUAUCCGACACUACAAUCCAAACCACUCACCACAAGUGAGUUCAUACCCCUUUAAUUAACCUUUGAAAUACUUUUAAAUGUUUUAAAUACUUUAUGGGGGGGAUACAAGUUAAAUGCUUAUAGUUAUUGCAUCAAUCACAUGUGAUUACAUUAAUCAUAUGUGAUUAAUAACUAGAAAACCAAUGAUCUUAUCACUGUUUAAACUGUUUAUCAAACUGUUUUACUUCAAACUGUUUUACAAACUCUUUUACUCAUCAAAUACUUUUAUUUAAACUUUGUUAUACUUCUUAUAAACCGCAUGCCCAUAUAUGUAUAGAUAUAUAAGCAAUGUUUAAAGGGUUUAGGAAGGUCAUCCGCCCUAUUUCCUUUUUCUCGAUUUGGAUGUGGUCUGGUGGGAUUUCGGGUAACCAUCCGAAGGUCGUUUCAAUAUUAAUUAUAUAUCAAAUGUACAUAUAUAGACAUAAAAGUACUCCUUNUAUACUAGGAGAAGAACAUAUACAACUAUACUAGAGGAAGAACAUAUACAACUAUACUAGAGGAAGAACAUAUACAACUAUACUAGAGGAAGAACAUAUACAACUAUACUAGAAAGAGAACAUAUACAACUAUACUAGAGGAAGAACAUAUACAACUAUACUAGAACAGUUCAUUACAUUACACAUACUAGAAUACGUUCAUUAUUGUGAUAUGAAUCGGGGCAUGACUUAAAUGCCAUGGCCCGAGUUGUAGCCAGAGUCUCUUGAAGGGAGAGCGUGAGUUUGCGUAUAGAUCUAUACUGGAUUGACUAUCCUACACCUUGCUGCUAGCUACAGCCGGACCUGCAGGUCUGCGGGUGCCAAACGUCAUUCCGUUAUUACGACCAUUCGUAUGUCGUUGUUACCAGUCGAUAGUAUGGUGCAAUUAGUCACAUGAUACCUUAAUAUAAAUCCGGUUUAAGGUAGUUAGUACAACAAUAGUUCCUAUAAUACAACACUACAGUACUACAAUAAUUUACCCAUUACAUAUAUUUAGUGAUUAUUUCACUUAAACAUUAAUGUACAAACUAUAUUUUGUUAAAUGAUAGUUACACUUGGGAAAUUACACACUUUUACAACAAACGAGCAUACAAAACAGUUAAGCCUUGGUAGAAGGCUACUUUAAUAGAAAAUAUAGGUUUUUCUGAGAGAUUCAAACUUUUACAAACACUUACAUACAUUUUACAAACUUACACUUGAGACACGUUCAAACGUUUUGAUAACAAACAUCGACACUAAAAUACUUAUGAACUCACCAGCUUAAUGCUGAUAAACUCUUUCAAAAUAACUUGUAUUCUCAGGUCAUCAAUAGACAGGUACUUAGGCCAGCUUUUGAGAAGAUGGAGCGCAUUCAAGACUCAUCUUAUUAUUUUGAUUUACAUUAUAUUUUGGUGUCUAAAACUGUACAGAACACGCUUGUAUUAAAAUUAUAUAUUUAAUGCAAUGGAUGAUGCUGUUUGCUUAUUUACAUUUACUGUGUUGUGAUACUUUACAUGACGUCCUCCGCCCCACAACGUUUCCGCCGUUCUUGGUUUUGGGGUGCGACACGUUUUAGUAUGGAGAAUUCAAAGAAGGCAGAGUUACCAAUCCAAAGUAAUGCGAAGUUGAGUACGACUCAAAGUCCGAGUACUGAAGUCGAGAUAGCAGAAAUGAGCUAAGUACCUUACGCUUCCGCAGUUGGCUCGAUCAUGUACGCUAUGACUUGUACUCGCCCUGAUGUGGCCUUCGCUUUGAGCAUGGUCAUUAGAUAUCUAGGGAACCCUAGAAAAGCACAUUGGACCGCAAUCAAGAAUAUUCUUAAGUACCAUCGAAGGACCAAGGAAUGGUUUCUAGUCCUCGGUGGGAGUGAUGACUUAAAGGUGCGAGGGUAUAGUGACGCCAGUUUUCAGACCGACAGGGACAACUACCGUUCGCAGUCGGGCUGGGUCUUUACCCUAAAUGGUGGAGCAGUGACUUGGAAAAGUUCCAAGCAAGAGACCGUAGCUGACUCAACAUGUGAAUCAUAGUACAUUGAAGCAAGCGAAGCGUCAAAUGAGGCAAUAUGGUUGAAGAACUUCAUUGGAGACCUUGGAGUUGUGCCGACCAUACAGGAGCCUAUUGAGAUUUUCUGUGAUAAUGAAGGAGCGGUUGCCUUGACCAAGGAACUGAGGGAUCACGGCAGAUCUCAACAUAUUGACAGAAAAUAUCACUUUAUUCGAUAUCAGAUGGAAAAAGGACUCCUCGUAGUGAAGUGCGUAUCGUCAGAAGAUAACCCAUCAGAUCUGCUUACGAAGGGACUGAGCAGGGUUAAGCACUUGCAGCAUGCUAGGAGCAUCGGGCUGAAGGACGAUAUUAGUUUAGAUUAGAUAGUUUGGAAACGUGUAAUAGAUAAAUUAUAAUUAACAUCUGAUGAUUAAAUAAAAGAGUAUUAUUUAUUAGUAAUGUUACUAUCUUAUGUUAAUUGUUUACCUAUUGUUUCAUUUUGCAUGUUUUGACUUCCUGAAUAAUAAGAAUUAUUUAAAUGGUCUACAGUUGUUCAUAUGUUGGAACUAGGUAUGAAUGAAGACUGUCAUGAAUUGGUGUGUAGAUUGUCUAAAGUGUAUUAGACAUAGCAAAAGUUUGCUACAACAUUCAUGAGUGCUUAUGAAAAGUUUUGAGCAUUGGAAUAAACCCAUGCUUGCUGGAAUCACUUCAUGGAAUUCAUCAUGAGUGAUCGCAAGACGAUAAUAUAUCAUAUGGUCUUAAAACAUAGAUAUAUGGUUUAUUGUUUUCUAAUUGGUUGUGCAUUGAUAAUGCGUAAACACAUCAGUAACUUGAUGUUAUAAAACGCAUUGUUGUGUAUGAUUUGAUUAGUGGAUAGUAAAUGCAUAUAAGUCUAAGUUCAUCUGUUCCUUUUAUCCUAAUAGGUUAAAAGUGAUAUCAGGACCCCUUGAUGAUUUGAUUUGACUUAUGUGUCGGGCCCGGUCAGGACUGAAUUGAUGUGUUCAAUUACGUUCUAUGUCAAAUGAAUCAGAGAUUAAGAAACAAACUGUUGGAUAAUAAGUAUGACUAUGUUCCAUGUAAUUGUCCGCAUGAUAUCUAGAACAAAGGAUUAUACGAUCCCUUAUCUUAAGGACAAGUUACUGAUAAGAUCAAGAGUUUUGAGAACUGUGAUUGCUAAUCGAAUCCAGAAGUUGCAUUUGCAUUUAUAGUUAUUAUCAAGGUUGUAAAAAAUUCUCGACGUUAGCUAGUCGGUGGACUGGGGUUAAGAGAUUAAUCGGGUAGGCGGAGAUUAAUCGGGGGAUUAAUGGAGACCAUUAAUUGAUAAUUUGUUGAAUUUUAAAAAAUUGAAUAUGACUAAUAUCAUAUCAAAGUCCGUAAGUACCACUAAUAUCAUAACAAAAUAGGUUGAUAUGUUUAAUACAACAUUAAUCAUGCUUGAAAUAGUUUCUAUUGAGAUAAAACUUCUUAAAAAUGUUUAAAUUUCAUCGUUUUAUACAGUUUUACUCAUUAUUUAUGCAUGGAUUAAUCGCUAGGUGCCAUCUAGUUGGUUGAGUAAUGCCUAGGGAUUAAUCGGAGAUUAAUCGGGACCUAGUCAUGAUUUUUACAAUAAUGGUUAUUAGACUUAUCCAAGUAGGGGAAUGUUGGAUUAGUGUCCAAGUCCAUAACUAUAUUUGGUAUGUAUUUGACCCAGUUAUGCAUGGUCCUUUUAGGUUGCCUUCACCAAAGCAACUUGAUUGGAGGAAUAAUAUAGAAAGAGGUGAUUAUGGUUUAUUAAUAUAUUAUAAGAUUUAUAUAUUAAAGGAGAAAUCAUGUUUGUUUAAUUAACGUUGGUCAAUAAUUAAUUAAACAUUAGUUUUGUGAUCAAAAGAAGUUAAUUGAACUUAAGGGGCUGAACUGUAAUUAUGUGAUAGUUACAAAGUUAGGCAAGGAAACCUUAAUGGAUAGGGUGGACAAAUUCUGGGGAUAAUGCCUUAAGAAUUCGUCCAUGAUAGGGAUUCUAGAAUUAUCUUAUAGGCUGCUUGGUGGCUAAGUAACCAGAUAAGGAUAAUGACUGAAACCCUAAUUCAUACACCUAUAUAAAGGACCAUUGGGCAUGGGAAUUUCGGCCACUUGAACCCUAGAAGUCCUAGAGCUGAAAUUCUCCUCUCCCCUCUCUCUCUUGCUUCCUCCAAUUGCUAUUGGUGUUUGUGAUUCAUUAGAGGCACAACACUUAAGGUGCUAAAGUUUUCAAGGCUUCAAGAUCUUCAAUCAACAACAAGGUAAACAUCUAGAUCUACUUUGCUAUGUUAAUUUCGAUUAUAUACACUAGAUCUAGGGUUUGAAAGUCUUGGAUGAAUGCAUGUACAAUUAGAGAAACCUAGAUCCAAGCAUUAGGGUUUGCAGGAGCACAUAGGGUGUUCUUUUGGCUCAAACCCAUCACGCCCAAUGUACGUAGGGACCUCCUUUACAAAUAAGUUUCAUUCCAAGGGUUAAAAGGGUAAAUACCUACAUUCCGAAUGUUACAUAUAGAUAGUAAAAUACUUGAUUCUACCCUAAGCCCUUCAUCAAACAAGAAAAUGAAAUAAAGCUAAACAAAAAUUCUCAAGCUAUACAAUCUUAGUUAUGUACAACUACGAUGCAUACACUAAGCAACUACAAUAAUGACGCUAAUUAUAUAUAAGAAGUAAUCCUAGGGUAUCAAGCAUCCUAUAUCAGGAAAUCCUUUCAUGUAAUUCCUGAAGAUCCCUAUCCUACCACUAGCAUGAUGUUAUAUCAUGAAAAACAUAUCAAGUAACCGUGUGGGUAACUUUGGGUAAAUUUUCUUGCUCUGGCUGAUCAUACACAUCGCAUCAUUCCUUGGUUACUUUUGAAAACAAUUUUUGAAAACCAUUAAAAGAAAACUUUACAGCUUCCUAGUUUGAGUUUGGAUUCACACGAAUGUUCAUCCAGUUCUCUCAAACCGAGGCUCUGUUACAAACUUGUAACACUCCAAAUAUCAUAGAAAAUUAAAAAUUUUAAAUUUCAACCAUUAACCAACAUUUUUUACAAAAAGAGUCAUUGCUUCAAAAGUAUUAUUCAAAAUCAUAGUUUUUCCUAAGACCUAAUAACACAAAAUAGGAAGAUGUGCACGAUCACGCCUUCUCCUUCCUACGAUCAUCCGAAGUACCUAAAACAAUAAACUGAAAUUGUAAGCCAAAGCUUAGUGAGUUCCUCCAAAGUACCAUCAUGGAACAUAUAAAAUACAUAGAUUAACAUGUUGGGUCCAUAACCUCCCAGUUGGAUUACCUUGGCUCACAACCUCCCUGUUGGAUUGCCCUGCAUACCACAUACUGGGUCCACUACCUACCGACUGGGUUGACUUAGAUGGUUUGUGGAGUUUGGCCUAUUUUGACCCAAGGAUAUUUUGGAUAAGUUGGUAGUUAUUUAAGUCGACCAAUAUUUUGGGAUAAUAGGUGUCGAGUAGAGCCGGUUGUCAGGGAAGAGAUUUAUUCAGCUUAUGUUCAGACUGAGAGGUGAGUUUUCCUCACUGUACUUACGGGUCGAAGGCACCAAGGCCGACCCAACGAAUUGAUAUCCUGUCUAUACUGAUUGAAGAUAUGUUGAGUAUGCGAUAGAUCUGAAUGAUUAUAUGAUAGUUAUGAUAUACGUUAGACUGGUAGAUCUAUAGGGCUACCUAUGAUUAUUGGUUGUAUAAUCAUCUGUAUGUUGUAUAUAUAUUAUAUGUUAUAUGCCGACAUGUUACAUUGGGGUUGAGACUACUGCUUUGUGUCGUCAGUCAACAGACCAUGUCAAUCCAAUUGGGAUGUUGUGGGCUAGGGUAAUUCAACCAGGAGGUUGUGGACACAAUAUGCUAAUCUGUGUAUUUUAUAUGUUGCAUGAUGGUACUUUGGUGGAACUCACUAAACUUUGUGUUAUAGUUUCAGUUUAUUUUCAGGUACUUCUGAUGAUCGCGGUACGAUGAAGGUGUGGUCAUGCACAUCUUCCUGUUUUGUGUUAUUGGGUCUUGGUGAAAACUCUGAAAGUCAUGACACACUUCAAAUUGAAGUAUUUCGAUGGUACAAUCAAAAUCUCUAUUGGAUAAAAUUUAGUGACAACAACAGAGAAUUAAAAGGUUACGAUUCUUGUGUGUACCAUAUUCAAAUACCCAAAAAGGGAUAUAACUCCUUGUUCGAAAUAAAGCUAAACCAAAAAUUCUCAAGCUAUAGAAUCUUAGUUAUGUACAACUAUGAUGCAUACACUAAGCAACUACAAUAAUGAUGCCAAUUCUAUAUAAGAAGUAAUCUUAGGGUAUCAAGCAUCAUAUAUCAAGAAAUUCUAUCAUGUAAUUCCUGAAGAUCCCUAGCCUACCACUAGCAUAUUGUUCUAUCGUGAAAAACAUAUCAAAUAAUAGUGUGGUUAACUUGGGGUAUACUUUCUUACUCCGGCUGAUCGUACACAUAUCAUCAUUCUUUGGUUACUUUUGAAAACCAUUAAAAAAACUUUUACAGCUCCCUAGUUUGAGUUUGGAUUCACACGAAUGUUCAUCCAAUUCGCUCAAACCAAGGCUCUAAUACCAACUUGUAACACUCCAAAUAUCAUAGAAAAUUAAAAAUUAAAAAUUUCAACCAUUAACCAACAUUGUUUACAAAAAGAGUCAUUGCUUCAAAAGUAUUAUUCAAAAUAAUAGUUUUUCCCAAGACCCAAUAAUACAAAGCAGGAAGAUGUGCACGAUCAUGCCUUCGCCUUCCCGCGAUCAUCAGAAGUACCUGAAACAAUAAACAGAAACUGUAAGCCGAAGCUUAGUGAGUUCCCCCAAAGUACCAUAAUGCAACAUUUAAAAUACAUAGAUUAACAAAAUGGGUCCACAACCUCCCAUUUGGAUUACCUUGGCCCACAACCUCCCCGUUGGAUUGCCUUGCAUACUACAUACUGGGUCCAUAACCUUCCGACUAGGUUGACUUGGCUAGUUUGUGGAGUUUGACCUAUUUUGACCAAAGGAUAUUUUGGAUAAUUUGGUAGUAAUUUAAGUCGGGCAAUAUUUUUGGAUAAUAGUUGUUGAGUAGAGUCGGUUUUCGGGGAAGAGAUUUAUUCAGCUUGUCUUCUUACUCAGAGGUGAGUUUUCCUCACUGUACUUAUAGGCCAAAGGCACCAAGGCCGACCCAAUGGAUUGAUAUCCUGUUAGGUACUGAUUGAUGAUUUGUUGAGUAUGCGAUAGAUCUGUAUGAUUAUAUGAUAGUUAUUGAUAUACGUUAGACAUGUAGAUCUAUAGGGCUACCUGUGAUUAUUGGUUGUAUAAUCAUAUGUCUAUUGUAUGUAUAUUAUAUGUUAUAUGUCAACAUGUUACGUUAGGGUUGAGACUACUACUUUGUGUCGUCAGUCAACAGACCAUGAGAAUCUAACCGGGAGGUUGUGAGCCAGAGUAACCCAGCCGGGAGGUUGUGGGCCCAACAUGCCAAUCUAGGUGUUUUAUAUGUUGCAUGAUGGUACUUUGGAGGAACUCACUAAGCUUUGGCUUACAAUUUCAGUUUAUCGUUUCAGGUACUUGUGAUGAUCGCAGGACGGUGAAGGUGUGAUCAUGCACAUCUUCCUGUUUUGUGUUAUUGAGACUUAGGAAAAACUCUGAUUGUGAAUAAUACUUUUGAAGCAAUGAAUCUUUUUGUAAACAAUGUUGGUUAAUGGUUGGAAUUUUUUUUUUUUUUUAAAUUUUUAUGAUUUUUGGAGUGUUACAUUGGUUUUGUCUUAUAACUGAUCCAAACCCCCACACACCCUUGUUAAUCAUCAAAGAAGAAUCCAAUUAGAACUAAUUCUAUUCAACAAUAACAACCAUAGGGUGUUAGAAAUCCAUUACCUCAAAUGUAGGGAUCUUUUGAUGUCUAAGAACAUUAAUCAAGAUAAAUUAAUAAGGAUAUUCAAUUAAACCAAAGGUCUUUUGGCCUAGCACUAUCAUAUGUUGGAAAAAUGACCCUUCCUAAUGUUAGAAAAACGGGUUAUUUCGAUUGCUUGGAUUCCACUGAAAGUCAUGAUACACUUUCAAAUUGAAGUAUUUCGGUGGUACAAUCAAAAUCUCAAUUGGAUAAAAUUUAGUGACAACAAUAGAGAAUGAAAAGGUUAUGAUUCUUGUGUGUACCAGAUUCAAAUGACCAAAAAGGGAUAUGACUCCUUGUCCGAAAACUGUCAUAUUAACAGUUACAAACUGCCACAAAGCUGUCACUAAACUUGUAACACCCCAAGUUCAGAAGUGCAAGUUCAGGGUUCUUGGUGUAAUUAAGGAAGAUCGACUCGGCGAGUCGAGUCGUGAUUUGGCCAUGUGCUAAGUGACUGACUCGGCGAGUAGGCAGCUAGACUCGACGAGUCAGUGCUGGAGUGAGAAACCCUAAUUCAUGGGGUUUGCACCCUAUAUAAGGAACCUUAAGUCCCACCCCAGCCUCUUUAGGACUCCCUCUGAUGUCCAGAAACUUUCCACAUCGAUUUCAAACCCUAAAUUGAGAGUGAGAGGGAUUUAAGUGUGUUUUGGAGCUUGAAGAAGAAGGAUACUUGAAGCAAGAGUUGGUGGGAUCAUAGAGGAGCGAAGUGGAUCUGAUUUCCUUGCUUCUUGGCAUCAGCAUCAAGGUAAAAAGUUGUUGCCUUGACUUUGUUGUGUUUAGAUGGUUCAUGAAUGAAGUUUUAGGGCCAAUUUAUCAUAUAUGAGCCUCUUUUCGAGUAUUGGGUUUAGAUCUGUGGUUGCUACUACAGAUCUAGACUGGUCCUGACUCAUGAAUCUGGAAAGUGAUAGCUUUGGGGCUUGAUUGAGAGUGUCCUUGCCUUAAAACUUCACUUUAGCUUGAGUAGAGCUUGUUGAGCCUUGCAUGCACGUAAAGUUGGAAACUUUACAUGUAGAUCUUGCCCUAGGAGUCCAGAUCUAUGUAUUGAAAGCAAUAGUUUGGCCUGUGAUCAUCUGAAUGAAGGUAUUACGUAUGGACUCGGCGAGUCUGGGAGAUGACUUGACGAGUCGGACAAAAGAUUUGGAAUGAAUCGCGUAGUAACUCGGCGAGUCACAUGGGUGUACUCGACGAGUUGGAUGAAGAUAGGCAAGAACUCGACGAGUUGGAAGAACAACUCGACGAGUCUAUUGAAGAUUGCCUUGGGCUCAACGAGUCUGUUCUUGGACUCGGCGAGUCUGGUCGAGGAGUCCUAACCUUUUCUGGUUAAGUCGUGAAUCGGUGAGUCGAAGGAUGACUCGGUGAGUUGAGCAUGAAGGGACUCAGAGUUUGUUGGACUCGGCGAGUCUUGGGGCAACUCGACGAGUUGAGUCGUAAUAUGAGAGUUUUGAGUAUGGGAACUCGAAGAGUCAACGAGUUGACUCGGCGAGUAGGGUCAACCAGGAAGGUUGACCUUGACUGAGGACUUGGACUUUAACCAAGGGUUGACCAGUUGACUUCCGGGGGUAUUUUGGUAAUUAUUGGUAUUUAUUGAUUUGGUUUUUGGUAAUGAUCAGUGGCGGAGUUCGUGCUGGUGGUUGGAGCAGCGUGAUCUUAUUCUUCAGUCGGCAGUGACAGUUGAGUUAUCCUCACUAUACUGACAGGGUCUACGGCACCAAGGCCGACCCUCCAUCGGAUGGAAAUCCGGGUAUUGUUGUUAUGUUAUUGCUAUAUGGAGAUCCUUGUUGAUGGAAAGGCGGCCGACGAACGCUCGGUGGACUCUAUAUCCUCAAGGAAUCAAUUUGGAACCCGGAAAAUCAUAUUUAUUUAGGAAUGUAGCAUAUGGUUUUAGAGGUUGUCCUAAAUGGGAGGAUGUGGAUACGGUUAGUUAAGUUUAAUAAUUAUUAUUUUAUAUAUAUAAUAUUACUGAAAUUACUAGUAUUUAAUUUAUAUUUUUUUUGCAGGUUAUAUCUGUAAUAAAUGUUGUGCAUACCCAUUGGUUUUUGGUGGUUCUACAUUUAGAUACCUGGAAAGUAGAAAUUUUUGAUUCAGCACAAGUUGCGGGUUACUUCUCAACAUACAACACUAAUGGAGAAUUCAAAAGUUUUGGAGAUAGUAUUAUCUCAGAGUUGGAUGCCAUUGAUUACUGGAGCCAUUUCCCCCAUUGGACACAGAGACAAGCAAAGGUCGAGUUUUUUGAUGUUUNGACACAGAGACAAAGCAAAGGUCGAGUUUGUUGAUGUUGUAGACGCCCCACAACAAGAAUAUAGUCUUGAAAGAGGGGAUUGUGGAGUAUUUGUAUGCAUGUUUAUGGAAAUGAUUGUUUCUGGGGGUACCAGUGGCGAUUUCAAGGACAUGUAGAGAAGCUGCAUUUCUCUAUAGAAAUAAGAUGGCAAAUGUUAUUUGGGAUACUAUAUAAGUUGAUAUUAGGAACUUUGUAUAUAUAUUAAUAUUAAAUACUUGUUUCUAGUAUGUAAUCGUGUCACUUCUGGUAGUAUGUAAUCUUGUAAUUAUCUUUUAUAUUUUUUAAACAUAAUUCACCAAAAAAUGUUACGAAACCAUACAUUCAAACAAAAUAAACAUUACAAAUAACAUGAAUACAUUACAAUAGAGUCGUCUACAUAAAAAUAAGGUUUCUUACGACUAACAAACAUUAGAUAAAACAUUGGAAAUAAAAUACUCAUCUACUUGAAAAAAACUUUAUCUUUUACCAGAUUCCAAACGUCCGUAUACUCGAAAUCAUGUCCAUCAAACUUGCAUAGGUAAUAUCCAUUCACAUCUUCAAGAAGUUCUUCAUUAUCUGCUUGAGAGCGUCGCAUUUUCUCAGGAUUGUAGCAUCGAUUGAACCAUGUGACCUUAAACUUUAAAUCCAUCCAUUUACUAACAAUAGCAGGUUUUAGUCGUUCGUGUCCUUGCCCGACUUGAUAGUUGAACAAAGCUAUGAGGCGGGACCAUUCAUCACCUACAAGGCAAUUCAGGGGAGCCAUCACUGGUAGACCCUCGUAAAUGGUAAUCCAACUUUGUAUUAGGACCAACAACUCUGUUGGCGUCCAUGGAGAUGUACAAUUUGUUGGAGAGGCUGCAUUAGAUGGAUUUGUUGCAUUCGAAGAACUUGGUACAUUGGACGCCAUUUCUUAAUUGAUCUACUAUCAACUAAAGAAUUGAAUUUCGUAUAGACACUACGUUUAAUAUAUGUACAAACAUAUGUUAUACAAAGAUAUGUCAGUAACGCGGACUGACGAGCCAGUAACGCGGACUUACGAGCCAGUAACGUGGACUGACAACGAUUAAUAUAUAUAAAUAGUUUCUUAAUGCGGACUGACGAGUCAGUAACGCGGACUUACGAGUCAGUAACGCGGACUGACAACGAUUAACAUAUAUAAAAAGUUUCUUAACGCGGACUAACGAGUCAGUAACGCGGUCUUACGAGUCAGUAACACGGACUGAAAACGAUUAAUAUAUAUCAAAAGUUUCUUAACGCGGACUGAUGAGUCAGUAACACGGACUAACAAUUACUAGACAAAACAGUUUUGCGGACUGACAAGACAGAAACACGGAUUGACAAGUCAGUAACGCGGAGUGAUCAUUGGCUUUGCGGACUCACAAGUCAGUAACGCGGACUGACAACGAAGUAACACGGACUAACAACCCCGUAACGCGGAUUGAGAACGCAGUAACGCGGACUAACAAGUCUAUAUAAAACGACAAACAACAAUGUAUCACUUCAUCUAAGGUAUUUUAGUUCAUGUGCUUUGUAUGUUUUACAANUUCAUGUGCUUGUAUGUUUUACAAUGGGUUCAAACCAAUGGACCGCUAACGAGUAUUUCCUUCUAGCUCGUGCAUAUAUUAAUGUCAAAGAGAACACCAGUUUGGAGGAUAUAAUGUUUUUCUCCCAACUAACGAAUACCUUCAACACUGACGCUGAAACCACCAUACAAAACCAUCGCAACACGCUUGAUAUAGCUACAAAAUGGUAUGAAUUGAAAACGGAAGUUGUGUUAUUAAACGAUCUUUAUAAUAAGAUUGAAGAUGAUCAUGUCAAUGAUACUGAGGAAGAGAUCUUGGAGGUGUCUAAAGAAGAAUACAAAUCCAUUAGCAACGGACAGAGUUUCGAGUUUGAAGCCCCUUGGAAUCUUUUGAAAAAUGUACCGUUUUUUUAAGUAGAACUGCAUUUUGUAUUGUUCUUGUAUUUCUUUAUUUAAAUGUAAUAUGGUAUUUAUCCUUUAUUUUAAAAAAAAAUAUUUGACCAACAAAUGUUACAAAACCAUACAUUCAAAAAACAUUAUCUGACAAACAGCUUACGCGGACUGACAAAUAAGCUACGCGUAAUGACAACACAUUUACGCGGACUGACAAGUAAGUUCUGCGGAAUAAUGUAUACUAAUUCCUUAUAAAUUUUGACAACCAUGACGAAAAUUUACAAGGUGUCGAAAGUUGUGAAAAUGAGUUCAGUCAAUCAGGUAUUAAGGAAAAGUUUCUCCAGCCUACCGACUUUUUUCCAUAAGCUGCAAAGAAGCAAUCCUACCACCUUCACGUACAUUACGAAGGAUCGGUACAAUCGUUUCCAAAUUUGUUUCGUGGCAUUGGGAUGCGUGGUAUGUAAUCCCUUAUAGUAAAUAAAUAUUUAGUUAUUUCAAGUUGGUAUAUGCCUAAUAUUCUUAUGUUGACUUACAGAUUCGUACAUUUCUCACGUCUAUGAUAUCAAUCAUAUUCGUUGGUCAAGUACCUCUAAUUGGGGCAUAUGUAACAUCCAUGUACAUUGCUUUUGCUUUAGAUGGAAAUCAUGAACCCCUUCUCAUAGUGUUUGCCUUGGGAACCAUAAAUUGUGACAAUUCAUGGUUAUGGUUCAUAAGGAGGCUUAAAGACUGUUUAGGUGACAAUACAUAAUUUGGUUUCAUAAGCCAUAUGUCUGAUUCUAUGGACUUUGCAGUCCACAGAGUCUACCCUGAUUCAUAUCAUGGCUAUUGUUGUAAAAAUAUAGCCAAGAAAAUACGCGCUUCCAUCGGAACCAAUACAGUCGUAGAACAGUGGUUCUGUAAGACGUGUAAAGCAUAUAAUUUAUCUCAAUUUUAUGCAUGUUUGAACAAUUUAAAAAAUGAGGUAAAUGGGAAUGAUCUUCAUUGGCUUGACAAUAUUCCCAUUGCAAAAUGGGUACGGGCUUGUUUUCCAAGAGUAAGUUUCAAUGUUAAAUUCAUUGACAUUCCCGAUGUUUUCAAUUGGUUUAAAACAAACACGCAUGAGUUUCCAAUAACAACAAUCAUUGAAAUGGUUCAUGACUCGAUGUAAGAAGUUUAUCUUCGACGUGCUGUUUUUGGAGGUAAUUAUAAGUUAUGACAUCAUUAAAACGGUGAAUUGAUAUGUUUAUUAUACGUUAUGACCUUAUAAUUUUUUUUAUUGAUUCAGUUGAUUUCACAGGGGAUAUCCAUAAUCUUCUAACCCCUUAUGCACUUAAGGUGAUUCAUAAAAGAUUUAUCCACUCGGAUGGUUGUAGGAUUACGCAUAUUGUUGGCGAUAGAUAUGAAGUGACUAAGUAUUCAACAACCGAAUAUGUACAACUAGACCGUGGUAUUUGUAGUUGCGGUAAAUGGCAAAAAUGCGGUAUACCUUGUGAGCAUGCUAUAGCUUCACUACACAGACUCGAAAUUGCAGAAAUCCAUCAAAUGGUAAAUUUAAAGUUAAGUACAGCGGUGUAUCGAAAUGCUUAUCAAACUGAGACGGUCUAUCCUAUUCCAACCCUUAGGCAUUGGGAAAAACCAGUCGAAAGUGUUGUGGUCUUACCUCCACGCCAAUUCAAUUGAACUUUAUUGUAUGGAUCACAACGAAUAUUAGUUUUUAUUCAGUUCUAUGUUAACCGUACUUGUAAUGGUUUGUUGGCAUUCUUUACUUUUUAAUAAAAAAAAUGUUUACCUUUAAAUAAAUAAUUGUAUUUUCAUAAUUGUAAUAUGUAUGCAUGACAACGACUAGACAAAAAAACUAUGCGAACUGACAAACGCAGUAACGCGGACUGACAAAAACCUCUACGGACUAACAACAGCUCUCUGCAGAGUGGAAGGGACUAUAUAUAGUCAUGGAUGGUCGUCGGAUUUUUCGUAUAGAGUUAUAAUUUUUUAAAUUUAAAAUGACUUCAUCUUCAUCUUUGUAUAUUUGCUCGUGCAACGAAGUUGAUUGUUUCUAUUGUGAUCCGAUCGACCCUUUUCUUGCACCAUCACCAAAUUUAAGAGAGUCAUAUAUGUCGGAGGAUACUUUGCAACAACUACAAUGGGCUGAAGAACAACAAAAAAAAAGAUAAAGACUCGUCUCGGGCUCUCACUGAACGACGUGACCUCAUUGCGGCGGAGUGCAAAGAUGUUGAGGAAAGGAUGACGAUUACAAAAAAAAAUCAAAAAUCAUGGGGAAUGGAAAAAAAAACNCUAAGAAGAAUCUCAAACUGUCUGAAAAAUGGCUUGCUGACAAGGAUGCAGAAAUGAUAGAACUUGGUAGGCAAAAGGACCGUAUGGAAGAUAAAAUAAGAAUAAGGGACGACUACAUAACAAUGGAGAAAGAAAAGUAUCCUUUGCAAUUCCCUUAAGUUAAUUACCGUUGUUGUACGUUUACUAUAUGUUUCUAGUUUGUUGAAUGUAUUAACUUCGAGUAUUAGUUAUUAUUCUACUAGUAAUUAUGCAGUAAUAUAAUCAUAAUAUUACCCAUCAUCUUUAAAAUAAACACACCAGCUCAAAGUAGACAAAUUAAUGUCCUCUAAAACAAAACAUAAUUAAUUAUAAAUACAACAUCAAUCAUUCAAAUCAAACGUUGAACAAUAGUCUUCUCUCUACGUCCCACUCGUCCAACGCGUGUCUUGUGUCCCGUGCGUCUCUAGCGUCUCCUGAGUCCCUUCUGUCCCUUUCCCUUUUCCUUUUGUGUUACUACUUGAUGUCGUAUUAGUUUUUCUAGCCUUUUUUUGUUUCUUUGGGACCAAUGUCGGACAAGUCGCUGCAUUAUGUGUUGUACUAUCACAUCUACUACACCUUCUUAUUAUAGGUUCCUCACCUUGUGACGGAAUACGAUUUCUGUUUCUCGGUCUACCAGCUUGACGUGUAUCCAUUAUCGGGGGUUUCACAACCAUCAUGUUAGCAGGAAUCUCCCAAUCACACGGUUCUGGAAGGGGGUAAACCGGCUCCUCAUACGUACUUCGGUAUGUUUCCAUUUUGUAAGCAUCUAUAGCCAGAUGUCCGAAGUUAGUUUUUUUCAAGUGCUUCAAGACCAUUAUCACAUGACCACAAGGCAACCCAGUUCCUUCCCAAUAUUUGCAUGUACAAGUCUCUUGCCUCAGAUCAACUAUGCCACCAUGUUUGAAAUCAUGAACUUCAUAAAGUGCAUCUGAAACACCAGAAAUGGACCAUCCUGUCGUACGCUCUUCAUUUUUACUAACUACUUUUUCAGCCCACUCGGUUAGCACUGUUGAACGUUUCCCUAUAAAGAAGAUAUAUAUAAUUAACUAAUUAUUCGACCUAAUUAAAGACAAAAUAAAAUUCAUACCUCCUUCGAUGCGACGCUUGUAACACCAUUCCUGUGAAAGACGUCGGAAGAACUCAAGAAGGGGUAUUAUAGGCAUCUUCCUUGCAUCUACAGAUAAAGCAUUCAUGAACUCUGCACUGUUCGAGGUCAUGUAAUCGUAACGUUUCGAUGGCGAAUAUGCUCUAGUCCAUUUAACACAGGGAAUUUCACUUAGAUACGCUGCUACUUGCGGCCUAGUAGAACUAAAUAUAUACCACAAUUCUUCAAAAACAUUUCUUUUGUAAGCUUUCACAAGCCUCCAAAACAACCCUUUUGUUUUAUCAUUUUUCCCAAACUUGUGUACUAUGUUUCCUAGUGUGACAUCCCCAAAAUCUUGGCCAGAAAAGACCGAUUUCAUUGAUGCUUUUUAAAAUAAUUUCAGAGUAAAUCCUUUUGAUUUUAAAAGAGAUGCGGAAUUUGUUCCCAAAAACAAAACAUGAUAAAAUAGAUCUUUUAUCAAAACAUUUCAUAAAGAAAUAUAAUUUCAUUUCAUAAUCAAAACCGGGAUGUCAUGUUCCGAUACAGACCAUAAAGCAUAAACGAUAACAUUACAAGUCAUUCAACAAAUAUUAUACAUAUGCAGACUUGUAAACAAAACAACUUGAUGAUUCAUCCAUCUUAUGCCCUUACGCCACUUCCUGUAAUACAAGUAAACUGAGUGGGUCAGGCUUGGGAGCCUGGUGAGCAUAUAGGGUUUUCAACCCACAAUAAAUAAUUAUAUUUAAUUCAACAAUCAACAAUAACCCGAUUACCCAUUCCCGUUUUCCUUACUUUACGUCCCUAAAACAACAUCUAUUAUAAGGGACCUAAUCUAGGAGUUUCAUCGGGACAAACAUUACUGCAAAGGGGCUUCCUUAGCAAUAAAUAUCCUAAAGGCAACCAUGAGGGGGAUAUAGUUCACCGGUGAACACGUCGUUCACAAGACCUACAGGUUAUGAGCCUACUAGUGUUCCACAGGACUGUCUAGAAUAGUCCGUGGUCGUCAUCCAUACUCUGCUGAAUGACUAGAAUAACACCAACAACAUCGAGGCCUCUCAUCUGUUUAUUACACACCAACUAUCUACCCAUGUUCUACCCAACAUAUUAGUAGAUAAAAAUAUACAUUUGUAUACAUAGUUUAAAACCUGUAUAGCAUGCUCAAUCAAUACAUUUUUCCACAUAACAGAUGAGGUACACACACAUAACACGUAUUUCAUAGAGAAUAAAUCAGAUCUAUGAGAUAGAAGAAAGUGAAUAUACAUCCACACAUAUAGUCAACAAAGUAUACACGUAACACGUAUUUCGUAUAAAAUACUUCAUAAUAAUGUGUUAGAAGAAAAUGACUACACACUCACUUGAUCAGAAGAUGAUCGGGCAACACUACGACUUGUAGAAGUAGUGUUUCUCCGUAGAUCUGGAAGAUCUUCACAUAAACCGGGCUCCUCGCGGGCAGGUCUUCGGCUCUGAAAUCUCACUUCUCGGGAUUCUCGGGACUUCGGAUCUUGCUUCGGGGCUCGCGAAUAAUAUUGGGGCUUCGGGGUAUGAUUGGCAAGCAAAUCGAGGCAAAAACUAGAGAGAAGAAAGAGUUUGAACUAGAGAAAAUGGUUGAUCUCGCAUUCUAUUUAUAGGCUGCUGGGUCUAGGAUUAUGCCGGGCGUAAUUUCCAGGUACGCUGGGCGUACUAAGUACACUGGGCGUAAUUAGGUUACGUUGGGCGUACUUUGACGUCACUGCAUGCGUCAAUUGGUGGCACUCGAGUAUUGGUCAGACAAGUUGCACCCCUCUGAGUACGCUGGGCGUACUCAAAUUACGCUGGGCGUAAUUUGACUCGUCAAACUUCUAAAUUGCGUAACUUUGGCAUACGAGCUCCGUUUUCGACGUUCUUUAUAUCAACGCGUAGGUUAGACCAUACUCUACAACUUUCAUUUAGACUCAAUUUUUACUUUUAUUUUUAUUAUUUAUUUUUAGUAGGCCGGGACAGGAAAACUUCGUUAUAAAUUCAUAACUUCUUCGUUCGACGUCCGUUCUCGCCUAACUUUUCAUCGUUUCACUACUAACAACGAGAUAUUCGAUUCUCGUUUAGAUUGUUCUGGCUAAAAACCGCUCGAUCUCAAAUCGAGUAUUCGGGCUGCAUACUGCCAAGUCGAAACUUCAGANGAAAAUCAUAUUCCUCAUACGAAGUCAGAUUUGGGCGUUCUAUAUAUAUUUAGAAACCUAGUUUCAACUACUACAACAUUAUCCAAAGAUAUCGAGUUUAUUUUACACUUCAUUUUGACGCUAAUUUUUAUUCUUAAUUCAAUUAAAUUAUAAUAAUUAAGAAAACACACACAUAAUUCACAUAAUUCACAAAUAAUACAUUUUUAUUAUUUCAGAUUGGGUUACAAAGGUUAACCUAGACUAUUACAUUGCUAAAAAUGGCAAGCCCAUAAUCACGGGCGUUACAAUUUUCUCCACCUUAGAAUGAUUCCGUCCCUGGAAUCACACAUCAACAAAUAAAUGCGGAUAGCGACCCAUCAUGUCACUCUCCGUCUCCCAGGUGAGAUACGACCCAUUCGUGUGUUUCCAACGGACAAGCACUAACUCAACCAUCUUACGUCGCAAUUUCUUAGUCUUCCGGUCAACGAUUGCUUCUGGUUCUUCAAUCAAUCUUUUGUUUUCAUCAAUUAUUAACUCUGAAAGUGGAAUCAUGUCGGGAACUUCUCCCGUGAACUUCCUCAAGUAACACAUAUGAAAAGUGUUAUGAAUUCCAUUCAGUUCUUCGAGUAGUUCGAGCUUGUAAGCUUGGUUCCUAAUUCUCUGAAGAACUUUAAACGGUCCAAUAAACCUUGGACUUAACUUUCCCCUUUUACCACAUCUUAUAAGUCCCUUCCACGGCGAGACUUUAAGCAAAACCGAAUCUCCAACUUCAAAAGUCAUCGGUCUUCGCUUUUUGUCAGCAUAGCUCUUUUGACGGUCGUGAGCUGCUAACAUUCUUUCCCUAAUUAUUUUCAACUUUUCAGCCGUUUGAUGGACUAUCUCUGGUCCCAUAAACUGCUUUUCCCCAGCCUCAAGCCAACAAGACUGCGUACGACACUUCUGUCCGUACAAAGCUUGAUAAGGUGCCAUCUUAAUGCUCGAGUGGAAACUAUUAUUAUAGGAAAAUUCUACCAAUGGUAAAUGUUCAUCCCAAUUACCUAGGAAUUCCAAGGUACAUGCUCUCAGCAUAUCUUCAAGUGUUUGUAUCGUUCUUUCACUCUGACCAUCAGUCUGCGGAUGGUAAGCUGUGCUUAAACACAACUUGGUACCCAAUUCCUCUUGUAGACUUUUCCAAAACCGUGAGGUGAAACGACUAUCACGAUCCGACACAAUUGUUAACGGAACACCGUGAAGCCUCACAAUUUCCUUCACGUAAGAAUUCGCAAGCUUUUCCAUAGACCAUUUCUCAUUGGCUGCUAUGAAAUGCGCACUCUUAGUGAAUCGAUCAACGACCACCCAAAUCAUGUCGUGACCAUUCUUUGUUCUGGGCAGUUUAGUGACAAAAUCCAUAGCAAUGUCUUCCCACUUACCCAUAGGCACAGGCAAUGGUUCUAAACUCCCGUACGGUUUCUGAUGUUGUGUCUUGACUCUCGCACAAGUCACACACUCGGCCACAUACUUUGCAACAUCAAGCUUCAUCGUCGGCCACCAGUAGUAGGGUUUCAGGUCCCUAUACAUUUUAGUGCUACCCGGAUGAAUCGAGUACAUGGUCUUGUGAGCUUCUUCCAUCAGAAGAUCUCUGACUCCUCCUGUCUUAGGUAUCCAAAUCCGAUCUUGGAACACCUUCAGUCCAUGACUGUUUACACCGAACACCAACGUUUUGCCCAAACGUUCCUCCUUUCUGUCAUUCUUCUCAGAAGCUUCGCUCUGAGCUUUCUUUAUACUUUCCAAAAUAGUUGAGACAACUUCAAUUCUCAACGCUCUUGGCCUUUUCCUUUCGGGAUUGACUUUCCGACUGAGAGCAUCAGCAACAACAUUAGCUUUACCGGGGUGGUAAAGUAUCUCGCAGUCAUAGUCUUUAAGUAAUUCUAGCCAGCGUCGUUGCCUCAUAUUCAAUUCUUUCUGAUUAAAGAGGUAUUGGAGACUCUUAUGAUCAGUGAAAAGUUUGCACUUCGUGCCAUAGAGGUAAUGCCUCCAUAUUUUCAGAGCGAAAACUACCGCUGCCAACUCCAAAUCAUGAGUCGGGUAAUUCUUUUCAUGCUCUUUCAGCUGUCGAGACGCAUAUGCUAUCACCUUUUCUCUUUGGGUCAAAACACAACCCAAUCCAACACCAGACGCAUCGCUAUAAACAGCGAAGUCUUCAACUCCAUCGGGUAGAGAAAGUAUCGGUGCCUCGCAUAGCUUCUUCUUUAACUUCUCGAAUGCUUCUUUAUGCUUCUCACUCCAAGCAUAAGUAGCUCCUUUGUGGGUCAAAGCUGUCAAUGGAGUAGCAAUCGAAGAAAAGCCUUGGAUAAACCUUCAAUAAUAUCCGGCUAAUCCCAAAAAGCUUCGAAUCUCCGUGGGACUUUUCGGUUGUUCCCACUUCAUCACAGCUUCGAUCUUCGCUGGAUCAACCAUUAUCCCUUCUUGGUUGACCACGUGACCCAAGAAUUGUACUUCUCGAAUCCAAAAAUCACAUCUGGAGAACUUUGCAUACAACUUAUCCUUCUUUAAAACUUCUAACACUUCUCGCAAGUGUCUGCCAUGCUCCUCCUGGCUUUUCGAGUAAAUCAGAAUGUCGUCUAUGAACACUAUNGAACGGAUUACAAACCCUGUUCAUUAAAUCCAUGAAUGCUGCUGGAGCAUUGGUUAGUCCAAACGACAUAACCAAAAACUCGUAGUGCCCAUAUCAUGUUCUGAAUGCAGUCUUCUCUAUAUCCUGCUCUCUUACUUUUAGCUGAUGAUAUCCUGACCUCAGGUCGAUUUUUGAAAAAUAACUUGAACCUUGUAGUUGAUCGAACAGGUCAUCAAUCCUCGGCAACGAAUAUCUAUUCUUUAUUGUUGCCUUGUUCAGUUCUCUGUAAUCGAUGCACAUCCUCAUACUUCCAUAUUUCUUUUGACGAAUAACAUCGGAGCUCCCCAGGCCGAUGAACUAGGUCUUAUGAAACCUUUGUCCAAUAACUCCUGAAGUUGCAUCAUCCGCUCCUUCAUCUCCAUCGGUGCUAGUCGGUAAGGUGCUUUUGCUAUAGGCGUCGUUCCCGGCAACAAGUCGAUACGAAAUUCUACUUGUCGAUCAGAAGGUAAUCCAGGAAGAUCUUCGGGAAAUACUUCCGGAUAAUCACAUACGACAGGAAUAUUCUGCAUCACCUUUUUUUCCUUCUUAGCAUCGAUCACGAAUGCUAAAUAUGAUGUACACCCCUUGGUCAAACAUUUUCUGGCUUUCAUUAGAGAAAUGAUUCCAGAAUUUACUCUGCGUUUAUCUCCAUACACCAUAAACGAUUCCUUCCCAGGCGGGUUCACUUUCACUAUUUUCUUCUUGCAUAAAAUUUCGGCAUCAUUGGCGCUAAGCCAAUCCAUUCCCAAAAUGAUGUCGAAACUGUUAAGUUCGAUAUAAAGGAGUAGUUUUCUACCAAAUUCAUGCGAUAUAAAGGAGUAGUUGGCUCCAGAAUCAAAUAAAAUUUGGGCAGACGAUUUGUUUACGAGAAAGGUACCUGAACGACAUCAGCUUCAUCUUUAGCAGCUUCCAGUGUCAUCUGGAAUGCUCUCGCCUUCGGCUUUGGCGAAAUGUUGGGUUUUGUUGCCUCCUUCUUCUUCGGACAAUCUCUUGAUAUGUGCCCUUCCUCACCACAACCAUAACAAACAUUCUUGGUGAGGGUGCAGUCGUUGGCAUAAUGCCCUGGCUUUCCACAUUUCAAGCAUGUGGCUUCCCCGCCGCACUUCCCAUGAUGCUUCUUCUUGCAUUUGUCGCACCAUUUCGCUUCGCCUCCUCCACCCCCUCUCGAACUAGACUUCGAGAAUUUACCCUUUUUGCUGGACCCUGAAGAUCCCUCGAACUUCCUCUUUUCACCAACCUCUGACCUUUCCAGACCUUUUUCCCUGAUCUGGGUCUCAACAUUUCUAGCAGCCCAGAUGGCGGCUUUCAAUGUGGUUGCUUGCUUAACCAUUAGACCAUAGUCCGCUGGUAGUCCAAGGGCAAACUUGUUGACCUUAGAGAGUUCUGUAGGCACCAAAUAUGGGAUAAACUUCAUCUUUUCUGUGAAACUUGCAGCGUAUUCAGUAACGCUCAAUUUCCCUUUCUUCAAAUUCUGAAACUCAUUACUGAUUUCCAGAAGGUCCUGCUCGGAGCAGUAUUGCAGUUUUAGUUGUUCCACAAAGUCUUCCCAAGACAUUUUGCUUGCUUCUCCCUUGGGCAUAGAGUCAGCUAACAGCUUCCACCAACUCAACACGCCAGAUUUUAGCAGAGGGAUCGCAAGAGCGGUCUUCUGCCUGUUGCUGCAUUCGCAACUUUCAAACAUAGUCUCCAUUUCGGAGAUCCAGUCCAUAACUUGCACCGGCGUCGGGCUUCCGGAUAGACAUGGUGGUUUGGAUGCCAUGAAAUCCUUAUACUUGCACCCACGACCAUCAUUUCCUCCAUACUGGUUAUUGCGUCUAACCACUGGUUGUUCGUCUUGACCAAUGAUCCCACUAAAGUUUUCUCCUUCAGACUGCCCUCCAUUCUCCUCGGGCUCUUCCGCUUGAAUUGACGGUUCUUCACGAUUCUGCCUAAGCAGGCGUCUUGUUUCUUCCAUCUGACGAUCCAACAUCAUUUGAAUCAUCAUUUGUACACCAGCCAUUGUUAUCGGCUCAGGUGCAUCAGCUACGACAGGUACUUGUUGAAUUACAGGCGGUUGAUUCCUGUUUUCAUCAGCAUUUCCAACUCCGCUUCUUGUUCUCACCAUUUUUGAUCUACACACCGAAUAAUUUCACCUUAUUACUCCAAACGAUUACAUGCUAGUUCUAAUAUCGUAUACAUACGCUUAGAAUCCUAAACACAUAAACCUUCAGAUCCGGUUGGCAACAAACCGUAGAUCCGAACAAAUAAUAUCAUAUAUGGCAACAUAUAACAUUUAGCACAUAAAAGCAUUUUAGGCAACUUUCCUAAAAUAAACUAGUGCUCGUGUCUAAAAUUUAUCAGACACACAUCUCACAAUCUCCACUUAGCAUACUAAGUUUAAGUCUAGAAAUCCUACAAAUUCCUAGUUCGCUUAAACUAAUGCUCUGAUACCAACUGUGACAUCCCCAAAAUCUCGGCCAGAAAAGACCGAUUUCAUUUAUGCUUUUUAAAACAAUUUCAGAGUAAAUCCUUUUGAUUUUAAAAGAGAUGCGGAAUUUGUUCCCAAAAACAAAACAUGAUAAAAUAGAUCUUUUAUCAAAACAUUUCAUAAAGAAAUAUAAUUUCAUUUCAUAAUCAAAAAUCGGGAUGUCAUGUUCCGAUACAGACCAUAAAGCAUAAACGAUAACAUUACAAGUCAUUCAACAAAUAUAUACAUAUACAGACUUGUAAACAAAACAACUUGAUGAUUCAUCCAUCUUAUGCCCUUGCGCCACUUCCUGUAAUACAAAUAAACUGAGUGGGUCAGGCUUGGGAGCCUGGUGAGCAUAUAGGGUUUUCAACCCACAAUAAAUAAUUAUAUUUAAUUCAACAAUCAACAAUAACCCGAUUACCCAUUCCCGUUUUCCUCACUUUACGUCCCUAAAACAACAUCUAUUAUAAGGGACCUAAUCUAGGAUUUUCAUCAGGACGGACAUUACUGCAAAGGGGCUUCCUUAGCAAUAAAUAUCCUAAAGGCAACCAUGAGGGGGAUAGAGUACACCGGUGAACACGUCGUUCACAACACCUACAGGUUAUGAGCCUGCUAGUGUUCCAUAGGACUGUCUAAAAUAGUCCGUGGUCGUCAUCCAUACUCUGUUGAAUGACUAGAAUAACACCAACAUCAAGGCCUCUCAUCUGUUUAUUACACACCAAUUAUCUACCCAUGUUCUACCCAACAUAUUAGUAGAUAAAAAUAUACAUUUUUAUACAAAGUUUAAAACCUGUAUAGCAUGCUCGAUCAAUACAUUUUUCCACAUAACAGAUGAGGUACACACACAUAACACGUAUUUCAUAGAGAAUAAAUCAGAUCUAUGAGAUAGAAGAAAGUGAAUAUACAUCCACACAUAUAGUCAACAAAGUAUACACGUAACACGUAUUUCGUAUAAAAUACUUCAUAAUAAUGUGUUAGAAGAAAAUGACUACACACUCACUUGAUCAGAAGAUGAUCGGGCAACACUACGACUUGUAGAAGUAGUGUUUCUCCGUAGAUCUGGAAGAUCUUCACAUAAACCGGGCUCCUCGCGGGCAGGUCUUCGGCUCUGAAAUCUCACUUCUCGGGAUUCUCGGGACUUCGGAUCUUGCUUCGGGGCUCGGGAAUAAUACCGGGACUUCGGGGUAUGAUUGGCACGCAAAUCGAGGCAAAAACUAGAGAGAAGAAAGAGUUUGAACAAGAGAAAAUGGUUGAUCUCGCAUUCUAUUUAUUGGCUGUUGGGUCUGGGAUUACGUUGGGCGUAAUUUCCAGGUACGCUGGGCGUACUCAAUACACUGGGCGUAAUUAGGUUACGUUGGGCGUACUUUGACGUCACUGCGUGCGUCAAUUGGUGGCACUCGAGUAUUGGUCAGACAAGUUGCACCCCUCUGAGUAUGCUGGACGUAAUUUGACUCAUCAAACUUCUAAAUUGCGUAACUUUCGCAUACGAGCUCUGUUUUCGACGUUCUUUAUAUCCACGCGUAGGUCAGACCAUACUCUACAACUUUCAUUUAGACUCCAUCGGCUAAUUUUGACUUUUAUUUUUAUUAUUUAUUUUUAGUAGGCCGGGACAGGAAAACUUCGUUAUAAAUUCAUAACUUCUUUGUCCGACGUCCGUUCUCGCCUAACUUUUUAUCGUUUCGCUACUAACAACGAGAUCUUCAAUUCUCAUUUAGAUUGUUUCGGCUAAAAACCGCUCGAUCUCAAAUCGAGUAUUUGGGCUGCAUACUGCCAAGUCGAAACUUCAGAAAAUCAUAACUUCCUCAUACGAAGUCAAAUUUGGGCGUUCUAUAUAUAUUCUGAAACCUCGUUUCAACUACUACAACAUUAUCCAAAGAUAUCGAGUUUAUUUUACACUUCAUUUUGAUGCUUAUUUUUAUUCUUAAUUCAAUUAAAUUAUAAUUAAGAAAACACACACAUAAUUCACAUAAUUCACAAAUAAUACAUUUUUAUUAUUUCAGAUUGCAUUACAAAGGUUAACCUAGACUAUUACAUUGCUAAAAAUGGCAAGCCCAGAAACACAGACGUUACACCUAGUAUAUGAAAAGCACACAAGCCAUGAUGAGCAUGUGGAAAAACAUUUUCAAUACUAACGCGAAUUGUAUCGGCCCUAUCAGUUACAAAAGUCAAUUCUUGACAAUCACUAACACAUUCAUACAACUUUUCAAGAAACCAUGUCCACGUAAGACCACUUUUUUUUUUCAUAUUCCGUGCGUAAGGGGCAGUAUCUGGUUGUUCCCAUCCAUAGCUACUCCAUGCAAUAUGGUUCCCUUAAAAGCACCCUUCAAAUGGGCACCAUCCAUAAUUAUAACUUUACGACAAAAACUUUUGAACGCUCGUAUCUGCAAUAUAUAAAAAUGGAACACAUAAACACUCUAUAAUUUGUUUACAAAAAUUAUAUAUUAAAUAACAACAAGUUUUUUGUAUUUACCGUGCUCCCAAUGGCAUAAAAACAACACUCGAAACAAUCUUCAGAAUCUGUUUGAAUAUACGCAACUGUACCGGGAUUAUGCCUCUUCAAAUUGUGAAAAUAAAUAGGAAGUUUGGCAAAACAUUCUUCAGAGGAUCCCAACAACAGUUUCAUAGCAUAUUGUUUUGCACGCCAAGCUUGUUUGUAAUCUACGUUGAUUUCCAGCAAAGCAUUCAAAUCCCUUGAUAUUUCAUUAGGCCUCCAAACCUUGGAACGAGUUUUUCCCAUAAUCUCAUGCAAUAUAGUACCCAUGACUUUUUUAUUAGCAUGCUUAUGAUUAGGGUGUAUCUGUAAUGACGAACAUGUGUACACGUUGUUGAAAGUCCUGAUUUCAAAUUCAUCAGUGAGAUCAAGGCGUUUUGCAUACAAACGCCAACUACAGUUCUCAAUUUCACAAUAUACCUCAUAACGAUUUUUGUUAGAAUGUUUGGUCUUAAACUGAAACUUUUCUCUUGUUGCUUUAAGAAUCAAUGCAAAAAUUAGUUGUUGUUUGUUGUCAUAUGUUUGACGAACAAACAUAUCAUCAUUUGGACCUAAACUGUGAAAUGGUCCGGGUUCAACAAUAGGAUCAGGACAAUCAGGUAUGGGAGACAUACCGUAAAAAAUGUCUGAAGCUUUUUUCCCGUAUGUGAACUCAUCUUCUGACCAUCCUUCAUUUGACUCUUCACUGUCUGAGAAAGUUUUGUUAGUCAAUCUUCUAAACCCAUAUAAAUUUUUUUCUUCAACCGUAUUCAGUGCCACCGUUUCUUCUUCUGGACAAUCUUCAACAUUAUCAGAUACAAUGUUAUCAACAUUGUAUGGUACAACUUUCUCAGCUGCUUCUGUCUGUUCGACCAAUCCCUGAAACACCUCUAAAUACAAAUGCACAAUCUCCUUCGUUUCAGAAAUUACAUUUCUGAGUUGAUUAACAUCUGCUUCAUCUAAAAUAUUCAUCACAUACCCAUGAACCGGGUGUUGAAAUGACAAUGAUAUAUUACUAUUGAACACCUUAGCCUUACUUUUGACCAAAUCAAACAAUAUUCGAAAAUCAAAAUUAGGCGGAGGCAGUAAACCCAAGUUGUUUAACUUUGGUCUAACGUAGGUGUUAAUCGCAUUACUUAUCUGCAAAAAACCUCCAGUACAUAAAAUAACAAAACUCAUAUUUGGUUUUGAAAAUCAAAUGAAAACGAACUGAUCUAUCGACCAAAAUAAAACAAACAUAUGAAAAAGAAACUUUUGUAUCAAAAAACUCUUCAAAAUCCGCUCCAACCACCCAUUCCACGGAGGCAUUACUCUCUCCGCAGAGACCCAUUCCGCGGAGCAUGAUUAAAAAGGCUAACAACCUAUUGUUCGACCACUUCGCAGAGAUGACUUCAUUCCGCGGAGGUCCGCGGAGGGUCCUCCGCGGAAUGCAUGUCUAUAGCUGGAAUUUUUUUUUUGUGUCUAAAUUUUUAAAUUUCCCCCUUUUUUCGUCUAUAGCCUAUAUUUUCUCUAAAUGAUUUACAUAUUGAAAGUUCAGAAACAAGUUAAAACUUAAACCCUAAAAGAGCGUACAAAUUUCAAUCGUCAACAUACCCCACCACAAAGGCACAAAUAAUCAAAGAAACAAAUGUAGAUGUAGAGGCCUUUUUCACCACAAUCACCCUUCAUCGGCCAUUUCGAAGGCCACGUGAAAUGUCACUAACGUGGCCCUAUAAAUAUCCACUACUUUGUCUUUAACCUUUCCCCCCUCUCAUAUAAAACCCUCCAUCCUCCUCCUUUACCACCAUCACCAACUACCUUCUCUCCUCCAUCAAAAGUAUCCCCAUCUUUUCCGACAUGGCUGCUUCUUCAAUCUUCAUGGCAACUCCCAUCACACUCCUCAAGAAAACUCCCACCUUCUCCGUCAAAUGUAUGUCACAAACACCUCAAAGCGGUGAACCGGGGGUUUCAAAACCAGCAACCACCCCAACACCACCACAGAUCAACAUUCCUCCUCCUCCGCCACCUGCUCCAAAGGUCAGCACGAAGUUCUCUGACGUGUUGGCGUUUAGUGGACCUGCACCGGAGAGGAUCAACGGAAGGUUAGCCAUGAUAGGGUUUGUGUCGGCGAUGGCUGUGGAACUGAGCAGCGGUCAAGACGUGUUCACCCAGAUCGGCAACGGCGGUGUUGCGGUGUUUGUCGGGACAAGUGUGGUGUUGACGUUGGCGUCGUUGGUGCCGUUGUUUAAAGGAGUGAGCGUGCAGUCGAAGUCGAGUGGACUGAUGACAUCAGAUGCAGAGCUUUGGAAUGGGCGGGUUGCGAUGUUGGGUCUGGUGGCUUUGGCUUUUACUGAAUAUGUUAAAGGCAGUGCCCUUGUCUAGAUAAUGUAUCAUAAACUUUUCUAUUACAGAAUUACAUCUAAGAUAGACAAAUGUAUAUUGUUUUGAAUAUUUAUGUUUAUCGAUUUACCAUACAUAGUUCAAAUCAUAAAAAGCAUGUUUUUUGAUAAUAUAGUAUAAAACAAAUAUAAUAUCAAUCAAAUUGAACGAUGUUGUGGUAUCUUUCAAUAUAAAAUUCUCUUUAUAAAAAUAAACAAACAACGUACUAAGAUAAAUUUUAGAGGAAUGAACUUAGAUUAGCAAUAUAAGAGUCAAAGUCUACAAAUUAAGGUAUUGAAAUCCUAGUUUCACAACUUCCUCUUUGAAUGUUGAACUGAGGUGAUCUUCAUUAAUUCAGACUGAAUAAGUGACUUAGUCCAGCCUAGUCAAUUAGCUAAUUUAAGAUGACAAGUAUCCAAAAUUCAAAAACAUUAUAGAGCUCAAUUUCAAACAAAAGUGACAAAUGACUAAUGCUCACAAAACGAUCACCGAAUCAUUCAAAGCAUUUACUAAAAGCCAGUCUAAUUCUUAUUGGUUUGAAAUCUAAUUUUAUCAUCAACUGUAUACAAGAUUGAGAUUGAUAUCAGAGUAAUAAUCUCUAAAAGCAAAAUAAUGUAUUCAAAAGAAUAUAUAUACAAAAUGAAUUAUGUCCCAAGCAGUACUGUGCAUGAGUAUAAGAUUACUAUUAUGUUGGGAUCCAUUAAUUGAUAACUAAGCACACUUCCAAAUUUACUAUAUGGAAUUUAGUUAAGGAUUAAUGUCAAGUGGGGUGCAUCCACCCCACUCAAAGGCCUUGUAUAUGUUACGGUCCCAAGUGAUAUUUUAUAAGGGUCUUUUUGUAGUUUUUCUUUUCCUAAUAUAUUAACAUUUUUUUUUGAUAUUUUUGGAACUUUUUAUUUUCUGAGAAAAGUAUACAAAAUAAUGUAUAUACAAGCUUACUUGAAGAUAUGAUCGUUUAUGAGGUUAUUCAAGACUUAUUCUCUUGAAGUAUCUAUUCCUAGCUAGAUAUGAACAAAUGUGUUUGCAUUUAUCCUUUUUUGCCCUUUGUCAAUUCUUGACUAAUAAGGUAAUGGUAGUUCUUGGUGAGGGAUUCACCUCUGUAUUGAUUCUUCAUUCUAUUUAAAUGUUUGGAUUCACCUCUGUAUUGAUUCUUCAUUCUAUUUAAAUGUUUGGAUUCACCUCUGUAUUGAUUCUUCAUUCUAUUUAAAUGUUUGGAUUCACCUCUGUAUUGAUUCUUCAUUCUAUUUAAAUGUUUGGAUUCAACAAUGUCUAGUUGAGUAGUUCUUUAAAAGCACAUUCUACCAUAUGCAUCUUUAUGUCAAUAUUAAUUGGGGAUUCCAUAAACUGAAACUCUUGGAGCUCAAUAGUGUAGUUGAAAAACUUUUGUUGAGCCCACCACUUACAUGAAAUAGGAGACUUUUUUCAAUAAACUAAGUGGUUCCUUCUUUAUGGAUCAUCUUUUCGUUUCUCCUUUUGAAAGGUCCCCUGGUGAUACUUUUAUGUGUUAAUGAAACUCAGUCCUUAUGGCAUGCUUUUUGGAUAUGAUAGUACGUGACUAUCAAGAGCUUAUUUCUACUCAGUAUAGUCAUACUCUCAUAAGUCUCUCAAGAUUUUACACUCAGAAGCAUCGUUAGAUUGUAUGGCUACCUACCUUGUACUAUAAGCAUGUUUAUUAACAUUUAGGGAUUUAUUUAGAAGGAUAUCAUUUUUCAUAUUUUUUGUCUAACACCAGAUCUUUUUUCUCAGCUCAAUUGUUUCAAGUAAAACUAAGUGUCUUCUUGAUUCGACAACAAACCAUUGGUCAUCUUUCCGAUUUCAAGUAUUUUGCAUAUCCUCUCAAAACUUCUUUAUUUUUUAACACAAAUUCAAAAACUAUUAGGUAUCGGGAUUUUAAGGCUUCUUUAUUUUCACCCUCAAUUAGAUUCAUAUUUUUCAUUGCCUUGCAGAUUUCCUUUUUAGUUUGAGUCUAUUUAUCACGAGCCUGAAGUCAUUUUCUUCCCCUACCCUUGUUAGUUUUGGCUAUUGCUAGUGCACGUACUUCAUUGGCUAAAUGAGAAGACACCUCGAUAAUGGUGGAUGACUUGGUGAAAUUUAUAGGUUGUUCCUUAGGCUAUCCAAAGUGGAGGUAGAAGAAGACGCAUGAUGCUGAAUGGACAUCCAAGUCAUGCGUGAACACUGCCCGAUGGCUUGGCUAUGGAGUCUCCAUGAAGACGAUGCAUUCGAUUGGUUUAGAAUCUGGUCCCUCAUAUUUUCUCUCCUCCUUUUUGUCCCUUCACUACCAACCCACCGGUAAACACCAUUUCCACAACCUAAUGGGUUGAUUGUGGAAUGGUAAACUACCUAUGUGGCGCUGAGUUAGAAGGUGUUUUGGAUAUAACCACUCCCCACAACCUUAGCAUUAGAACAUCCUGAUGCUCCACAUGAACUAAGAACAUCACUUAAUCUUCAUUAAAUACUUUGGGGUUGUACUCAUAAAGUAAAAUAUCUCCCCCCUUAGACAUAUCAUCAUUUUCCUCAUCUGAUGACCAAGGAAUUUGUGGAGAUAUAUGUGACUUUGGAUUAAAGGGGGUUAUAUUGGUCAUCCUUUUUAGACAACUUUUUAAAUUAAUCAAUCCAAGCUCCUAUACCGACGACAUUUUCUGGAAUCUCUUUAGAUGGGGAUGAUGGUUCAUUAAGCGACGACAUUUUCUAACCGUGUACCGACGACAAGUCGUCACAGACAAGUCAGGAUAGGUCAAAAAAGUCGUCGGCAUAGGUGUCGUCGGGAUAGGUACCCCAUAUACCGACGACAUGACGUUGGUACAAGUACCGUCUGGAAUGAUUUUCGAGAAAAAAAAUAAAGUUUUAUUAAUUACUUGUGGCGACGACAUGUCGUCGGGACAGGUGCCACCUAUAGCGACGCCAUUUUGUCGCCACAUGUUUUCCACAAAUAUCAAUCAAAUACCUAUAGUGGCGACUAGUCGUUAGGAUAGCCACUGGGUGUUUUUUUUUUUUUUUUUUUUUUUUUUUUUUUUUUUUUUAGUUUUUACAGAUUUUGUACAUUUACCAUUCGUGCAUUUUUAACAAAUCCAAACAUUUUGCAGCAUAUAUCAAAUAAGAUACAAUAACUGGGUACCAUUGUUUAAAUUCAAAACAUCAAAUUCAAGUUUAAUAUUACAUACCGAAUUAGAUAAAAUAAGUAGUUAACAUUGUUCAAAAUAACACAAAACAUAAACAUCAUUAUAUUCUUUUUUUUUUCUUCUUCUUCUUCUUCCAUCCUCUCGGGUUCACAUUUUGUUGAGAGGUAUUUCCUUGUGAUGUACUUCCUUCUGUGUUGGAAUUGAAUAGAAAACUAGCAAACGGUGGUGGUUGUGUAACAUCCCAAAAAUUUUAACAAAUAUGAACUUUUCAAAACAACCCAUUUAUUAACAAAAGUGUUUACAAAAACAUGAUUUAAAAUUAGAGUCUCCCAAGAUCCACUUUGUUCUAAAACCGAGGAUGCGUACGGUCACGCCUUUGCCUUGCCAUGAAUCAUUUGAAGAAACUGAAACCAUAAACAAAUCGUAAGCAAGAAUCUUAGUGAGUUCCUCCAAAAUACCACCGCACAAACAGAUAGCACAUAAAUAACGACAACAUGUACUAGGUCCACAACUAAAAGACUGGAUUACCCCUGAGCCUAUAAUAUGAAUCUGGCUUGCCUAUUGGGCCCACAACUCAUAUCUGGUUUGCUCUUGAGCCCACAACAUAAGUCAGACUUGCCCCUGGGGCUCACAACUUAUGUCAGGCUUGCUCCCAACUCAAUCAGUCAUCGGACUAGAAUACCAAUGUUCAGCCCUGUGACAACCUGAAAUUUCCAUUCUGAACAAACCAUAUCAAUCCAAUAGAAGUUAGAACAGUUACAAUGAAAUUCCAGACUUUGGGCAUAAGUUUGACAGUUUUUCAGGAUUUACACUUAAGGAGAUAUCAGGAGAGUGGAUGCACUAGGGUUUUGUGCAACACUGUUAUUCCAAAACUCUAGGAUAUUAGGGUUCAAUUCCGGAAUAAAAAUAUUUUCUGCCAAAAAUCUCAGGACUAUAUAUAGAAAUCUGAGCCAUAUUCAUUCAUUAGUUACAUUUCCAACUAGAGAAAAGCCAAAUUCUCUCUCACGGAUCUUCAGGUUUUUAUCCCAAAUCGUGAGUACUUCUAUCUAGUUGUAUUAUAUAGCUUAGAUUGUUUUUUAUAACAUCAAAAUCGGAUCAAAACCCCAAGAUUUGGGAGUUUACCGCCCAAGAACACUUGGAGAGUAAACUCCUUUUUAAGGGCCAAAAGUGUGCCCAAUGUCCCUCAAAGCCUUGGGAAUGAACCUAGAAGCUACCAUUACAUGUUUAAGACCACAAAACAAUUAAGAAUCAUGGCUAGAAGUGAGUUCACGGCCAAGGAAGUUCUUCGUCCGUGAACUCCAUUUUUAUGUGCCAAAAUGCCCUAAAAGCCUUCCUUAAGCCAAGAGACUAAUUUAGACAUGUACCUAGAUGAGUUUAGGACUAGCAAACACCUUUAGAACACCAAGAGUAAGGUGUUCACGGCCCAAGAAGUUCUAGGGUCGUGAACUCCAAACAAUGGUGCCAAAUGGUGCUAUAAACUCUCCUAAAGCCUUGGACAAUUUCCUUGCUUCAUUCUUAGAUAAAUUAGGGACUUGAAAACACCACAAACACCCUCCUAAGGGAGAUUACGGCCGUAAUCUCCAUGGGAUAUGGUCCAUGGCGCGUGAACUCCUCAAAGGAGUUAAAAGGAAGCCCAAACACUUGUUUAAGCCUAGAAGCACUUCACCACUUAAGUUGUAAUAAUGUUAGGCUUCAUUUAGUGACCCUAUAGAGAGUUUACGGCCAAGAGUUUACUCCCCUAGGCCGUAAACUCCAACACAUAUGGUCUUUUGACCAUAAACUCCCAUAAGAGGUCUUGCACUCCUUUGUUGCAACCCAUUAGCCUCCUAGCACUUGACCAAAGUGUUUUCCUCACAUUAGGAUGUUUAUACAUGUUUAAUUAGUGUUAUAAUCACUAAUUGUUUAUAUACAUAUGUCUUCAUAUGUAAUUAGGACCAUUGUGUGUGUCUAAAGUCUUCACUUGACACCUAGCAGUCCUACCUCUUCAGUUCAUCCGUAUCACCCACAACAGGUGAGUUUAUACCUNGGGGAUACAAGUAGAAUUAUGCUAAUUAUUAUAUCAAUCACAGGUGAUUAAUAAGCAGCAUUCAAAUGAUUAGCUACUCAUUAGCCGUUUUACCAAACCGUUUCCUUCAAAUGUUUUUCAUAAACACCUUAUGUGUUUAAAACUCCUUAUUACACUGUACCUUUUAUUCUGUAUGUUUCAAUUCAAACUUAUUUACAAUUGUGUUUCAAACAAAUGUUUCUUUAUACUAAACUAUUUUGUCAAACCCAUGCCUUCAAAACCGUUUUAUAGAUUGACAUCAAGUCGAUCUUUUCUUAGAUAAUAAUUAUGUUCAAAGGUUUUACAAAACUUAUUUUAUGUUUUUAUAUUAUAAAUUGGAUGCCUAUAUAUGCAUAGUUAUAUAAUAAAUGUUGAAAGGACUUAGGAAGGCUAUCCACCCUAUUUCCUUUUCCUCGAUUUGGAUGUGGUCUGGUGGGAUAUCAGGUACCCGUCCGAAGGUUGUUUAAAUAUUAAUUAUAUAUCAUGUGUACGUAUAUAGUCAUAAAAGUCCUUCCAGCUCAGCCAAUGCCCUUGGGUAGCAAGGGUAUAUUUAACAUCCCCCUCUUGCACGUAUCACAAUAUUAUCCGCUUUGGGCCACUCGGCACGAGGACUUCCCAGGGGGUCACCCGUCCUGGUACUACUCCCGCCCGAGCACGCUUAACUACAGAGUUCUUAUGGGAUUUGCUGCCCUCACGGCUUUAAAACGCGUUGUGCUAGGGAAUGUAUCCACACCCCUUAUAAGGAAUGCUUAGAUCUCCUUCCCAGCCGAUGUGGGAUCAGAUCUAACCCACUUUCACCCCCCAUUAUAGGGUUCGACGUCCCCGUCGAACACAUCGACCCAUGCCCUGGCUCUGAUACCAAUUGUGACAUCCCCUAAUUUCUCGGCCAGAAAAUACCGAUUUAAUUUAUGCUUUUUAAAAUAAAAUCAGAGAAAUCUUUUUAAAAGAUGUUGCGGAAUUGGUCCCCAAACAACAUAUGAUAAAAGUUUAUCAAAAUCCUUCAUUAAGAAGGUAUAUAUUUUCCAUAUAUAUCAAAACCUCGGGAUUUCAUGUUCCGAUACAGAUCAAAAGCAUAAACAAGACAUUAUAAGCCUUUCAACAGUUAUUUACAACUACUGGCCUAUAAUCCAAAAAUUCUCUCGUCGUCCUCCGACUAUGCUCAGGGUCCACUACCUGUAAUCAUAAAAACUGAGUGGGUCAGGCUUGGGAGUCUGGUGAGCAUAUAGGGGUUUCAACCCACAAUAAUAAUAUACUUAUUAAGUUCACCAAUCAACAAUAACCCUGAUUACCCAUUCCCGUUGUCCUCACUUUACGUCCCUAAACACCUAUCACAAGGGACCUAGCCUAAGGAUUAUCAUCGGGAUGGACACUACUGCUAAGGGGUUUCCUCAGCCAUACAUGUCCUUAAGGCAACCAUGAGGGGGAUGAAGUACGCCAAUGAACAUUUAAUUCAUCAACACCUACAAGUUGCGAACCUGCUAGUGUUCGACUGGACUAUCUAGAAAGUCUGUGGUCGUCAUCUAUACUCCGCUAGAUGACUACAACAACAACAACAACAACAUCGAGGCCUCUCACCUUUUUAACACACAUCAACUAUUUCAUCUACCCAUGUUCUACCCAACAUAUUUUGUAGAUAAAAAGAAUAUACAGUUUGAAACUUGUAUAAAACAUCAAAUCAAUAGUCACCUUAGUUAAACAAUUACUAUAUUUACACAUAACACGUAUUUCAAGGUAAAUACUUCAUAUCUAUGUGUAAAUUGAAAGUAACUACACACUCACAUAUUUUGAUGAACAUCGGGCAACAAUUCAUUUCCUAAAACGAUCGUUUCUAAUAAAACCGGGAGUUUUAUUGAGAAACUGGGCUCUGCAAAAGUCGGGGUUUGAAACCGAAAAGAUAAAUUUUCCGGGCUUCACGGGCACUUCGUGGAGUAUUCCGGGCUUUACAAUCGAUACCGGGGCUUUGCGGGAUGUUAAGAUGAAGAAAAUAUGGGUUUAGGGGUUAAAUAUGGCAAAAUUUCAAAGUUACCUGGGAGGUCUCGCACCCUUCUAUUUAUAGGGGCGAGGCUUCUGAUCCAACGGAUAGAAAGAGGACACGCGUCGCAGAUCCGAAGGCUCGCAGGGAAGCCUCGCACGUGGCUGCGCAUGGCUCGCACCUGUGAGGGGCUCGCUGGCAGCUUGUGAUUGGACCGAGGUCUAGGGUCCGAAGUAGAGGGUUCGUGGCAUGUUGCGAGGGCUCGGUCUCGUGCAUGAGGGUACGUGUCACCUUCUCAGUGGACCACUUCGGAUAAGGCCAUGUGCUCGGAUGACUCAGCAGCUCGGGUGACUCAACAGCUCGGAUGACUCAGCAGGACACAUGGCACUUUUUCAGCGAGGGUGACGUGGCAACUCGUGACUAUGCGAAUUUUCUCGAUUUUCGCGCCAAAACUUCUAAAAUCCAUAACUUUCGCAUACGAGCUCCGUUUUUGACGUUCUUUAUAUGCACGCGUAGCUAAAAUUACGCUCUACAACUUCCGUUUAGACUUCGUCGGCUAAUUUUGAAUUUAAAUUUUAUAUUAUUAUUUUUAACAGACCGGGACAGGAAAUCCGUUAAAAAUUCAUAACUUCUUCAUCCGACGUCCGUUUUCAUCAGAAUUUUUACCGUUGUGCUCCUAAUGACGAGACCUUCAAUUCUCGUUUAGGUUGUGUCGGCUAAAAAUCGCUCGAUCUAAAAUUCGAGUUUUUUAGCUGUCUACUGCUAAGCUGAAACUUCGAAAAAUCAUAACUUCCUCAUACGAAGUCAGAUUUGGGCGUUCCUUUUAUCGAACUUCUCAGUUUAACGACUACUACGACUUUCAUUUAGAUUACUAAGGCUAAAAAGUAGUUUAUCGAAAACUCACUUUUUACAACAUUCAGCACCGUGCCGGUUUUGUCGCGAAACUUCGACAUGUCAUAACUUCUUCGUUAUAACUCGGAUUUUGGUAUUCUUUAUAUCCCCGAAAUCCUUGUUUCGACCACUACAAAUUUAUGUAAAGAUAUCGGGCUUAUCUCCCACUUUAAUUUUGACGCUUAUUUUUAUUCUUAACUAAUUAAGCCCUAAUAAUUAAGCAUAAAACACAUAAUUCAUAUAAUAUUCACAUAAUUCCUUUUCAUUUCUUCAAAAUGAGUUACAAAGGUUAACCUAGACUAUCAACUCAAUAUAAAUGCCUAGGAUAGAAACAUGAGUGUUACAAAUUGUAUCAAGACAUGUUAUAUGGACGUGUUGAACUUCCGUGUCCAUUUCUCCUUCUGCUGUUUGUUCUUCUAAAGAAUGAGGAAAGAUAUCCAAGUCUAGCAUAUGCAGAGAACUAGCAACAAGUAGAUCUAAGUCGUCCAAGUUGUUGGCAAUUUCGACUGGACUCGUCGGGUCUAGGAAAGUGACUCGGUGAGUCAGAUCAUAUUUCACCAUUUCCACUGUGUUUUCCGAGUCGGCUCCUUCCAGUAGCUUUUCUAUCUCCUCCAAGUCCUUGUUAACAUCUCCAUCCUCUCCAGAAGGUAGCAAAAGCUUGCUUGGAUCUUCUUCUUGCAAAAGUGCAAGUUCUUUUUGUAGUAUCUCAUCAUCCAAAUCGAUAAAUGAGAUAUCUUCUUUUCCUUCCUCUUCUUGCUUGGCUUCUGGUAAAGCUCUAAAUAUUGCUGACUCGUCUCCUACCCUUAAUGUUAGUGUAGACUCGCAUACAUCAAUUAAAGCACAUGCGGUGUUUAAAAAUGACCUCCCCAAAAUAAUCGGAAUUUCGGGGUCUUCUUCCAUAUCAAGCACCACAAAGUCUACUGGAAAUAUGAACUUGUCGAUUUUAAUAAGAAGAUCCUCACAAACGCCUCUUGGAUGAAUUGUUGUCUUGUCUGCCAAAUGGAUCUUCAUGUUUACCGGCCUUGGCUCCGAUAAAUUCAGUUUCUUGAAGAAAGAGAAAGACAUUAGGUUAAUGCUUGCACCUGAGUCGGUCAACGCUUGAGUGACAAAUGCAUUUCCAAAUUGGCACGGAAUUAUGAUACUCCCCGGAUCGCCCUUCUUUUCGAGUAACUCACUCAAUAUUAUUUCCGUGACUUCAGCCAAAUAUUUCCUAGCAGCAAAGAGACCCUUUAGUAAGUUGAAGUACUUGGGUGUUUUAAGCAUCGUUUCUACAAAUGGCACAUUGACUUGUAGGGAUUUAACAUGCUCCAUAAAAGCUCAAUAAGCUUCAACUUUUUCAACUGGCAUGGCUUUGAUUGGGAAUGGCAAAGGGGGAUUAUAUGGCUUUAAGGGAAUGACGGUUUUGUCAUUAACGCAUGGACUCGUCGAGUCCAUUAGAGGGACUCGGCGAGUCUUGUCGGGCUUAGCUGGAGCCGACUCUUCUGCCUUUUCUGUCUUCCUAUUGGAGAUCCUCUGUGCAUGUGUGAAAAUUUCUUCAUUGCUGGAAGUUACUGCACUCACAUUCUCCAUUCUCGGAUUGUUUUCGGUGUUACUUGGAAGUUGACCCGGUCUUCUUUCGUUCACUUGAUGUGAAAGUUGUCCCAGCUGUUUCUCAAUGUUGAGAAUGGAUGCCUGCUCAUUCCUUAGCAUAUUUCUGGUCUCGUGUAUUGCAGCAUCGUGAUCAUUGUGUCUCUUUUCGGACACGGCUAUGAAUCUAGUGAACAAUUCUUCUAAAUCGGCUUUCUUUUCCAUUACCGGUUCUUCCUUUUGAUAAAAUACCCUCUCCUUCUGCUUGUAUUUCUCCUCCUUAUCCUUCUUGUAUUCUUCGUAUGGGAGCCAUUCCUUCUUCGGUUUCCCCCAAUUCUCGUCGUAUCUAUCGCCACUUGAGUAGAACACUUGAGCCUUCUUGUUUCCAUUUUCAUCCAAAUCACAAUCCUUUGUGAGAUGGGGCCCUCUACAAUUCUCACAUCCAACAUGAAUAGCAUGGAUUGUUUGAUCCAUUUUUGUCAUCCUUCUAUCUAGACUAUCGAGCUUAGCUAUCAUCGCCGCCAUGCUAUCAUUUGCCGAGUUCACUACCCCCCGACUUACUUCAUUUAUUGGAUUGUGGUAUUCUCUAGAAUGCUUAGAGAAUUCUUCAAUUAACUCCUUGAUUACCGGGGGCGCCUUCUUCGUGAGCGGGCCUUGUGAAUCGAGCAAUUGCCUUGUGGUGACAUUGACUCCAUCAUAGAAAAUGGAGACCUCUUGUUGGAUAUUGAGGUCAUGGUGUGGGCAAUUUCUAAGCAAGCUCUUGUACCUUUCCCAAGCUUCAUAAAGAGAUUCUCCGGGUUGUUGCUCGAAGUUGGCAAUGGCUUUCUUUAGUUUAGCUAUUUUGGAGGGCGGGCAAAAGUGGUCUAUGAACUCUUCUUUCAUCUUGGCCCAUGUGGUGACCGAUCCGGGAGGAAGUGACUUGAGCCAAUCCUUUGCAUCACCCUUGAACGUGACUGGAAGCAUGCGAAGUAGUUGGGUCUCGCGAGGCAUAUUUGGUACAUUGAAGUAGUCAGCCACAUCAUUUACUUCAUCCAAGUGCUUGUAGGCGUCUUCGUGGUCCUUCCCAUAAAAAGGAAUCUCCUUGAGUUGAGCGAGAAUAUGGCCUUUUAGUUCGAACGUAGUGGUUGCGGGAAUUGCGGGUUGCACAAGUCCCGAGCCGGUGUCAUCGCGCAUCCUUUUCUUCCAUUACCCCAUGGGGACUUCAUCGAUAUUAGCCAUAGCGAUAGCUAAAUCGUCUUCAAACUCGGAUUCUUGCUCGUAUGUGGGUUCUUCUUCUUCCUCGGUCUCGUACUCGAUGUCUUCUUGAAUUGGGUCUCUGAUUGUCAAAGAGGCACUGGAUGCUCCUGAUUUGCUGCUCCUUGUCUUGCUGAAAACGGACUUGAGGUUUUUGAGUGGUAAGUUCUUUGAAGAAGCGGAUUCUCCAACGGUUUUGCCUUUGCUCCUCCUUAGUGCGGAUUCCGGGUCUUCAAGAGGAGGGACCAGAGGUGUAUCAGAUCCUCAGGUCAUGAAACAACUGUAAACAAAACAAAAAACGCGUAAAAAGAACAAAAAAUAAAUAAAAAUUAAAACUGUGAAUCAGCGAUGUACUCGCCGAGUCGGCACGAGUGCACUAGGCGAGUCUGGUCAAAACAUAGAAAAAUUUUUCUAGUUACUUUAAAAACGGAUUUUUAUUAAAACUUAUACUACUUACUAAAUUACCUUUUAAAUAACUUUGUGUAAGAUAAAUCCCACACAAAUGAUCGAUUAAAUUAGAAUUUAACGUUAAUUUUAGAACCGUUCCCCAGCAACGGCGCCAAAAACUUGAUGUGUGCAAACUCACUUAGUUUUAAACCUACUUUUAAUUUUAAAAUAAACACACAAAGGCAGUGGACCUAUCAAUUGUGGUAUAGUUAAAUAAGUAGGGUAUCGAACACAGGGAACGGCAAAUUAAAACUAAAAACUAAUUCUAUCUAAAUUAAUUAAUAAGUAGGAGGUUUUCUCUAGUUUUUCAAGACUAGAAACUUACUAACUAUUACUUAUUCUAAAACUUAGAAAAACAAAGAAUUAACUAGAUUCAAUAAUGGGAAGGAACUUCUGUUUAGUUCAACUCAAUUGAUCCUAUGGUUGAUAUCAAGGUAAUGGUGCAAUGGAUUAACUCUUUUGUUGGUUACCGAUUCAAGUGAUUAGAUUUGCGUUCACUACACUAAUCCUUAGCAAAUAAACUAACUUAAACAGUGGCCAGUUGUCUAAUUUAAUUAAAUUCACUAGAUUAAUUAUUCGGGUUAAUUUAGACUUGCAAUAGUUAACUAAUUUGGUCCUUUAAUUAACUUNUUUGUUGAUGGUCAUCACAAGCUCACACAUGAAUUUACUCAAUUUUCUUAUUAAUUCUAGUUUCAUGUUCAUUAAUCCUAGACAUAUGACAAAGUGGUCACAUAGCAUAUGAGGUUGAUAAUCAAUAGAUGUUCAUGCUAUUCAAUUACCUUCCUAUUAAUAGAAAAUUAAUUAUCAUUCACACACAAGGUUCUUUAGCAAGCUAAAAUAACAAAAAUCACUAACUUUAAAUUAAUCCUACCAAUAAUCAAACCAUAGUAUCAAUUUUGUAUCCCCAAACAGAAGUUUAAGAGUUUUAGCUCAUGAUUGAAGUAAAUUACAGCAAACAAACAGAUUUUAAUUGUUUAACCAUUAUGAAAAAUAAAAAAUUAAGUAGAAUGAUGAAAUUUGCCUCAAAUCUCCUUCGGAAUUGGAUUCUAGCUUGUAUCUUCGUCCUCUAGGUUUUUUCUGACUCUUCAAUCGCAGCUAACCUCUCCAGAAUCGUUCCAGAAUUCCUCCCCAUCGUUCUCAGAAGUUAUCUUUAUAUAUGCAAAACGACUCGUCGAGUCAGAUGCCGACUCGUCGAGCCCAUCUCUAAGUCCCCGUAUGCGAUAAGUCUCUAGGUCUCCGAGUCUUUAUCUUCUCGAAUAUUCGCUUGGGCUCGCCGAGUAGUUGACCCUACUCACCGAGUAUGUGUUGUUUUUAGUGUUUUUCUUCUUUGUUCGAUUCCCGAGCUCUCAACCGCUUCUCCUGCUUCCUUUUGCUUCCGAGCUUCACUUUUGGACUGAAAACAUAAUUCAAACACUUUUAAGUACCUUUUGUCCAUGAAAUGCAAUAAUUUAGCUAAUAAAUGAAUAAAAAUCUACACUUAAUAUGAACUAAAUAUGCACAUAUCACUUUCCUUAGAUUCAUAGUCUCUCCAACCAAAAUUCCUAGAUAAUUGAAUGGGAUGGAUGAAGGUUCACAUCCAAGAGGAGCUGCCCAAUUUAUUACUUCCAUGUGGGUAGCUCCUAUCCCAUACACCUUCGAUUUCCUAAAGUUCACCUUUAGCCCCGAUGAUACACAGAAGCACCUUAAUAUCCGGGCCAAGUUUGCAAUAUUUCGCCUUGACCAUUAGCCUAUAAACAGUGUGUCAUCUGCAUAGAAUAAAUGAGACAAACAUUGAUUAGAUUGUGAAAAUUUGAUGCCUUCGAAGAUUCCUUUUUCCACAACUGUCUUCAUCGCCUGAUUUAAUCCUUCAAUCACAAUGAUAAAAAGAAAUGGGGAGAGUGGAUCUCCCUGUCUGACACCUUUUGACAUAGAGAACUCCUUGGUCGGACUGUCGUUGAUCGACUGGGAAGGAGAACUAAGCAUUCCUUAUAAGGGGUGUGGAUACCUUCCCUAUCACAACGCGUUUGAAAACCGUGAGGGAAGCAGAUCCCAUAGGAACUCUGCAGUUAAGCGUGCUUGGGCGCGAGUAGUACCAGGAUGGGUGACCCCCUGGGAAGUCCUCGUGCCGAGUGGCCCAAGACGAACAAUAUUGUGAUACGUGCCAGAGGGGAAUGUUACAAAUGGUAUCAGAGCCAGCGCACAGUUCGAUGUGUUCGACGAGGACGUCGAACCCUAUAAUGGGGGGUGAAAGUGGGUUAGAUUUGAUCCCACAUCGGCUGGGAAGGAGAACUAAGCAUUCCUUAUAAGGGGUGUGGAUACCUUCCCUAUCACAACGCGUUUUAAAGCCGUGAGGGCAGCAGAUCCCAUAAGAACUCUGCAGUUAAGCGUGCUCGGGCGGGAGUAGUACCAGGAUGGGUGACCCCCUGGGAAGUCCUCGUGCCGAGUGGCCCAAGGCGGAAAAUAUUGUGAUAUGUGCCAGAGGGGGAUGUUACAGUAUAUAGCCAUGUUCAUACGUACCAGUUAAAUUACUAGUAAGCUAUUGACUAUCCUACACCUUGCUGCUUGCUACAGCCGGACGUCAUUUCUUUCUACAUAUAGAUCAGUUAAGUCUUGGUAGAAGACUCCCUGUUAUAGUAGUAGGAAUCAUAGGGAUUUCUAGAGUUUUUCAAACGUUUACAGUUGUUUUACAUACAUUUUCAAUACUUACGAUUUACAUACAUUUUCAAUACUUACAAAUUCUUACAUACAAAUUCUUACAUACAAAUUAAGACACUAAAAUACUUAUGAUCUCACCAGCUUCAAAGUUGAUACUCGCUUUCAAAAUUACUUGUAUCCUCAGGUCAAACAUAGACAGGUACCGAUGCAAGGUUUAGAGAAGAUGGAGCUCGUUCAAGACUCAUCUUUCAUUUUGAUUUAUGCCUUAGUGUUUAUCAAAAUUUGACAGAACACAGUUGUAUAAUAAUUAUAUUAUUAAUGCAAUGGAUGAUGUUGCUGCUUGUUUACUACUUUUCAUUGUUGUGAUAUUGUACAUGACGUCCUCCGCCCCAGAACGUUUCCGCGGUUCUUGGUUUUGGGGUGUGACAAGCCCUCAGUAAGAGUCUAGCAUACCAACUGGUCCUCAGAUCAUAUCUGGAAUGCUACUAAUCCCCCAGUAUGAGUCUGGCAUGCCCCAUCCGAGACUCAACUCAUAUCUGGAUUUCUCCGAUACCCUCAACCCCUUAGUACGAGUCUGGCAUACCAAUCGGGUCCUCAGCUCGUAUCUUGAAUGCACCUGAGCCCUUAGUAUGCGUAUGGCAUGCCCUAAUCAGCUCUUAGCUCAUAUAUGGAAUGCUCCAGGGUUUGUUGGCUACAGAACGAAGCAGUACAACCUCAACCCAACACAAUAUGUCGACAAAUAACCAACAUAUACAGAUAAUCAUGCACACAUAAUCAUAGGUACUCCUAUAGAUCUACCAUACUAACAUAUCGGCAACUAGCAUACUCAUGCAGAUCUAUUCCAUACUCAGAAUAUUAGUGAAUUGUAGGAUAACAAACCAAUACACCGGCAUUGGUGCCUUCGACUCGUAAAUAUAGUGAGGAAAAAUCACAUCGCACUGCUGAACAUAAAGACGAUCCAUGGUUGAUGGCUGCCAGAUCCCCGAACCGCCAAUAUCAAGACAACACCCCAUCACAGCUGAUCCCAUGAAUAAUUUCUGACUACAGAACCACUAUGAUCCACGUGCUAUCAAAUACUACAAUGACAACCCAUCAAUAGACCUGGCAAUGGAGCGGGUUUGGAGCGAAUCAGCCUUGAUCCAAACCCUUUUAACAAAUUUCAAAAUCCGAUCCAAACCCGCUCCGUAACCCACAGGGUUUUAAAUAAUCAGACCCAUACCUUUAUCCGCCGAAUCAACGAAUAUUCAAGCCCGCCCCAUAACCCAAAGUUUUUUUAAAUAAUCAAACACAUUUUAAUAAACUCCUAAAAUAAAAUUUCUUAAAUAAGAAACUGUAUACUAUAUCUUAAUACUUAAAAUAACAUUUUUUUAAAUAAAAAAAAUUGAUUUAGAAAAGGACAUUACAUACUCGAAGAAUUUCAAUCGGAAUUAAAAAUCACUAUUGCAACAACUUUGAAUUGAUUUAUGACUGUUGGUUGUAGUGAUAGCGAAUUGCAAUUGCCAUCUUUUUUCAUGUUAAAAAUUGAUUUAUUGAAUUAGAAAUGGAUAUGAUGAUUUCUUGAUGCAAAUAAAUUAAAUGACAUUAUGAUUCUUGAUAGAAAUCUAUAAGUUUAGAAUCUGAAUUAUCGAUUCCUAUGUAAAAGCAUUUUUUUUCUUUGGCCUUUGCAUUUUGGACUUUUGAUUGGUAUUAAAAUUAAACGUUAAGAAGUAUAAAAUAUAAAUAUAUAAUUCUAAAUUUAUAUGGGGCGAGUUAUAAAUGGAGCGGAUCGGUGAUGAUCCAUACCUGACCCAUUUAAUAAAAGGGCUAGUGGGAAUGGAUCGUUAACGGGUAAACGAAUCAAAAACUACACUCCAAACCCAUAUAAUUCUUACGAGUUUGGAUCGGAUUAGGGUCAAAACCCACUUCAUUGCCAGGUCUACCCAUCAACCUUUAGCCCCUGACUCACGUUAUGAGUGAAAAUUAGGGUAAAAGACCUUUUUAUCCUUCUUAAGCUUGGCCCGAAGCCAAGGCCCAACUAAAUGGUUAAUGGCCCAAAAUCCAAAAUAGACUUCUAAGGCCCAAAUAUGGCCCAAUUUUCCAAAUUGGGCCCAAUUCCUUUCUUGGGCCUUCAGCUAAGAAAGUCCAUCAAAACAAAAGCCCAAACCAUAAAAUCUAGAUGGCCUAACAUGGCCCAAGACAAUCCGAGCCCAAAACCGGAGCCAAAAAUGAAGGCCCAAUAGUACCGCAUACGCGGGGAGUACUCCAAAGGCACACUUAGCGUACAUGAGGCUGCGUAGAAUCCACCAUUGGGGUGGCAGAUUGGGUAUGCGGGGCGUACACCUCCCUACGCGGGGCGUACCCUCUUAAAACUCAAUUUCUUCAUAACUGCUUAAUGGCUUAGCAUUUGAGCUCAUACUUCAGAUCCAAGGUCCAGAGCCAUACUAUGGCCAUAAAAUUCCCAACUUUAUGAAUUUCCACGUCCAAAAAGUCCUUAAUGAAAGGUCUUAAUGGAUUAAUACUUUCUACAAGAAGUAUGGAGAAAAACUAGCUAAGGUGAUCUCACUUUUAUGGCUUAGAACCCCUCUUAGGGUCUGAAAGGACAGCCCAAAAUGACCAAAACCAAACAUGCAUAACAAUGGGACUUUUGGGACAAAAAGAACAUCAUAAUGCUACCAAAAUGAGAUCCAAGCAAACAAAGCAUAAAGGUAGAAACUUUUUACCUUCUGGAGCUUCCCAAGAAGAUGAUGAUCCAAGAUCCACAAGCUUGCUUCAACUACUAAUCUCCUUGAUGCAACUCCUUCUUCCUUAAGAACACAAAGAACACACUUUUAGCUCAAAACACUCUCUUAUUGGGUUAGGGUUGCCAAAAAUGACUCAAGGGUGUGGAGGCUGAAAAGAUGAGGCUAAAUGAUCUAUAAAGGUGAUUAAAUACCCCACAAACCCUAAAACUUAGGGUUUUUUCUAACAAGAGUACACCCAUCGUACAUAUGAGUACGCCCAACAUACUAGGGUACACCCUAGUAUGCUUAGCGUAUGCACAUGUACGCUUAGCGUACCACUCCUUCUCCCAAAAUUACGAUUUUUCCAAUAGGGCUUCUUGCGACCACUUCCUUCCAAAACAAGGACCAAAAUGGUAUACUCUAAAGCCAAGAGAUGAAUUUGAAAAUGCCUGAAAACUGGGGCAUUACAGGUUGGGAGUUCGGAAUACAUGUCGCCAAUGAUGCAUUAUAUUGUUGCAAGUAUUCUUGCAUUUGUUGUGCAUUAGAUUGGGAUUGAGAUUGGAAAGAUGUGGAAGUUGAAGCACAUUUAUUUGGAAUUAGACCGAAGUUGGUGACUGGUCUCCUACCCACUACGCGAGCCUGCCCUUGUCUCGUCCUGAGGGCACGUGCAAGCCAUUCUUCCUCAUCUACUUCUUCACCUUACCCGACCCCGCUUUGCAUUUUCUCGUAUUUAUCUUGAAUCUUCUUCUAAAAUAAACAAGAUAAUAAACAUACGAUAAUUAAAACAAACAACUAAACUUAAACAUUAAAAUAAUAAUAAUAUACCUUAGACAUAAACUAUAAUUAAUAAUAAUAACAUAUUUAACUAACGUAUUAAUUUCGCUUAUGACUUACCUAAUCUUGUUGUGCUCGACUUGUACACCAACCCUAGCCUUCUUUGUAGCGCAUUUGUCUCCAACCCUCAAUAUGUUGCGGCUUCAGUCCUAGUUUUUCCUGUAAUAUGUAAAAAACAAUAAAUAUAUUUAUACGAGUGAUAGUAACAUUUUUAAAUAAUACUAAUAUACUUUAUUACUUUUAAAUGACGUCGUUGAGCAUACGACCUACAUCCAUGAGAACUUGUGUCCGGAAGUUUAAUUCGACCUAGUAACUUUAUUUUUGGCCGAUGUGUGUAUAUAUUCAUCAGUAAAAAACAACAUGCCAAUCGUCUUAUUCUAAGCUUUGGCAGACCAAUCAAUCUGUGGAUGUUUUUUUGUCCUUUCCACAUCCGCAUAUCCACCAGCUUUUUCAAAAUGAUUUUCCAUGUCAUGCUUGCAAUCUCGAUAAGCUUUUUGCAUACUAUCUUGGGUACCCGCUCGAACGGGUUCCCACAACUCUGUGCCCUAGUGCAUAUCGGGAUCAAAAUAAGUCUGCAAAAAAUACAUAUUUGAUUAGUAAUAAGAAAUAUUUAAUAAGUGUAAAAUUCAAUACAUAUAAAAUAUUUUGUAUAUACUUACUUCUAGCUCGAGAUAUAAAUUAUCUUCGUACUUGGUAGAAACAUGGCGCCAAGAAUGAUAAUGCAACAGUACCUCUGAUCCCACCAGAUUUGAGAUCAAUCUAACAAAUAAGUGUCUGUUGUCCCGCACGAAUCGAUACGUCCUCCUGGAGGUAUCAAGGCUCACAACCAAAGGAUUACUACCUUUAUCUUCAUACUCAUCGUACAAUUUUAAGUUUCUCCAUCUGCCAUGUACAUUCACAUUCUUCACUUUUGUUACAUUUACACAUAGAAUUGGAAAUUUAGAAAUUUAAAUCCAAUACUUAAUAUUUUCAUGUAACUUACAUGAUUGGCAACCCGAUGGUAAACCAUGUGUGACCAUGUGUGGGGCUCUAUCACCACUGUCUCCUCCAUGUUACCUCAUGACUUCUGCCAUUUAUUUAACAAAUAUUAUAAACAUUCAAAAUCUAUAAUAAAGCUACUUAUAAAUAGGCAAAAUUUAAAAACUUAACACAUAUUAUAAACAAUCAGGAUAUAUAAUAACCGUAACAUACCAUCAAUGAGAAUCAUCACUAGAACAAUAUAACAUCAUCAUCGUUAUCAUAGUCUUUGUUAUUUAUUUCUUCUUCUGAAGAGUACGUAUCCCCACCAUCAUCGUCAUCGUUAAUUGUCACACCCCUGAACCAGACGACGGAAACGUCUGGGGGCUCGUGUGACUAACAAUUGAAUUAUCAUCACAAUGAAUAUACAUGAAACAUUACACAUUCAUCACCAACAUUACAUAUUACAACCAGCAUUGUUCACAGCAAGUACAUUGUUAAAGAUUACAUAAAUUCAAAGUAUUAAUAGUAAGAUAGGUGAUGUUACACAAAAUAAAUCGAUACACUUGAAAAUCUUCCUGCUUAACGAUUACCUGAGAAUACCAGUUAUUUUGAAAAACGGUCAACAUAUAUAAUGUUGGUGAGUUCAUAAGUAUGUGUGAAUAAAAGUCUUUGCAUCUUUUGUAAAAACCUAGAAAAUCUGAUAUUUUCUGUAAAAUGUCUUAAAAUGAUGUGAAAAUCAAGUAUAAAUGCAUGUGUGAAUUUCAUAGCAAUAACAUAUAUGAUUUCAGUUUAAAUUUCUUUGUAUUUUAAGUAAGUGAUAAAUGAAUAAUAGUAUUUCCCUAGAAAAUCUGAGUAUUUCCUGAUUUAUAAUAAUGUCGAGGUUCUUGUAUCAUUAAUUAAGUUGUUUCGUAUUGACACAAUCGAAGGGUUAAUCUUCGAAAUGUCAAAUUGGUAUUGGAUCUCUAUAUGAGCAGUUAUAACCAUGUAUGAUAAUGACUAGGUUGUCUUUCUUGGCAUUUUCCAAACGUCGGUAUUUGCUCAAGGUUUUGUCGCCCAAGACUGGCCUAGUCUAGUUGUAGCGAACAACUAAGGCGUGGGGGGUCACCCCAUAUAGAUCUAUACACAAACUCCCGCUCUCCCUCCAGGAAACUCUGGUUAUAACUACAGACUACGAUUGUACACUCAGAGGUGUCAACCGACAUGUCUCACUAGAUUCUCAACUUUUCAUACCAUGUUUAAUGUUUACGUGAAUGUUGUAUGUUUUCAAAUCCAAAGGUAUAUAUAUAAGUAUACGAACUUUAGGGCUGGCAAUUGUUGACACGAUACGCGACACGACAUGAAAUAAAUGGGUUUGGGUUGAGUUUUUCAACCCGCCAACCCGCUAACCCGUCAACCCACCAACCCGUUUAUUAAACGGGUCAUAUAUGGGUUUCUCAAAAAAUAAACGGGUUGACCCGCCAACCCGUUUAUAUUCUUAAUAAAAAAAUUAUUAUAUUUUUAAAUGUAUUUAUGUAUCAAGUAUUAAUAUUUAAUAUGUAUUAUAUAAUAUAUACCAUUUAUUCAUAGACCAUUUGAUUGUUUUGACAUUAUUACUCGUGGUGGAUGGUCUAAGGUCAUAAGUCGUAACCUAUAAGACUAAGUCUGUAACAUGUUUCUAUGAAUGUUUUUAAUUUUCAUUUGGAUGUUUAAGACUUAAAUAUCUAAAAUUUAGACCCACGAACCCAAAUCUGACCCACGAACCCGCCAACUUGUCAACCCGUAUAAAUAAAUGGGUUGGUGGGUCAUAUAUAGGUUUAAGUUCCAAACCCGCCAACCCGUGACCUGUAUAUUUAAAUGGGUCGUCAUUGGGUUGGCAUAUUUUGACCCGCCAACCCGCCAACCCGCGACACGCCAACUCGAACACAACACGAUUGCCACGCCUAACGAACUUCAAGAAUUAUGUAAAGGUAUAGUUACAAUCUACUAAGCAUGUGAAUUUCAGUCCAAGCCCAACUAGCAUGUAAAUGGACCACAAAGGUCCAAUGACAUGUAAGAAGGUAAUUUAGACCCAAUAGGCAUGUAAGUGGACCACCAAGGCCCAACAAACAUGUAACCUAUAGCUCAGGCCCAAAUUAACAUGUAAAUGGGUCGCAAGGCCCAAUAAACAGGUCAUUGAAAAUAUUGGGCUCAAUAUAUACUUGAAUGGGCCCUUAAGGCCCAUUGGCCAUGUAAUGUGAAUAUUAGGUCCAAUAAAAUUAUUAUCGAUGUAUUUCGUCAAUUCGUUAUUAUUUCAUGGUUUGCUUUAGCUCGAUGUUUACCGAAUUAAAUAUAAAAGUCCCCUUUUUGUAUAAACGACGUUCUUGGCCAAUAAGACUAAAAUUUUGAAUUAAGGCCCAAAGUUUUGUAAAAAUUAACACUUUAGUCCAUAAUGUAUAAAAAUUUGUAAUUUUGCCCCAAAUGUUUAGAAAUUUACGGAUCUAGUCCAAAAAAUUAUAUUUUGACAUUUAUGGCCCAGUUUCGCAGAAUAUUACAUUUUCAGACCCUUGUUUGUAAAAAUGACACUUUUGACCCAGUUUUUAUAAAAGUUACAUUUUUGGUCCAAUUUAGAAAUAUAUGUUAUUUUUACCCCUAAAUUUGGUUUAUUUACAUUUAUGACUAAAACUUUGGUCAAAUAACAUUUUUAAUCCCAAAACUUCCAUUUUUUCGCAAAUUUGGCCCCAAAACCGUGAGGCCCAAAUAUUCAGCCCAUUAGGCUAAAAUUUACGUUUUUGGCCCUUUGGAAAGCAUGUUUAUCAUAAAAAUCCCUUUUUAUACAAACAGGACCUGUUUGGUCCUUUAAAAACCGUAAAUGUCACUUUUUUCCCUUAUCUUUUGUUUUCUUGACAGUUUUGACCCUUAACAAGGUUUUUGCUUUAAAUUUUUGUAUCUUAAACAUAUAAACACUUUUAACUUGAUAAUAUGAUGUAUAAGGUGUUUUAGUGUUGGAUUAAUGUCUAAGUUUAUAACUAUAAUUGGUAAGACUUGACCCGAUCCGGCAUGGUCCAUUUGGGUUGCAUGGCAUCAUGCACUUGGAUAGACUAUAAUGAGAGAAAUAAGACACUUAUGGUUAUUAAUAUAUUAUAAGUUCUAGUAUAUUAAUAAUAAGAAUAAUAAGAUUAUUUAAUUAGUAUUGAUCAAGAAUUAAUCUAGGAUUAAUUAAGUGAUCAAAAGAAGACUAAUUAAAUAUAUGGGUUGAUUGUGUAAAUCAUCCAUACUUAUAUAGUGGGCUAAUGCUCCAUGGAUAAUCAAGUUGGGCUAAAACCCAUAGGAUGGUCCAUGGAUGCUCCAUGGUGUAUUUGAACCCAUGGAUCCAAGGAAAUGGAAAGUCAUGACAAUUAGGGUUUACCCUAAUUGUAACACUAUAUAAAGAUCUUAUUAUUGACCAAAAUCGGCCACUAGAAUCAUUCUAGAGAAGGGCUAGCCGAUUUCAUGUAGUGUAGAUUUCUCUCAAGUUAUUCCAAGUGUAUUUGGUGUUGUGUGAACCAUUUGAGGUGUCACACUUGGGGCACUAGACACUCAAGCUUCAUGAAGACUUUCUACAUCAAAGAAGUAUGUAUUCUAUCUUGUUACAUUCAUUGUUUUGUAUGCUAGAUUAGGAUAAUACCUUGGAAGUUCUUAUUUGCAUGUAUAAUAGAGAAAACAUAGAUCCAAGGUAUUUAGGGUUGCAUGUACACUUAGGAGUGUUAGAAUGCUCAAAACCCAACAGUGGUAUCAGAGCCUAGGCUUGUUUUCUUGUUAUACUUGCAAAAGAAGCUGAAAAAUCGAGUUUUGAUGCUGUCUGCCCAGCAGACUCGCCGAGUCCAUGAAUGGACUCGCCGAGUCCAAGGCAAAAUGCAUCCAACUCGCCGAGUUGGUUCGUGCACUCGACGAGUUGGACCCCCAGACAGCAUAAAUUCGACUUUUUUGGCUGGAAUUGGACUAGGAACAUUACCCUAAGAUGUUUUUGGACUUAUAAACUUGUUUUUGAUGUGGUAAUGUUCAUGCUAAUCCAAUUUCAAAGAUAAUUGUCAAUAGAUUCAUGUUUUGUAUUAGUUUAAGGUUUAGACUAAUUACAUGAAAAAGUUUGAUUUGAAUUAUCUUGUUCUUAUGAGUUGCUUAGAUUAAUAGAAAAGUUGAGUGAAAUAGUUGUUUUCAAUCCAAAUUAAUCUAAGAGUUGAUUCUAAAAUGUGUUUUUGUAACUUGUCCUCAAGUUAUAUGAAAAGUCACAUUUAAGUUUCAUAAAACUCAUAAAAGUUGGCAAAGGUUACAAAAUGAAGAGUCUAGUUCUAAUUAAAUGGUUUUAUGACUCCAUAACUUGUCCUCAAGUUAUGGAGGACCAAGAGUCUCUUCAUUAAAUAAUAAAUAAAAAAAAAAAGUAACCUUAAUUAAUUCCAUAAGUUAUAAAAUAAAGAAAAGUUAAUUCUUUUAUUAGUUUAAAGUCUUCCAUAACUUGUCCUCAAGUUAUGGAACUUGAAGAGUUUUUGGAUUAAAACUACUUUAAACACAUAAGUUAUGGAAUUAAUUAGUUUUGAAUAGUUUCAAAACUUGCCCUCAAGUUUUGGAAUUUGAAAAGUUUUCACUUAUGAAUACUUUAAUUCCAAGUUAGCCCUUAGAAUUUUAAAAGUUAAAAUUCAACCCUUAUACUUUAUAAUAUUAUAAGUUAAUAAUAUAUAUAUGUAUAAGAGUAAAGUCAGUCUUACCGCUAGUACGCCUCAUUCACGAAGCCGGUCUAUAAGGUGGGUAUAAGGUUGUUGCCUAUAAAAUGGCAACUUAAUGGGUGUCCACUCUCACCCACCGCUUGCUUGACUGGUGGAGGGUCGUUAGCCGAACGGGUUUGACAGGACUAGAAUUCUCCCUUCAUUAAAAGUAUUAAUGAUAAUACUAAGUAACUAAACUCUUAAUAAUACCCAAUCUUAGUUACUUAGGAAAAAUGUGAAUAAGGUGCUAAUCCAUGAAAUUACACUUUGCACUUUGUUUAAGUCGGUUAGUGGAGCGUGUGUGGUUAACCGGCACACUAACUCGUAUUUAACAAGGUAGGCAAAGGGUAACUUAAUGUUUAUCAUAGUAUCGAUGGAGCGUGUGUGGUUAACCGGCACAUCGAUUGAGGGGUAAACACUUAAGGGUACCAAGUAAUUUGCAUGGUUACUUCACACCUUGUUUUGUGAUCCUCGGCAUCCCAGUCACAAAACCUGAAGGGCACACUCGAGAUUGAAACAUGCCAUUGAACAGUUCAAUGAAUCUCAAAGAUCUAGGAGUUUCAAAACCAAUUAAAACCUAAUAAUACAUUUCGUUUAUCUUGGUGGAAAUUGGUGAAUCGUCAUUCACCUACCUUCAAAUAUUUUAUAGCUUGGAUUACGGCAUACCUCUUCUAAGUUAUAAAAUAGUUUGUUGGGUCCUAGCCUUAAUAUUUCAUAUUGGGUGUCAUAUUAAGGACUUUAAAUCAACUAUCUUGAAUAUCUCCCAAAAGAUGUCUGGUUUAGACACCUAUGAUCUUCCCAAAUCUCUUGAAACAAGGUUUCCUAAUGAAGAUGAUGUCCCAUGGAUAUCAUACUUCUUCACCUCUUCAAAUUAUUCUCCCUAACCCACAAGUUCUUGAAAAGUUUAAGGUCACUCAGGCCCUAUUGGCAAGGCAAGGUCUAGGUGUGAUCACAUCUUGGAGAUGUAGUCACAUAUUGACAAGCCGGGAGAGUUGGGUGUCAAAGUCUUGAGAAAGUUGGUGGUUCAAUCACUUUCUAAGUCACAUAGUGAGUUCCUUUGGGACACCUAUGAAACAGACUAUGACAAGACCCUUAAUGAUCUUAUCUAUUUGAUAAGAUCAACUUCCUAAAACUUUAUGGACAUUGACAAUGAUAACAUUGGAUAUCUAGUAAAGCUCUCUCUUCCCAGUGGAAAGGGAUCAGCCAUAGUCAACUGGGUUGACCAAAAUGGUAAAGAGAAAAGCUAAGUCUGUGAUAGUCCCGUGUACCAUUAUCAAAGGGUCCAUAUGUUUAUAUUGCCAAAGGAAGGGGGAUUGGUUGCGAAGCUGCCAAAUUUACCUAAAGAUGUUAAAGUCAAUAAGUUUGACUCUACUUCAUGUAAAGUCCACUAUCUAACUCUGUUAAGUUUCUAUUCUGAGAUUCCUGAUACAUGAUGUGACUGGGUCACAUGGUGAUGUUUUAAGAAUCGGAGCAUAUCCUCGAGUGUCUGGAUGGUGCACUCACUCUGACCAUCCGUCUGUGGGUGGUAGGCAGUGCUCAUAUCUAGCUGUGUUCCCAUUGCCUUCUGAAGAUAUUGCCAGAAACUUGAAGUGAAUCUGCUAUAUCGAUUUGAGAUAAUAGAUAUUGGCACUCCAUGGAGUCUCACAACCUCCUUGAUGUAGAUUCGGGUCAGCUUUUCCAUCUUGUAAGAUUCUUUUAUUGGUAGGAAAUGAGCGGAUUUUGUUAAUCUAUCCACGAUUACCCAAAUAGCAUCCAAUCCGUCUGCUAUCUUUGGCAAUUUUGUCACAAAGUCCAUGGUAAUCCUCUCCGAUUUCCACUUGGGUAUCACUGGUUGUUGCAGUAGUCCCGAGGGCUUUUGGUAUUCCACUUUCACUUUGGCACAAGUAAAACACUUGCCCACGAAAGUGGCUAUCUCUGCCUUCAUAUUAGGCCACCAAUAUUGUUGCUUGAUAUCCAAAUACACCUUAUCUGACGCCGGAUGAAUAGAAUAUCGCGUCUUGUGGGCUUCAUGCAUGACUACUUCUUUGAAUCCCUUAAAUUUGGGAACCCAGAUUCUAUUCAUGAAGUAGUGAGUUCCAUCGUCUUUAACUUCGAGCACCUUCUCCAUUCCACGUAGUGAGUCACUAGCGACAUUCUCUGGCUUCAAUGGUUCCAAUUGGUCUUCCUUGAUCUGUGAGGCUAGAUGAGAUUGGAUGGUGAUUGAUAGAGUUUUCACACGACGACUUGAAUACUCCUUUUGGAUCAAGGCAUCGGCUACCACGUUAGCCUUGCCUGGAUGAUAUUUGAUCUCACACUCAUAAUCAUUUAACAGCUCAACCCAUCUCCACUGCCUCAUGUUUAGUUCCUUUUGAUUUAGAAUGUGCUGGAGGCUCUUGUGGUCUGUAAAGAUGGUGCACUUGGUACCAUAUAGGUAGUGCCUCCAAAUUUUCAAGGAGAAGACCACCUCCCCCAAUUCGAGAUGUUGAGUAGUAUAAUUUACUUCAUGUGUUUUCAAUUUUCUAGAUGCAUAUGCAAUUACCUUCCCGCGUUGCAUAAGGACACAACCUAAACCAUGAUUCGAAGCAUCAUAGUAAAUUAUGAAGUCUUUAAUUCCCUUCGGUAAGGAUAACAAUGGAGCACUACAGAGGGCUUGCUUCAAGGUUUGGAAGGCGAUCUCUUGCUUCUCAGUCCAGUUGAAAGGUACGCCUUUCUGUGUCAAUGUGGUGAGGGGUUUGGCUAUCUUAGAAAAGUUCUGAAUGAAUCUUCGGUAGUAGCCCACAAGACCCAAAAAUUGGCGAAUUUAUGUUGGCGUUGUUGGAAUUUCCCAGUUUUUGAUUGCUUUGAUCUUUGAAAGAUCCAUGUGUAUUCCUUCCUAACUAACUACAUGGCUUGGAAAGUUUACACUGCGGAGCCAGAACUCACACUUGGAGAGUUUCGUAUACAACUUUUCAGCUCGAAGGGUCUUCAAGAUCUGUUGGAGAUGUUGACUAUGCUCUUCUUUGCUUCGAGAGUAUAUGAGGAUAUCAUCGAUGAAAACGAUCAGGAAUUUGUCAAGGAAUGGGCGGAAGACUCGAUUCAUGAGGUCCAUAAAUGCAGUGGGGGCAUUUGUUAGACCGAAGGGCAUCACGACGAAUUCGUAAUAACCGUAACGGGUUUGGAAAGCAGACUUAGGAAUGUCCUCAUCUCGGACCUUGAGUUGAUGAUAACUGGAUCUUAGAUCUAUCUUUGAAAAGUAACUAGCCCCUUGAAGCUGGUCAAAUAGAUCAUCGAUUCGUGGAAGUGGAUACCGGUUUUUGAUGGUGAGCUUAUUUAGUUCCCUAUAAUCAAUGCACAUCCUGAAGGAUUCGUCUUUCUUUUUAACGAAAAGAAUCGGAGCUCCCCAUGGAGAGAAGCUUGGUCUUAUGAAUCCUUUAUUCAAGAGUUCACUUAGUUGGCUUGACAAUUCAUGCAUUUCAGCGGGAGCCAACCUAUAGGGUGAUUUGGCUAUUGAAGUGGCUCUAGGCACUAGGUCGAUUCAGAAUUCGAUUUGUCGUUCUGGGGGUAUUCCUGGAAGCUCUUCUAGAAACACAUCCGGGAAGUCACAUGCCACUGGGAUGUUUUGAAUGUUCGCUUCCUCUUUGGUAUUAUCCACCACAUGAGCAAGGAAUGUGUAGUUCUUCUUUUGUAGACACUUUUGUGCCUUGAUACACGAGAUAAGGUAAAGGUUUGCACCGGGUUUAUCUCCGUAGAUUAUUAGGGUUUCGUGAUUAGAAAGAUGAAAGUGAAUGACCUUCUCGUGACACAUAAUAUCGGCAUGAUGGGGGCUUAACCAAUCCAUGCCGAUGAUGACAUCAAAACUCCUAAUAUUUACUGGCAUCAAAUUUAUUUGGAAAAAGUGGUUGUUUAGUGUUAACGUACAUCCUAUAUAGAUAUCUUUGGUUGUUUCAGUGUUCCCAUUAUCCAUUUCCACCGUGAAGGAUUCGUUGAGCUUCUGGGGUUGUUGAUUUAGAAAGUAUUUGAAUUUAUUACUAACGAAACUUCGCUCCGCCCCACUAUCAAAUAAGAUGCAUGCAUACGAGUUGUUAAGUAGGAACGUACCGAUGAUAACAGCUGGGUCCUACACUGCUUCAUCCUAACCCAUUGUCAACACUCUCCCUGCUGCUCCUGCCCCUUGAUUGUUUGCGUUGGGGAAAUUUCUCCUGAAAUUCCCGGUUUUCCCACAUACGUAACAGGUAUAAUUGGCCCCAACAUUGGUGUUGUUGUUAUUGUUGUUGUUGUUGGUGUUGUUGUUGUUGUUGUUUUUUGGCAUCUGGUUUUGUUGAAGCUGAGUCCUGCAAUACUUUGUUGUAUGGCGUUUCUGGUUGAACCUUGCGCAAAUCAUCUCUCUGUAUUCCCCAUGAUGGUGGAAGUUGCAUUUGUUACACUUGGCGAGAUUUCCUGAAUACUGCUUUGGAGCAUUUGGCGUGGAUGAGGCUGGAGCAUGGGGUGUGGUGGUAGCUUGAGUUACAGCAUGGACAGUCACAGUUUGUUGCUUCUUAGAUGAUUCUGAGUUAUGUUUUCCAUUUCUCUUGUUGUUUAUCCCUUUCUUUCUCUCUUCUUCCUUCUUAACCUCCGCUUCCACUGUUUUGGCACGCUUCUUAUUUCCAUGAUCAUACGAUUUCUUGUCCAGUCUCUUGGCGCUAUCAAACAUCUCAGGGUUUUGCUGCAAUAACAUUCCCUUAGAUAGGUGCAGUCAAUCCCUAGAUAAACCUAUCAAUCUUUUUCCCUUCUAAGGUGAUCAUUCCGGGACACAAAAGAGAUAGCUCACUAAACCUAGAUAUGUAUGCGGUUAUAUUGGAGUUUUGAACUGUGAGGUUCCACAACUCUUGUUCCAUCUUCUGAAUUUCACCUCCAAGACAGUAUUCUGCCAACAUCAUUUCCUUAAGCUCUUCCCAGAGCAUCGCGUUCGCUACCGGGAGUGUCAUGGCCUCUACAUGCCCAUUCCACCAGGAGAUGGCUUGAUCAAUGAAUUUGCAGGUUGCGAACAUGACCUUACACUCAUCUGGGCACCCACAGAUUUCAAAAAUGGAUUCUACUUUCUCGAUCCAUCGCUUCAGGGCUAUUACGCCUCCUGUCCCAUUAAAGGUUCGAGGUUUGGCAUUGGUGAAGUCCUUGUAGGUGCAUGUUCGUGUGGCUCCAUGGAUUGUUCCUUGAUUUGUGCUUCCGUUUCCCUGUCGGUUGCCUUCUCUAUUGUUUCCAUUGCGAAUCUGCACAAGUGUUGUAGUGACCGCAACAGACAAUGUUGCCUGGAAUGCAACCGAGAUUAUUUUCGGCGGGUUUGGUGUUGCGUUGUUUCCACGAUUGGGCCUUUGAGGCAUCUUUCUGUCAUGGAACGGAAAGAUGUAGAGUGACUAUUGUUUUGCGAGUUUGGAAUCCCCUAGGCUAGGUGUAUCGAGUGUGUAUUUAAGUAAUUUCAUACAUUAACAUAAAAUAGGGAAGUAAAACACAUAGCAGAUGACAACAUCAUGAUAAAACGUAAAGCAUUUUCAUUAAUACUAAUUGUUUUGAUACAUGAACAUUUGCCAGAAGGCAUACAGUACAUAGGGAAAUAUAAAAUAUGGCAGCAUUACAACCCUAUGAGCAGUGUGAUCACUUAAACAUAGAGUCGAUAGUACAUAGCAUAGUACACAUAAGGGAAACCUAAUAGUAUUAAGAGAUACUACUGGUCCUGAUCAUACUGAGAAGUGCCUAAUGGUGGUGGUGAAAUCAUAUCCCAAAAUGUUAUGCUAAUAACUGAUCCAUCUCGGUCAUCUCUCCGAUGACCUCAUCUUUUUCCUACUCAGUUUGCAUGGCUCGUGCCUCCAUAGCAAAUAGUUGUUGUCGAAGUGUGGCAACCUCCGCUUCCAGAGACCGAUCCUCAUCAACGGGGUUCCCUAGUGGACCAGGGUGGUCCUGGUGUGCCUCAUUGGUAGGUGGUUCGACGGGGGCUUCAUUUUUGUCCCCAUCCUCCUCCAUGUCUUCGUCAGUCCUAUCAAACUCAUAGUCUGUAUUAGUGUACUCGUCGGGCCCAAUGGUAGGGGCUCCUCCUUGUUCCUCCUCGGGAUUCUCCUCAAGCAUCCCAUGUGCCACUAGGGAUUGAUAAAAAUGGACUCCUUGCUGAGCGUCGUCCAUGGUGACUGCAUGAGGGCGUAUGAAUAAGUCAUGUUUUGAUUAUUCCUAUAGUAUAUUUUACUUAUUUAGGUUUGGUUUCCCUAGAGUUGUUGGAGAGUGAGGUAGGCUUUUGGAUUCAUUUCCCGCUAUGAUUACUCCCAAACACAAUUUGGUCAUAUUCUGAAUAAAUAUAGUUGAUCAGGCUAUAUUUAUCCCUAAUAGGACUACAUAACUGCCCAUGUUUAAUUAUAAUGUUCAAUAUCCUCCAAAAGCUUUUAUUAAAUAUUGUUAGGUUAUUAUCCUAAUAUGCGCAUAUAAGUAUGAAAUUUUUGUUUUGUUCACAGUUAUUUAGUCCCAUUGUGUUUAUAGUUGCAUAUCAUGUAUGGUUAGAUAUGCUAGUUCACUAUAAACAUUGCUUUGAUACCAACCUGUCACACCCCCGACCCAGACGGUGGAAACGUCUAGGGGCUCCUGUGACUAACAAUUGAAUUAUCAUCACAAUGGAUAUACAUGAAACAUAACACAUUCAUCACUAACAUUACAUAUUACAACCAGCAUUGUUCACAUCAAGUACAUUGUUAAAGAUUACAUAAAUUCAAAGUAUUAAUAGUAAGAUAGGUGAUGUGACACAAAAUAAAUCCAUACACACUUGAAAAUCUUCCUGCUUAACAAUUACCUGAGAAUACAAGUUAUUUUGAAAAAUGGUCAACAUAUAUAAUGUUGGUGAGUUCAUAAGUAUGUUUGAAUAAAAGUCUUUGCAUCUUUUGUAAAAACCCAGAAAAUCCGAUAUUUUCUGUAAAAUGUCUGAAAAUGAUGUGAAAAUCAAGUAUAAAUUCAUGUGUGAAUUUCAUAGCAGUAACAUAUAUGAUUUCAGUUUAAAUUUCUUUGUAUUGUAAGUAAGUGAUAAUUGAAUAAUAGUCUUUACCCAGAAAAUCCGAUAUUUCCUGAUUUAUAAUAAUGUCAAGGUUCUUGUAUCAUUAAUUAAGUUGUUUCGUAUUGACAAAAUCGAAGGGUUAAUCUUCGAAAUGUUAAAUUGGUAUUGGAUCUCUAUAUGAGUUGUUAUAACCAUGCAUGAUAAUGACUAGGUUGGCUGUCUUGGCAUUUUCCAAACGCCUGUAUUUGCUCAAGGUUUUGUCACCCUAGACUGGCCUAGUCUAGUUGUAGCCAACAACUAAGGCGUGGGGGGUCACCCCAUAUAGAUCUAUACACAAACUCCCGCUCUCCCUCCAGGAAACUCUGGUUAUAACUACAGACUACGAUUGUACACUCAGAGGUGUCAACCGACAUGUCUCACUAGAUUCUCAACUUUUCAUACCAUGUUUAAUGUUUACGUGAAUGUUGUAUGUUUUCAAAUCCAAAGGUAUAUAUAUAAGUAUACGAACUUUAGGGCUGGCAAUUGUUGACACGAUACGCGACACGACAUGAAAUAAAUGGGUUUGGGUUGAGUUUUUCAACCCGCCAACCCGCUAACCCGUCAACCCACCAACCCGUUUAUUAAACGGGUCAUAUAUGGGUUUCUCAAAAAAUAAACGGGUUGACCCGCCAANUGUAAGUGGACCACCAAGGCCCAACAAACAUGUAACCUAUAGCUCAGGCCCAAAUUAACAUGUAAAUGGGUCGCAAGGCCCAAUAAACAGGUCAUGGAAAAUAUUGGGCUCAAUAUAUACUUGAAUGGGCCCUUAAGGCCCAUUGGCCAUGUAAUGUGAAUAUUAGGUCCAAUAAAAUUGCUAUCAAUGUAUUUCGUCAAUUCGUUAUUAUUUUGUGGUUUGCUUUAGCUCGAUGUUUACCGAAUUAAAUAUAAAAGUCCUCUUUUUGUAUAAACGACGUUCUUGGCCAAGAAGCCUAAAAUUUUGAAUUAAGGCCCAAAGUUUUGUAAAAAUUAACACUUUAGUCCAUAAUUUAUAAAAAUUUGUAAUUUCGCCCCAAAUGUUUAGAAAUUUACGGAUCUAGUCCAAAAAAUUAUAUUUUGAUAUUUAUGGCCCAGUUUCGUAGAAUAUUACACUUUCAGACUCUUGUUUGUAAAAAUGACACUUUUGACCCAAUUUUUAUAAAAGUUACAUUUUUGGUCCAAUUUAGAAAUAUAUGUUAUUUUUUCCCCUAAAUAUGGUUUAUUUACAUUUAUGACUCAAACUUUGGUCAAAUAACAUUUUUAAUCCCAAAACUUCCAUUUUUUUGCAAAUUUGGGCCCAAAACCGUGAGGCCCAAAUAUUCAGCCCAUUAAGCUAAAACUUACGUUUUUGGCCCUUUGGAAAGCAUGUUUAUCAUAAAAAUCCCUUUAUAUACAAGUAGAACCUGUUUGGUCCUUUAAAAACCACUUUUUGCCCUUAUCUUUUGUUUUCUUGACAAUUUUGACUCUUAACAACGUUUUUGCUUUAAAUUUUUGUAUCUUAAACAUAUAAACACUUUUAACUUGAUAAUAUGAUGUAUAAGGUGUCUUAGUUCAUGGGUUUUUUACUUAAUGUUGCUUAAGAUGUCGAGACAUGCUAAGAUCUAACAUAUUUUUUACAAAAUAGACUAAGAAAUCACACACGACAUGCAUAUAACACAUAGAUCUACACAUUUUACUUGUAUUCUCCCCCAAAACUAAUAUGAAAACCAAAAACAAGGGGGUAAGAACUCACCUUUGCUUCGAUGUUUCGGUUUUGAAGAAGAAAUGGAAGAAGUUGAUGUGAUUUUUUGCUCUAGCAAGCUCCUUGAGUAGAUUUCGAGCUUAAGAAGUUUCCAAGAGUCUGACCAUGGAAUAAAGCUAUGUAACAAGGAAUUUUUUGAUGUUAAAAUAAAAGGAGAUGUUUGUGUUUGAUAACAACUUACCAAAGAUUGAAAAUGCUUGAUGAAGAUCCUUAAAACUCAAGCAAAAUUUUGAGAUCCUUGGAGAAAGGAGGAUGAUCUUUGAGAGUGUUUGGAGAGGAUUUGAAAGAGUGUGUGUGUGUGUGUGUGUGUGGUUUGCCUCUCGGCCGUGAGUAGAAGAAGAAGGGGGAAAGAGAAGAUGUGAUGGAUACUUAGGAGUAUAAGCUUUGUAUUUGCUUAAUGGGUAAUUAGCUUGGAGAACCACCAUGUAAUUAUCAUGUGUCAAUGCAUGGUAAUUCUCUUAUUUUCCUUUUUUUACAUGUAUAUGAAUGUACAUAUCUAAUGGGCCGAGAAAAAGAAAGAAUGGAGGGGCUUUGGCCUCUUUUUGAUUUGGUUCGAGUUUAUGAGGCCCAUAGAAAGAGGCUUUCGGCCCAUUGGGCCUUUAGGUGUGUUCACGGCCCAUUUCGAAAGAAGAAAGGGUGUUUAUGGCCCAUUACGGCUAAUUAAUUCAUUAAUGGCCUAAUAAGGCCCAUUAAGGAUAAACCAAUUUAUUUUGGACCCAAAAUGGCCCAAAAUGCUAAGUUUCACGGAAGUGGGUCCAAUUAGUGCCCAUUUAAGGGUCCUAAGCCCAAAAUAGUUAAAUUGGAACCUCAUUGGUCCAUUAGGCCCAAUAAGGAAAUCCUAGUCCAAUAUGGACUUAAAUCGGGAUUCUUAGGGUUUUCAAACUCUUUGUUGAACAUGAGAGGUGAAUUUAAAUGAGCAUUGCGUGAUAUUUACUUAAAGUAUAUGUUUUACACUAGUUGAAUGAUUACACGAGAAUAGAGUUUUCUAGCAAAAAUGCUAGUUGUGACAUUAAUGAAAUCGUGAUUAUUUAUAGUAGGAGCAACAUUCCUCAUAGCAACCACACUUGAUUUACCAACUUCACCUAAAGUCAUCUGCAUAGGCAAGGUGCUUAAGUUUACAAACAAGGUAAAAUCAGUUGAUCGAGUUUUGUUCACGACAUCUAUCUCAUUAACAACACUGAUACUUGGAUGAUCCUAAAGUUUUGAUGAUGAACCUCUUCCACAAAUAUCCGUUUAUUGUUUUGAGUAUGAUCUUUGAGAUAAAACACUUGUUUAGCUUGUGUGGAUAAGAUGUAUUAUUGAUCAUCAUACCUUCUUUUAUUGACAUACCAUCCAUGACUGGUAUCUAUAACGACCAUAUUAUUUAUAGUCUUUAAACAUCCAUUACGUAAUGACACAUUGAACCAUUUACCACGACAGAGUAAAAUUGAGUUACCAUAUAAAUAAUGCGAAUCUAGGAUCUCCUCUAAUUGUCCAUAGAAUGGUCUACCAUCUUCUUGUUGGAUUAGUGUCUAAUUCCAUAACUAUAUUUGGUAUGUACUUGACCCAAUUGGCAUGGUCCAUUUGGGUUGCAUGACAUCAUGCAUUUGGAUAGACUAAAAUGAGAGAAUAACACUUAAGGUUUAUUAAUAUAUUAUAAGUUCUAAUAUAUUAAUAAGAUUAUUUAAUUAGUAUUGAUCAAGAAUUAAUUUGGAACUAAUUAAGUGAUCAAAUGGAGACUAAUUAAAUAUAUGGGUUGAUUGUGUAAAUCAUCCAUACUUGUAUAGUGGGCUAAUGCCCCAUGGAUUAUCAAGUUGGGCUAAAACCCAUAGGAUGCUCCAUGGUGUGUUUGUACCCAUGGAUCAUGGAAAUGAAAAGCCAUGAAAAUUAGGGUUUACAUGGUGUAACCCUAAUUGUGACACACUAUAUAAGUAUCUUAUUCUUCCCAAAAAAAGAGCUAUAAAGGAAUGGUGAGGGCUAGCCGAUUUCAUGAAGUGUCUAAUUUCUCUCAAGUUAUUCUAAGUGUAUUUGGUGUUGUGUGAACCAUCUGAGGUGUCACACUUGGGGAACUAGGCUCUUAAGCUCCGUGGAAUCAAGCUACACCAAAAGGAAUGUCUUCUAACUUGUAUUAUUCCUCAUGAAUCAAUAUUUUGUAUGCUAGUUAGGAUAAUACCUUGGAAUAUUAAUAUUUGCAUGUAUAAUAGAGAAAACAUAGAUCCAAGAUAUUUAGGGUUGCAUGUACACAUAGGAGUGUUAGAAUGCUCAAAACCAUUCACUUCUCCAAAUUUAACAACACCACUAUUUUUAGUAGUGUGUCAGAGAUCACGAAUACUCACAACAAAACGAACACCGACAAUAUGUAUUAUGUUGGUCAUAGACAAUUCUUGAAUAUGAACCAUAGAUGGAGGGAGAGUCUAUUGUUUGAUGGUCCACCCGAUACAAGACCGUAUCCUAGACGAUUUAGUAAUUUAACUAUAUUAAAGUAAUGUAACGUCUGUGUUUCUGGGCUUGCCAUUUUUAGCAAUGUANNNNNNNNNNNNNNNNNNNNNNNNNNNNNNNNNNNNNNNNNNNNNNNNNNNNNNNNNNNNNNNNNNNNNNNNNNNNNNNNNNNNNNNNNNNNNNNNNNNNGACGAAGGUGGACCGGUAUGCGAAGGGACUCCCAUGGGAGUAUGACGUGCCAGUACGUCAGGCACAUACUUUAGAGGCAGCUAUCUGGGCUACCAAGUCUGUUGAGAACAUGAUAAAGGGGAGAACCACCAACAAGGUUGAGGUUGGUGAGAAGAGGAAGUUUGAGGGAACAUCUGGUUCCGGUAAGAAAAGCAAAUUUUCGAAAUCUGAUUCGAAAAGGUUUGGUGGGGGUAAAGGAGGGGAAGCGAAGUGGUGUGAAAAGUGUAAGAAAAAGCAUUUCGGGAAAUGUAGCGAGGAUGUAACUUGCUACAAGUGUGGAAAGGUUGGACAUUUUGCCAAUGAAUGUCCGAACAACAAAAGGAUGUGUUUUGGUUGUAAUGAAGAGGGGCAUAUUUUGAAAGACUGUCCGAAGAAGAAGGAGGCAGCUAAGCCCAACAUUCCACCAAAGCCGAAGGCGAGAGCCUUCCAGAUGACACUUGAGGCUGCGAAAGAUGAAGCUGAUGUCGCUUCAGGUACCUUUCUCGUAAACGAAUUACCUGCUCAUAUAUUGUUUGAUUCUGGAGCCAACUACUCCUUUAUUUCGCAUGAGUUUGGUAGAAAGCUAGCUUUGCCUAUUGAUAGACUAGAUGAUGCUUUAUUAGUCGAAGUAGCUAGUGGCAAGUUUGUACCUGUUAGUCAUCGUAUGAAAAGCAUCUUAAUUGAUCUGAAUGGGAAUAAGUUUCACGAGGAAUUAUUGCCUAUCGAACUAAAUGGUUUCGACAUCGUGUUGGGAAUGGAUUGGCUUAGCGCCAAUGAUGCCGAAAUUUUGUGCAAGAAGAAGAUAGUUAAAGUAAACCCGCCUGGGAAAGAUUCGUUUAUGGUGUAUGGGGACAAACGCAGAGUGAAUUCUGGAAUCAUUUCUCUAAUGAAAGCCAGAAAGUGUUUGACCAAGGGAUGUACAUCAUAUUUAGCAUUCGUGAUUGAUGCUAAGAAGGAAAAGAAGGUGAUGCAGAGUAUUCCAGUGGUGUGUGAUUAUCCGGAAGUAUUUCCCGAGGAUCUUCCUGGAUUACCACCUGAUAGACAAGUGGAGUUCAGAAUAGACUUGUUACCAGGAACCACGCCAAUAGCAAAAGCACCUUAUCGAUUAGCACCGACGGAGAUGAAGGAGCUGAUGAUGCAACUUCAGGAGUUAUUGGACAAAGGUUUCAUUAGACCUAGUUCAUCGCCCUGGGGAGCUCCGGUGUUAUUUGUAAAGAAGAAAGAUGGAAGUAUGAGAAUGUGCAUCGAUUACAGAGAGCUGAACAAGGCAACAAUAAAGAAUAGAUAUCCGUUGCCGAGGAUUGAUGACCUGUUUGAUCAAUUGCAAGGUUCGAGCUAUUUCUCGAAGAUCGAUCUUAGGUCAGGAUAUCAUCAGCUGAAAGUAAGAGAGCAAGAUAUCGAGAAGACUGCAUUCAGAACUAGAUAUGGACACUACGAGUUCUUGGUUAUGUCGUUUGGACUAACCAAUGCUCCAGCAGCGUUCAUGGAUUUGAUGAAUAGGGUUUGUAAUCCUUUCCUUGAUAAAUCCGUGAUAGUGUUCAUAGACGACAUUCUGAUCUACUCGAAAAGCCAGGAGGAGCAUGGCAGACACUUGCGAGAAGUGUUAGAAGUUUUGAAGAAGGAGAAGCUUUAUGCGAAGUUCUCCAAAUGUGAUUUUUGGAUUCGUGAGGUCCAAUUCUUGGGUCACGUGGUCAACCAAGAAGGGAUAAUGGUUGAUCCAGCGAAGAUCGAAGCUGUGACGAAGUGGGAACAACCGAAAAGUCCCACGGAGAUUCGAAGCUUUUUAGGAUUAGCCGGAUAUUACCGAAGGUUUAUCCAAGGCUUUUCUUCGAUUGCUACUCCAUUAACAGCUUUGACCCACAAAGGAGCUACUUAUGCUUGGAGUGAGAAGCAUAAAGAAGCAUUCGAGAAGUUAAAGAAGAAGCUAUGCGAGGCACCGAUACUUUCUCUACCCGAUGGAGUUGAAGACUUCGCUGUUUAUAGCGAUGCGUCUGGUGUUGGAUUGGGUUGUGUUUUGACCCAAAGAGAAAAGGUGAUAGCAUAUGCGUCUCGACAGCUGAAAGAGCAUGAAAAGAAUUACCCGACUCAUGAUUUGGAGUUGGCAGCGGUAGUUUUCGCUCUGAAAAUAUGGAGGCAUUACCUCUAUGGCACGAAGUGCAAACUUUUCACUGAUCAUAAGAGUCUCCAAUACCUCUUUAAUCAGAAAGAAUUGAAUAUGAGGCAACGACGCUGGCUAGAAUUACUUAAAGACUACGACUGCGAGAUACUUUACCACCCCGGUAAAGCUAAUGUUGUUGCUGAUGCUCUCAGUCGGAAAGUCAAUCUUGAAAGGAAGAGGCCAAGAGCGUUGAGAAUUGAAGUUGUCUCGACUAUUGUGGAAAGUAUAAAGAAAGCUCAAGAGGAAGCUUCUGAGAAAAAUGACCGAAAGGAGGAACGUUUGGGUAAAACGUUGGUGUUUGGUACUAACGGUCAUGGACUGAAGGUAUUCCAAGAUCGUAUUUGGGUACCUAAGUCAGGAGGAAUUAGGGAUCUUCUGAUGGAAGAAGCUCACAAAACCAUGUACUCAAUUCAUCCGGGUAGCACUAAAAUGUAUAGGGACCUGAAACCCUACUACUGGUGGCCGACGAUGAAGCUUGAUGUUGCAAAGUAUGUGGCCGAGUGUGUGACUUGUGCGAGAGUCAAGACACAACAUCAGAAACCUUACGGGAGUUUAGAACCAUUGCCUGUGCCUAUGGGUAAGUGGGAAGACAUUGCUAUGGAUUUUGUCACUAAACUGCCCAGAACAAAGAAUGGUCACGACAUGAUUUGGGUGGUCGUUGAUCGAUUCACUAAGAGUGCGCAUUUCAUAGCGGCCAGGGAGAAAUGGUCUAUGGAAAAGCUUGCGAAUUCUUACGUGAAGGAAAUUGUGAGGCUUCACGGUGUUCCGUUAACGAUUGUAUCGGAUCGUGAUAGCCGUUUCACCUCAAGGUUUUGGAAAAGUCUACAAGAGGAAAUGGGUACCAAGUUAUGUUUAAGCACAGCUUACCAUCCGCAGACUGAUGGUCAGAGUGAAAGAACAAUACAAACACUUGAAGAUAUGCUGAGAGCAUGUACCUUGGAAUUCCUAGGUAAUUGGGAUGAACAUUUACCGUUGGUAGAAUUUUCCUAUAAUAAUAGUUUUCACUCGAGCAUUAAGAUGGCACCUUAUCAAGCUUUGUAUGGACAGAAGUGUCGUACGCCGUCUUGUUGGCUUGAGGCUGGGGAAAAGCAGUUUAUGGGACCGGAGAUGGUUCAUCAAACUGCUGAAAAGUUGAAAAUAAUUAGGGAAAGAAUGUUAGCAGCUCAAGAUCGUCAAAAGAGCUAUGCUGACAAGAAGCGAAGACCGAUGACUUUUGAGGUUGGAGAUUCGGUUUUGCUUAAAGUCUCGCCGUGGAAGGGACUUAUAAGAUUUGGUAAAAGGGGAAAGUUGAGUCCAAGGUUUAUUGGACCGUUUAAAGUCCUUCAGAGGAUUGGGAAUCAAGCUUACAAGCUCGAAUUACCCGAAGAACUGAAUGGAAUUCACAACACCUUUCAUGUGUGUUAUUUGAGGAAGUUCACGGGAGAAGUUCCCGAUAUAAUUCCAAUUUCUGAAUUGAGAAUUGAUGAGAACAAAAGGUUGAUUGAAGAACCAGAGGCAAUUGUUGACCGAAAGACUAAGAAGUUGCGACGCAAAAUGGUUGGGUUAGUGCUUGUCCGAUGGAAACACACGAAUGGGCCGAAUCUCACCUGGGAGACGGAGAGUGACAUGUUGAGUCGCUAUCCGCAUUUGUUUGUUGAUGUGUGAUUCCGGGGACGGAAUCAUUCUAAGGUGGAGAGAAUUGUAACGCCUGUGUUUCCGGGCUUGCCAUUUUUAGCAAUGUAAUAGUCUAGGUUAACCUUUGUAACCCGUUUUGAAAUAAUAAGAUUGUAUUAUUUGAGUAUUAUGUGUUUUGUGCUUAAUUGCUUAAUUAUGUGGUUUGAUUAAUUAAGAAUAAAAAUAAGCGUCAAAAUUUAAGUGUAAAAUAAACUUAAUAUCUUUGGUUAAUGUUGUAGUAGUUGAAACGAGGUUUCCGAAUAUAUAUAGAACGCCCAAAUCUGACUUCGUAUGAGGAAGUUAUGAUUUAUCGAAGUUCCGGCUUAGCGAUAUACAGCCUGUUUUACUCGAUUUGAGAUCGAGCGGUUGUUAGCCGAAGCAAUCUAAAUGAGAAUCGAAGAUCUCAUUGUUGGUAUUGAAACGAUAAAAAGUUAGGCGAGAACGGACGUCAAACGAAGAAGUUAUGAAUUUAUAACGAAAGUUUCUGUCCCGGCCUAUUAAAAAUAAUUAAUAAAAAUAAAGUCAAAAUUAGCCGACGGAGUCUAAACGAAAGUCGUAGAGCGUGGUCUCACCUUCGCGUGGAUAUAAAGAACGUCGAAAACGGAGUUCGUAUGAAGAAGUUAUGAAUUUCCGAAGUUUAUUAAUCAUUUUGUAUUUAUUUUUAAUUCAAAAUUCGGAAGCAUUAUCCGAAGGAGUCACCGAUCUGAUCCGAGGUACGCCCCGCGUACUCGAGUACGCCCCGCGUACUCCGAGGGAUGUCGACACUCGCACUCGAGCACUUCGGAUACGUAAGCAAUGACGUUUUGGGCAGUACGCCCCGCGUAACGCAGUACGCCCCGCGUACUCCGAGGCUCCAGCCUCCUAUAAAUAGGAUGCGAGGGUUCCGGGUAUUUUUGCCAAUUCCCUCUCGUUUUCGUGUCGAAGCUCUGUGCAAAAACCCCCGAAGCUACCCCGAAGUCCCGGUAUCAUACUCUAGCCCCGAGGCAAGUCCCGAGAUCCUGAAGAUCCCGAAAAGUGCGGUUCCCGAGUCGAAGCUCUGCCCGCGAGAAGUUCGAUUUUCGAGAAGAUCUUCCAGAUCUGCUGUGGAUUACUACUUCUAUAAGCCGUAGUGCUGUCCGAUCAUCUUCUGAUCAAGUGAGUGUGUAGUUAUUUCUUCUAAUACAAUAAUACGAAGUAUUUUAUAUAAAAAUACGUGCUAUGUGUAUAUAUUUUGUUGUUAUAUAUGUGAAUGUAUACCCACUCUCUUCUAUCUUAUAGAUCUGAUUAUUUCUCAAUGAAAUACGUGUUAUGUGUGUGUGCCUCAUCUGUUAUGUGAAAAAUGUUUUGAUUGAGCAUGCUAUACAGGUUUUGAAACUACGUAUAAAAAUGUAUAUUUUAUCUACUAAUAUGUUGGGUAGAAUAUGGGUAGAUAGUUGGUGUGUAAUAAACAGAUGAGAGGCCUCGAUGUUGUUUUGAUCCAGUCAUCUAGCGGAAUUUAGAUGACGACCACGGACUUUUCUAGACAGUCCAGUGGAACGCUAGCAGGCUCAUAACCUGUAGGUGUUAAUGAACUUGGGUGUUCAUUCGCUGUAUUCCAUCCCCCCCAUGGUUGCCUUAUUUGACUUAUAUUGCUGAGGAACCCCCGAAGCAUGUGUAGUCGCCCCGAUGAAAUAUUCUUUGACUAGGUCCCUUGUGUUAGUUAUUUUAGGGACAUAAAGUGAGAAUAACGGGAAUGGGUAACUGGGUUAUUGUUGGAUGAUAAUAAUUAAUUAAAUUAUUUAUUGUGGGUUGAAAACCCUAUAUGCUCACCAGGCUCCCAAGCCUGACCCACUCAGUUGAUUUAUUUUACAGGAAGUGGCGCAAGAGCUUAAGAUGGGCGAACAUCAAGUUGUUUUGUUUACAAGUCUGUAUAUGUAUAUAUUUGUUGAAAGACUUGUAAUGCUAUCGUUUAUGCUUUAUGAUCUGUAUCGGAACAUGACAUCCCGACUUUUGAUUAUGAAAUGAAAUCAUAUUUCUUUAUGAAAUGUUUUGAUAAAUAUCUAUUUUAUCAUGUUUUGUUUUUGGGAACAAAUUCCGCAUCUCUUUUAAAAAUUAAAAGGAUUUACUCUGAAAAUUAUUUUAAAAAGCAUAAAUGAAAUCGGUCUUUUCUGGCCGAGAUUUUGGGGAUGUCACAAGUAAGUAGCUCGUCUCUCUGAUAAUAUGUAUUAUGUUGGUCAUAGAUGAUUCUUGAAUAUGAACCAUAGCUAGAGGGAUAGCCUAUUGUUUGAUAGUCCACCUAACACAAGACCGCGUCUUAGACAAUUCAGUAAUGUAACUAUAUUAAAGUAAGUAGCUCGUCUCUCUGAUAAUAUUCCAGGGGAAUAUCCUAAUCAUGGGGCUAAAAAAGAAAGCAUGAACAUGAAAGCAAAAAGGCAGAGUUGAAUCGGAUGAAACAAAGUAUCUUAUUUGAGCUUGAGUAUUGGUCUUCCCUCCACCUAAAACAUAAUUUUGAUGUUCUACAUGUUUUGAAAAAUAUGAAUGAGAGUGUGUAUAAUACUACACUGAUGAACGAUAAAAGAAAAUACAUAAAAGAAGUAAGAAUUGACUUGAAAAAUACGGUCAUUCGACCAGAUCAAUGGCCAAAAGAGAAAGUCAAGAAGAAGAAGACAGUACACCAUUCUAUGGUCCCUUGGUUGAUGCAUCUCUCAUUUGGACUCCUUCAACCCAUAACAUUUUCAACUCAGCCACCAAAGGCCUCAAGUAAACAUCAAUGUCCUUUGUAGGUGAUCUAGGGCCAGGAAUCAACAAAGUUAGCAUGAAAGAAGAGUCCUUCAUACAUAUCCAUGGUGGUGUAUUGUAGUUAGUAAAUAUAACCAUCCAAAUAAUAUAAGUAUUAUUAAAGUUGUUGAACGGAUUAAAGCCAUCAGCAGCUGAACCUAGACGAAUAUUUCUAUAUUCUUUAGCAAACUCUCGAUAUCUCUUAUCAAAUUAUUUCCAUGACUUCUCGUCAACCGGAUGACGCAUCUUACCAUCCAUUGAGCAUCCAGUAUUAUGACAACUAAUAUAUUUACCAGUGAAUCUGGAACUAUACAUUCGUCGAAGCCUUGAGUCAAAGGAAACUACCACAAUGCUUUUUGUGGUACUCUCUUCCCAUUUUGUUGUUGUGUCCACCCAUUUGCUUGCAUUACAAAUUCGGGCAAUUUUACAUGGAAUCAUUCUCCUUCCAAAACGAAGCACAAUCAUAUUUACAAGUAUGGAUGGAUUGAUAUCAAACCCUAUCUUUCUCAACUUAUUCUUAGCUUCAUAGUGUGAAGUUGCUCUUCGGGAAUGAAACUCUUAGUAACUCUACAAGUUGGUUAAAAAAAAUAUUUGUCCAUUUAUUUAUCACUUUAGUAUGCAACAACUUUGCCAGAAAGUUUAUGUAACGUCCCAAAAAUUAAGACUAAAAGUUUUUAAUUUUAAAUUAAUUAAAACCAUUAUCCAAACAACAUCUUAGAAAUCAUAGUGCAUCAAAGUGUAUCAAUAACAUCCAUGUACAUCAGCAAGAUAUAAAAAUGCAGAACGACGUGGUGGGUGCAUUGCAAUCAUCCCGUGUAACGCCCGUAAACUCGGGCUAGUCAAUUUAGAGACAAUGUGCGUCAAAAAUGACUUUUUGAUGGGAGAUUGUUUACAAGAAACAAUCUUAACCAAGUUAUAUUAUAUGUCACAAAGGUUCCUUAUAUAUAAAGAACGCCAAAAUCCGAGUUAUAACGAAGAAGUUACGACCUUUCGAAGUUCUACGACAAAACCAACACGGCACCGUGUAACGUAAAAAGUGAAAUCUUGAUAAAUUACUUUUUAGCCUUAGGGAUCUAAAUGAAAGUUGUUUUAUACAUUAAAUUGAGAGCAUGCAUAAAAAGAACGUCAAAAUCUGACUUUGUAUGAGGAAGUGAUGAUUUUUCUAAGAUUUCGCACAGAGUAUACAACCUGGAAUUCGAAUGUCAGAUCGAGUGAUUUUUAGCCAACACAACCUAAAUUAUAAUUGAAUAUCUCAUUAAUAGGAGUUCAACGAUAAAAAGACAGUUAAAAACGGAGUCUGUAUGCAGAAGUUAUGAAUUUUACACGGUCGUUAACAAAAUAAUAUUUUCAUACUGUUAUAUUUAAAAUUGGUUGAGAAUUAGCCGAUUCAAUCUAAAGGAAAGUUGUAGAUCUUGUCAAUACCUAUGUGUGGAUAUAAAGAACGUAAAAAACGGAGCUCGUAUGCGAAAGUUAUGAAUUUUUUAAAAUUUGUUGUUUUACCUGCGUCCAGCGCCACGUGUCAGCACCAGGCGAAGCCUUAGUGCCUACACAAGGCCACGACGUGGAUUAUAAGUCUAUGAUGUUGAUUUCCCCAGAUAACCUAUAAAUAGAGGUGGAAAUAAUCCAUUUCCUUCACACCUUCACCCUUCUUUCUGUCUCAACACUCCCAAUCUCUCCCUCCUAAUCCCUAGCAACUUCUAAGUGCUAGAGGCGAGUCCCGGAGCGCCAAAAGGGUCCGAGAAGAAGAGUUUUCGUCUCAAAAUUUCCGCCCCCUCAGAGCCCGGUUCCUAGCCAAACCCCCAGGAAGUGAGUUAUGCUUACACUACUUUAAGUAUACUUAUGUUUAAGUUUAUUAUCGUUAUUAUGAACUUAUAAACAAGAUUUAUCAGUGAUUCCAAGUCGUUAUACUAAUUGAUCUACUUACGGGGAUGAUAUAUAGGUUGUGAUUUAGUGAGGUGUUUAAAGUGGGAUUUCAAAACAGUAUACUUCGUAUACGAAACGGAACUUACCUCCGAUAUGAUCCUACAUGGUUGUUCCUUACUUGAUAGAUCAUGAAAGUAGACUUUGAGUUAAUGAUGAAUCUAGACUAAUAAUUAGUCGUGCGUAAAGAUUAGACUAAAACUUAGCGAUAAUAAUGCUAGGUUUCAUCGAAGGAAAAUAGAAUCAUGAGAAGCAAAGUGCUUCCCGAGUUUGGAAUUAUCACUUUGAUAAGUGAGUGCAUAGUUACUUUCAUCUUACACAUAGAUAUGAAGUAUAUUAUAUAAAUUACAUGCUAUGUGUUCAUAUUAUAUGUUUACUUUAUAUCUAUGCUAGAUGAAUGAUCCUAUACAUGUUUUGAAUGAUUUAAACUGUAUAUAUAUUUUUUGUAUCUAUAAAAUCUAUUGGGUAAAACAUGGGUAGAUGAAUGAUAAGGGAUGAAAGUUGAUAUAGAGGAACAUUGGCAGUUAUAGACAUAGUGUCCUAUAGGUGAACAUUGACAACAAUGGACUUAGUGCCCUAUAGAUGAGCAUUGGCAGCCGUGCCACCACCUGUAGAUGUUUUGAUCUACGAUGUACUCUAAACAUCAUAGCAGCUGCGCUCAAAGGGUAGUAUCGGCAGCUGCGUGUAACGCAUGUGUUUCUAGGCUUGUCAUUAAUAUUGAUGUAAUAGUGUAGGUUAACCAUUGUAACCUGUUUCGAAAUAAUAGAAGUGUAUUAUUUGAGUAUUAUGUGUUUUGUACUUAAUUGUGUGUCUUAAUUAAAUUAAGUAUGAAAAUAAGCAUCAAAAUUAAAUGUUACAUAAAGCUGAUAUCUAUGGAUAAUUUUGUAGUAGUUGAAACGAGGUUUCUGAAUAUAUAUAGAAUGCUGAAAUCCGAGUUAUAACGAAGAAGUUAUGAUCUGUCGAAGUUUCGCGACAUAAAUCGGCACGACGAUGAAUGACGUAAAAAGUGAAUUUAUGUUAGAUUUAUCUUUAGUCCUAGUGAUCUAAACGAAAGUUGUAGAGUUCGUUAAACCGAUAGCGUGCAUAAAAAGAUCGACCAAAUCUGACUUCGUAUGAGUAAGUUAUGAUUUUCCGAAGUUUCGACUUAGCAGUGUGCAGCCCGAAUACUCGAUUUGAGAUCGAGCGGUUUUUAGUCGAAACAAUCUAAACGAGAAUCGAAGAUCUCGUCAAUGGUAGAGCAACGGUAAAAAGAUAAAUGAAAACGGACGUCAGAUGAAGAAGUUAUGAAUUUAUAACAGAGUUUUCCUAUCCCGGCCUACUAAAAAUAAAUAAUAAUAAAAUAAAUUCAAAAUCAGCCGACAGAGUCUAAACGAAAGUUGUAGAGUGUAGUCUCACCUACGCAUGGAUAUAAAGAACGUCGAAAACGGAAUUCAUAUGAAGAAGAUAUGAAUUUCUGAAGGAUUUAUAUGAUUAAUAUUUAUUAAUUAAUCUUUAAUUCGAAUGUAUAUCCGAAGGAGUCACCGACCUGAUCCACACUAUGCCCAGCGUACACCGAAGCGUGACCCACCUCGCACUCGAGUGCUCCGAUGACACAUGCAGUGACGAAUCCGAAGCGUACGCCCCGCGUACUGAGCAUUACGCCUAGCGUAAUGCGAGGCUUCAGCCACUAUAAAAGGGCAUGCGAGGGCAGCCAAUCCUUUUGCUCAAUUUCUUUUCUCUCUCUCUUGUUUUCCAUCGUUUUGCGUUCAACUUAUACCCCGAAUCCCCAGUAUCAUUCCCGAGCCCCGAAGCAAGUCCCGAAGCCCCGAAGAUCCCGAGGAGUAGAGUUCCCGAGCCGAAGCUCUACCCGCGAGAAGCCAAUUUUUGUGAAGAUCUUCCAGAUCUAUCAAAGAAUACUACUUCUACAAGUCGUAGUGCUAUCUGUUCAUCUUCUAAUCAAGUGAGUGUGUUGUUACUUUCUUCUAACGCAUAAUUACGAAGUAUUUUAUAUGAAAUACGUGUUAUGUCUAUAUUUUGUGUUGGAUAAGGUGUCUAAGUCCAUAACUAUUUCUGGUAUGUACUUGACCCGACCCGGCAUGGUCCAUUUGGGUUGCAUGGCAUCAUCCAUUUGGAUAGACUAUAUGAGAGAAUUAACACUUGUGGUUUAUUAAUAUAUUAUAAGUUCAAAUAUAUUAAUAGUAUUAUUUAAUUAGUAUUGAUCAAGAAUUAAUCUAGAAUUAAUUAAGUGAUCAAAUGGUGACUAAUUAAAUAUAUGAGUUGAUUAUGUAAAUCCUCCAUAACUUAUAUAGUGGACUAAAGGGCUCCAUUGAUAAUCAAGUUGGGUUUGUUGGAUUAUUGUCUAAGUCCAUAAACUAUUUUGGUAUGUACUUGACCCGAUGGUGUAUGGUCAUUUUGGGUUGCCUUCACCAAAGCAACUUGAUAGGAUGAAUUAUAAAGAGAAAGGAUUAAAUAUGAUUUAUUAAUAUAUUAUGAUAAUACUAUAUUAAAGGAGAAAUCAUAUUGUUUAAUUAAUAUUAGUCAAGAAUUAAUUGAUAAUUAAUUUUGUGACUAAAAGAGAUUAAUUAAACUUAAGGGACUAGAACUGUCAAUUGUAUGAUAGUUGAAUAUUGAGCUAAUGGACUCCAUAUUAAAGGAGUGGAUGAAUUCUAUGGGGAAACCCAUUAGAAAUCGUCCUAGGCCUUUAAGGAAGGAGCCCAUGGGUUACUUAGGGCUUAAGCAUCCAAAUUAGGGUUUCCUUGUUAGAUAACCCUAAUAGCCUCACUAUUUAAGGACCCUUUGGGCACCAAAAACGUAGGCAACUGAAUCCUAGGGGUUUCUACACGUUUUUGGGUGUUUCUUCUCUUCUCCUAUUCAUCCUCUUGCUCUUGGUGUUUGUGAACCAUUAGAGGAGUGACAUUUGUGACUCUAAGCUUUCUAAAGUCAUUACAAAGGAGGAUUUGAGAUUGUUAUUGCUACAUAACAAUCAAGGUAUGAUCUAAACCCUAAUUCAUAUCUUAUACUGAUUAUCAUAUACUAGAUCCAAGCAUUAGGGUUUGUAUGAGCACAUAGGAUGUUCUUAUAGCUAAAACCCAUCAGUGGUAUCAGAGCCUUGAUUGGUUUCUAUUGUAUUGAUGCCUUGUUAAUUUGUUCAUGCUUGAAAAAUUCGAUUUUGUGAGUCUGCCUAAUGAACUCGGCGAGUCCCAUUGUGGACUCGGCGAGUAGGCCCCUACUCGGCGGGUCCAUAGGGGUACUCGGCGAGUUCGAGCGUCAGAAAGAGGGGACUUCGAGAUUUCUUGCUGAUUUACUCAUGGAUACUUGCCUUAUCUGUUUUAGAUCAUUAAAAUCCGAUUUUAAACAUAUUUAUGAGUAUAUCCUUGAUUAAACAAAAGAUAAUUACCAAUUGAUUAGAUAAUAACUUCCUUAUAUGAUAAAGUUUGAUUAUUUGUAUUAAUUGGGUAACUUAUUUUGCAAGAAAUUGAAAUUAGGUCAAAUAUAGAUAAUGAUGAGAUUAAUUGUUUAAUUUAUAUUAUUUGUUAUUUGAUCCUUGUGUUAUGAAAAGUUUCAAUUUUCCCCUUUAGGUUUUAUAGUUUAAAUUUGAACUCAAAAGUUUNUAGGGUUUCAUGUACACCACAGGAACGAUGUUUCAUAAACUUGACGAGUUCCAUAGACUCGAUGAGUUAAGUGUCCUGGUGCCGGGAUUUUCGAUUUUCUGGCCAAAUUUUAAUGAGGAUAACUGUGAAAACUCGUUUUUCUUUCCUAAAUUCAAAUCUUUAAGAUCGGUAUGGAUAUCCUUAUCAGAUUUGGUGGAUUUAGUUAAAUAUGGAUGAUAUAGGAUUAUUUUGAUUCAAAUAUUUAACCUAGUAAGUUUGAAAAGUUUCAAAUUACACCCUUUAGGUUUUAUAGUUUAAAUUUGAACUUAAAAGUUUUAGUUUUGAAAUUUAAAUAGUUAAACCCUAAUAUUUUGAAAAGUUUUAAAAUUUGUCCUUAAAUUUUGGAAUUUAAAAUUUAAUUAAAAGGUAUUACUUUUGCAAUAUUAAUUUCUAAAACCCUAGUGUUUUGAAAAGUUCAUAUUACACCCUUAUGGUUUUAUUAAAUUAAUUAAGUGCUUAAUUAAGAGAGAGAAUUAAUAAAUCCAUAACAAUAUGGUUUAAGAUUAAUCAAAUUAAAAGUGUAAUUUAUUAAUAGAUUAAACCACCUAAUAUUUUUAAAGUGUAAAAUACACCAUUAUACUAUAUAUAAAAUUAAAAGUCUAAUAUAUUAUAUAUGUAUAAGUAAAGAGUCUGUCUUAUCGUUAGUAAGCCUUAUUCACGAAGUUGGUCUUUAAGGGGUGUUUAAGGAAGCGGCAUGUAAAAUGACCGUCAUUGGAUAUCCACUCUUACCCACCGCACCAUUAACUAGUGGAGGGUCAUUAGCCGAAUGGGUAGGAUAGGACAUAACCUUCCAUUAUAAGUAUAAUGAAAUACGAAGUAACUAAACGUUUAUAUAAAUUCUCAAAUCUUAGUUACUGUAGGAAAAAUGUGAAUUUGGUGCUAAUCCAUGAAAUUGCACAUUGCACCUUGUUGGUCGUUAGUGGAGCGUGUGUGGUUAACAGAACACUAAUAUGGGACCAAUGAAGGAUGGCAAUGGGUUUCUCGUAAUAUUAUCAUUGAUCAAUGGAGCGUGUGUGGUUAACCGGCACAUUGAUUGGGUGGUGAUCGACAUCGAGAGUAUCAAGCUAAUUUGCAUGGUUAUUCACACCUUGUUUGUGAUCCUCGGCGUCCCAGUCACAAACUUGAAAGGCAUAAUCGAGAUUAAACAUGCCAUUGAAAAGUUUAAUGAAUCUCAAAAGAUCUAGGGCUUUCAAUUCAUUAAUAACCUAAUUUUCAUUUUUGUUUUUCAUGGUGGAAAUUGGUAAAUCGUCAUUUACCUACCUUCAAAUAUUUUGCGACUGGAUUACGGCAUCCCUCUUCCGAAUUGUAGAAUAUUGUGUUGGAUCCUAGCCUUAAUAUUCCCUUUGGGUGUUAUAUUAAGGAUUGAAUCAACUAACUUGAACUUCUCCCAUUUUGUAGAUGUCUAAAUCUAACAACUAUGGUAUUCCACAAUCCUUUGGAAAAAGUCUUCCACAUGAAGAUGAUGUUCCACGAUUCGAUCGAGGAACAAGAGAUCAUGCUUCACUUCAUCCUCCUCCUCCCGUUGUUCUCCCUAACCCACAAGAUCGAAGAAUUGAAAGGUUCAAUGUCACUAAAGCCCUAUUGGAAAUGAAACAUGAAGAUAAUGUUGGGUGCGUCAUUCCCCGAUAAGUUGGCUGUGAACUGGGUUCUGCAGUCGCUCCCUGAAUCAUAUAAUGAGUUCAAGAGAAUGUAUUAUAUGAUGGAUCAUGACGAUAACCUCAUUGACCUAACUUACAUGCUCAUUGCUGCUGAAUCAGAAAUAAUUUGGCAAAGCAAUGGAGCGGUUUUGUUGGGAAAGUCAACCAACCAUGCUUUCGAGGACGUUCUAGGAGAACCGACCUGCGUUUGCUGCCAAGAGAAAGGGCGUUGGAUACAAGUUUGCCCUAAGAGCCUGAAGAAUCCAAAAGAUGGGAGAGUCAAAGAGUAUGGUUGUGCUUCAGGUAAAAAUCCACUAUCUAACUCCAUUAAGUUCUUAUUCGUUGAUUCUUAAUACAUGAUGUGAUAAGAUUGCAUUUGAAUGUUUUGCAGGAUCAGUGAAAAGAGAGGAAGCUUGAUGGAAAAGCAAGAUAAGUCUAAUCACAAAGAAAUGGAUCUCGAUCGCAUGGACUUGAAGAUUAGAUUUUGAGCUUAGAAAGUUAUGAUAGAGUUGUUAGGAAUAUUAGACUACAUAGUUUUUCAGUUAAUUUUGCAUUGUAAGGAAAAAUGUUUUCCGCUGCUUUUAUGAAUAAAAUAAAUUUUGAUUUGACUCAUUUAUUUAUUUAUUUCCUUGCAAUGAAAUCGUUAUGAAAAAUUGAUGUUUGCAUAUUUCUACAACGAAUGGAUGUGAUUCUUAAUUAUGUUAAUUAUGGAAAGGUCAAGAAUUUACCAAAUAGGAAAAGUUUCUCAUCGCCCAAGUUUCAAUUGGAUAGAGACUUGGGUCAUGCAACUUGGUUGCACGAUGAAUGAGAAAUUUCAUAUGUGGAAAUAAGACUAAUUCGUUGACAAAGUGUCAAGUGAAGAACUAGGAGAUCGAGUACACAAAGUUGUGUGUUGAUCAAGUCCACCGCAAGAGUAACGAAGAUAUUCGUCAUGAUUUACUAGAGGUUUAGUAAAAAUGAUUAUACUUAUAAGAUUAAGUGUAAUUCUGAAUUGAUUGAAAAAGGUUUAAAUCAAUAGCAUAACGAAUAAGAAGAAUCAAGUAGACAGAAAGAUAAAAGUCUCUCUAUUCUAAGAAGAAGGGAGAGUAUCUUUAUGCUUUAUGAUAUGUCUUAAUGAUUAAGAACCAUAUCUCAAUUGAUCCUCUAAGUAAGUCUUAGUACAAUUGUAUGUCUGAGAAGAGGAAUCAAGAAUUAAAGAAAUGGUUAAAAUCAAGAAGUCAAUCGUAUUUCGUUCCAAACAAGUCUUAGAGUUAAGAUUGUGACAUAGAGUGACAAGUAUUAGGAAGGUUUAUGACAAUCAUCAAAUGUAGAAUUUGGAAAAGGGUUUUCUUAUUCUUGCACAUUUGAAAUUCGUAAGUUGUGAUGUCUUGGAUUAGACAAAGACCAACGAGGACCAAUUUGUGAAGUGUUUUGUCUUGAUAAAAGCUACACUAACUCUUGAAUAUUUGGUUGUCGAGAAAUGUUUAUUGACAAGAGAAUCUUAUAUGUCAAGGAGUCAGUGGGAGUCUUAAUGGUCUUGAAAAGGUUUCAAUAACAAAUCAAAAUAAACCUUAUCAAUCAUCACUAGCACACGAGUUGAGGUUUACAACCUAUCGUGUUGACAUUAUCUUGUUUCUGUGCCGUUCCAAUCGAGUUAAUUAUGCAUGUGAGUUCUAUGAGUUCUCAUUUGAAUGCAUAAAAGGCAAGGACCUUGAUCAAUGGAAAGUACAUUGAUAGGAAAGGGUGAGCUGCUUAACUACUUGGAAGACAUGGUGGGCAGCCGUGUUACCAUAAGGCAAGAAAUCAAGAUUAAGAGUUCGGUCCAUAUAAGUUUGAAUUUGUCAUAAACUUUGGUUUUAACAAAUUCACAUGGAUAGGAACACAUACACUAUUAAAAUCUAAGUGUCAUAAGAUUCCCUCCUUCAUGGAAAUGACUGUGAGGUAAUGCUUUCACUAAAAGAGAUUUUAAGAAGAUAGUAAUUGUGAAAAUUGGAUUCUCGAAUUCGAUUAUGGUUACAGUAUCCCUUUCCAUGAUUCGAAUUGUAAGAUUUGGCAAUUAGUCUGAAUUGUUUAGACACACAUAUGAGCUAUCUAAGGGAAAGGUGUAUAAGCUUAGAUAAAGGAUUAUCAAAGCAUUAGUUAUUAGAAACAUGAACUUAAGAAAUUCAAUAGGUAUUGUUCUUCUGAAAGUUAAGUUGUUUCUAAAUACAUGUCAAAGCUAGUGGGAGCAUAAGUGUUAUGUUUAUAAUAAUCAUCAUGAUAGUGGGAGCAUAAAUGUUAUGAUUAUGUGAUUAUUAAGGCAAGUAUUGCAAGUUAGCAAUAUUAAUUAUAGAAAACAAGAGUUAUACUUUGCAAAGUCACAAUGGUUAAAAGGUUGUUUUGCUAUAAUUAAGGGAGAGAAUAUUAUGCUUCAUUUCAAAACUAAAGGCUUAGGUUGUGGAAUGUUAAUUAUUUUAGUCAAGGAUACAUAGUAUUCUUAAAUUUCGAUUAUGAUUACGACAUUUCUCUUCAUAGUUCGAAUUGUGAGAACAUAGCACAUAAAAUAUUAUGGCAGAAGACUGAUAAAGUAUCAAAUCUUUAUGCAUCGUGUCCCAUGCGCUUCGGGUAUAGGAUCGAUUGCAAAUGCUAUAAUAUUUGACCAUUCCAAAAUUUUCCAAAUGUCUAGCGCAUUUAGAGGGAAAAGGACAAGAAUAGGUUUUGACUAAGAUAAUUAAACAACUAUCAAAGGACAAUCCAAAGUUCGCCAAGGAUUGGUCACUUAUGAGUAGUUGGAAGUAUAGUAUUGAAUAGACCAUAUCGACAUUAUUAUGAAUAGAAAAGAUUCUAUUAAGAAUGAGUUGUCAUAUGGAAAAUAUGGAAACGUUUCCAUAUUGGGAGUCGGAUAUUGAGAAUCUAUGUCUAGAUUAGAAAUUUUAUGCAAAAGGAUGUUCAAAGGAAUGUCCUUUGAGUGAGAGACAUCACAUCUAAGGAAUUGUCUUGUAACAAUCUCCAAUAGACAGCUUUGUAAUUCAUUGGCAAUAGUCAUUGUGACUUUGGUGCAGUGACAUUAUGAAAGGAUGAUUGCAUAAAAUAUUAGAAUCUAACAUAUUCCAUAAGUGGCAAGAAUUUGAUAUUCUUUCACUUGUGAAAAGGAUUGGGAGUUAUGAAAUGAUUAUGAUUGGAAAUGUGUUCAUUUGAUCUAUUUCACAAAGUAAGAACCAUAGAUAAACACUGUGUGCAUGCUAAGAGCAUGGGACAAGUGUUGUAAUAAUUUAAGUAAGAAGUUUAUUACCCGAAACAAGAAAUAAUGAGUAAUCGAUAUGGUGAUAAUAAAAGGUGUUUUAUUUAUACUCAAGGUUUGAGGCCAUAUGGGACUAGUAUUAUUCUUGUGUUUCACUUUGCAUGUUUUGACUUCCUAAAUAAUUUAAAUUGGUUUAGAACAGUUAAAUUAUUCGAACGGGCCCUAGUCGUUCAUAUGUUGGAAGUAGGUAUGAAUGAAGACUGUCAUGAAUUGGUGUGUGGAUUGUCUAAAGAGCAUUAGACAUAAGCAAAUGUUUGCUGCAACGUUCAUGAGUGCUUAUAAAUAUGAUUUGAGCAUUGCAUUAAACCCACGCUCACUUGGAUCACUUCAUGGAUUUUAUCACGAGUGAUUGGUGAGACGAUAAUAUCUUAUAUUCUUGAAACCGAGAUGUGUGAGUUGUAUCUUGCGAGUUGGUUGCACAUUGAUAAUACGUAAACGCACCAGUAACUUGGUGUUAUAAAACAUAUUGUUGUGUGUGAUUCGGUGAGUAAGUGCAAUCGAACAUUGAGUCAAAGUUUAUCCGUUCCUUUUAUCAAAAGUAGGAUAAAAACGAUUUCUGUGGGCCCCUCGAUUAUUUAGUGAUGGCACCUAAGCGCUUGGCCAAGCCGGGACUAAAUUGAUGUGUUCAAUUGUAGUCUAUUGUUAGUCGUCAUAAAUCUGAAUUCGGGAAACAACACAUAGACAGAGAGAAUGUUUUAGAUCCAUGUCUCAGUCUAUACGAUAUCUAGAAUGGAGGAAUAUAUGAUCCCUUAUCUAAAGGAUACGCGAAUAUGAUAAGAUCAGAGUUGACAGCGGCUUUAGAAAGCUACGAUUGCAGAUCAGGAUCUGAAGUCAUACGCAUAAUAGUUAUUAGACUUAUCCAAGUGGGAGACUGUUGGAUUAGUGUCUAAGUCCAUAAACUAUUUUGGUAUGUACUUGACCCGAUGGUGUAUGGUCCUUUUGGGUUGUCUUCACCAAAGCAACUUGAUAGGAUGAAUUAUAGAGAGAAAGGAUUAAAUAUGAUUUAUUAAUAUAAUAUGAGAAUAAUAUAUUAAAGGAGAAAUCAUAUUGUUUCAUUAAUAUUAGUCAAGAAUUAAUUGAUAAUUAAUUUUAUGACUAAAAGAGAUUAAUUAAACUUAAGGGACUAGAACUGUCAAUUGUAUGAUAGGUGAAUAUUGAGCUAAUGGACUCCAUAUUAAAGGAGUAGACAAAUUCUAUGGGGAAACCCAUUAGAAAUCGUCCUAGGCCUUUAAGGAAGGAGCCCAUGGGUUGCUUAGGGCUUAAGCAUCCAAAUUAGGUUUUCCUUGUUAGAUAACCCUAAUAGCCUCACUAUUUAAGGACCCCUUGGGCACCAAAAACGUGGGCAACUGACUCCUAGGGGUUUCUACACAUUUUUGGGUGUUUCUUCUCUUCUCCUAUUCAUCCUCUUGCUCUUGGUGUUUGUGAACCAUUAGAGGAGUGACAUUUGUGACUCUAAGCUUUCUAAAGUCAUUAUAAAGGAGGAUUUGAGAUUGUUAUUGCUACAUAACAAUCAAGGUAUGAUGUAAACCCUAAUUCAUAUGUUAUAUUGAUUAUCAUAUACUAGAUAUAGGGUUUAUAGUCUUGGAUGAGUUGCAUGUACAAUAGAGAAACCUAGAUCCAAGCAUUAGGGUUUUUAUGAGCACAUAGGAUGUUUUUAUAGCUAAAACCCAUCAGGGUUAAACCCAUUGGAUGCUCCAUGGAGGCUCCAUGGGAGUUACAAACCCAUGGGUAAUGGAAAUGAAGAGUCAUGUCACAUUAGGGUUUACAUGGCGUAACCCUAGAUGUGACACACUAUAUAAAGAACAUCAUACUCCCUAAAAUCGGCUACACAUAGUGACAAGAGGGCUUGCCUGAUUUUUUGAGUGUUACACGUUCUCUCAAAGUUGUUCCAAAGCAUUUGGUGUUGUAUGAAGCAUUUGAGGAAUCACACUUAGGGUGCUAGGCUCUCAAGGUUUCAAGGAAUCAUAACAACAACAAGGUAUGUGUUUCUAGCUAUCUUUUAUAUUAUAAAGUUCCCCAUGUAUGCUAGAUAGGUUUAUGAACCUUGGAAAAAAGUAAUUUGCAUGUAUCUUAUACAAACAUAGAUCCAAGGUUCUCUAGGGUUGCAUGUACACUUAGGAGUGUUAGAAUUGCUCAAAACCCUUCGAUGGUAUCAGAGACUAGGCUUGCUUGUUUGAUAUUUGAUGCAAAAUAGUGAAAAAAGUCGAUUUUUUGUUGUCUGCCUGCUGAAAUCGCCAAGUCCAUGGGGGGACUUGCCGAGUUCAUGUGUAAAAUCAUCCUACUCGUCGAGUAGGUUCAUGCACUCGACGAGUAGGAGCCUCAGAAUGCAGUUUUUUGACUUUUGCUGCUGGAAAUGGACUAGAAACGUUACCCUAAACUGUUUGGGUGUUAUUAAACAUGUUUUAGAUGGUGUAAUGGUUGUUCUAAUCCAUUUAUAAUGACUAAUAUCAAAAUUCCAUGAUUUUAUGUUUUCUUGAAAAUUUGAUAUUCAUAUUCAUGUUCUUAUGAGUUUAGAUGAUCAUAGGAAUUAUGUGUAACUUCUUGAUAGUUUUAAUUCUUAAUCAUUAUGUGUUUUAAUGGAAUCCAUAAUUUGUCCUCAAGUUAUGAAUUACCAAAAGUUUUAUCUUUGAAUGUCCAUUGAAGAAACACAUAGGUUACAUAAAAUGAAGAUUUACUCAUUUUAAUGAACCAAUUAAUCUCAUAAGUUAUGGAUUGAAGAGUUUUGUUAAGUUACAAAACUUUCCCUCAAAUUUUGGAACUUGUAAAGUCACCUAAUUAACUUUAGUUCCAACCCCUAGAAUUUAAAAUGUUAAAAUUCAACACUUAUACUUUAUAAUAUUAUAAGUUUAAUAUAUAUAUAUAUAUAUAUAUAUAUNNNNNNNNNNNNNNNNNNNNNNNNNNNNNNNNNNNNNNNNNNNNNNNNNNNNNNNNNNNNNNNNNNNNNNNNNNNNNNNNNNNNNNNNNNNNNNNNNNNNNNNNNNNNNNNNNNNNNNNNNNNNNNNNNNNNNNNNNNNNNNNNNNNNNNNNNNNNNNNNNNNNNNNNNNNNNNNNNNNNNNNNNNNNNNNNNNNNNNNNNNNNNNNNNNNNNNNNNNNNNNNNNNNNNNNNNNNNNNNNNNNNNNNNNNNNNNNNNNNNNNNNNNNNNNNNNNNNNNNNNNNNNNNNNNNNNNNNNNNNNNNNNNNNNNNNNNNNNNNNNNNNNNNNNNNNNNNNNNNNNNNNNNNNNNNNNNNNNNNNNNNNNNNNNNNNNNNNNNNNNNNNNNNNNNNNNNNNNNNNNNNNNNNNNNNNNNNNNNNNNNNNNNNNNNNNNNNNNNNNNNNNNNNNNNNNNNNNNNNNNNNNNNNNNNNNNNNNNNNNNNNNNNNNNNNNNNNNNNNNNNNNNNNNNNNNNNNNNNNNNNNNNNNNNNNNNNNNNNNNNNNNNNNNNNNNNNNNNNNNNNNNNNNNNNNNNNNNNNNNNNNNNNNNNNNNNNNNNNNNNNNNNNNNNNNNNNNNNNNNNNNNNNNNNNNNNNNNNNNNNNNNNNNNNNNNNNNNNNNNNNNNNNNNNNNNNNNNNNNNNNNNNNNNNNNNNNNNNNNNNNNNNNNNNNNNNNNNNNNNNNNNNNNNNNNNNNNNNNNNNNNNNNNNNNNNNNNNNNNNNNNNNNNNNNNNNNNNNNNNNNNNNNNNNNNNNNNNNNNNNNNNNNNNNNNNNNNNNNNNNNNNNNNNNNNNNNNNNNNNNNNNNNNNNNNNNNNNNNNNNNNNNNNNNNNNNNNNNNNNNNNNNNNNNNNNNNNNNNNNNNNNNNNNNNNNNNNNNNNNNNNNNNNNNNNNNNNNNNNNNNNNNNNNNNNNNNNNNNNNNNNNNNNNNNNNNNNNNNNNNNNNNNNNNNNNNNNNNNNNNNNNNNNNNNNNNNNNNNNNNNNNNNNNNNNNNNNNNNNNCUCCUGGAAGAAUCGCGGGGCCACCCCGACUCAACUCGCCGAGUCUGAAGAACAACUCGACGAGUCCCAGUUAAUCUUCAAGCUACUCGCCGAGUCUGUUCAUCGGACUCGGCGAGUCCAUGCCAUGCAACCGCUCAAACUGCUUUCUAAGGUCAGAACUGCUCCGACCAUUCAUAGGUCUGGCCUUCCUAGACUGAUUCAUCACGUAAGGUCCUCAUUUCGGUGCUCAUAAUACACCCCAUGACUCAUAAUUUACAUUUUGACCUAAGGCAUAAGGAUUCCAAUCCAAAACCUCCAUUGAUUCCUGAAAUGCUCAGGCAUGGGACAUUCUGGACUUCCAAAGAUCUCAAUACAGGGUUCCAAUCGUUUGGGGGACUAAAGUAACACUCAAUCUAGCCACAAAAGGGUUCAAUAAAUCCUAAAUCCAUAUACACAUCAACAUAGAAGAAUGUAACUCGAAAUAUUACCUGAAUAACGUGCUCUCUGUGUCCCCAAUCCACAGAACGUGGCUCUUCCUGUUGUUCCCUUAACCAAGCCUCUUCUUCCUUGCAAAACCACACUUCCAAAAUCAACAAUGGUCUUCAACCUUGCUCCAGACGCUCACAAUCGAAUUAGGGUUUCUCUCAGAGGACUAGGGUGAACAAUGACGGCCAUAAAGUCCCUCAUAUACGUCCCAAACCUGAACGGUUAGGGUUUUCGCUAAAUAGCGCAGACUCGCCGAGUCCAUAUCCGGACUCGUCGAGUCCAGUCGCGAACCCGCAACCAGAUCCGCGAUCCUACUCGGCGAGUCUAGGCUCCAACUCGCCGAGUCCCCUCUUAAAACACCCAAAAUCAUAAAUAUAACAAUACCUGAAAUUCCAGGCUGUUACAGUAAUCGGGUUAUUGUUGGUUGGUAAAAGUAAAUACAAUUAUUUAUUGCGGGUUGAAAACACUAUAUGCUCACCAGGCUCCCAAGCCUGACCCACUCAGUUUAUUUGUAUUACAGGUAGUGGCGCGAGGGCAUAAGAUGGACGAAUCAUCAAGUUAUUUUGUUUAUUAGACCAGUUGUUAUAUGUAACUAUUGUAUGGUCUAUCUUUUGUUGUUUAUGCUUUUGUGUCUGUAUCGGAACAUGACAUCUCGAGUUUUGAUUUUAUAGUGAAAAUACAUUUCUUUAUGAAAUGCUUUGGUAAAUAUUAUUUUAUCAUACUUUGUUUUUGGGAACAAAUUUCGCAACUCUUUUAAAUCAAAAGGAUUUACUCUUAAAUUAUUUUAAAAAGCAUAAAUGAAACUGGUCUUUUAUGGCCGUGAUUUUGGGGAUGUCACAGUGGGUAUCAGAGCAUUAGUUUAAGCGAACUAGGAAUUUGUAAGAUUUCUAGACUUAAACUUAGAAUGCUAAGUGGAGAUUGUGAGAAGUGUGUCUGUUAUAUUAUGGACACGAGCACUAGUAUAUUUUAGGAAGUUGCCUAAAAUGCUCUUAGGUGCUAAAUGUUAUAUGUUGCCAUAUAUGAUAUUAUUUGUUUGGAUCUAUGGUCUGUUGCCGACCGGAUCAUGAAACCUUAUGUGUGUAGGAUUCUAAGCAUACGUCUACGACAUUAGAACUAGCAUGUAAACGUUUCGGAGUGAUAUGGAAGAUCGUAAUAUCUAUCAUGAAUAAAGAUCUAAAUUUCACCUUAUUCGGUGUAUUGAUCAAGAAUGGCAAGAACAAGAAGCAGUGAUGGAAAUGCAAACAAGAACAGGAAUCAACCGCCUCUAAUUGAACAAGUAAUUGUUGAAACUGCUGCACCAGAGCAAAUCACUCUGGCUGGGGUGCAAGCCAUGAUUCGGGCUAUGUUAGCCGAACAAAAGGAAGAAAUGCGACAGAUGUUGCAUGAAAAUAGGGACGAACCAAUCAUACCCAUUGAGGAACCCAAACUGAUUCCCGAACAAUCGGAGGAAGGAAACAAUAGUCGCGUUGUGAGUCAAGUUGGGAGUCAAGGAGAACGAAGGAACGACCCGGAAAGGGGAAACAAAAAGGAUGGGAGAAUGUAUAAGAAUUUCUUGGGCGCCAAGCCGCCAAGUCUUUCUGGGAACCUAAAGCCCAUUGAGAUUAUGGAUUAGAUCUCCGAAAUGAAGAUGGUAUUUGAAAGUUGCGACUGUAUCAACAAACAGAAGACUGUCUUUGCAGUUAGACAACUGAAGACCGGAGUCUUGAGCUGGUGGAAGUUGUUGGCAGAUAUUAUGUCAUGAGGAGAAGCCCUGAAAAUGUCAUGAGAGGAGUUCUUAGAACAACUAAGGGCGCAGUAGUGUUCAGAGAUAGAUCUGAUUGAUCUGAACAAUGAGUUCCAAAACUUAAAGAAGGGGAGGAUGAGCAUAAAUGACUAUGCUAUCGCAUUCACUGAUAAAAUGAGGUUAUUUCCAUACCUAGUGCGAAUGAAACUCUCCAAGAUUGAGAGGUUCGCUAAUGGACUACCUUCCGACUUUUGCCCGAUAGUCAAGAUGGCAACUACUCUAAAAAUAGUUGUUUGUGCGGCUAAGAAUGUGGAGACCCAGCAGAAGGAAAAGGGUCUGGAAAGAAUAGAGGUUGGUGAGAAAAGGAAGUUGGAUGGACCUUUAGGGUCCAACAAGAAAAUCAAGUUUUCGAAGUCUAGUUCGAGAGGAGGAGGAGGAAGAGAAGCCAAAUGGUACGACAAAUGUAAGAAGAAGCAUCAUGGAAAAUGUGAAGUAGUAGCCACAUGUUUUAAAUGUGGAAAGCCAGGGCACUAUGCCAAUGAAUGCACUCUCACCAAGAAAGUUUGUUAUGGCUAUGGUGAGGAGGGGCACAUCUCGAGAGAUUGUUCGAAGAAGAAGGAGGCAUCAAAACCCAAUAUUCCCCCAAAGCCGAAGGCGAGAGCAUUCCAGAUGACACUGGAAGCUGCAAAAUAUGAAGCUGAUGUCGCUUCAGGUACCUUUCUCGUAAACAAAUUGCAUGCCCAAAUUUUAUUUGAUUCUGGAGCCAACUACUCCUUUAUUUCGCAUGAAUUUGGUAGAAACUAGCUUCUCCUGUCGAUAGACUAGAUAAUGCUUUAUUAGUCGAAGUUGCUAGUAGCAAAUUUCUACCUAUUAGCCAUCGUAUGAAAAACAUCUUAAUUCACUUGAAUGGGAAUAAGUUCCAUGAGGAAUUAUUGCCUAUCGAACUAAACAAUUUCGACAUCGUGCUGGGAAUGGAUUGGCUUAGCGCCAAUGACGCCGAAAUAUUGUGCAAGAAGAAGAUUGUAAAGGUAAAUCCGCCAGGNGCAAGAAGAAGAUAGUAAAAGUAAACCCACCAGUGAAAGAGUCAUUUAUGGUGUAUGGGGACAAACGCAGAGUAAAUUCUAGAAUCAUUUAUCUAAUGAAAGCCAGAAAGUGUUUGGCCAAAGGAUGUACAUCAUAUUUGGCAUUUGUGAUAGAUUCUAAGAAGGAGAAAAAGGUGAUGCAAAGCAUUCCUAUCGUAUGUGAUUAUCGGGAAGUAUUUCCCAAAGAUCUUCCCGGAUUACCGCCUGAUAGAAAUUUGGAGUUCAUAAUAGACUUGUUACCAGGGACGACGCCUAUAGCAAAAGCACCUAAUCGAUUAGCACCAUCAGAGAUGAAGGAGCUAAUGAUGCAACUUCAGGAGUUAUUGGGCAAAGGUUUAAUUAGACCUAGUUUAUCACCCUGGGGAGCUCCGAUGUUAUUCGUGAAGAAGAAAGAUGGAAGUAUGAGAAUGUGCAUCGAUUAUAGAGAGCUGAACAAGGCAACAAUAAAGAAUAGAUAUCCGUUGCUGAGGAUUGAUGACUUGUUCGAUCAACUACAAGGUUCAAGUUAUUUUUCAAAGAUCGACCAAAGGUCAAGAUAUCAUCAGCUGAAGGUGAAAGAGCAGAUAUAGAGAAGACUGCAUUCAGAACACGAUAUGGACACUAAGAGUUUUUGGUUAUAUCAUUUGGACUAACCAAUGCUCCAGCAUCAUUCAUGGAUUUAAUGAUCAUGGUUUGUAAUCCGUUCCUAGAUAAAUCUGUGAUAGUGUUCAUAGAUGACAUUCUGAUUUAUUUGAAAAGCGAAGAGGAGCAUGGCAUACACUUGCGAGAAGUGUUAGAAGUCUUGAAGAAGGAGAAGUUGUAUACAAAUUUCUCCAAAUGUGAUUUCUGGAUUCGAGAAGUCCAAUUCUUGGGUCACGUGAUCAACUAAAAAGGGAUAAUGGUUGAUCCAGCAAAGAUUGAAGCUGUAAUGAAGUGGGAACAACCGAAAAGUCCCACGGAGAUCCGAAGCUUUUUAGGAUUAGCCAGAUAUUACCGAAGGUUUAUCCAAGGCUUUUCUACGAUCGCUACUCCAUUAACAGCGUUCACCCACAAAGGAGUUACUUAUGCUUGGAAUGAUAAGCAUAAAGAAGAAUUCGAGAGGCUAAAGAAGAAGCUAUAUGAGGCAGCGAUUCUUUCUCUACCCGAUGGAGUUGAAGACUUCGCUGUUUAUAGCAAUGCGUCUGGUGUUGGCUUGGGUUGUGUUUUAACCCAAAGGGAAAAGGUGAUCGCAUAUGCAUCUCGACAGUUGAAGGAGCAUGAAAAGAACUACCCGACUCAUGAUUUGGAGUUGGAAACGGUAGUUUUCGCUCUGAGAAUAUGGAGGCAUUACCUCUAUGGCACGAAGUGCAACUUUUCACUGAUCAUAAGAGUCUCCAAUAUCUCUUUAGUCAGAAAUAAUUAAAUAUGAGGCAAUGAAGUUGGCUUGAAUUACUUAAGGAUGUACGACUGCGAGAUACUUUACCACCCUGGUAAGGCUAAUGUUGUUGCUGAUGUUCUCAGUCGGGAAGUCAAUCUUGAAAGAAAAAGGCCAAGAGCGUUGAGAAUAGAAGUUGUCUCAACAAUUGUGGAGAGUAUAAAGAAAGCUAAAGAGGAAGCUUUUGUGAAGAAUGAUCGAAAAGAAGAACUUUAGGGAAAAAUGUUGGUGUUCGGUAUAAACAGUCAUGGACUGAAGGUGUUCCAAGAUCGGAUUUGGAUACCUAAGACAAGAGGAGUCAGAGAUCUUAUGAUGGAAGAAGCUCAUAAGUCCAUGUACUCAAUUCAUCCCGGUAGUACUAAAAUGUAUAGGGACCUAAAACCCUACUACUGGCGGCCGACGAUGAAGCUUGAUGUUGAAAAGUAUGUAGCCGUGUGUGUGACUUGUGUGAGAGUCAAGACACAACAUCAGAAACCGUAUGGGAGUUUAGAACCUUUGCCUGUGCCUAUGGGUAAGUGGGAAGACAUUGCUAUGGAUUUUAUCACUAAACUGCCCAGAACGAAAAGUGGUCACAACAUGAUUUGGGUGAUCGUUGAUCGAUUCACUAAGAGUGCGCAUUUCAUAGCAUCCAAUGAGAAAUGGUCUAUGGAAAAGCGUGCGAAUUCUUUUGUGAAGGAAGUUGUGAGGCUUCACGGUGUUCCGUUAACGAUUGUGUCAUAUCGUGAUAGCCAUUUCACCUCGCGAUUUUGGAGAAGUCUACAAGAGGAAUUGGGUAGCAAGUUGUGUUUGAGUACAUCUUACCAUCCACAGACUGAUGGUCAGAGCGAACGGACGAUACAAACACUUGAAGAUAUGCUGAGAGCAUCUACCCUAGAAUUCCAAGGUACUUGGGAUGAACAUUUACCUUUGAUGAAAUUUUCCUACAAUAAUAGUUUCCACUAGAGCCUAAAGAUGGCACCUUGUCAAGCUUUGUAUGGACAGAAGUUUCGUACGCCGUCUUAUUGGCUUGAGGCUGGAGAAAAGAAGUUUAUGGGACCCGAGAUGGUUCAUCAAAUUGCUGAAAACCUGAAAAUAAUUUAGGAAAGAAUGUUAGUAGCUCAGGAUCGUCAAAAGUGCUAUGCUGACAAAUAGCGAAGACCGAUGACUUUUGAAGUUGGAAAUUCGGUUUUGCUUAAAGUCUCGCCAUGGAAGGGACUUAUAAGAUUUUGUAAAUGGGCAAAGUUUAGUCCAAGGUUUAUUGGACCUUUUAAAGUUCUUGAGAGGAUUGAGAACCAAGCUUACAAGAAUGAAUUGCCAGAAGAACUGCAUGGUAUUCAUAACACUUUCCAUGUGUGUUAUUUGAGGAAGUUUACUAGAGAACUUCCCGACAUGAUUCCACUUUCGGAGUUGAGAAUCAAUGAGAACAAAAGGUUGAUUGAAGAACCAGAGGCAAUCGUUCACUGAAAGACUAAGAAGUUGGGACGCAAGAUGGUCGAGUUUGUGCUUGUCCGAUGGAAACACACGAAUAGGCCAAAUCUCACCUGGGAGACGGAGAGUGACAUGAUCAGUCACUACCCGCAUUUGUUUGUUGAUGUGUGAUUCCGAGGACGGAAUCAUUCUAAGGUGGAGAGAAAUGUAACACCUGUGUUUCUGGGCUUGUCAUUAAUAUUGAUGUAAUAGUCCAGGUUAACCAUUGUAACCCGUUUCGAAAUAAUAGAAGUGUAUUAUUUGAGUAUUAUGUGUUUUGUGCUUAAUUGUGUGUCUCAAUUGAGUUAAGUAUGAAAAUAAGCGUCAAAAUUAAAUGUUAGAUAAAGCCGAUAUUUAUGUAUAAUGCUCUAGUAGUUGAAACGAGGUUUCCGAAUAUACAUAGAAUGCCGAAAUCCGAGUUAUAAGGAAGAAGUUAUGAUAUGUCGAAGUUUCGCGACAGAAACCGGCACGACGCUGAAUGACGUAAAAAGUGAAUUUACGUUAGAGUGAUACUUAGCCCUAGUGAUCUAAACGAAUGUUGUAGAUUUCGUUAAAUUGAGAGCGUGCAUAAAAAAAUCGCCCAAAUCUGACUUCGUAUGAGGAAGUUAUGAUUUUCCGAAGUUUCAACUUAUCAGUGUGCAGCCCGAAUACUCGAUUUGAGAUCAAGCGGUUUUUAGCCGAAACAAUCUAAACGAGAAUUGAAGAUCUCGUUAAUGGUAGUGCAAUGGUAAAAAGACAGAUGAAAACGGACGUCGGAUGAAGAAGUUAUGAAUUUAUAACGGGGUUUUUCUGUCCCGGCCUACUAAAAAUAAAUAAUAAAAAAAUAAUAUCAAAAUCAGCCGACGGAGUCUAAACGAAAGUUGUAGAGCGUAGUCUCACCUACGCGUGGAUAUAAAGAAAGUCGAAACGGAGUUCAUAUGAAGAAGAUAUGAAUUUCCGAAGUUUUUAAAUGAUUAACAUUUAUUAAUUAAUCUUUAAUUCGGAUGUAUAUCCGAAGGAGACACCGAUCUAGUCCGCACUACGCCCAGCGUAGUUGAGUACGACCAGCGUACACCGAAGUGUGACCCGCCUUACACUCAAGAGCUCCGAUAACGCAUGCAGUGACGAAUCCGAAGUGUACACCCCGCGUACUGAGCAUUACGCCCAGCGUAAUGUGAGGCUUCAGCCUCUAUAAAAGGGCUUGCGAGGGCAGCCAAUGCUUUUGCUCAAUUUAUUUUCUCUCUCUCCCGUUUUGCAUCGUUUUGCAUACAAAUUAUACCCCGAAACCCCGAUAUCAUUCCCGAGCCCCGAAGCAUGUCCUGAAGCCCCGAAGAUCCCGAGGAGUAGUGUUCCCGAGCCGAAGCUCUGCCUGCAAGAAGCCAAUUUUUUUGAAGAUCUUCCAGAUCUACCGAAGAAUACUACUUCUACAAGUCGUAGUGUUGUCCGAUCAUCUUCUGAUCAAGUGAGUAUGUAGUUACUUUCAUCUAAUGCAUAAUUACGAAGUAUUUUAUACGAAAUACGUGUUAUGUGUAUAUUUGUUGUUAUAUGUGUGAAUGUAUAUUCACUUUCUUCUAUCUCGUACAUAUGACUAAUUCUCUAUGAAAUAUGUGUUAUGUGUAUCUGUCUCAUCUGUUGUUUGGAAUAUGUAUUGAAUGAGAAUGUUAUACAGGUUUUAAACUAAGUAUAAAAAUAUAUAUUUUUAUCUACUAAUAUGUUGGGUAGACCAUGGGUAGAUGGUUGAUGUGUGAUAAACAGAUGAGAGGCCUCGAUGUUGCUGUUGAUCUAGUUAUUCAGCGGACUAUGGAUAAUGACCACAGACUCUUUCGAGACAGUCAUGUGGAACGCUGUGACAUCCUCAAAAUCACGGCCAAAAAAGACCGUUUUAAUUUAUGCUUUUAAAAUAAUUUGAGAGUAAAUCCUUUGAUUUAAAAGAGUUGCGGAAUUUGUUCCCAAAACAAAAUAUGAUAAAAUAAAGUUUUUCAAAGCAUUUCAUCAAGAGAUGCAUCUUCAUUAUAUAACAAUAUUCGGGAUGUCAUGUUCCCAUAAACAGACCAAAAAUAUAAACAACAAAAGAUAGAUCAUACAACAGUUACAUAUAACAAUUGGUCUAGUAUCAAAAGAUCUUGAUAAGUCAUCCAACUUAUGCUCUCGCGCCACUACCUAUAAUACAAAUAAACUGAGUGGGUCAGGCUUGGGAGCCUGGUGAGCAUAUAGGGUUUUCAACCCGAAAUAAAUAAUUAUAUUUAAUUUCACCAACCAACAAUAACCCAAUUACCCAUUCCCGUUAUCCUCACUUUACGUCCCUAAAACAACAUCUAUCUCAAGGGAUCUAAUAUAGGAUUUUCAUCGGGACAGACACUGCACAGGGGUUACCUCAAUAGUAGAUGUCCUAAAGGCAACCAUGAGGGGGAUAGAGUACACCGGUGAACACAUCGUUCACAACACCUAGCUAGCGUUCCACAGGACUGUCUAGAAAGAGUCUGUGGUUGUUAUCCAUACUCCGCUGAAUAACUAGAUCAACAACAACAACAUCGAGGCCUCUCAUUUGUUUAUCACACAUCAACUAUCUACCCAUGUUCUACCCAACAUAUUAGUAGAUAAAAAUAUAUAUUUUUAUACAUAGUUUAAAACAUGUAUAGCAUUCUCAUUCAAUACAUAUUCCAAUCAACAGAUGAGACACAUACACAUAGCACGUAUUUCCUAGAGAAUAAAUUAUAUCUCUGAGAUAGAAGAAAGUGAAUAUACAUUCACACAUAUAACAAAAAAUAUACACAUAACACGUAUUUUGUAUAAAAUACUUCAUAAUUAUGCAUUAGAAGAAAGUAACUACACACUCACUUGAUCAGAAGAUGAUCGGACAACACUACAGCUCUAAGAGUAGUAUUCUUCGGUGAAACUGGGUUCACUUCACUCACCAGGCUUCUUGCGGGCAGAGCUUCAGCUCGGAAACUCUUUUCUUCGAGGGAUCUUCGAGCUUCAGGACUUGCUUCGGUUGUCGGGAUGAUACCGGGGCUUCGGGGGUACUUUUUCACGUAAAUCGAGGUAAUAUGAGUGAGAGAGAAGAGAUUUGGCAACCACAAACGGUUGCCCCUUCAAAUCUAUUUAUAGGGCUAUUUUCUCAUUUUCCACGUCGUGGGCACUUCUUCCACGUCGUGAGCUUGGUCGUCAUUGCAUGCGUCAUCGUCCACUUGCUCUGCCAGGCUCCAGAAGGCGUCAGAAGCCAUGCCACGUCGUGGUCUCUGACGGUUUUGGUGUUUCGCACCCCGAACUUCAGAAAUCCAUAACUUUCGCAUACUUACUCCGUUUUCGACGUUCUUUAUAUCGACGUGUAGGUAAAAACAAGAUCUACAACUUUCAUUUAGACUUUGUAUGCUAAUUUUGACUUUAUUUUUAAUAUAUUAAUAAUAUACUAUUGUUAGUAGGCCGGGACAGGAAAACCCCGUUAGAAAUUCAUAACUCCUUCAUCUGACGUCCAUUUUCGACUGUCUUUUCACCGUUGGAGUACAAUCGAUGAGAUCUUUGAUUCUCGUUUAGAUUGUUUCGUCUAAAUAUCGCUCGAUCUCGUAUUCGAACUUCGGGCUAUACACUGCUAAACAAAAACUUCGAAAAAUCAUAACUUCCUCAUACGAAGUCAGAUUUGGGCCUUCUUUUUAUGCACGCUCUCAGUUUAACGAACUCUACAACAUUACUUUAGAUCGCUAAGUCCAAAUAUUUUUCUAAUGUAAACUCACUAUUUACGUCUCGCUGUGUCGUACCGGUUCUGUCGCGAAACUUCGACAAGUCAUAACUUCUUCGUUAUAACUCGGAUUUCGGCAUUCUUUAUAUAUUCAGAAACCUCGUUUCAACUACUACAACAUUAUCCAUAGAUAUUGGGUUGAUCUAACAUUUCAUUUUGACGUUUAUUUUUAUUCUUAAUUAAAUUAAGACAUACAAUUAAGCACAAAAACACAUAAUACUCAAAUAAUACACUUCUAUUAUUUCAAAACGGGUUACAAAGGUUAACCUAGACUAUUAUAUCAACAUUAAUGACAACCCCAGAAACACCGUCAUUACAAUUCUCUCCACCUUAGAAUGAUUCCGUCCCCGGAAUCACACAUCAACAAACAAAUGUGGGUAGCGACUCAUCAUGUCACUCUCCGUCUCCCAAGUGAGAUUUGGCCCAUUCGUGUGUUUCCAUCGGACAAGCACAAACUCAACCACAUUGCGUCGCAACUUCUUAGUCUUUCGGUCAAAGAUUGCCUCUGGUUCUUCAAUCAAUCUUUUGUUCUCAUCGAUUCUCAACUCCAAAAGUGGAAUCAUGUCGGGAACUUCUCUCGUGAACUUCAUCAAAUAACACACAUGGAAAUUUUUAUGAAUUCCAUUCAGUUCUUCUGGUAGUUCGAGCUUGUAAGCUUGGUUCCCAAUCCUCUAAAGAACUUUAAACGGUCCAAUAAACCUUGGACUCAACCUUCCCCUUUUACCAAAUCUUAUAAGUCCCUUCGACGGCGAGACUUUAAGCAAAACCGAAUCUCCAACUUCAAAAGUCAUCGGUCUUCGCUUGUUGUCAGCAUAGCUCUUUUGACGAUCUUGAGCUGCUAACAUUCUCUCCCUAAUUAUUUUCAACUUUUCAGCAGUUUGAUGGACUAUCUCUAGUCCCAUAAACUGCUUUUCUCCAGCCUCAAGCCAACAAGACGGCGUACGACACUUCUUUCCAUACAAAGCUUGAUAAGGUGUCAUCUUUAUGCUCGAGUGGAAACUAUUAUUGUAGGAAAAUUCUACAAAAGGUAAAUGUUCAUUCCAAUUACCUUAGAAUUCCAGGGUACAUGCUCUCAUCAUAUCUUCAAGUGUUUGUAUUGUUCGUUCGCUCUGAGCAUCAGUCUGUGGAUGGUAAGUUGUACUCAAACACAACUUGGUACCCAAUUCCUCUUGUAGACUUCUCCAAAAUCGCGAGGUAAAGCGGCUGUCACGAUCUGACAAAAUCGUUAACGGAACACCGUGAAGCCUCACAACUUCCUUCACAUAAGAAUUCGCACGCUUUUCCAUAGACCAUUUCUCAUUGGAUGCUAUGAAAUACGCACUCUUAGUGAAUCGAUCAACGACCACCCAAAUCAUGUCGUGACCACUUUUCAUUUUGGGCAGUUUAGUGAUAAAAUCCAUAGCAAUGUCUUCCCAAAUACCCAUAGGCACAGGCAAAGGUUCUAAACUCCCGUAUGGUUUCUAAUGUUGUGUCUUGACUCUCGCACAAGUCACACACUUGGAAACAUACUUUGCAACAUUAAGCUUCAUCGUCGGCCAACAGUUGUAGGGUUUCAGGUCCCUAUACAUCUUAGUGUCGCCGGGAUGAAUUAAGUACAUGGUUUUGUAAGCUUCUUCCAUCAGAAUUUCUCUGACUCCUCUUGUCUUAGGUAUCUAAAUCCGAUCUUGGAACACCUUCAGUGCAUGACUGUUUACACCGAACACUAACGUUUUGCCCAAACAUUCUCCCUUUCGGUCAUUCUUCUCAGAAGCUUCCUCUUGAACUUUCUUUAUACUUUCCAUUAUUGUCGAGACAACUUCAAUUCUCAACGCUCUUGGCCUCUUCCUUUCAAGAUUGACUUUCCGACUGAGAGCAUUAGCAACAACAUUUGCUUUGCUGGGGUGGUAAAGUAUCUCACAGUCAUAGUCCUUAAGUAACUCUAGCCAGCGUCGUUGCCUCAUAUUCAAUUCCUUCUGAUUAAAGAGAUAUUGGAGACUCUUAUGAUCAGUGAAAAGUUGGCACUUCGUGCCAUAGAGGUAAUGUCUCCAUAUCUUUAGAGAGAAAACUACCGCCGCCAACUCCAAGUCAUGAGUCGGGUAGUUCUUUUCAUGCUCUUUCAACUGUCGAAAUGCAUAUGCGAACACCUUUUCCCUUUGGUUCAAAAUACAACCCAACCCAACACCUGACGCGUCGCUAUAAAAACAAAGUCUUCAACUCCAUCGAGUAGAGAAUGUAUCGGUGCCUCGCAUAGUUUCUUCUUUAGCUUCUCGAAUGCUUCUUUAUGCUUAUCACUCCAAGCAUAAGUAGCUCCUUUGUGGGUCAAAGCUGUUAAUGGAGUAGCGAUCAAAGAAAAGCCUUGGAUAAACCUUCGGUAAUAUCCGACUAAUCCCAAAAAGCUUCAGAUCUCCGUGGGACUUUUCAGUUGUUCCCAGUUCAUUACAGCUUCAAUCUUUGCUGGAUCAACCAUUAUUCCUUCUUGGUUGAUCACAUGACCCAAGAAUUGGACUUCUCGAAUCCAAAAAUCACAUUUGAAGAACUUAGCAUAUAGCUUCUCCUUAUUCUAGACUUCUAACACUUCUCGCAAGUAUCUACCAUGCGCCUCUUGGCUUUUCGAAUAAAUCAGAAUGUCAUCUACAAACACUAUCACUGAUUUAUCAAGGAACGGAUUAGAAACCCUGAUCGUUAAAUCUACGAAUGUUGUUGGAGAAUUGGUUAGUCCAAACGACAUAACCAAAAACUCAUAGUGUCCGUAUCGUGUUCUGAAUGCAGUCUUCUCUAUAUCCUGCUCUCUUACUUUCAGGUGAUGAUAUCCUGACCUAAGAUCGAUCUUUGAGAAAUAGCUCGAACCUUGUAGUUGAUCAAACAGGUCAUCAAUCCUCGGCAACAUAUAUCUAUUCUUUAUUGUUGCCUUUUUCAGAUCUCUGUAAACGAUGCACAUUCUCAUACUUCCAUCUUUCUUCUUUACGAAUAACACCGGAGCUCCCCAGGGUGAUGAACUAGGUCUAAUGAAACCUUUGUCCAAUAACUCCUGAAGUUGCAUCAUCAGCUCCUUCAUCUCCGUCGGUGCUAAUCGGUAAGGUGCUUUUGCNNNNNNNNNNNNNNNNNNNNNNNNNNNNNNNNNNNNNNNNNNNNNNNNNNNNNNNNNNNNNNNNNNNNNNNNNNNNNNNNNNNNNNNNNNNNNNNNNNNNNNNNNNNNNNNNNNNNNNNNNNNNNNNNNNNNNNNNNNNNNNNNNNNNNNNNNNNNNNNNNNNNNNNNNNNNNNNNNNNNNNNNNNNNNNNNNNNNNNNNNNNNNNNNNNNNNNNNNNNNNNNNNNNNNNNNNNNNNNNNNNNNNNNNNNNNNNNUCUUUCCCAGGUGGGUUUACUUUGACUAUCUUCUUCUUGCACAAUAUCUCAGCAUCAUUGGCGCUAAGCCAAUCCAUUCCAAGCACGAUGUCAAAACCUUUAAGUUCAAUAGGCAAUAAUUUCUCGUGAAACUUAUUCUCAUUCAAAUCAAUUAAGAUGUUUUUCAUACGAUGACUAACAGGUACAAACUUGCCACUAGCAACUUCGACUAAUAAAGCAUUAUCUAGUCUAUCGACAGGCAAAGCUAGUUUUCUACCAAAUUCAUGUGAAAUAAAGGAGUAGUUGGCUCAAGACUCAAAUAAAAUUUGGGCAGGCAAUUCGUUAACGAGAAAGGUACCUGAAGCGACAUCAGCUUCAUCUUUAGCAGCUUCCAGUGUCAUCUGGAAGGCUCUCGCCUUCGGCUUUGGCGGAAUGUUGGGUCUUGCUGCCUCCUUUUUGGGGCAGUCCCUAGACACGUGUCCCUCCUCACCACAACCAUAACAAACUUUCUUGGUGAGAGUGCAUUCGUUGGCAUAGUGCCCUGGCUUUCCACAUUUAAAACAUGUGGCCACUACCUCACAUUUUCCAUGAUGCUUCUUCUUACAUUUGUCGCACCAUUUUGCUUCGCCUCCUCCUCCUCUCGAACUAGACUUCGAGAACUUUUUUUUCUUGUUGGACCUGAAGGUCCUUCGAACUUCCUCUUUUCACCAACCUCUAUCCUUUCCAGACCCUUUUCCUUCUGUUGGGCCUCCACAUUCUUAGCUGCUCGAACAACUUUUUUCAGAGUGGUUGCCAUCUUGACUGUCGGACCUAAUUCGGUAGGUAGUCCAUUAGCAAACCUCUCAAUCUUGGAGAGUUCCGUUGGCACCAGGUACGAAAAUAACUUUAUUUUCUCAGUGAAUGCAGUAGGAUAGUCGUCUACGCUCAUUCUCCCCUUCUUCAAGUUUUGGAAAUCAUUGUUCAAAUCAAUCAGAUCUAUCUUUGAACAGUACUGCACCCUUAGUUGUUCCAAGAAAUCCUCCCAUGACAUUUUCAGGGCUUCUCCUCAUUGCAUAGUAUCUGCCAACAGCUUCCAAAAACUCAAGACACCAGUCUUCAGUUGUCUAAAUGCAAAGACAGUCUUCUUUUUGUUGCUACAGUCGCAACUUUCAAAUACCAUCUCCAUUUCGGAGAUCCAAUCCAUAAUCUCAACAGGCUUCAGGCUUCCAGAAAGACUUGGCGGCUUGGCGCCCAAGAAAUUCUUGUACAUUCGCCCAUCCUUGUUGUUUCUCCUUUCCGGGUCGUUCCUUCGUUCUCCUUGAGUCCCAACUUGACUCAUAAUGCGACUAUUGUUUCCGUCCUCCGAUUGUUUGGGAAUCAGUUCAGGUUCCUCAAUAGGUAUGAUUGGUUCAUCCCUAUUUUCAUGUAACAUUUGUUGCAUUUCUUCCCUUUAUUCGGCUAACAUAGCCUGAACCAUGGCUUGCACCCCAGCCAUUGUUAUUGGUUCUGGUGCUGCUGCUACAACAGGUAUUUGCUCAAUCACUGGUGGUUGAUUCCUGUUUUCAUCUGCAUUUCCAACGCCACUCCUGGUUCUUACCAUUUUUUAUCUACACACCGAAUAAGGUGAAAUUCGAUCCUCAUCCAUGAUAGAUAAUUAAAUCAUCCUUAUCACUCCGAAACAUUUACAUGUUAGUUCUAAUACCGACGUCAUACGCUUAGAAUCUUACACACAUAAGGUUUCAAGAUCCGGUCGGCAGUAUACCAUAGAUCCGAACAAAUAAUAUCAUAUAUGGCAACAUAUAACAUUUAGCACAUAAAAGCAUUUUAGGCAGCUUCCUAAAAUAUACUAGUGCUCGUGUCUAUAAUAUAAUAGACACACAUCUCACAAUCUCCACUUAGCAUUCUAAUUUUAAGUCUAGAAAUCCUACAAAUUCCUAGUUCGCUUAAACUAAUGCUCUGAUACCAACUGUGACAUCCCCAAAAUCACGGCCAGAAAAGACCGUCUUAAUUUAUGCUUUUACACUAAUUUCAGAGUAAAUCCUUUGAUUUAAAAGAGUUGCGGAAUUUGUUUCCAAAACAAAAUAUGAUAAAAUAAAGUUUAUCAAAGCAUUUCAUUAAGAGAUACAUUUUCAUUAUAUAACAAUGUUCGGGAUGUCAUGUUCAGAUAAACAGACCAAAAGCAUAAACAACAAAAGAUAGACCAUACAACAGUUACAUAUAACAAAUGGUCUAAUAUCAAAAGAUCUUGAUAUGUCAUCCAACUUAUGCUAUCACGCCAAUACCUGUAAUACAAAUAAACUGAGUGGGUCUGGCUUGGGAACCUGGUGAGCAUAUAGGGUUUUCAACCUGCAAUAAAUAAUUACAUUUAAUUUCACCAACCAACAAUAACCCGAUUACCCAUUCCCGUUAUCCUCACUUUACGUCCCUAAAACAAUAUCUAUCUCAAGGGACCUAAUCAAGGAUUUUCAGCGGGACGGACAUUACUGCAAAGGGGUUUCCUCAACAGUAGAUGUCCUAAAGGCAACCAUGAGGGGGAUAGAGUACACCGGUGAAUACAUCGUUCACAACACCUACAGGUUAUGAGCCUGCUAGCGUUCCACAGGACUGACUAGAAAGAGUCUGUGGUCGUUAUCCAUACUCCGCUGAAUAACUAGAUCAACAACAACAACAUCGAGGCCUCUCAUCUGUUUAUCACACAUCAACUAUCUACCCAUGUUCUACCCAACAUAUUAGCAUAUAAAAAUAUAUAUUUUUAUACAUAGUUUAAAAACUAUAUAGCAUUCUCAUUCAAUACAUAUUCCAAUCAAUAGAUGAGACAUAUACACAUCGCACGUAUUUCAUAGAGAAUAAAUCAUAUCUAAGAGAUAGAAGAAAGUGAAUAUACAUUCACACAUAUAACAACAAAAUAUACACAUAACACGUAUUCUGUAUAAAAUACUUCAGAAUUAUGCGUUAGAAGAAAGUAACUACACACUCACUUGAUCAGAAGAUGCUCGGACAGCACUACAGCUCUAAGAGUAGUAUUCUUCGGUGAAACUGGGUUCACUUCACUCAUCGGACUUCUUAUGGGCAGAGCUUCGGCUCGGAAACUCUUUUCUUCGCGGGAUCUUCGAGCUUCUGGACUUGCUGCGGGUGUCGGGAUGAUACCGGGGCUUCGGGGGUACUUCUUUGCAUGUAAAUUGAGGUAAGAUGAGUGAGAGAGAAGAGAUUUGGCAACCACAAACGGCUGCCCCUUCAAAUCUAUUUAUAGGGCUGUUUUCUCAUUUUCCAUGUCGUGGGCACUUCUNUUCACAUCGUUACAUCAUCGCAAGUUGGGUCUGGUAGACUCCAGGAGUCGUCAAAAGACAUGCCACGUCGUGACCACUGAUUUCACAUCGUGGUCUCUGACAGUCUUGGAGUUUCGCGCCCCGAACUUCAGAAAUUCAUAACUUUAACAUACGAACUCCGUUUUCGACGUUCUUUAUAUCGACGCGUAGGUAAAAACAAGGUCCACAACUGUUAUUUAGACUUUGUAGGCUUAUUUUGACUUUAUUUUUAAUAUAUUAAUAAUAUACUAUUUUUAGUAGGCCGGGACAGGAAAACUCCGUUAGAAAUUCAUAACUCCUUCAUCUGACGUCUGUUUUCGACUGUCUUUUCACCGUUGGACUACUAUCGAUGAGAUCUUCGAUUCUCGUUUAGGUUGUUUCGGCUAAAUAUCGCUCAAUUUCAUAUUCGAACUUCGGGCUGUACACUGCUAAACCGAAACUUCGAAAAAUCAUAACUUCCUCAUACGAAGUCAGAUUUGCACAUUCUUUUUAUGCAUGCUCUCGGUUUAACGAACUCUACAACAUUCCUUUAGAUCACUAAGUCCAAAUAUUGCUCUAAUGUAAACUCACUAUUUACGUCUCGCUGUUUCGUACCGGUUCUGUCGCGAAACUUUGACAUGUUAUAACUUCUUCUUUAUAACUUGUAUUUCGGCAUUCUUUAUAUAUUCGGAAACCUCGUUUAAACUUCUACAACAUUAUCCAUAGAUAUCGACUUUAUCUAACAUUUCAUUUUGACGCUUAUUUUUAUUCUUAAUUAAAUUAAGACACACAAUUAAGCACAAAACACAUAAUACUCAAAUAAUACACUUCUGUUAUUUCAAAACGGGUUACAAAGAUUAACCUAGACUAUUAUAUCAACAUUAAUGACAAGCCCAUAAACACAGUCAUUACAAACGCUAGCAGGCUCAUAACCUGUAGGUGUUGUGAACGAUGUGUUUACCGGUGUACUCUAUCCCCCUCAUGGUUGCUUUUAGGACAUCUACUGUUGAGGAAACCCUUAGCAGUAAUGUCCGUACCGAUGAAAAUCCUAGAUUAGGUCCCUUGAGAUAGAUGUUGUUUUAGGGACGUAAAGUGAGGAUAACGGGAAUGGGUAAUCGGGUUAUUGUUGGUUGGUAAAAGUAAAUAUAAUAAUUUAUUGCGAGUUGAAAACCCUAUAUGCUCACCAGGCUCCCAAGCCUGACCCACUCAGUUUAUUUGUAUUACUAGUAGUGUCGCGAGGGCAUAAGAUGGAUGAAUCAUCAAGUUAUUUUAUUUAUUAGACCAGUUAUUAUAUGUAACUGUUGUAUGGUCUAUCUUUUGUAGUUUAUGCUUUUGUGUCUGUAUCGGAACAUGACAUCCCGAGUUUUGAUUUUAUAAUGAAAAUACAUUUUGUUAUGAAAUGCUUUGGUAAAUAUUAUUUUAUCAUGCUUUUUUUGGAACAAAUUCUGCAACAAUUUAAAAUCAAAAGGAUUUACUCUGAAAUUAUUUAAAAAAACAUAAAUGAAACUGGUCUUUUCUGACUGUGAUUUUGGGGAUGUCACACUGCGCCUAAUCGAGAACAUCAUAAUCCUGGCAGCUACGCCCAAAGGACAAUAUUAGCACUUGCGCCUAAUAGAGAAUAUUAUAAUUCUGGUAGUUGCGUCUAAAUGAUAAUGUUGGUAGUUGUGCUUAAUAGAUAACGUUGACAACUGUGUCAUUAGGAAAACGGUGGACUGCGUGCCUAUUCCUUAGGAAAAUCCUUAGGAAUGAAUGAGUUAAUGAUAAAUGAUUCUUAGGAUACAUCCUUAAGAAAUAACGAAGAUAAUGGGGAUGGAUAAUUGGGUUAAUUUUUUAAUGAUUAAACAUAAUUAUAUUAUUGUGGGUUGAAAACCCUAUGUACUCACUAGGUUUCCCAAUAUGACCCACUCAAGUUUAUUUGGAUCACAGGUGUCUAUACGAAGCUACUUUACACUGAGAGAUUAAGGAGACGUAAAUCACUAGUGUAAAUGAAUGGAAGGUCUGUUUAUGCUUAUAUUUAUGUAUUAACGAUGACGUCCUAAAGUUUUAAAAAGAAAUGAAAUACAUUUCUUCGAAAAUGCUUUGAUAACACAUUUAUCAUGUUUUUCUGGGAACAAAUUCCGCAACAUUUUUAUAAAAAGGGUACUCUCAUUUUUAAAUAAAGCAUAAACAAAUCGGUCUUUUCUGGCUGUGAAAAUGGGGAUGUCACAAUUGGUAUCAGAGCAUUAGUUUAAGAGAACUAAGAAUAAGGGUUUAUUUCUAGACUUAAACUUAGAAUGCUAAGCGAUGAUUAUGAGUUGAGUGUGUGAUGUUGCGCAUAAAAAAACACAAAGAUAACCAAGAAUGAACCUGUUGAUUCUAAAAGAAUAGCCAGGACAAUCUCUUCAAAACCACGUUGAUUCUACGAAUACUGUGGGAUUGGCUUCAAAAACUGGGUUAACACGCACAAAAUUUGGGAGAAAACUGAAAGUUCAUAAAAUUGAUGAUCGACCAUCCAAAUUACAUAAAAAACAGUUAAAUAAAAAGCAUAAAUUAAAAUGAAACCCUAAAAGUCCAUGGGCGAAAUACAAACCCAAAAAUUAAGGAAAAAUAACAAAAUUGUUCAUAACUCCAUUUAGAAAGCGAUUUCUGGACUCAAAAUGGGUAAGUCCCUUUCGGGGACUUAUCUAGAUGUGCUCCUUGCUCCAAGCUUCGACUUGACUGGUCGUAGGCCCAAAACGGAGACUCGUAGCCAAAGUUAUGGCCAUUUCCGUGAAGCCCCUUUAAUCACACGAUCGUGGGCCUCUAGGAAUGCAAUGGCCCGAUCCUCCACACUAGGGCCCGCAUCUGUGUGUCUAAUAUAUUUUAGGUAGUACACCUGAAUAGACACAGCCACUAUCUUAUUUUGGGAGGAUGCCUAAAAUGCUUUUAUGUGCUAAAUGAUUUGUGAUACUUUAUGAUGCUAUUGUUCGAUCAGAUAUAUGGUAUGUUGCCCACCGGAUCCAGAAACUUUAUGUGUUUAGAUUUCAAAAUGUUUAAUUACAGUAUUAGAACUGGCAUGUAACUUUUCGGAGUGAUAAGAAGAUUUACAUGUGGAUCGUAAAUAAAACCUUUCCUAUCUUAAUUAUCAUCAUUACACAUCAAACGUCUGAUUUGGUGUAUAGAUCAACAUGUUGAGAACUCGAAGCGGAUUAGGAGACGCUAAUGGAAAUGUUGAUCAACGGCCUAUGAUUUAACGUGCACUAAAGGUAGCAGCUACACCAUAGCCAAUCACAAUGGCAAGAGUCCAAGCAAUGAUUCAGGCUAUGAUAGCCAAACAAAGGGAGGAGAUGAGGCAAAUGUUGCUUAAUAGGGAUGAACCUACCAUGCUCAUUGAAUAACUAGAACUAAAUGAUGAACAGUUAGAGAAGGGAAUUACAGUAGAACCGUUGGUCAAGCUGAACUGCCAGUGGUUAGGAGGAAUAACCAAGAGGAAGGGAUCAAGAGAAAUAGAUGCAAGUAUAAGGAUUUCACAACUUGCAAACCAUAGAUUUUCACUGGGAAAGAGGAUCCAAAUCGGAGUUACAGACCGGAUCUCGGAGAUGGAUUUGGCUUUCAUAACAUGUAGAUUCAAAGGAAAGCUAAAAACCAUAUAUGCAGUGCGUCAGUUGAUGGGUGGAGUUGUUCACUAGUGGAACACUUUGGGAAAGAUCAUGAGUCCUAAUGAGCUGCUGCAACUGACGUGGGCAGAGUUCCUAGUGCAUUUCAAACGAAAGUUUUGCUCGGCCCAAAAUCUGUUGGAGCUAGAGAACCAAUUCCUAACAUUGAAGAAGGGCAUCAUGCCUAUUGACGAAUACAGCAAUGCCUUCACCGACAAGAUGGAAUUUUCUUUGCGCAUCGUCCCUGGCGAACUAACUAAAGUCGAUAAGUAUACAAAGGGACUACCAUGGGAAUAUGUUGUGCUAGUACGCCAGGCACCUACCAUCGAGGCGACUAUCUGGGCUGCUAAGUCUGUUGAAGAAAUGAUCAAGAGUAGGGCCACCAACAACGUCGAAGUUGGUGAAAGAGAAAGUUUGAAGGAUCUUCAAUGUCCAAUGAGAGGAGAAAAUGCUCGAAGUCUGGUUCGAAGAAGUUUGAAGGAGGAGGAGGUGAAGCAAGAUGGUGUGAUAAGUGCAAGAAGAAACACUUUGGAAAAUAUGGCAAGAAGGUGACUUGUUUCAAGUGUGGAAAGUCUGGGCAUUAUGCCGAUGAGUGUAUAUUCAACAAAAGGGUGUAUUACGGAUGUAAUGAAGAAGGGAAUUCAAGCUGGACUGCCCAAAGAGGGAAGGAGCUACAAAGCAAAAUGCACCGCCAAAGCCGAAGGCAAAAACAUUCCAUAUGAUCCUUAAUGAAGCAGAUGAUAAUGCAAGGAAUCAAGAAUGAGGACUGAUACCCGAAGAUCAAGUUAUGAAGUAGCCAUGCAGAUAGUAUCAGGAGGUGUAGCCUAUUAGAGGCAUAUUAUAGGUUGAACUUUAACAUCCAUGUAAUCAUUUCAAGAAGUAAUAUAAGCCUUGGUUUUGUUAUCUGGUGCGUUAAGUUGUUAUGUGAUUUUCAAGUAUGGUGACUUGGAAAACUGCGAGACAAUACUUGGGACAAGUAUGAGUAUAUGUGAAUGGUAGUAGAGGCCUAUACUACCAGAAGCACAGGACUCGCACUUGGAUUAGGGAAAGUCACAAGGUUACCAAGGCACUAGUAAUUGAUUCUUUUUUGUUCAUGUUUGUCGUCACCAUCGUUUCGGUAAUGACUAAGAAGAUGAUUGUUAGUCCAACCCUAGUGGUCAUAUCAAAUCGAGUCCGACUAAGAUGAAUAUGUUGCGUGGUUCAAAAAACCAAGGUCGAUGUUGCAUCUGACUUAAGCCAGACGAUUGAAGUGAAAGAUAAUCGAACCGAUCAAUAGAAGUAUCGUAACCUUUGUUAAGGUAAGAAGCUUGUAGCUAGAAGUGCUACAUGCUAGAAUAUGAUUAUAUCACAUUAGAACAUGAAGGAAGGUAUAUUUUGUUCUAUAGUUUGACUCUAAAAGACCUAAGUCUAAGUGUUGCAUCAUACGAUAAGAGGUCAUUACAACAUGACCCAUCGGUUUAUUGUGGUAAUCAAAUAACUUCUCUUAAUAUAAGUAUGUUUAACAAGAAGUAGGAGUCUCUGAUUUGGAUCGAUUUUGUAACUCGAAGGUUACGAUUGGAAGUCCAACAUAGGAUAAAGAACGGGUGCAAGAUUGAGUACCUCCUGCGGUCAAGAAGUCCAAGAGUUUGAUACUCAUUCGAAGGAACAUAAAAGUUACGAUUAUUACCUAAUAUGAAGAGAUAACAUAAGGAUUCAUUAUACAAGCCCUAUUUUGUUGAUUAUUCUGGGACGUAAUCAUCCUAAGGAGGAGAUAACUGUAACGCCCGCAGAUUCAGGCUAGUCAAUUAGAGAUAUUGAGCGUCAAAAAUGACAUUUUUAUGGGAGUUUAUUUAGAAGAAAUAAUCUUAACCUAGUAAUAGUAUAUGUCACAAGGGUUCCGUACAUAUAAAGAACGCCGAAAUCCGAGUUAUAACGAAGAAGUUACGACCCGACGAAGUUCUACAGCAAAACCGGCACGACACCGCGUAACAUAAAAAGUGAAUUUUUGAUAAAUUACUUUUUAGCCUUAGAGAUAUAAAUGAAAGUUAUAAUAUAGGUUAAACCGAUAGCAUGCAUAAAAAGAACGUCAAUAUCUAACUUCGUAUGAGGAAGUUAUGAUUUUUCUAAGAUUUCGCAAAGUAGUAUACAACCCGGAAUUCGAAUUUCAGAUCGAGCGAUUUUUAGCCAACACAACCUAAAUGAAAAUUGAAUAUCUCAUUAAUAGGAGUUCAACGAUAAAAAGACAUUAAAAAUGGAGUUCGAAUGUACAAGUUAUGAAUUUUACACGGUCAUUAACAAUGUAAUCUUCUCAUACUAGUAAAUUUAAAAUCGGUCGAGAGUUAGCUGUUUGAGUCAAAAGGAGAGUUGUAGAUCAUGUCAAUACCUAUGCGUGGAUAUAAAUAAUGUCAAAAAUGGAGCUCGUAUGCAAAAGUUAUGAAUUUUUGAAAAUUGGUUGUUUUACCUGCGUCCAGCACCACGUGUCAGCACCAAGCGAAGCCAUGGUGCCUACGCAAGGCCACGACGUGGAUUGGCUCCAGAUAGCCUAUAAAUAGAGGCGGAAAUCAUCCGUUUUCUUCACACCUUCACCCUUCUUUCUCUCUCAACGCUCCUAAUCUCUCCCUCCCAAUCCCUAGCAACUUCUAAGUGCUCCGAGAAGAAGAUCUUUCGGCUCAGAAGUUCCACCCCCGCAUAGCCCGGUUCCUAGCCAAACCCACGGUAAGUUAGUUAUGAUUACCCUACUUUAAGUAUAACUUAUGUUUGAGUUUAUUAUCAUUAUUAUGAACUUAUAAACAAGAUUUAUCAAUGAUUCCAAGUAGUUAUAUUGAUUGAUCUACUUAUGGGGAUAAUGUCUAGGCUGUGAUUUUGUGAGGUGUUUAAAGUGGGGUUUCCAAAUAGUAUACUUCGUAUACCAAACGAACCCUACCUCUGAUAUGAUCCUACCUGGUUGCUCUUUACAUGAUAGAUCAUGAAAGUAGACUUUGAGUUAAUGAUGAAUCUAGACUAAUAAUUAGUUGCAAUAAAGAUUAGACUAAAACUUAGCGAUAAUAAUGUUAGGUUUCGUCGAAGGAAGAUAGAAUCGUUAGAAGUGAAGCGUUUCUCGACUUUGGAAUUAUCACUUUGAAAAGUGAGUGCAUAGUUACUUUCAUCUUACACAUUGAUAUGAAGUAUUUUAUAUAAAUUACGCGCUAUGUGUGCAUGUUAUCUGUUUACUUGAUAUAUAUGAUAAAUGAACGAUCUUAUACAUGUACUCUAAACAUCCUAGUAGCUGUGCUCAAAGUGUAGUAUCGGUAGCUGUGCCGUCACACCCCCAAACCAGAACGACGGAAACGUUCAGGGGCGGAGGACGUCAUGUAUAGUAUCAUAACAAUGCAUAAUAGUAAAACAAGCAACAACAUCAUCCAUUGAAUUAAUGAUAGAAUUUAUACAUGUGUGUUCUUUGUAAAGUUGUAAGACACCAAAAAUAUAUAAUCAAAAUAAAGACGAGUCUUGAAUACGCUCUGUCUCCUCAAAACCUGGUCAUCGAUACAUGUCUACUGGUGACCUAAGAAUACAAGUUAUUUUGAAAGAGUAGAUCAACAUUUAAGCUGGUGAGUUCAUAAGUAUAUUAGUGUCAAAAAUUUUCAUCUGUUUCAUGAAAAUGUUUGUAAGUAUUUAGAUGUAAAUGUUUGUAUGCUUCCAAGAAAAUCCUAUAUUUUCUACUAAAAUGAAAAGUAGUCUUCUUCCAAGACUCAACUGUUUUGUAUGUUUGUUUUCUCGUAAAAAUUGAUGUAAGAUGUAUGUUUGUACUUGUAAUAGUAUAAAUGUGGGUUUUCCAUAUUUUUUUAAAACUUUCUAUACACGAAAAAUAGUAUGCAUUUCUUACGUGAGAAUAUCACUGUGUGAAUAUGAUGGAAAAAUGACGAUAUUCAGUAGUGUUGUAUAAAAUAUCUACUGAAGCACUAACUACCUUAAAGCAAAUUGUUAAUUAAGGUAAAACGUGAUGAGGUUAUAACCAUGCUUGAUUGACUUGUAUAAAACACAACGAUCAAAAUACAUCGAAAUGGUAUGACAUUUGUCACUUGUAGACCUGUAGGUCCCAUUGUAGCUAGCAACAAGGUUUAGGAUGGUCAAUCCAGUAUAGAUCUAUACACAAACUCACGCUCUCCCUCCAAGAGACUCUGGUUACAAAGCGUGACACAACAAGUAUAUUGAUAUGCCAUGAAGUAGUGGCUCACAUUAAUGUUAUCUUGUUCUAGUUAUAGUAUGUAUGUUCCUUUCUGUUCUAGUUAUAGUAUGUAUGUUCCAAUCUGUUCUAGUUAUAGUAAGUAGUAAUACUCUAAACUAUACCUAUUAUAGUUUACUAGUAUGAUUGUUUGACUGUUACUAAUUUGCAGAAAAGUCUCAAUUACUCACAUAAGCAACUAACUUAAGUAUGUAACUUAAAAAUGGGUUUAAUAUUCAUAUAUGUAUUUAAUAAGCAUAACUAUGAUUUUGCUGACAUUCGAACUAGUGAUCCUACCCUAAGCCCACAACCAAACAAAGAAACAGGAGUUAAGGUAUCUCGCAGUAGUCCUAAGCCCGUUAAAGCAUACUUACACGUAAACAGAUAGACGAAUAUGAUUUGAUAUAAAAGAAGUUUAUAAAAGAUUUAAAAGAGUUUUAACAAGUUUUGAGUAUAAGAAAUCCCUUUGGAUGUUGUUUUCACAUGUAAAUGGUUAACAAAAUUUAAUUGUGUUCUACUUGUUAUCCCCCAUAAAAGCAUUUAAAAGGUAUUUAAAAGUGUAUUGUAGGGGUAUGAACUCAUAUGUAGUGAGUGAUUCGAAUGAAAGAUCGAUAUAGGAUGAUAAGUAUGCCAAGUGAAGUAUCGAGCACAAACGGGUCCUAUUAAGCAUAUAAUAACACAUAUAUGUAUACAAUUAGUAUAUAUAACAACUAAAAUGUAAGGGAAACAACCUUAGGAACUAGGAAACACUUUGAAUGAAGUGUUAGCAUCACAAAUGAUUGGCUGAAAGGUGUUCACGACUAAACAAGGGGUGUUCACGGCCUUAGGAGGGUACAUGUCCAUAGAACGCAUGAUGUGUUCACGGACCAAGGUUGAUCUUAUGAAGGUUUCACGGUCCUAUGAUGCAUCUAUGAAGGGUUCAUGGCCCUAUGAAGGGUUCACGGUCGUGAACUCUUGAAGAUCUUGCAAAUAAGUGUUUGUUUCAUGGGUGGAAUCAAGUGUUUCUAAGGGACAACAAGAUGAUGGAUGAGAUACUUAUGUUUUGGAAGCCUUUAGAAGUGUUCACAGUUGAAGAUAGUUGAGAGAGAAGUGGUGUUCACGGCUAGGGUUUAAAGAAAUGAAGAAAAAUGAGCCAACUCCUUAUAUAUAAGACUUGUUCACGGCCAAGGAUGGGUACACGGCCAUGAACCUAGAUGUGGCCGUGAACUCCUUUUGGUGGUGUUUCCGGCUCGAUUGCAACUCAAUGAACUCAAGCUAACACUUCCUAACUCACAAUCCUUGAGUGUACUAGGCUUAGAAAUUCUCAAACAUACCCUUAACACAACAUAAAGGUAACAGAAACAAGUCUGACUUUAGAUUGAAUUGAUUGACUUUACAAGAUAGAAAUUCCAGGUUGUCGCAUGUGCCUAAUAGAAAACAUCAUAACCCUGGCAGCUACGCCCAAAGGACAAUAUCGACUGUUGUGCCUAAUAGAAAAUAUCAUAAUUCUGGCAGCUGCUCCUAAAUGAUAAUAUUGGCAGCUAUGCUUAAUAGAUAAUGAUGAUAUAUGGUCCAUUAGCAUGGCCUAGACUGCUCUAGCGCGCCAUAUGAUGCGACAUCGGCUCCGACCACCUGCUCUAAGGAGAUGCUUCUGCACCAGAGAUAGAUCUGUGAGGUCACAACAAACAAGACCGUUAGAGCUGCCCCAAAGACUGUGCCCUGGGAGAGAGCUCCGACGGUCAAGUUAGAUCAUUUGGUAGAUCUGAGAUGGAUCUCUUUAGCUAGAGAGGAUCAUCCUUGUGUUGGUGGUGUUGUAUGGUGGUUGACGGCGGCGGGUGCCGGCUGAGCCACCCGGCCAAAGUAUAGGGCGGCGGCUGAGCCAAGGGGAAGAUCCUAAUGGUGGCAGAACCACCUAGGAAAGAGUCCUCCUUCAUGAAGGAGGCACUAUUCUAUUUAUAGGGGGACAACUAGGUCAAGGGGAAUUAGGUCAGGCCUUGGGCCAACCCAAUUCAGGCCCAGCUAGCAAGGAGCUGGGUAAGGCCGCCCGGAGGCGCCGCGCGGGACUUANUGACGGGCGCGUACCAGGAAAGGACGGCAAGGGUGCGCCAGGAAAGGGAGCGUCAGGUCGGGCCUGCAAGAGAUUCCCCAGCAAGGCUGGCAAGGGAGUCCCCAACAAGGUUGUCAAGGGAAUGCCAGGAGAGGCUGGCAGGAGCGCGCCAGGCCAAGAUGGCGCGCUAGAGCAGUGUAGGCCAUGCUAAUGGACCAUAUAUCAUUAGAUAACAUUGACAGCUGUGUCAGUAGGAAAAUGAUGGACUUUAUGCCUAUUCUUUAGGAAAAUCCUUAGGAAUGAAUGAGUGAAUGAUAAAUGAUUCUUAGGAUAGAUCCUUAAGAAAUAACGAAGAUAAUGGGGAUGGAUAAUUGGGUUGAUUGUUUAAUGACUAAACAUAAUUAUACUAUUGUGGGUUGAAAAACAUAUGUACUCACUAGGUUUCUGAACCUGACCCACUCAAGUUUAUUUGUGUGACAGGUGUCGAUACGAAGCUACUUUACACUGAGAGAUUAAGGAGAUGUAGAUCACUAGUUAAAAUGAAUGUAAGGUCUGUUUAUGCUUAUGUUUCUGUAUUGACGAUGACAUUCCAAAGUUUUAAAAGAAAUAAAAUACAUUUCUUCGGAAAUGAUUUGAUAACACAUUUAUCAUGUUUUUCUGGGAACAAAUUUCACAACAUUUUUCUGGCAUCGGGCCUCGCCCGGUAUACAAAUAACAUAUAAGCACAUGCAUAAAAAUCACUUAAACACAUGCAUAAAAAUCACAAUGAUAAAUAGCAUACAAUAUAAUCAUUACGCCCCGCCCGGUAAUCAUAUAAACACAUAACACAUGCAAGAGUAACACAUACAACUAGUAAGGAAACUCACCUCAAGCUGCAAAAUCACUCGGAUAAAAUCUCAAUCUGUUGGUCCGGAAGAUCCUCGCGCUAACCUCAUAAUAUAAAUAUCCAAUUAAUAAUUGGAUCUCGACCCAUAAUAACCAAUCUAAGUUCCUUUUCCAAUAUCCAGGGUAAAAGAUUGUUUUACCCUUUUUCUUACAUGGCCCAAAACCAAGGCCCAAUCCAUUGCUCAAAAGGGCUAAAUUCCAAAAUGGCAUCCAUAGGCCCAAUAAGGCCCAACUUCCAAAUUGGGCUGAAAAUCAUCAUGGACCUAAUCCCAUGAAAGUCCAUAGUCUAUCCAUGACCCAAAGUCAAAAUUCUAAUGACCUAACAAGGCCCAAAUCUUAAAAACCCAAAAUAUGGCCAAAACCCAGGGAAGUCAAACCAAAAGUCAACCUACUGUACGCUUAGCAUACUCCUUCCAGGGCAAGUAUGUGCAUCGUACCAACUGGGUAUGCCCAACGUACUCCCCAGAUUAUCAACCCAACCCAUUAAUAACUUAAUUGGUUAAGCCAACAUGCUAAACUCUCAGAUCUGGUUCUAAAUGGCGACUUACUAUGUAAAGUUGACAACUUUACACCCAUGCAUGAAUUAAUGGGGCCCAACACUAAAAAAGAAGCUUAAUAAGACUCUUAACACUUGCAUGGAAUAAUAUCUUACAUAAAGUUUGCAUUUUUAUGGGCAAAGGACCUCAAAUCAGCGAAGAUCUAACAUCCAUAGCUUCUGGAGUGGACCAUAACUUCAUAUAUGACUUAAAAGACCCAAAAACGCAUAAAUAUCACCAUAAAAUGGAUCUAGCACAAAGGACCAUCCAGAUGAGAGAUUUUUACCUCAAAAGGCUUGCUAAGGUGAAGAUAACUCUAGAUCUACAAGAUUAAGCUACUCCCAAGAAACCUCGAAGUGUUCCUCGUUUUCUUCUUCUUCACCACAAAACACCAACAAACUCACUUUCAAGCUCAAAUCUGACCAAAUACACUUAGGGUUUCGAUAUUGUGACAUAGGGUGAUGGAGGCUGAUCAAUAAAAUGUCCAAAGGUGGUUUAAGAUGUUUAAGUAGGCUGCAAACCCUAAAAAUUAGGGUUUGCCCCUGCUCUACGUAUGUCAUGCAUACUCUACGUACGCCCCACAUACGUGGGUGAAUCUUGCGUCCAGAAAAUAGAUAGUAUGAUAAGCGUACUCAUAGAGUAUGCCCUGUGUACUAGCUAUGGACCAAAAUGAUAAGGAUUUUGCAUUAAGGGGUUAGAAAGAAACUUACCAAAUUACGAAUGUUACAAUUCACUUUAAUCAGAAUUUGUCCUUGAAGUAUGCUGCUCCAAACAACUUUGGGUAGUGCUCUCUCAUCUCGUCCUCCGGCUCCCACGUCCAUUCUGAACCCUUUCGAUGCUGCCACUGAACUUUCACCAAUUCAACAACCUUGUACCUCAAGGCUUCGUCUUCCUGUCAAGAAUUGUUACCGGUCUCUCGAUAUAAUUCAUGCGAUCAUCCACUUAAAUAUCCUCUAAUAGAACCACCACGGAAUCAUCAAUUAAACAUUUUUGUAACUGAGAGACAUGAAAUAUGCUAUGGAUCAUACUAAGAUCCUCGGGAAGAUACAAGCGAUAAGCAACCCGAACCACCCGUGUGAUAAGUCCAUUUUAUGAAUGUACUAAAUUGUCAUAAAUCUGUUGAAUUGAUGUAUAAUUGUCCAAGAAUGGCACUACAUUGCUGAGUUAUUGAACUUCAUAUGCAGGUCAAUAUAUUGUACUAAAAGUGGGUGGAACCUACAAGUAAAACGGAUUGUUAAAGGAAUGAAGAAACGUUGCUGGGAAAAUUGACCAUUCUUCAAUGUUUUGGUCUAAUCUCAAGUUCUGGAGCUCCGAUUGACAUGAGUAUAGAAGUUCUGGAAACUAGACAAGAUUUUCUACAACUUUCGUGUUUUGUGCUUCUGCUAGUUAUGUCGUUUUGACUACCAAAACUUGCACAGAAGAUGAAGGACACCUCCAGACAUCUAAGACGUCCAGGUCAAACAGCCAACAUCUGGUCGUUAUUUCAGAGCAGAAAAGAAGGAAGAACCCCGUCAGCAUCUAACAUGGAAUCUAAGAUGUCCCCUAGGAUGUCUUGGCAUUUUAGGGACGUCCCGUGUUGGAACGGUGUGUUUAGGAAAGUUUAGAAAACAAGGCACGACGUCCUAGAACGCAUCUAAGACGUCUCCUAAGACGUUUGACGUUUUUGGCCAUUUUUUAGUAUAUUUCAAGGACGUACAAAGAUCGCUUGGGCGUUAUACACGACGUCUAAGAUGUCUCCUAGGACGUCCAACGUCCCACAUCGCCCAAUUUCAUUAUUUUUUAUCCCACACUAUAAAUAGGAGCCUAUUUCGUUGGUUAAAAUUCGGAUUCAAAGCAAGAUUCGAUUCAAUUCAUCAUCAAGCUAUAAGUGAAGAUCAUUUCAUUGGUUAAUUUUCAUCAAUUCUUUAUUUUCCAGAAUUAUUUCUUCUUCCCCAAGGUUUAUUUGUUCUACACUUCGAUAAUCAUUAGGCUACAUUUGUUUGAUGAUUCUACGUUUGUUUAUGAAUUCUAUAAUGGAUUUUAUUCAUUUUAAUCAAGUUAUUUGUCUUAUGAACUCAAUGGAAGGCUAAAUCAUUAGGGUUACUUCCGGGGAUGUUUAGGACUUUUUGAUGAACACACUUGAUUAUUACUUGAUUCUAGUUAAUUUCAAUUGUUGUUUUAUGCUUCAUGUGAUGAUCUUUUGGUAAUGAUAAUUGAAAUUGGGUUGUAUGAAUUGUUUGAUGUCAUAAUUAAGAUAGUCUAUUGUCAAUUCAUCAUUUGUUCCAAGUUCACAUAGUUUAGGAAUAAAGACAAGUGAUUGAAUCAACAUAUAUUAUUCCAACUUAUGAUAUUGAAUCUUAAUGCGGUAAUAGGUACUUGUAAGAUAUUUUAUUGCUAGUCCACUAAUUGUUCUUAAUCCAUUGAGGCAUAAAGGAGUAAGACAACUAGUUAAAUGAACAUUUAGUAUGCCCAAACUAUGUAUUACAAGUUAAUAAAUCCCAAUUGUAUCUAAGUAAUUGAAUUAGGAUUUAAGGGAAGAAAGUGUGUGAAUUUAAACUGUCCAUAACUGAACCGGGAGUACUCUAGUUUUCUCAUUGAGAUUUUCGUUGUAAUUAAUAAAUUUCCAUGCUUUUUGUUUGAUCUUUGCGUUAAAUUCUUUUUCGUGACAAUUGCUAGUAGCUUUUUUUCGUUGACUAUUUUAACACAAAGUUUGACAACAAACUCCCUGUAGAUUCGACCCUUACUUACCCUAGCUAUCUAGUGGUUUUGAGGUUAUUUUUGAUUGAUACAACGACAUCAAUCAUAAUUUGGCGCCUUUGUCGGGGAGAUUGUGCGCUUGAGCUAUUGUUUUUAAGUAGUUAUAGCCUUUUACUUUCAUUUUCAAUUCUCGUUUGUAGUUCACAUUUUGUUUUAUUUGUGUUGUGCAGGCACACUGGUGCAUGCAUACAAGACAUAGCAGACGCUCUUCACCGCUUGCAUUUGAUCCGGAAAUCGAACGAACAGCUCGCUCAAAUCGGGUCGCCAGAAGGAACAUCAACACUAUGAGUGUAGAUAAUGUUGUCGUGGAAGAUGUGGUUGAAGGGCAUGAGGAAGAAGCCAACAAUCCUCCACCACUAGUUCCACCACCAGCUCCUCAAUUCCCAAACAACAACAAUGGGAAUAACAACAAUGCCGGUGCACCAAUCAUCCAACCAGUGCAACCAUAACUGAAUAGAAACAACCGUGGCCAAAAUGGUGGAAACGGAGGAAAUUGGGCAUAGAAUAUGGGAGGCAAUGUAGGAAACCACACUGGUGGUAAUGUUAGAAAUCAUAACCAAAAUCCUAGAAAUGUUGGUCCUCAAUUCGGUAAUGGUGGUAAUGGUGGUAACGAGGAUGAUUGGGAUUUUGACGAUGGAAGUUACAACGGACUUGGUUGGAAUCAUAACCACAACGGUGGUAAUAGGCGGAAUCAAGGAAAUCGGGGUGGAAACGGGUACUAAAACAAUAACUGGAACAACCUGAAUUUCCCUAAUGGUGGCAACAAUUACUACAAUGAUGGGUUCGGAAAUCAAGGCUUUGGGAAUCAAUAUCGAAGGAAUCCAAAUGGUGGAUUCAACAAUGCGAAUGGAGGAUACUAAAAUGAAGGUAAUCAAUUCCCUCAUCUUUACUUUCUGCAGCCUAAUAGACAAUCUGUGGCGUCUCAUUUUCAGCCGAGAGAGUAUGAUGAUGCUUCACCCAUACUCUUCGCAGAAGUAAAUGAGCAUCAUGUAGAAGUAAGACCACAACUAAUUAGUGUCUUACCCGUCUUUAGAGGCCAUAAAACUAAUGAUCCAUACAAUCACCUCUAUGAGUUCCUUGCAAUUGCUAACGCGAAUACUCCGCGAGGAACUAAUAGAGAUUCAUUUAGACUUCUCUUAUUUCCGUUCACUUUAAAAGAAAAAGCUAAGUAUUGGUUCACUUCUCUUGCCCCCAUAGUAUCACUACUUGGGAGCAAUUAAAAACUAAAUUUUUGCAAGAGUUUUACCCAGCUAGUAAAACAACGGAAAUAAGAAAAGCCAUAGAAGAUUUUGCACAAAAACCCAAAGAAGAAUUUCAUGAUGCAUUUGAACGCCUCAAGGAAUUGUUCCGUUCAUGUCCCUAUCAUGAAUUUCCCCGUUGGCAACUGGUAGGUUUCUUUUAUGAUGGAGUCGAUACUGCCAAUCAAAGCAUGAUUAAUGCCUCGUCCGGCGGCAUUAUUAUGAUACAAGAUAGUGAAGACGCUUGGCGAUUCUUAGAGUAGUUGAGUCAUGGUUCAAAAACCAAUUACUCAGCUAAGAAACGGGACAAUCCAGUUUCAUCUGUUGCUUCAGUUGGACUAGACAAAAAACUGGAAAAAUGAAGUCAAAUCUGAUAUUAAUUCUUUAAAUAAAAUUUUUGACUUACUACUCUCUAGUCUAGGCAAAAAGAAAGGUGUGUUUUUUCGCAGGGACAGAAGAUAUGUGUAAGCUGUGGAGAUUCAUGACACAUUGCAGAUGAGUGCAUGAGAAUUCAAGAGGAAAUCAAUCAAGUGCAUGGUUAUGGUCAAUUCCAAAAUAAUCCACGAUCAUUCAAUCGGAACUACAUCCAAGGCGGGAACUACAACAACAUUGGGAUUUUCAACAACAACAACCGUCAAGGGAAUUACCAAAACCAAAAUCAGCCAAAACAGUUCCAGCAGUCCAACUUUAACCAAGGUGGAACAUCAAAGAAGGAGGAAAAUGAUGGCAACAAGUUGGACAAAAUCAUGGAGUUCAUAACCUAAACAUAUCAGAAAACCGACACUAACUCCAAGUCUAUAGCUGCUAUUGAGAAGCAAAUUGCUCAACUGGCGGAGCAAAUUGGGAAAAGAGAAGAUGGCAAGUUUCCAAGCACCACAACAGUGAACCCAUCUCAUACCCAGAGACCCCGAAAAGAGCAUCAAGUGAACGAGGUAAUUACCUUGUGUAGUGGAAAAAAGGUUGACAACAAGGUAAGUGCUUCUACAUUAGAUAAUGACAGUGACACUGAAGUCAUCUUUGAUGAAAAAGAAGAGUUUGAGAAAGAUUUUAAAUCCGAAAAACAAAAAGAAGAUAAGGUUAAAAAUGACUCUAAAGUUGGGGAGCAUGGUGUGGAGGUUAAUACCGCACCAUACCCUUCGGCUUUAGAGAAGCCGGCAUCCUUCCCUUUUGGGAAGCGAGGGCUAAAAAUGGAAGACAUGUGAGAUCUAUUUAGUCAAGUUAAAAUAAAUAUCCCAUUAGUCAAACUUAUUAAGGAGGUACCUUCUUAUGCUAAAUUUUUGAAGGAUUUGUGUGUUCAAAAACGCAAACUCCAAGCAUACCUCCCUAAAAAGAUUGAUUUAGUCAAGCAUGCGAGUUCGAUAAUAUCAAAUAAACUUCCACCCAAGCUUAAGGAUCAUGGAGCACCUUUAAUUUUUGUUACGCUAGGUAACAUUAAUAUAAAAAAGGCGCUCCUUGAUCUUGGAGCUAGUGUUAAUAUAAUCCCGGGAAAUUUUUUUGAUCAACAUGACUUAGGCACUUUGGAACAAACUGAUAUUAUUUUACGAUUGGCCGAUAAGUCAACAAAAAUUCCUUGGGGAAUAUUAUCAGAUGUUAUUAUUAAGGUGGGAGAUUUCUAUUACCCAGUUGAUUUUCUUAUGCUUGACACCGUGAGCACUUAUAAAGAAAGUCAACCUUCUAUUAUUUUAGGUCGUCCGUUAUUGACAGCAAUAAAUGCACAAAUUAAUUGUAGAACGGGUGCAAUGGAUAUCUCUUUUGGAAAUAGGAAACUUAGAAUUGAUAUUUUUAAUACGUUUCCUAACUCACCAUCAGAUUAUGAAUGUUAUCAUGUGGAUGUGGUUGAUGACUUAGUGCAUCAAUUCACUCUUAAAAUCUUACACCCUGAUCCAUUGGAGUUUUUUCUUUCUAAUGACAGGGACGAAGUUUUAGAGUUGGAUGACAUCAAGAUGGUUGAGGAGGCAUUUGAAAAUGUUAUUGAGCAAGAGAGGCCACCAUGGAGUUAUCAAGUUGAAAAAUUGCCAACAAGUUUUUCGGACCCACUUAAGCCAUCUUUGGAGGAGCCACCCAGUCUUGAACUCAAAACUCUUCCUUCACAUCAUAGAUACUCUUUUUUAGGAUCUAAGGAGAACUUACCAAUUACCAUAUCUUUUGAUUUGACAUGUCCACAGGAGGAAGCAUUACUGAAGGUGCUUUCGAAGUACAAGGGAGCAAUUGGAUGGACCAUAGCAGACUUGAAGGGAAUUAUUCCAGCCACAUGUAUGCAUUGAAUCAUCACUGAAGCUAGAGAAAAGCCAUCCCGAGAUGCACAACGAAGGCUCAACCCGAAUCUGCGAGAAGUUGUUAAAAAGGAGGUGUUGAAAUGGCUUGAUGCGGGUAUUAUCUACCCAAUAUUUGAUAGUGAUUGGGUGAGCCCGACACAGACAGUGCCAAAGAAGUCGGGCGUUACAGUGGUAGAUACAGAAGAUGGAGAGAAGAUCUCAACAAGAUCGGUCACCAGAUGGAGAGUUUGCAUCGACUAUCGCAAACUCAAUGCUGCAACAUCAAAUGACCAUUUCCCUCUCCCUUUUAUUGAUCAAAUAAUUGAGAAAUUGUAUGGUAAAAAGUUUUAUUGUUUUUUGGAUGGAUACUCGGGGUAUAAUCAAAUUGCCAUCCACCCCGAGUAUCAAUCCAAAAUGACAUUCACGUGUCCAUAUGGCACCUUUGCUUUCCGAAGGAUGCCAUUCGGCUUGUGUAAUGCCCCUGCCACAUUUUAAAGAUGUAUGAUGGCUAUUUUUUUAGACGUGGUGGGGGAUGCAUUAGAAAUUUUCAUGGAUGAUUUUUCUAUUUUUGGAUCAUCUUUUGAGACAUGCUUAGACCAAUUAGAAAAAGUUUUGAAACGUUGUAUUGACUCUAAUUUGGUUUUAAGUUGGGAGAAGAGUCAUUUCAUGAUAAAAUAGGGAAUUGUACUUGGCCAUGUUGUCUCCGAGCAUGGCUUUGAAGUCGACCGGGCCAUAGUACAAAUUAUUUCUACUCUUCUCCCACCAACUUCAGUAAAAGGCGCCCGUUCUUUUCUUGUACAUGCCGGCUUUUAUCGAAGAUUUAUCAAGGAUUUUAGUGCAAUGUCAAAACCUCUUUGUAAUUUACUUUUAAAAGAUGCACCAUUUUCCUUUGAUAAAGCAUGUCUUGAAUCUUUUACCACAUUAAAGAACAAACUUGUUGAAGCUCCUAUCUUGCAAUCACCCGAUUGGACUUUACAUUUUGAAAUUAUGUGUGAUCCAAGUGAUUACGCGGUAGGGGCAAUUUUGGGACAACGGGUGAAUAAAAAACCCAUUGCAAUUUGUUAUGCGAGCAAAAAAAUUUCGGAUGCACAAUUGAAUUACACUACUACCGAAAAAGAGUUGCUUGCGGUCGUGUUUGCACUUGAAAAUUUUAGAUCUUACAUAUGGGGAUCUAAAGUUGUAAUUUUUACCGACCAUAGUGCCAUUCACCACCUCUUGGAAAAGAAGGAUGCCAAACCACGUCUCAUAAGAUGGAUCCUUCUUCUUCAAGAGUUUAAUCUUGAAAUUCAGGACAAAAAGGGUUCUGAAAAUGUUGUGGUGGAUCAUUUAUAUAGAAUAACUAAUAAUGAUAACUCAACGAAAGUUAUUCAAGAAAACUUUCCAGAUGAGCAUAGUCUUGUUGUCAAAACUAUACCAUGGUUUGCUAAUUUAAUUAAUUACUUUGCGACAGGGGAAACUCCAUUGUAUUGGAAUGCUCAACAAAUGAGGUUCUUCCACUCUCAAACAAAAUACUACAUAUGGGAGGACCCAUAUAUUUUCAAAAUUGGAGCAGAUCAAGUGAAUAGGAGAUGUGUACCACAUACAGAGCAAGAAGACAUUCUUCGACACUGCCAUUCAUAUACAUGUGGAGGGCAUUUUAGUGCCAAAAGGCAGGGCAUCGGGUUCUACAAAGCGGUUUUUUCUGGCCCUCUAUUUUUAAAGAUGCACAUACAUUCGUUAAAGCUUGUAUUCGUUGCCAACAAGUUGGGGGGAUCUCAAGACGGGACAUGAUGCCAAUGACCCCAAUUUUAGUAGUUGAAAUCUUUGAUGUAUGGGGCAUUGAUUUCAUGGGUCUGUUCCCCACUUCUUUUGGCAAUCUAUACAUUCUUGUAGCCGUUGAUUAUGUAUCAAAAUGGCUCGAAACCGAGGAUACACACACGAAUGACCAUAGUGUUGUUUGUAAAUUUGUUAAAAAGAACAUAUUUUCUACACACGGAAUCCCUCGAACUAUUAUUAGUGAUGGGGGCUCCCAUUUUAAAAAUUGGCAUUUUGCAAAGUUACUUAAACACUAUAGUGUCACACAUAUGAUAGCUACUCCAUAUCACCCACAAACAAAUGGACAAGUAGAAGUGUCAAAUAGGGAAAUAAAACGAAUCUUGGAGAAGACUGUUCAUCCCGACCGAAAAGAUUGGUCAUUAAGAUUAGAUGAUGUGUUAUGGGCAUAUCGAACAACCUAUACGACGCCCAUUGGAAUGUCUCCGUAUCGGCUUGUUUAUGGAAAGCCAUGCCAUCUCCCGGUGGAGUUAGAACACCGUGCCAUGUGGGCCAUAAAAAAUGCUAACUUUGAAUUGAGUGAUGCAGGUAUAGAAAGGAAACUCCAAAUUGUUGAAUUGGAAGAGAUUCGAAAAGAAGCUUACGAAAGCUCAAGGAUCUAUAAAGAAAAGACGAAGGCAUUUCAUGACCGACAUAUUGUCCGAAAACAAUUCGUUAAAGAACAAUUGGUGUGGCUAUUCAACUCUCGUCUCAAACUCUUCCUCAGAAAGCUUCGGAGUAAAUGGAAUGGACCUUUUGUGGUGAAAAAUGUGGCGGAUCAUGGAUCUAUUGAAAUCAAGGACACGAAAGGCAGUGAACCAUUCAAGGUAAAUGGACAAAGACUCAAACCUUAUAUUCGAAUGGUAAAUGGUGAAACAACAUUCGUUGAGAAAACAACGCUCAAGGCAACACAAUAUUUAGAAACAACUUAGUCGAGGUAAACCGUCCGGCUGAAGACAUAAAACUUACCGCUUUUCGGGAGGCAACCCGUGGUUUGGUGUGUUUUUACUUCUAUUCUUCUUUUGGUGUGUUUUAAUUCUUUUCGUAUCGAGGACAAUCCAAGGUUUAAAGUUGGGGAGGGGGUAUUUAAUUUUUGUUUAAAAUUAAAUAAUAUUCGAAAAAUACUCAAAAAACAGCAAAAAAAAAUAGCCUCAGGCAUCCUAGGGGUGUCUUAGACGUUGUCUAAGACGCCGUCGGGCUGUCACUUCUUUUCCCCCCGAUGAAAACCCUUCGCGAAAAUUAAAAAAAUACCCUUAAUGUGUAUGACGUCCUAGGACGCGUCUAAGACGCCGGCUAGGACGUCGACGUGUUUUUCAACCGUUUUAUGCCGUUUUCUGCAUUAUUGUUGGUAUCUUUCUUCUCCAAACUGCCAUAGCCGAAAACCCACUUGUUCUUGCUUAUUUCCUUUGAUUUCUUGGCCAAAACUCAACCAAAAUUCGUGGUUUUUGUUGCAAUCUUCAAGAAAUCAAGUAAGAAACAUCACAUUGCAAGAUUUACACACUCUAAUCACUUAUUUGGGGCCGAUUUCAAAACCCACAAAAACUAGGGUUUCGAAAUUUUGACUUAUUUUGAGAUUUUACUUCAAGUUCUUGGUUCUUCUUCACUAGAAACACAAUUUCAACAAGGUAUAUGCUUCAAAACUCCAUCUUUUAGUUGAAUUUCAGAAUUUUUGCAUGUAUGUUCAUAUAUGUUUGAAAUUUUGAAAAAGAUGAAGAAUAUGAUAUAUAUUGGUAUGAAUUCUUGUGAAUUAGUGUUUGUAGUUGUUAGAAGUAUGUUCCAAACAAGUUGCAUGUGUUGAUUCGAGAAAUUUCUAAAAAUUGAAUUUUUGUUGUUAGUUGUUAAAAAAUAAUAAUAAUAAAUAAAAGCACAUAUAAUGUUGGAAAAUCAUUCUUAUGUUUAUAUUUGUGUUUGAAUUAAAAAUUCAAGUUUUUAGAAAAUUUCAGAAUGACACUGAAUUUUGACAUUGCAUUGUUAGUCUGAAUAUUUGCCUGUUACAGUUCUGUUCUGGUUUUAGUUAGAACUUGUCAGUUGAAGUUAACUUUUGGUUUAACUGUGUUUUUACUGAUUGGAUAAAUUUUUGAAAAAUAUUUAGUUACUAAAAACAUAACAGGACUUAAAACGGUUAUUUAUUUAGACUGGAUUUAUUUUAACUUUGUUUGGAACAACUUGCCAACUGAAUUAUUUGUUUUAUUUUUGUGACAUUUGAUAUGUUUAAUGGCAAGUUUUGUUUUGUGGUUUUGUGUAUGAAUUAUUUUGCAGAUGCCAGCAAAGAGAUCAAGGGUAGCAUCAUCAAGCAGUGCAUCUAGACAACCAGCUAGACAGUCGGAGCCAAAUGUACAUGUGGCUUUCAACCCACAGUAUCAGACAUUGCAUGAGCAUCUAGAUGACAUUCGUCCAACAGUUUAUGAGGCAACUCAUCCGAAUAUGGGUUUUAUUGUAGAGUACAUGGUGGAGCGACCGAGCUUCACUAGGUAUAAUAUUGUGGAGACGUUUGAUCGCUAUGGAUGGGGUGGAGUGCUAGACUUCAAUCCCACGCAGAUUUAUGUUGAUAUAGUGCAGGAAUGGAUGAGGAAACUUCGACGUGUCGAGGUGCCUGGUAGGCCGGAGGAGUUGCCGCUGAUUGGGACGGUCCGUACUCAUGAUAUAGUGAUAACUGUGCAGGGUAUUCGGGACAUGUUUCAUGUAGAUACUGGCUGUCAUUUUCAUUAUCUUGAGAAUCAUCUGACUGAGUAUAGAUGUAUUGACACGAGGGGGUAACCCUGGGGUUAGUAUGACUGAAGUAUACCGUAUAGUGUUCCAUGAGGGGACGAGGGCAUACGACAGAUUCCGCGAAUUGGUGCCUUUAGCAAAGGCAUUACAUAACAUUAUCACGAAAAAUGUGAACCCAAGGAAUAGUGAUCCUAGGGCGGUGAGGCCACAUGACUUAUAUGUAUUAUAUGGAUUGAUGAUAGGAUCUAUCUUUAUCUCUUAUGCAUAUAAUGCUAUGUGCAACAUAUGGUCCUGUUUUGAUAUCCAGCACAGAGUCACUACCCCCCAUGUUGCCCUGAUAUCGACAUAUGUUGCCUUGCUACUUCUUUUAGACACAUCUCAUUUCAUGUUGAAAAUGGGAGACAUAUUCUGAGGGAUUCUACCACAAAUCCGACAUACACGGCACCACUCGGAGUGGGGGAUGAGGAGCCAUUCGUUGGUGAUUUUUAGGGGGAUCAGUAGCAGCAAUAGGCAUAAGCAGCAGGUCGGGGAUAGAACAUGCAGGCAGCUUGGGAGGACUUUGUGGGGAGGCAGAACAUGCAUAACCAGGAGGUGCAGGCUUGGAUGGGGAGAACGGAUAUAUGGUUGAAGGGUGUCGAUACGACACUAGCUGAUAUUACUGAGCAGAUGCGACAGAUUGGCAUUACAUCUAGCAACACUUAUAGUGUUGCCACUCGUCAGUUGUACCAACAGGAGUACUAUGCAGAUGCUGCCUACACAUAGAGUCGUGUCCAGUAUGAACCGAUGGACAUUGAUCAACCACAGUAUCGAUACCGAGCUCCAGCUCCGUUCUUCUACCGAUCCGGGAAUCUGAGCAACUAUCCACCGCCAUCCGAGCAUGAGCAUUAUCAGCCACCACCAGCUACAGAGGACUCUACUCGCUUUGAGGAUUUAGUUGGAUCGAUCUUUGGGUAUCCUCCACCAUACCCACGUUAUCCUCCACAGUCGCCCCCACAUUGAACUUUGGUGAGAUCCUCUUUUGAUUUUUAUUUUUAUGGUUGUUUGAUGAAGACUUUUUUUAUUUUUAUUUUUAUUUUUCGUUUGCUUUUCAUGUCUUUAUUUGGGAUGAAUGUACUAUUAUUAAACUCAUUAUUAUUAUUACUCUCUCUUGGGUUGGUUCCAUUAAAUAUGUGAUGAGUUAGUAGCAUCUCUAUAUCUUGAACGUAACUCAUCAAAAUGGAAAAUGAUAGGAGUUUCGUAAAUUGAGUCAUAAUAUUUAUUUAAUAUUGAUUUUGUGGAUUGCUCAACCGAUUUGGGAAUAUUUAUAUUUAGUUAAAAAAUUGUUAUGUGAAAUACCCAAGUGUUUGAAAAAUGACGGUUUUUAGCUCGAGCCUACGAUCUUUCAAUUGAGGACCCAACCGAACAAUAUGUGUCAUCACGCUCUGAGUACUUGGUCUUACUUACUCUUGCGCCUUUGGGGUUGGGAGGGGACUAUUAUUGUUUUCACACAAUAAAAAAGCAUCAAAAGACAUUGAAGAACUUCCAAGUAUCUAUAUUCAAGCUCAAGUCAAAUACCAAAAUGAUCAAAUCCGAUGAAGCCAUCAAAGAACUUGAAGAAUGCAAAAUCAAGAUAAAUAUGAAGAAAAGUUCAAGUUGAAGACAUUGUGUGAAAUAAUGUGUGACCCCUCGAUAGCGGGAGCGUAUGGGUUGGUCCAUUAAGUGUUACCGACCGCGCUAACUAUGUUAGUGAACCUUGAAAAAAGGGACUUUGGCAAUGAGUUCAACUGAUUACUCAUGAGGGUGAUUAUUGGAAAGGGUUCAAAAAGUGGAGGGUUUCAAACAACAAAGUAAAAUAAGCAUAACAUGUGUUUUGAGUUUAAAAGUCUGGAUAAGAAAAUAAUAAUCCCCAUAAUCAAUAUAUUGUGCUAUUGGAAAUGUUGUGAUAAAAAGUACAGAAUUCAUGAUUCCAUUGAGUUUUUCUUAGGAUAAGAGAGUAAAGACUACGCUGAUUAUUUCAGGCCAAUCUCGGGACGAGUUUGGAAUAAAGUUGGGGAGGUUUGAUAAGUCCAUUUUAUGAAUGUACUAAAUUGUUAUAAAUCUGUUGAAUUGAUGUAUAAUUGUCCAAGAAUGGCACUACUUUGAUGAGUUGUUGAACUUCAUAUACAGGUCAAUAUAUUGUACUAAAAGUGGGCGGAACCUGCAAGUAAAACAGUGCUAAAGGAAUGAAGAAACGUUGCUGGGAAAACUGACCAUGCUUCAAUGUUUUGGUCAUAACUGAAGUUCCGCAGCUCUAAUUGACAUGAGUAAAGAAGUUCUGGAAACUAGACAAGAUUUUCUACAACUUUUGUGUUUUGUGUUUCUGCUAGUUAUGUCGUUUUGACCACCAAAACUUAAACGAAAGAUGAAGGAUGCCUCCAGGCGUCUAAGACAUCCCCUAGGACGUCCACAUCAAACGGUCAGCAUCUGGCCGUUAUUUCAAAGCAGAAAAGAAGGAAGAACCCCCGUCAGCGUCUUACAUGGCGUCAAAGAUGUCCCCUAGGACAUCUUGGCAUUUUGGGGAUGUCCCGUGUUGGAACGGUGUGUUUCGGAAAGUUUAGAAAACAAGGCAGGACGUCCUAGAACGUGUCUAAGACGUCUCCUAAUACGUUUGACGUUUUUGGCCAUUUUUUAGUGUAUUUCAAGGACGACAGAUGGCAUGCAAGGACGUACAAAGAACGCCUGGGCGUUAUACACGACAUCUAAGAUGUCUGCUAGGACGUCCAACAUCCCACAUCCCCCAAUUUCAUUAUUUUUUAUCUCACACUAUAAAUACGAGCCUAUGAAUUCGUUUUUAGGGUUACCACCUCCGAUUUUCAGAGUUUUUCAUGUGUUUUUGAGGCUUCUAAAACACUUGGAAACAUUUGAAAACACAAAUCCAUUCCAUUAAAAUCCGGAUUCAAAGCAAGACUCAAUUCAAUUCAUCAUCAAGCUAUAAGUGAAGAUCAUUUCAUUGGUUAAUCUUCAUCAAUUCUUUAUUUUCCAGAAUUAUUUCUUCUUCCCCAAGGUUUAUUUUUUCUAUAAUUUGAUAAUCAUUAGGCUACAUUUGUUUGAUGAUUCUACAUUUGUUUAUGAAUUCUAUUAUGCAUUUUAUUCAUUUCAAUCAAGUUAUUUGUUUUAUGAACUCAAUGGAAGGCUAAAUCAUUAGGGUUACUUCUGGGGAUGUUUAGGACUUUUUGAUGAACAUAAUUGAUUAUUACUUGAUUUUAGUUAAUUCAAUUGUUGUUUUAUGCUUCAUGUGAUGAUCUUUUAGUAAUGAUAAUUGAAAUUGGGUUGUAUGAAUUGUUUGAUGUCAUAAUUAAGAUAGUCUAUUGUCAAUUCAUCAUUUGUUCCAAGUUCACUUAGUUUAGGAAUAAAGACAAGUGACUGAAUCAACAUAUAUUAUUCCAACUUAUGAUAUUGAAUCUUAAUGCGGUAAUAGGUAGUUGUAUGAUAUUUUAUAGCUAGUCCACUAAUUGUUCUUAAUCCAUUUAGGCAUAAAGGAGUAAGACAACUAGUUAAAUGAAAAUUUAGUGUGCCCAAACUAUGUAUUACAAGUUAAUAAACCCCAAUUGUAUCUAAGUAAUUGAAUUAGGAUUUAAGGGAAGAAAGUGUGUGAAUUUAAACUAUCCAUAACUGAACCGGAAGUACUCUAGUUUUCUCAUUGAAAUUUUCGUUUUAAUUAAUAAAUUUCCAAGCUUUUUGUUUGAUCUUUGCUUUAAUUUUUUUUCGUGACAAUUUCUAGUAGUUUGUUUUUUUUCGUUGACUAUUUUAACACAAAAUUUGACGACAAACUCCUUGCGGAUUCGACCCUUACUUACCCUAGCUAUCUAGUGGUUUUGAGAUUAUUCUUGACUGAUACAACGACAUUGAUCAUCGUGCCAAAACCCUAAAGAGACCGAUGUGCCUGGGGCCCAAUUUGCUCUUCUUCCUGAAUCGGAUGACACCUUUCCAAUGUGACAAGUUCAGGGGGACCAUAUCCCUAACCUGAAACUCUAAAUCUGAUUGGUGCUUGUCGGCAUAGCUCUUCUUCCGGCUCUAAGCUGUCUGGAGCCUACUCCAAACUGCUGAAUCAACUUGGUAGUCUUGAGUACCGCUUUGGUACUCCCCAUUAGUAGCUGACCGUCCUCACCCCAACAUAUCAUGGUACUGCAUUUCUUUCUAUAGAGCAUCUCAAAAGGAGGUCGAUUAAUGUUGGCGUGAUUACUAUUGUUAUACAAAAACUAUUGGAUUAGGUGUCUAAGACCAUAACUAUUUUGGUAUGUACUUGACCCGAUUGUGAGCAUGGUCCUUUUGGGUUGCCUUCACCAUAGCAACUGAUGGGAUGAAUUAAGGAGAAAAAGGAUUAAUUAUGAUUUAUUAAUAUAUUAUAUGAAUAAUAUAUUAAAAGAGAAAUCAUAUUGUUUAAUUAAUAUUAGUCAAUAAUUCAUUUUGUGGCUAAAAGAGAUUAAUUAAAUAAAGGGGACUGAUAUUGCAAUUAUAUGAUAGUUGCAAAUUGGGCUAUGGAUUCCUAAUGGAAAUCGGAUUGGACAAAAUCUAUGGGAAGCCCAUAUGGAUUUCGUCCAAGGGCUUUCCAAGGGAACUCCAUGGGUUGCUUAAGGCGUAAGCAGUGAGAUUAGGGUUUCCUGAUUCAAAACCCUAAUAGCCUAAGUAUAAAAGGAACCCUUGGCAAGCCAAAAACGUCCCUAACCUUAUAAGAGAAACCCUAGGACGUUUUUGGUGCCUCCUCCCUCUCUCCUUGUUCAUCUUGUUACAUAUGGUGUUUGUGACUCCAUUAGAGGUGCAACAUUUGAGGCACUAGGCUUUCAGAAGUCAAUUACAAGAAGGAUUCGGAUUGUUAUUGCAACAUAACAAUCAAGGUAAGAUCUAAAAUCUAUCCUUUUGUCAAUUUUGAUUAUUGUAUACUAGAGUUAGGGUUUAUGAGCUUUGGAUGAUUAUUACGUAUAUCAGACAAACUAGAUCCAAAGCUUUAGGGUUUGCAUGUACACCAUAGGAUUGACGUAGUGCUCAAAACCCAUCAAAAACUACGCCAAAGGGAUAUAUGUAUCCCAACUCCCACCAAAAUCCAGAACACACGCCCGAAGCAUAUCCUCCAAGGUAUGAAUAGUCCUCUCGCUCUGACCAUCAGUAUGUGGGUGGAAAGUCGUACUGAAAUGCAGAUGAGUACCCAGCUCGUCGUGGAACCUCUUCCAAAAUCUGGAAGUAAACCGGACGUUCCUGUCUAAAACCACAAAACGGGCACACCAUGAAGUGCCACUACCUCCCUGAUGUAUACCUCAGCUAACUUCUCUGAGGAGAUACUAUCUUGAGUCGGAAUAAAAUGUGUGAACUUGGUCAAUCAAUCCACGAUGACCCAAAUCGAAUCCACUCUAUGUUCACUCUAAGGCAACAUCGUAAUGAAAUCCAUGGUAAUCUCCUCCCAUUUUCAAACAGUGAUAUCUAACGGUUACAUCUUGUCGUGAGGCCACUGAUGCUCGGCCUUGACUUUCCUUCAAGUCAAGCAUCUCUCCACGUACCAAGCUACAUCCCGCUUCAUACAGGGCCACCAAUAAUCAGGAUGAAGAUCAAUAUACAUCUUCGUCGUGGUGGGAUGAAUGGAGAAUCUCAAUUUGUGUGCCUCCUCCAUCAGAACUUGACGCACACCAGCCCAAUCGGAACCCACACUCUUCGAUGGAGAUUCAAUAACCCUUGGUUUUCAUAAUAAAAGGAAGCCACCUGACUCACUGUGCGCUCACUCUUCCCAUCACAACCUCAACCUGAGCCUCUCAAAUCUACUCUAAAAGUGGAGUGAUCACAGUCAUCCUGAAACAAAUAUCCUUGAACGGAGCCGCGAUCGCCUUGCUGCUAAGAGCAUCGGCCACCACAUUAUCCUUCCCCGUAUGGUAAAGGAUCUCACAAUCAUAAUCCUUCACCACAUCCAACCAUUGGCACUGCCUCAUGUUCAUAUUUGGCUGAUCCAUCAGAUACCUCAAGCUCUUGUGAUAUGUCUAUAUAGUACAGCGGGCCCCAUAGAGGUAAUGUCAUCAAAUCUUGAGGGCAAAAACCAUAGCCCCAACUCUAAAUCAUGCAUCGGAUAAUUCGUCUCAUGAUGCUUCACUUACCUUGAAGCGUAAGCGAUCACGUGACCCCUCUGCAUCAGAACUACACCUAAACCUGUGAUCGACGCAUCAUAAUAAACCAUGAAAUCUUCAACACCCUCCGGCAGGGUCAAAAUAGAUGCCUCACACAAUCUUUAUCUUAGGGUCUCAAAAGUUGCAUGUUGGUCGGGCGCCCAGCGAAAAGUGACAAUCUUCUUCGUCAACCGAUUUAGAGGAACCGCUAUCUUGGAGAAAUCCUAAAUGAACCUCCGAUAAUAGCCUUCCAACUAAGGAAACUCCAAAUCUUAGAUGGAGACCUCGGUACCUCCCACCUCAUCACGGCCUCGACCUUGGCCGGAUCGACCAGAAUACUGUUUUGGUUGACAAGGUGCCCUUGAAACUGCACCUCGUGCAACUAGAACUCGCACUUGGAGAACUUUGCAAAAAGUCUCUCCCUCCUCAAAGUUUCCAAUACCUCCCUGAAGUGCUCCUCAUGUAGCUCCUGGGUCUUGGAAUAGACCAGGAUAUCAUCAAUGAAUAGGGCAUUUUGUAUAAUCAAUUGUUGAUGUUAUUGAAAAUAAUGAUGUUAUUGAAACAUAUGCAUGGCAUGUAUUCCCAAUAAUUAUAUUUAAUUAAUUGGUUGUUGUGCAUGUUAUUAUAUUGGGAACAAAUUAGAAAGUGGUCCAUGUGGUAGUACAUGAUAUGUAUGGGGACCAUUUGUAGUUAAUAGUCAAUGGGUAUUUUUAUAAUGGAAAAAUGGGACCUUUGAACCCAUUAUAGAACCAUAUCCAUGACUAUAUAACAAAUUCACAUGCAUGCACAUUAUUCCAAAUUUUUCCAUGCAUAAAUAUUCAAACCCAUUGGUCAUGAGUUUACUUAAAAAGGCAACAUACUUUCAUAAGUGAGUAAAAUAUCAUUUCAUGUCAACAAUUUACUUACAAAGGCAACAUACAUUCAUUAGUGACCAAAAUACCCUUUUAUGUCAUGAGUUAACUUAAAAAAGCAUCACGCAUACAUAAAUGACUAAAAUACCCUUUUAUGUCAUGAGUGAACUUAAAAAGGCACCAUGCAUACAUAAAUGACCAAAAUACCCUUUUAUGUUAUGAGUGAACUUAAAAUGGCACCAUGCAUACAUAAAUGACCAAAAUACCCUUUUAUGUCAUGAGUUAACUUAAAAAGCCACCAUGCAUACAUAAAUGAUCACAUCACAUGUAUUCAAAUACACAUACUUUAAAUCCAAAUUACCAUCAUCCUAAUACACAAACUUAAAAUCCAAAUUACCAUCAUCCUAACACACAUACUUUAAAUCUAAAUAACACAAAGGAAAAAUCAACACUAAUAAAUUAGAAGAGCUUUUCCCUUAGAAUUUCCUGGAUCAUCAACACCACCAACUUUCUUGCCUAAUUUCAACUUGAAGAUUCUCUUUGACUUUCUUCUCCUUAUCCUGUUCAAAAUCUUGGAAAUUGGUCUAACCCUUACCUGUUGAACCUAGAUAAUAGGAGUAACCUCCUAAAUUUGAACAUUAUCAACAACUUGGACAUUAGGAAUAACCUCAUCAUCUUGAACAUUACCACCCUCCUCAACUUCCUCACCCAUAACACCCCCAUCACCUUCAUAACUUCUAGGUGGAAUAACUUGCAUAGACUGACUAAAAUCCCUUGCACUACUGGAUUCAACAUGAGUAGAAGUAACUUGCAUAUCAUUUUGAGUAUUAUCCAUCUCAAUUGGAGUCAUUUAACCUCUUCUUGUUGUUGUGGUUCACUUGUACUACCCUAUAUGGCAUGAUAUAAUUAUGUUAGUGGCAAAUCAUAUGUAAAUAAAUUUAAAUUUUAAAUGGUUUUACCUGUUCUGCAUUUUUCUUCACAUAAACUUUUUGUUUCUUCUGUUUCUUUACAUUUAACUUUUGGGGCCUUCUCUAUGGACAAGUGGCCUUACUGUGACACAUCUCCUUGCAUAUAAUACAUCUAAUUUUCUUUCCAUCCUUAGAAACCCUGUGUGUUCCUGUAUUCUUUGUAGUGGAUUUCUUCUUCUUAGUAGCUGGCCUACCAUGCAUCCGUCUACUAAUAAGAGGCAAUGGUGGAGUAUAAUUUGUCUCUGGCCACAUGUCACUGCCAUUCAUGGGGGAAAUUCUGUAAUUGUAUGCCUUCCGAAUUGUGGUGGUGUUAAACAUGUUGUCUACAUAGGCUUCUACAUCUCUAUUAAGAUUGGAUAUGGUAGCUACAGAAUGAGCAUAUCCAUAUCCAUUUAACCGCCACAACCUACAUGAACAUGUUUUCCUUUAUAAGUCCACCUCAUAUGCAUCUGUUUCUCCCUUACCUCGAACUGGUUUAAUCCACUAGGUAGUACCUGAUAAUGCCUCUGAAUUUUUUAAGCAAAUUCACCUUAUCCCUUAUCUCUGGACAAAUAUUAUUUCCCCAUUGUUGUCCCUUUAAUUUCAUGUUGUACAUUUUGUCCAUCAUGUAUAAUCUUAACUCCUCUAACAUGGUUAUUAUGGGCUUCUUCCUGGUAUCCACUAUUACAACAUUAAAACUUUCAGAGAAAUCAUUUUCAACUGCAUCACAACACCUUCCAGCUUGAAAGUAAGCUCUUGACCAUGUUUUAAGAUCUUUCUCCAUGAGAUAUUGAUGGGCAUCUGGGUUUAAUGUCUCAAUUUCCUUCAUCACAACUUUAAAAGCAUGCUCAUUUGUGGUUUUAGAUGCUCUCCAAAACAAGGUAUGAUAUAUGACACCAGUGAAUCUCUUCUGCAAAUUUUGAAAAAUAUGUCUAGCACACUGCCUGUGCAUAUGGAAGAAACUCUUUAACAGCCUCUAUCAAACCUUGUAUUAAUAAAAAGGUUUAAAUCAGAUAGUAUAAAAUAAAUAUAAAUGAAUUACUAUGUAAAAUACUAACCUUAUGUUGGUCUGACAUUAAACUGAAGCAAUUGCCUAAACUUAAGUUUAGAUUAUUAAUGAGAAGCUCUAAAAACCACUUUUAAUUCUACUUGUUCUCCACACUAACCAUUGCCCAAUCAAUAGGAUAUAUCUUGUUAUUUACAUCCCUCCCAAUAACACAAAGCAAUCCCCCCUUACAAACACCUUUAAGAAAACAUCCAUCAAGACCCAUUAUCCUUCUACACCCUUUAAUCCAACCUUGUUUAAUUCCUUGAAAACAAACAUAGAACUUGCUAGAAUAUUUCUUUCCAUCUGGACCAUCCUCCACAUCUAGUUUCACAGUUGACCUAGGAUUUGUCCUUAAAAUCUCAUCAACAUAUUACCAUAGCUUACCAUAAUGUUCAACAAGGCUACCUUCAACAAGAUUUAAUGCAUACUUCUUUGUUCUCCUACAUUAGCCCAUACUAACUUGGAUACUAAACUUGGUCAUUACCUUUACCCUAAGCUUCCUUACACUCAUUUUAUGACUUUGUACAAUCUCUUUGGUAUAGUGACUCCCAAUCCAUGCAUAUGUCACCAAUAAUCCAAACUUGAAGUUCCUAGCACAAUUAUGAUAAGCUUUUUGUGACUUGAUUUGGAAAGUCUCUCCAUCAUUCAUCCAAGAAGCCCAUAAUAUAAAUGUGCAAGCACCCUUGCUACAUCUCACCAAAAGUCUUUUCCUAUCAUAUUUUUUCAAAACACAAUUGAUAUCCAUUAGCCACAACAUAGUUGCACAACCUUGACUUUACUUGCCCUGGACCCUUAGAUCUCAUUCCUAGAAUUGGUUUUUGUUUUUUCCAGUGUAAUAGCUCAUUAAAUAUGGAAAUAGUUUGGAUGUUAGGUUCAACUUCUCUCCCAUUAUCAUCAUCUACAAUGUUGUUAUCCUCCUCAUCAUCAACACACAACUUACUCACGAAAGGAUCAUUUGAUGUCCUAUUCAUAUGCACUGCAUCCUUAUUAAAUUCAAAGACAACAUUCCUAAGUUCAUCUAUGUUAUCUUCAUCUAUGUUAGCGGCGCAGCUUUUUGCCCGUUUGCCUUCAAUCGAUAUGUAUUGAACAAAAAUGUUUGAAUGUCUAUCAAUACAAGGCUCAUGUUCAUCAUCAAACCACCCACCAACACCAACCCCAAUAUGAUCCACAUAAACCGAAAUUACACCAUCUGUUCCAUCAACAUCAAAAAUAAAAGCAGCAUAGUCCACAUCAUCUGAAAAUGGGAUUAAGCUCUUCCAUCAGGGAAUUGCCUGGUUUACAGUAGUAAAACUUUUUACACUCUUCAUGCAUGAAAUGUUCACAGAAGGUCACAAGCUCAGAAUAAGUCAUAGAAGAAAAGUCGACAUCAGUGAACAUGGUUUUCACACCACCAGUGUAAGAGAAAGGAUUUCGAUUAAAUACCCCUUGGUAGUUGAGUUCCACCAUCACAAACACUCCAUUAGGUUCCGAUUGUGCCAUUUUUGCGACUUCUUUGGCUCUUCAGCUCGAUCACAAAAAUGCUUCACAAAACCUAAAUCAAUUUCUUUUAAAACUAAAUAAUGAAGACGAGUGAAGUUCGAUAGCUGAAGACAAAAGGCUUAAAGCUUCGUAUAUCAUCUAUUGAUGUGGCAUAUCUCACAUGGCAUCAGAUUAGCUAAAAAAGAUAUAUUAAUUGACAUAUAUAAAAUGUCAACCAGGAAACCGUUUACAAGUAUGGAAAUGACUAAAUUAAUAAGUCAGAUACCAUUUUAAUGGUCUAAUGUACCCAAAAAACUUUAAUGACCAAAUUAGCCAAAUGUAAAAAGUUUCAUGUGCUACAGUGACAUUAUCCCUGAUGGGUUUUGAGCAUUCUAACACUCCUAUGGUGUACAUGCAACCCUAGAAACCUUGGAUCUAUGUUUGACUAAUAUACAUGCAAAUAAUUAUUUUCCAAGGUUCUUAUCCUAUCUAGCAUGGCAUGGGAACUUGAAUCAAAUAGAGCUAGUAGAAUUACUUACCUUGUAGUUGUUUAAAGCUUCGUAUAUCAUCUAUUGAUGUGGCAUAUCUCACGUGGCAUCGGAUUAGCUAAAAAAUAUAUAUUAAUUGACAUAUAUAAAAUGUCAACCAGGAAACCGUUUACAAGUAUGGAAAAUGACUAAAUUAAUAAGUCACAUACUAGUUUAAUGGUCUAAUGUACCAAAAAAACUUUAAUGACCAAAUUAGCCAAAUGUAAAAAGUUUCAUGUGCUACAGUGACAAUAUCCCUGAUGGGUUUUGAGCAUUCUAACACUCCUAUGGUGUACAUGCAACCCUAGAAACCUUGGAUCUAUGUUUGACUAAGAUACAUGCAAAUAAUUAUUUUUCCAAGGAUCUUAUCCUAUCUAGCAUGGCAUGGGGAACUUGAAUCAAAUAGAGCUAGUAGAAUUACUUACCUUGUAGUUGUAGUUGAUUGCUUGGAGUUUUAGAGCCUAGCACCAAUAGUGUGGAUGCCUCAAAUGUAAAUCACAAAUCACUACAAACUUGGAACUUUGAGAGAAUAGUAACCACCUUUCUUGAAAUCGGCCCUCUUACUUUACUCACCACAACUAGUAUGAUUUCAAGAACCAAAGCCUCCUUUAUAUAGUGUGGUGGAUUAGGGUUACAUCCAUGUAAACCCUAAUACCCAUGUCUUUUCAUUUCCAUGAGAUCCAUGGGUUAAAGCUCCAUGGAGUAUCCAUGGACUUUCCAAGCAAGCCUAGCCCAUUCCAAAUAAGCAUUAGCCCACACUAUAUAAAUAUAAGAGCCCAUAUUUAAUUAGUAAUACUUUUGAUCUCUAAAUUAAUUUUAGAUUAAUUAUAGAUCAAUACUAAUUAAAUAAUAUGGUUUUAUAUUAAUAUAUUAGAACUUAUAAUAUAUUAAUAAAUCAUAACUUAUACUAUUCUCAAAAGAUUAUCCAUAAAUUGUUCGGGUGAAGUGCAACCCAAAUGGACCAUGACGGGUCGGGUCAAGUACAUACCAAAUAUAGUUAUGGACUUAGACACUAUAUCCAACAAUCCCUACAUAAAGUCAUAUGUAGUCAAGGAUCAGAUAGAUAAUCGAACAUAUGACUCACCUAAGAGCGAACAAUCAGAAAAGAACAUCACAAUCAAGCCUUAGAUCAAGAGUUAUCAGUCUAUCCAACUUAAACUAGAUAGACCUAAGAUAUUAUUACCACCUAACCAUGUGACAUAAACAUUUAACAGAUACUAGCAUAUUUAUACACUUAGCAACUAUCCUUCCCUAGUUACCCUGUCAUUGAUCACUUCUCAAUCAAGUGAUCAUCUGGUCAGUCAUGCAUAAUCAUGAUAAUUGACCUACCCCAAUUUCCCUAACUAAACAUAACUCAUAACAAUAUCAUACAAUAAAUAGGAAAGACCUCACAAGAAUAGCAUACCCAGACACCAAGUGUUCUAAACUGCACAUGCAUAUCCUAGCCAACUAGCAUAUUUGUACUCUAACAGUAUCUCCAUCCUAUCAUGCACAGGAUAUAUAAUGAGAUAUGUGGCAUACUAUGAAACUCACCUGAACUGAAGAACCGGAGAAGCACAACAACACUCUUACACAUUUCACUACUCGAUCAUGUGAACCAAUUAACACCAAAAUAGAUAAAUCCUCAAUCAAUAAUCCAAAUCCUCCAAGUUUGACCCUAAGUCAAACUGGUCAAAAGUCAAUAGUCGAUGUAACGCCCAUGUUUCUUUCCAGACAUUAACUAAAUAAUUAGGGUCAACAAUCACCACAACGUGGUAACCUCUUGGCCACAUCCUGGGAAUUUCCAUACAAAAUAGUUACGAAGCUUAGGAUCACCAUGUCGUUGCAAGCCUAUUGCCACGUCGUGGAAAUUCACAGGAAGUCAUAUUCUUCAUUAUGAGCUUAAUGCUUACAGAUCUAAGCUCAAACUUUCAUAUUUGAUUCUUCUUGAUGAAUUAAUGGAUCUUAAACCAUAAGUCUAUUAAGUCUUUAAUAUGACCAAAACUAGAGCAUGGAGAAAAGGGAGCUAUGAAUUAACGCUUUUUCCAUCAAACAAGACCAAAAGAUGGUCACCAAACAAUUCUAAAGUUCUGGAGUUGGCCAAAACUCCAAGAAAAUGCCUUCAAGGGACUUCAAAGCAUGAUAUGAGAGAAAAGGAUGAUAAAGGUGGAAGCUUUAUACCUUCCCAAAAUCCACAAGACAUAGGAGAUGCAAGAUCUGAAGUAGAUACACCAUUCAAACUAGCAAACACACUGUCGUUUCCUUCCCAAAGUGCAACCCAAGGCUUCAAACUUCAAGAACUCCAAGAACUCAUCAAUAUCACUCAAAUAGGGCUAGGGUUUCGAAAUAGGAGGAUGGAGACUGAGGGAAAUGAGCUAACCCUAGAGUUAAGGCCAUUAAAUAUGGGAGAAAAUAUAAAAAAAAAAAUUAUGUGCUUGGGCUACAGCACUCACAACGUCGUGGCAACCCUCUAGUCAUGUCGUGGUGCUCUUCAAAAUGUGCGUUCCCGAAAAUAUGUGUCACGUCGUGGUCAUCCAUGCACCAUACCAAGGCAUAGAUUUUUCUCCUAAAACCCCAUCUUUGAUCCUAUUAGCUCUUUAGUUAAACUAUUAUAGAAAAUAGGUGUUAUAGCCACCAUUCCGAGUUCCUUCUGUGACUGCUAAAUUAGUGUUUGGCGGGUUGGGGAGCCCGACUUCUUUCUCUUAUAUCUUCACAUAUAUAUAUAUAUAUAUAUAUAUAUAUAUAUAUAUAACAUUUUUUUUUCAAAAGUGUAAUACUAUCAAGGGAAAUUGACUUAUCAGGGUAAUUACUGUUUUGUUUUGUUCACAUCGGGGUAACUCUUUUUUUAGUACACAUCUAGGUAACAAACUUUUUGUAAGUGUUCACAUGUGACCAUUAUAAUUGGUUGUAGCAAGUUACAACCGAACGUAAUUGUCAUAUAUGAACACUUCCAACAAGCUCGUUACCUCGAUGCAUACAAAAAAAUGAAGUUACACAUAUGUGAACAAAACGAAAAGGUAAUUACCCUGAUAAGCCAAUUUCCCUUUUUAUUAAGGUGGCAAAUCAUAAUGUUUGUAAUAUUAAUAUAUUCAUUUAAAUUUCUUUAAAACAACAUUUGUAACACCCGGAAUCUAGAAGAUUAAUUAUGGAAACAAAUUCCCUUACCUAAGUAAAAACACGAUGAGUUGAUGGUGGGAAACUCGAUGUGUUGGAGGUUUUUGGGACACACGUUUUUAUGAACCAACUCGGUGAGUUGGUGAAGGAAAAUCGGCGAGUUGGACACUGACUGAGAAACCCUAAUUUUUAGGGUGUUACACCCUAUUUAAAGACCUUAAGUUCUUUAGCUGGCCUCCUUACCGGCCUCCUCUAUCCAGAAACCCUAAAACUGAGCCUUGUCUUCCAUUUAUGAGUGUGAAAGCUUGGGGAGAGCCUUGAGAGUUCAUUUUUGGUGCUUUUUGAAGGAGCUAAGGAAUUAGGAGUUGCUUGGCUUGAAGAAGAAGUCUUGGAUCCAGAAUCUCUGCCUCAUUUGCCAAGUUUUUGAGGAAUCGUGUUCUUACCUUGCUUAUUUGUUGCUUAGAUCUCUUCUUGGGUUAGAGUUUAUGAUUUUUAGCCAUUUUGGGUGAAUGUUGGGGAUUAGGAGGUCCCAAGCAAUUAUUAUUUCAGAUAUAAGGGCUAGCGGCGCUGCUUGUUGCCCGUUCGCCUUCAAUCGAUAUGUAUUGAACUUUCAUUGGAGUAUAUUUUCUUAAUAUAAAUAUAUAAUAGAUAUAAGGUCUACAUGAGCUCUUUAGGCAUAAAGGUGCCAACUUUAUGGAUUUAAUGGCUUCAUGUAUUCAUUAAGUCUUUCAGUUAGCCCUUUUUGAGCUUUUGAUCACCUCCUAGUCAUGCUUAAGUGUAAAGUUGGAAACUUUACACGGCCAUCUAGCCUUAUGGGGACAGAUCUGCAUUAUGGGUUUUAUCUUUGAUGAUUAAGUGAUUAAUGAUUAAGCCUUCACUCUUUUAAGUUUAGGGUUUGGGUUUGGACCCAUUAGGUGAUUCCUAGGGGUAAAGUUGGAAAAUUUACCCUUCUUGAUCUCAUUUUGGUCGAGAGCAGAGCUUUGGAGCCUUUGGACUCGAUGAAGGUACCUUAAUGCAUUAAGAUGUUGGUUCUUGAGAGAACUCGGCGAGUUGACUUGGUUUCCCCGAUUUGUGUAGUUGAUGGAGAAACUCGACGAGUUGGGUUAACUUGGACCGUUGACUUUGACUUUCGAUUUAUGUCUUUGAACAAGUUUGUCCCAAUGGGUACUUGAGGUAAUCUGAAUUGUAAUUAAGGGAAUUAUGAGAUUAGGAUAAGGCCCAUAUGGGGUUGGUCCCAAUUUGGAAAAUUGGGCCAUUACUGGGCCUUUGCGGAUCUUUUGGUUUUGGACUUUUUGGUUAAUGGAAUUUGGGCCUCAGUUUUGGUUCAUGACGCGUUAGGGUUAAAAUGGUCAUUUUCCCCCAAGUAUGGAUGGAGGGCUUUAGAAUGGAACCCAAUUGCUAAUUAGGUGUUAUUUUGAUCUCAUAGCUCGGAGGUCUCAUCAGGGCAGCAGCUAGGGACUUCUUUCUGUGAGUUUCUGCGUUCGAGGUGAGUCUCCUUACUUUUCUAUGGUUUGAAGGCAAUAAUGACGGCCCAUUUGGUUUAUGUAUUAUAGGAAGACCUGGGGGAUAAACCUUGGCAGUUUGUAUGAAAGACCAGGAGGCGGCUCCUGGCAAACUGUAUGCAAGACCAGGGUCUGAACUCUAGCAGUUGACUAGUUAAGUAGUGUAGAUUUUAUACUAUUUGUCUUUGUGACACUUUCAUGGAAGACUCGAAGGUGGAUCCUGGCACUUGUCUGUAAGACCUAGGUUUUUGGCCCCCGGCCUGACAAGGAAGACCACAAGGCGGCUCAUGUCAUAAUGGCAAGACUAUGGAUGGCACAUAUCACCUUUACUAAUUGGGGUAUAUGUAUGCUAAGUAAGACUCAGUGAUAUUAAUGUUAUUUAUAGUUUUGAGUUGAGUUUUCUCCUGCGAUUGAGGUGCAACAGUUGGUGCGAGAGUUUCUGGAUCUCUGUCAGACUACUGAGACUGUGGCAGAUUGUGGAAGGGUGGAAGUGAUGUAAGACUGAGGGGUGGCCCGUAGCAUUCACUAGUUAGAAGUUGGUAUAAAAAUGUUGUAAGACUGUGGGGUGGCACGUAGCAUUCACUAGCGAUCAGAUAGUGUGGGAAGUGUUGUAAGACAGAGGGGUGGCCCGUAGCAUUCACCAGUCCCUAUACAGCGGUGAGAGUGUGGCAAAUUUGUGAUUUGCUCACGGUUUUCUUCGGAUGAUUUUGGCCAGGAUGGAUCAGUUCGCAAGGCUAUGGGAAGGACACAACAUGUUUGGAAUCAAGAUAUGGGAGGUCGUGGGAGACCGGGUUUGAGGUAAGACUAUAGUUGGUCUGUAACGUUCAACCUAGUAUCAGAUUAUUGACGAGACGGUUUGGGUAGUUAUUGCCAGUGAGGCUUUUUUUCAAAAGUUGCGAUGGGCGAUUGUGUGGAGUUUCAAAAGCAGCUACGAGGCAACAAGCUGUUUUGGGCAGUAUUAGUGAUUUUUGGGCAGUAUUUUCGGGUAGUACUAGUCAUUUGGAAUUUGUGUGUGAAUAUGUAAUUUUUCAAACAAUUUUUUUUUCAUUUAUAAAACUCAUAAAAACUCAUAUAUUUCAUUUCAUAAAAUCACAAGUGUCUCAAGUCAACAUAAAUCCACAAGAAAAAUCAAAUCCUAGAAUCCUCAACAUAAUCUCGAACAGGUGUGUACAAUCACGUCGGUGCCUUCCCGCGAUCCUCGGAGGUACUUGAAACACAUAUCACAUAGCACGGUAAGCAUAAAGCUUAGUGAGUUCCUCAAAAUACCAUGCACACACAUAAUUAGCCACUCGAGGCUAUCGCUCUGUAAGACCCUCCGGUUAAUGUGUCUUAGCGAGACCCACCAGUCCUACAAAUCGUCAGACCCUCCGGUCCGGUCUAAGUGAGAACCCUCCGGUCUCACUACUCGUUGGACCCUCCGGUCUAGUCUAAGUGAGGACCCUCCGGUCUCAUAGUUCGUUGGACCCUCCGGUCCGGUCUAAGUAUCUCAUAAUAUAGUACACAGUAUAUAUCACACAGAAAUACAUAACUCAAGCAAGCACAUAAGACCCUCUGGUCACACAUAAUGACCACACUAGGUAAGGUAUAAUGAGAAGACUCACCUCCUAAGAACUCGGAUAAUCUCAAACUCAAAUCACAGGUUUAGCCUCCGCCUAAUAUACACAAUAAUUAUCCCUAAUUAAUAACGGCUCUCACAAGGCUGAACUAACCCUUCCAUACACUCACAGAAGGGUAAAAGACCAUUUUACUCCUCCAUGGGCUUAAUAGACCACAUGUUGACCAAACCCUAAAAGUCAACCGAAAGCCAACAGCAAGGAGUACGCUGUGCGUACCAACUCCCUACGUUGGGCAUACUCGGCUGCCAUGCAGGCAUCGUGGAGACUCGACCUCUACGUUGUGCGUACUGGGAUUAUGCCCAGCGUACAUCCUAGUUUCACUCUCCUCACAAUUUUGGUCUUAAACAGUUAAUACAUUGGCUCAUAAUUCAGAUCUGGACUCCCUAAUGUCUCUUAAUCCAUAAAGUUGGUGACUUUAAGCCUUUGCGUGGCUAAAUAGGUCACAAACACUGAAAACUCCCAUCCCCUUUCCUCAUGAAACUCAUAACUCAUGCAUGGCUUACUCCUAAUGUCCAAGAUUAGAUUUUUAUGACUUUACUCCACAAAAUACACUGAAAAGGGAUAGAUCAAGGCCUCUAGAGUGCAUUAUCUCAUAAAGUCUCCAUCUUUUGGGAAAAAACCCUAAAGUAAUUCAUAUGAAUGCACCAAACAAACAAAUGAGAAAGCUUGAAGAUUUAUACCUUUAUGUGAAACCUUCUUCACAGCUAAGCUCAGAUCCAACUCCUGGGGCUCUCACUCCUUCUUCUCUAAAGCUUCCUCUCUACUUCAAGAACACAAGAUUACACCAACAAGCUCUCAAAUGCACUCUCCAGCUAUAAUGACGGAGAUUUAGGGUUAGGAGGGGUUGGUGUUUGGGAAUGGUGGCCAGGAAUGAGGCCAUCAUGUCCUUUAAAUAGUGAGCUCAUUAAAAUUUAGGGUUUCAUUAUGGGCCUAGCAUGCCCAGCGUACCCACUGGUACGUCGCGCGUACUAGGUGGCCUCCACAUCACUAACACGCAUUGGAGUAUGCUGAGCGUACACUCAAGUACGCCCCGAAUACUCGUUUACCACCUUUUCUCUAAUAAGGCCAAAAUGGACAAAUGCUCAAUAGAUCAAGGUUUACAAGGUAUACCUGGACUUGGGAUGUUACAUCGUGUGUGAGUCUCUUGUAGUUCGGGGAAUAUAAUAAGUUGCUUGUAGUGGAUUAAAUAAUCUCAGAGUGGUUGAUUUGAUUCUAUUGCGCAGUUCUCGUCUGAGUCUAACCAUUGCAGGGAUGAAUCUUCUACUCAAAGGAUUAUCUGAGCCUAUUGUCGAGUAUAAGUGUUCUGUAGCUGCAAAUGAUCUGUUUUUUGGUUCCUUUAAAAGCAUUAAGAUAUUGGUUUUAUAGUGGUUCAGAGAGGGGGAGGGGGUGAUCAGCCAGGAAGUCAAAUCAAAUUGAGAUUUCAGGUAUCAGGAAAGGUAAAGGUGGGUUUUUCUGCAAGGGAUUAAGGUUCGUUCUGCUAGGGUUGGUUUCAGUUGCUAUGGGAAGGUGGUAGUAUUAUGGGGUUGUGAAGAUGAGUCCUUAUGGGGACAGUGUUAUCUGGUGCUAUCUGUCAUGGAGUUCGGCAAUGUCCAGGGUUUUCCAGGUUCAAGUUUAAUGGUUAGGGAUCUUCUAUUUUGGAUUUGUCAUCGGUAUGGGUGGGCGGUUAUCUAAGCGGGGUGACUUCCUUAGUCUUUUGGGGUUCAAGGAGUUUAGUCAGGAUCAUCAGUUCGGUACACGAGAUUUUAGGGAAUGAUUUCGAGGAUGAAAUCUAAUUUAAGUGGGGGAGAGUUGUAACAUCUGGAAUUUACAAGAAUAAUUGUGGAAAUAAAUUCCCUUUCUAGGGACCAACACGGCGAGUUGAUCGUGGGAAACUCGACGUAUUGGAGGCUUUUGGGAUGAGCGUUUUUAUAAACCAAUUCAAUGAGUUGGUGAAGGGAACUCGGCGAGUUGGACGCUAAUCGAAAAACCCUAAUUUUUAGGUUGUUGUACCCUAUCUAAAGGCCUUAAGUUCUUUGGUUGGCCUCCUUACCAGCCUCCUCUGUCCAAAAACCCUAAAAUCGAGCCUUAUCUUCCAUUGUUGAGUGUGAAAGCUUGGGGAGAGCCUUGAGAGUUUAUUUUUGGUGCUAGUUGAAGGAGCUAAGGAAUUAGGAGUUCCUUUCCUUGAAGAAGAAAUCUUAGAUCCAGAAUCUCUGCCUCAUUUGCCAAGUUUUUGAGGUAUCAAGUUCUCACCUUGCCUGUUUGUUUCAUAGAUCUCUUCUUGGGUUAGAGUUAAUGCUUUUUAGCCAUGGUUGGGUGGAUUUUGGGGAUUAGGACAUCCCAAACGAUUAUUAUUUCAGAUCUAAGGUAUAUAUGAGCUCUUUUGGCAUAAAGGUGCCAACUUUAUUGAUUUAAGGGCUUCAUAGAGUCAUUAAUUCUUUCAUUUAGCCGUUUUUGAGAUUUUGUGCUCGUCCUAGUCAUGCUUAAGCGUAAAGUUGGAAACUUUACAUGGCCAUCUAGCCUUAUGGGUUCAGAUCUGCAUUAUGGGGUUUUGUCUUUGCUGAUUAAGUGCUUAAUGAUUAAGCUAUCACUCUUUUAAUUCUAAGGUUUGGGUUUGGACCCAUUUAGGUGGUUCCUAGGGGUAAAGUUGGAAACUUUAACCUUCGGGGUCUUAUUUUGGUCAAUAGCUGAGUUUGGAGCUCUUGGAUUCGAUGAAGGUAGCUUAACGCAUUAAGCUGUUGGACUUUUAGAGCUCAUAUCGUGAGUUCGAUCUUAUCCAUCCGCUGAAUCGACUUCUGACAGCCCGACUCUGGAACCCAUCCAUCACUGGCUCACGUCGUGAGCUUCAUGCUCACGUCAUGAGUCCUCUUAUAGUGUGGGGUUGAGUCUUUUACUCGAAGGAUUAUUUGAUCUUUGUUGCGUGUGGCUAUAUUAAUGAGGAAGCUAGUUGACAUUGGUGGGAUUCCUUUAGCAGUUGAGGGUUUGGUGAGGUCGGGAACCUAGGAAAGCCUAGGAUAUGCUUUAGUGGGUUAGUGGUACGGUUUAGUGAGUUUUGGUGCAUUGUGCUGAAGAAGUGACUUAGAGGAUUCGAGAGGAUUACUGAGGAAAGUAUGGAUAGGUGGGCUUUAGAAUGGAACCCAAUUGCUAGUUGGGUGUUAUUGUGAUCUGAUAGCUCGGAGGUGUCGUCAGGGCACUAAUGUCGGCCCAUUUGGUUUAUGUAUUAUAGGAAGACCCAGGGGAUAACCCUGGGCAGUUUGUAUGAAAGACCAGGAGGCGGCUCCUGGCAAACUGUAUGCAAAACCAGAAUCUGAACUGUGGUAGUUAACUAGUUAACUAGUGUAGAUUGUAUGCUAGUUGUCUUUGUGAUGCUUGCAUGGAAGACUCGGAGGUGGCUCAUGGCACUUUUUUGUAAGACCGCAGGUUUUGGCCCCCGCCCUGACAAGGAAGACCACGAGGCGGCUCGUGACAUAAUGGAAAGACUAUGGAUGACACAUAGCACCUUUACUGAUUGUAGUAUAUGUAUGCUAAGUAUGGCUUGUUGAUAUGAAUGUUAUUUAUGGUUCAAUCGGUAUGUUUGGUAUGUGGUAUUUGGGGAACUCAAGAAGCUAUGUGCUUACAUUUUGUGCUUUAUGGUUUCAUGUAAUUCCAUUUUGAAAGGAAAGGGUUCGGCUUAAUCGCAACGCAUACACCCAUGUUUUCCGCAAUGUGUGAUAUUUAGGAAUGAACUCUGAUAAUUGUUUUAUUUUGAAACUCUUCUAGAUGUCGGAUUAAAGGUUAAUGAAUGUUUUGGGCAUAAUAAAAACGAAAUUUUUACCCCUGAUUUUCGGGAUGUUACAACAUUUAUUACCAUUUAUUGACAUUUAAAUUGGCCACGACAUGUUUGAAACCAUUUGUGAUAGCAUAAUUAUCAAAUCAAAUAACUCUAUAUAUUGAGACAAGAGCAAUGUUAUCCAUGUGGAUAAAAUGUAUUUCUAUUUUUUGUAUUUUAAAUUCAUGUAAUACAUGGAACAAAAUUGAAGAUGAUAUUCUAUUUCAUGUUAUUGGUCUCAAUAUCUGACACUUUUAGUAUCUAGUAAAUUUUAAUUUUCAUAUGUAAUAUCUUAAACAAUAAAAUUCUAUAAAAUGACGAUGUAUUUUUUCCAUGUCAAAUGUGAUUUUUUUUUUGUAUCAAAGUAGUGUAUUUUAAAAAGAUAUUUACCAAGUUGGAUUGAGUGACAAGUGGAUUGAGUUAACUGAAAAAAAAAAUUAUUUUUCAUGGGUUAGAAAAGAUGAAAAAAAAAAGUUGAUAUAGAACUCACACCACAUGAAUGAUUUGACACCGUUCUACUCCUACGACCUUUACCCCCAACAUCGAAUUCAUUAUGAUUGUUAGCCUAUCUUACGAGACAGACAUGACCUCCUACUACCAUGUAUACUAAGUCCCACUAUUUAUAACUCUACCCUAUAAAACUCGACGGAGCGCUGGGGUGAAGGGUUACGGGAUCCUUUCCCGCUCACCGGAACANNNNNNNNNNNNNNNNNNNNNNNNNGGGGGGGGGGGGGGGGGAAGGCUGCUGCACUCUCUCUCUCUCUCUUCUUCCUAUUGGCUGGUUUUUUUCCCAAGCGAACUGUUUGAAAUAAAUAACAAAAUUAAUUUUUUUUUCAAUACAACUAUUGAAAAACAACAAUGAAUUUAUAUAUAUAUAAUUUUGUUUUUACCUCUAUAACAUCUAUAAAUAUACACAUACUUUAACCUUUCAAACUCACACCUCCUUCUAUGAAUUUCUCUGUACUUUCUUCAAAAAAAGGAAUCCAUACAACCAAACCCCAAACUUCGAUAGAAGGAAAAAAACCAAUGUUUCAAAUUUAAGCACCCCAACUCGAAACAUUUUUGAUAUCGAUUCAUCUCAAGGGGUUUAUCGUCCACAACUCGAUGCUCACAUUUAAUCUUCACUACAAUCACAAUACCAAAAUAUUAGACAAUUUUACCCGAUGCAAGUUCCAAAUGUUACUCCAAAUAUGCUAUUAAACUUUGUUGUUUUUCCUGAUCAACUUUCGCCAAAUCAACCCCAAACUCAAAUCCCACUCUUUCAAUCUCAAACCCAAACCCAACCUAAGCCCAAACACAAUAUCAACAACAAUACCAAAUCUUCGAUGAGUCGGAUGAAGAGAUUGUACGGGAAACUCAACCCACAACCCCCAACCCCACAAAGUAAAACAACAAGUGAGAGAGGGUUCCAUACAACCGGGACGACAGAAGCCGCAACCAUGGACUAAACGAGAAGAGAUAAUUGGGGUAAAAGCUUGGGUUGACAUUUCAGAUGAUUCAGCGACAGGAAAAUGCACAACCUGAGGAUCAUUUUUGGUUUCACAUUCUUGAGAGGUUUCAUAAGGAGAUGGGAAAAAGUGACGAGUAUCGUACCAAUCAUCAAUUGAAUUCAAAGUUUCGAGAAAUAGCGUGGGCCGUUUCAAAAAUGAGCGGGUGUACAACAACCUAAAAACCUAAUGGAAAAGCAGCCAAGGAGAUGAAGAAAUACUUCAGGAAGUUUUGCAUUUUUUCGAGAGGAAGUGGGAAAGUCAUUCAAGUGCCACGAUUGUUGGAAAAUAUUGAUUAAAAGUCGUAGGUGGAAAAAAUACGAGCAAGAGUUUAUACGUCGAGUACAACAAUCAAAACGAACAAAAAUGAGCUCUAGUGGUUACACAACUUCCUCCGAUGCUCGGGUCGGUCUAGAUUUAAAUGACGAGGACGCACUCGAGCUAGAAGAAAUUGUCCGACCGAUAGGUAGGGACAAAGCAAAAAUGAAGGGAAAUGAGACUUCUUGGGGUGAAUCGAAUUUCAGCAUGGACGCGGACCAAGUGCGAAAAAUGGUGGAGAUAUUUGAUCGAUAUAAUCUUAAUUUUGCUGAAAGUUUUGGCAUUCGACAAAGACAAAGAAGGAGAAAAAAAGAAGGAGAACGCAUAGAAACAAGAAAUGGAGGAGAUGAUGUUAUUGAUGAAAAAUACCGACCAUCUUUCGGGACUAGCUUCGGAGCUCGUUUUGAAAAAAAAAGGUGCGGAUUAUGCAAAAAUAUUUUCCCUAAGAGUGUUGUUUGUUUUUUUUUUCUAGUUAUUUAAAUCUUAGGUUUUUAUGUAAUUUUUAUUAUAAUUAACAAUGGCGGAGUUACUAUAUCAUUAUAAAUAAUAUUUUGUUUCUUAUAAUGAUAAUCUUUCCUAAUAAAUAAAGAACUUUUUGUCACAUGUCAAACUCUCAUUGAUUUGACCACAUGUCAUUUUGUGGUUAUUUUCAAUUAAUUUUUUUUUACACAUGUCAUUUUGGGGUUUUUUCAUUUUAUUAAUUUUCACAUAAUAUUUAAAUGUAAUAAUUACAAUAAAUAUAAUAAUAAAAUGCAUAUCAAUUUUAUUAAUUGACUUCCUUUUAAUUUUAAAAUUUCUAAAUUAAAGUUUCAUUAGUUUCCUUUAUUUAUUUAUCUAAAUUAUUUGUUUAAUUUAAAAGAAAAACAAACAAUUUAAUUUUAAUAAUUAAAUGUUUUUCUAUUGUUUUCUUAUAAAUUCAAACUUGUCAAAUGUUUAAAAUUUUAUAUGUUUUUCUUUAAAAUGAACUCAUGUAAUACAUGAGUGUUACACCUAGUGAUAGAUUAUAUCACGAGUACAAUUCAUUUAAUGAAACAUAUGUACGUAUAAUUAGAGAAAAUUUUUAAUAUUAGCAUGUUAAUCCUCUCUAAAAAAUAAAAAUAAUUUUGCCACAUAUCACUCUUUUAUUAAUUUGGACACAUGUCAUUUUUUGGUAUUUUUGAUUAAAUGUUUUUUCCAUUUGUCAAUUUUUUAUUUUUUAAUAUUUUCUUAAUUAACACAUCAUAUAUACACCUCAAUUAAUAAUUACCUUAAUUGAAAAUAACCAAUAAAUUACAAUAUUAAUAGUCAUAUAGUAUUUAAUAUGUUUCCUUUUAAAUUUAAAUUUUAAAAUUUUAAUUUCAAAUCUAAAAUUUCAAAUUUGAAUAAAAUUUGUUUGAACUUUUAUAUUUAAUUUUUGUUUUAUCAAACUCGUAUAACAUACGGGUCUCACACCUAAUGGAGAAUUAUAAAUCAACGUUUAUUGUCGGUCUAAACUUUUGAAAUGUCAUUUUUGCAAUGAUCGGUAUAACUUCUCCUUAAAGGAAUUUUUAUAGUCAUUUUCUCUUUCAAGAUUGUAGACUCUUUUACAUUAUUUUGAUAAAAGAUAUAUUUGAAUAUAUUUUUACGACGUCGGCUUUCCUUAUUCUUAAAUCCUGGCUCCGUUCCUUUUAAUUAAUGUAGUGGUUUUUAUUUUUAAUUAUAUAUAUAUAUAUAUAUAUUACUUAUUCAUUUAUAAAAUUAUAAAUCAUAAAAUCAAUUAUUUUUACUUAAAAAAGAGUGAUACACCUUUACAAAAUUAUAAACCAUAAAAAUCAAUUAUUUUUACUUAAAAAAUAGUGAAAAAACCUUCCCACAUACACCUUGGUUUCUAACUAAGAAAAAAAAUGUAGGAAAAAGGAUAAAAUGAUAAAGAAAAAUAAUAAAAAAAAAAAUAAAAACCUUCCCGUACCCACCCUCCGGCAUAAGAAGGUGCGUCCCUACGAGUACAAGAUACACAGGUGUAGAUACAUAUGUAAAAAGCUAGUAAUUAACCAACUAAUUAUUAAUUAUUAAAUAAAAUAGGGAUAUAAUAUUAAUGAUAAACACAUUAAAAUAUUCCAAAUGCUCAUGAAGUCAACAUGAGAAAUUAUAUUGCAAUAAAUUUCUUGUUGGGUGAGAAAUUCACAAGUAAAAUUUGUAUAGUAAAUAACAAACCGAAAGUUCCAGAAACAGGUCAAAACUUAAAACCCUAAAUGAGCUUACAAAUUUCCAUUGGCCACAUACCCCACCACAAAGGCACAAACAAUCAAUGAAACAAGUGUAGAUGUAGAGGCCUUUUUCACCACAAUCACCCUUCAUCGGCCAUUUCGAAGGCCACGUGAAAUGUCACUAACGUGGCCCUCUAAAUAUCCACUACUUUGUCUUUAACCCCUCCCCCCUCCCUUAUAAAACACUCCAUCCUCCUCCUUAAUCACCAUCACCAACAACCUUCUCUCCUUCCUCAAAAGUACCACCAUCUUUUCCGACAUGGCAGCUUCUUCAAUCUUCAUGGCAACUCCCAUCACACUCCUCAAAAAAACUCCCACCUUCUCCGUCAAAUGCAUGUCACAAACACCUCAAAGCGGUGAACCGGAGAUUUCAAAAUCAGCAACCACCCCAACACCACCACAGAUCAACAUUCCUCCUCCUCCGCCACCUGCUCCAAAGGUCAGCACGAAAUUCUCUGACGUGUUGGCGUUUAGUGGACCUGCACCGGAGAGGAUCAACGGAAGGUUGGCGAUGAUAGGGUUUGUGUCGGCGAUGGCUGUGGAAGUGAGCAGCGGUCAAGACGUGUUUACCCAGAUCGGCAACGGCGGAGUUGCGGUGUUUGUGGGGACUAGCGUCGUGUUGACGUU